rnacentral:lncRNA from 1 species
CUCUUGGUGAUUUUCAUGUUUUACAUGGUUAUUUCAAAAGCUAAGGAAGAGGAAUCUGAAGAUUAGCUUAUGGUUGCAGCAAAAUUAUUAUUGUAUACCUCUUUCUAAUACUAUGAUUAUGUUAGGAUCAUCCCACUGUUAUGAUAAGGAAUUAUAAGUUGUGAUUGAACUUUAUUACACUAUCUUAUUUGGUAUAUUGCUUCAAGGUUGUAAAACGUUACUGAGAGCUUGAAAGAAAUGAUAUCAUCUAUUUAUGAUGCAGAAUUAGUUGUUGCAUAAGCAUUCCAAAUUAAUUUUAAUCAGGAAUCUUCACCGGCGGAAUGAGUAUUAGUUGUUCGGAUAGGUAAAGUUUCUUCUUAACCUAAUUGUUUUUCAAUGUCAUAUAUGUUCGGCGGAGUGAGUUUUCAAAUUGUAAAGAGCUUUCUUCUUUUGGAUAUUCUACUAUCAAAAUCAAUUAUAGAAUUCGAAACAAAUUCUAGUUUUGCAAUGUCUACAGUCUACUUAUGAAUUGCAUAAAGGAUAGUGUGAGAGUCAUGAUAAGCUUUUUGACAAACACAAAGCUUUAUGAUAAUUUGUCAAAAAGCUUGACAAAAUUGGCCAAAGCGUGUUGGAAGUUGGCACCAAAAUUGGAAAUUUCAACAAACAUUAGUUGGCAUGCAAGCUUUCUACAGCUAGCAUGCAAGCUAGCACAAAUGGGCAAAUUGCCGUGUUGAAUUUUGGGCAUUAUUUAAGCUAUAAAUAGAGAAGUGAUGAGAGCUUGAUUUGCAUCCCAAAAUUUGUUAAAUUUAUAAGUUUCUAAGCUUUUGAAAGUUCUGAGAGUGUGAGCAAUUAGAGAGUGUGUGUGUGUGAGAGUACUGGGUGUAUUUGGGUUAUGGGAAAGUGAGAUUUCUUUACUCAAAUUUGCACUCAAAUAAUUGUUAAUAAUACAAUUAUUUUUUUCUUGGUAUAUUGCCGAACCACGUAAAUUUUGUGUCCUUUAAUUUUUUAUAAUUAUUUGGUGCGCUUAAUUCCGCAUUCCGCGCACAACAGCUGCAGACCUGCAGUUAGAUAAAAGUUGACAAAGUUCAUAUGUACAGCCAGAUUCCAACUGCUAAUUAACACUUUCAUCUAAAUUUAAAAAUCAGCUAAUGUAGGACAACGGUAUAAUUACAAAUCGGAUAACCAGCUGCCAACAGUUUUCACCUUCAAGAGCUUGAGAAGGUCAACUGGAAAUUGAAAGUAGCAUUCCAACAUUUCUAAUUAACAUUUUAACAAAUUCCGCGUUAUAGGGGAUGCUAAAAAUAGCCAAAUGGUGAUAAAAAAGAGAUUCUUUUAAUAUGUUAUUCAGGUGCAAAAAUAUAAAAUGUCGCUUGACGAUGAAGUAAAAGAUCUAAAACCGCAACAAACUGUGACGGCCACACUCAUAGCAACAGUUACCUUCGCUGGGGGGGGUCGUAUAACCCGGUGGUUACUGGGCUCAAGAAGGCCCAAUCCCCAGCAAUCCAAUUCUCAGAAAAAAUGCAGCUUUCCAAGCAUUUGUUAUAGCUAAUGCCAUGGCCAUGGUCCUCUCCCUUUCAGCUGUCUUUUAUCCAUUUCCUUACUUCAACUAAGACCCUUCGGCAAAUGACGUUUCAUGUUGUUAGCAAUGGUGGUUGCAUUUGUUACAGGCACAUGCGCAAUGUUGGCACCUUCUGUUGGGCUUUCCGUUGCUACUUGUGUCCUUGGCUUGAGCUUCAUCCUCUUUGUGCUUUUCGCCAUGUUCAAGUUUGCUUAUGGAUUGGCGCAAAGGUUGUUGGGCUUCAUGAUAUAAUUAAAAAUAAAUAAAUCUCCAUGUUGGAGAAAUUAGCAUGUUCCUGUCUCUUUUUCUAGUAGUUAAUAUGUAAUUUCCAUCUCUUCAAUCUUUAUUCUCAGUGUUAUAUUAUAUGUGUAUACAUUAAUACAACUGAGAUUGUACCUAAUCCUCUUUUGUGUUGAGCUAUUAUCAUCAAAAGAGGUUUAAGUACAAAUACAAGGUCAACAUGAAAUUGCAAGCAGCAUAUUAGCAUUCCAACAUUAGUAAUUAACUAAAAUACUCUUUAUAUUGUAUUGGUGAAAACUCCUGUAAUAUAAGGUUAAUAUAAUCAAUUUUAUCAGGUGUUAAUAUGUUAGGAGCUUAUUUACAAAUAGAUAAAUAGUAUCUCAAAGAUAUGCAAUGAGUCUAGUUUUAGUACUCUGUUCUCAUAAACUUUUCCUCCUCUGAUUCCACCUUUUUGGAUUCUUGAACCUGGGCUGGCUUAUGCUAUCGAAACUGAAUAAACUUACUAACACAGACUCAAUUGCAAGUCUCAAAUCUUUUCUUUUUCUAAUUUGUAUAACCAAAAUUUUCUAAAAAAAUAAAGCUUAUAUAAAAUUAUCAUACGUUUUCAUUGCAUCUUGAUACAAAUUGUUUCUUAAAAAAAUGAUUGAGAAAAUAUACAAGAGACAAUAAUGAAAUUUACAAUUUUCAGAUUAGGGAAUUGCAAACUGUAAUGCUGAGACAACAAAAUAGCUUAGGUAAAUUAAUAUGCAACAAAAUAGUAGAUAGUAUCCAUCAUUUCUGUUUCUAAUAUGAAGAGAAACUAACCUUCUAGGCUUAUAUAAAAGCAGCAGCUACAUAUCCAUAAGAUUUUUUUUUUUAAAGUAAUUUAUAUAAACCUCCUCUUGCUUAUAUUGCAAGCAAAUGGAAGUCCAUUCACUAUACCUGCAUUGCAUAAUAUGUACAAGCAUUUACAAGUUAAUAUCAUCAGUUCCAGCCCGACCAGAUAAUGAAACUGGUCCAAGUGAUUCACCCUCUACUCUACCAAAAACCGAAUACUUCUUUUUAAGAUUUCUCCCUUCGUCAAUCCAUUGCAUUGCAGUCACCAAGAACUGGACCAAUAAGCCAUUCCCUAUCUUUGCUUGUUGUUAAUUUGAGAAGAAUGGCUGUUCCCUAGAAACAUAGCAUACUUCACAGGACCACACGUCCACACCGCAAUAUGACCCCAAAGCUAUAUGUUGCAUAAAUAACUCCAUGCAAGAUUUCUCCCUUAACAGGCAAGAAAGUGCGACACAGAAAUGUUACAGGGAAGAACACAACCCUUGACUCAUUCACAGUUCCCUGCUCUCUGUCGAUGCUCUUCAAGUUGGUUACUGAAAGAAAGUAACAGUGAUCCUUGCAAGCCUUCUCAUUUAUCAAGCCAUUCAACAGGCGUUUUACAAUAUAUCGCUGAGGAACCCGCAGCCCGUUUCUGUCCAAACUUUUAGCAGGCACUGAUACAUCCCUGAGCAAUUCCACUUCGAAAAACAUUUCUCCUCUACAUCAAAACAAAUAAAAUAAGACUAUUACAGAUUAAUCAACCAGAAUUCUUCCAGAUUCUAUGCAUAUCAUUAGCCAUUGCAGUAAAAUGCUGUUAAGAAAUCUGAUAGAAAAGAUGAACGAGAAUACAAUGAUGCUGAUACCACUGUAUGCAACCCCAACUGCGCCCUGAUCUGGAGGUUAAUUUUAAAGCUAAUCAAGAUUUUAAACUUAGUAUUGUAUUCAUAAUACAAGCCACAAAAAUCGAAGAACGAACCAAUAAAAAGGUUGAACCAAAAAGAGAUAAACCACUAAAGGAUCAUUUUCAGUUACAUUGCGAAUGGUAUACAUUUUGAACAGAAUAAUUUAUUCCUAUCAACACAUCAGUGUUUCUGAUCAUUACACAUCAGUAAUCUAUUUGGUUGUAUACAUACCUUCUCUUGCGUAUUGACUCAUGUUAAAUAUCUAAAGUAAUUUAUGCUACCUAGGUCUUCAAUAACACCAAAAACAGCCGAAAGUACCAGUACUCUCUACCUAACACGAAAAAGAACUCAACAUUACCAACAAAAAAUUUCUAAAUUUGGAGGAAUGUAAACAAGUAUCAUAACCUUUUCUAAAGAUCCCAUUUCACAACAUUCACUAUAAAGGGCAUAGUCCUAAUACCCAACACAAACAAACACAGAAUAUUCAUGCAAUGCGCAAAGAACUUAAAUAACCUUCGGGUUUAAAGAGAAAUUAGAACCUGCAAAUGCACACAGAACUAGAAUUGAACUGAGAUGAAGAGAUCAAGUGAUGGGUGGGUUUAAAUAGAAAAAAAAAAGAAUAUUCUAGCAUCAGAUGAUGAUGUAAUGGCAUCGUUAUAUUUUUAAUAGCGUACGCUGGAUUCGAAUUGUAAUGAUGAAAAGCUUGACCUGUGUUUGUUGUUCACUGAGCUUGAGUCGGAAAGAAUUGAUAUGUUGAAAACACUCUGCAAACGCACUCAUGUUUAACAUUUUGGAGGCAAUGCUAUGCUAUCUUGUACUUUCAUGUUGUCAUAUCAAUCAAGUCCUGCAAAGUUUUUAAGUUAACAUUUUAAUGUCUUAACAUUAAUUCACUUGCAAAAUUAUAUUAAGAUCUAAAGCCCCACAUGGAAAGUCGAUUUUUAAAUUAAUUGAGUUUUACCCGUAAGUUCACAAAUAGUUAGUAUCAGAAUAUGAUUUCACAUGAAGUAAUGGGAUCAGAUUGAAUAACAUUAAUAUGGGGCUUCAUGACUGUUGUUGUCUUGUUCAGAACUGAACAACUUUGGGAGUUUAGCAUUCUCUACUUAUGGUAAUUUUCAAAUUGUUAAUGUUUUAUAACAUAAAACAAAAUUUUUUUUUUUGAAAAAGAAAAAAGAAAAAAAAUGACCUCUGUUACAUGAAUAAAGAAUUUCCAUUCUGCCACUUCGGCCUUGGUCGGAGUGGUGGGCUGCUUGUGAGGGCAGCGGUUCAAGCCCCCACAAAAGCAUUUGUGGGGGCUAACGUGCUUAUUUGUUUAAUAUUUCAAAAAUUUCCUCUCCCUCGUGCAAUACGAGUGGAGUAUGGACAUCCCUCUUCUGUAAGAGAUUAUUUGUCUGGGCAUGUACUUCACAGAAUUCAAUGUAAUAAUAUAAGUCCCAAUCAUGUAUUUCUGAUUGUAAAUAUCAGUGUAAUAUAUCUGCUAUAAUAGCAGUUGUAAAUAUCUGUGUAAUGCAGUAAUAUGAUGAUUAAUCAGUAUUCAAAAAAAAAAAAAAAAGAAUUUCCAUUCUAUAGAACGAAUAUAUAGUAUAUUAGAAUAGAAGGACACUUUUACUUGGUGCUACUCCACGUAGUUUUUAAAAUUCAUACUUUAAUUAAUGUCAGUAAGUAAUAUAGGAUUUUUACAUGCAAUAUUUUUAUUAGUUUAGGAAUAAAACUUGGUCACAAUAGGAAUGGACAAGUCUUGUGUCAAUAUUUUACUCUUUUUUAUUUUACUUUAAAAAGAUUUUCCAAUGCAUAUUAAUAUCUUCAAAAAGUAGAUAUUUAUUUUGAUUUUAUUUUCUUUUCAGUUAAGAAGCAAUAAUAUUUAUAUAUCUAAUUUCCCUGUUUUUUGUAAUUUUAUUUUUAUUUCAUAUUAUUGUUUAUAAUUCAAAUACUAUUACCUUAGAUAUUUUUCCCCGCCACAGAUAACACAGCGAUGGCAAAGUACAGUCUUUAGAAAUUUGUCAGCGUCUAAUUGCUGCUGAGCUUCCAAAACCCAAAACCUCAAAUUUCUAGCCUCAAAACAGUAGCAAUCGAUGCCUGCUUUUCAUUCAAUUUAGUUAUGCGCUGAAAAUCUUUAGCCAAUUAAUGAUAUGGCUCUAGUCCCUAGUCGCCAGUUCUGCCCAGCAACAGCCAUUUUCGAUUCGUUUCAAUCAUCUUUUCAAAGUUCCAAAGUACUCGUUUUCAUUUCUUCAGGGGCGGUCACUCAAUUCCUCUUAAAAAUAAUUUCUUUUAUCAAAAUUUCUAUUCAAAUUCUGCCCAUGAACAAAAAACCGUCCAAGAAAAAUUUGUUCUAUAUCCACGAAUAAAUUUUUUUCUCAACAUGGAAAAGAUGAUAAUGCUAAUUCAUGUUCUAGUAGCAGUUGGUUAGUUGAAUGGAACAAACCCAAUAAAUAUAACCGCCUGAAACCGCCUCAGGCAAGCGUGAAUUAUAGAAAAAAUAAUGCGGAUUUGUCAGGUCUAGGUUUUGCUAGGGUUGAUAGUGAUGGUAAUGGUGUUGGUGGUGUUGAUGAUGGUGGUAGUACAAUGGGGAAGAUUGUGGAGAAACUGAAGAAAUUUGGUUACGUUGGUGAUGGUGAUGGUGAUGAUGAUGAUGAGAGGAGAGGCUAGGAAAAGAGAGAGUGAUUGAGAAAGGGUCUAUACAGGAUAUAUUUUACGUCGAAGAAGGAUUGUUGCCGAUGCAGGAGGGUGGCUUUCAAAAGAAUCGCCGUUGGGGUUAGGAGAGGAGGUAGGGAGUGACGGAGAAGUGAAGUUUCAAUGGGAGAAGCGGAAGGAGGAGGAAGUGGAAGGGACUUGUGAAUGCAGUGCACAAGCAAUAGAGAGAUGACAAGGUCACAUUUGAACAGCUACUAUGAAGAAAACAAAUUAGUUCAUGCAAAUAUGCAUAUCAAAUAAAGAUGAUAUAAAUCUCUGUAGUGUUGCAUACAAAGAUCUUUGAGAGCCUCAAAAUAUGUGUCAAGUGAAGACUGAAUAAAGUUGCAGGUCGGGAUAAAAGAUAGUACCCUUCUCGCCUCCAUGCUAAAUUGUUUGAGCAUAAUCUUUCCCAAAUCUACACAAGAUAAAUGACAAUAUCAUUUCCUGCCAAACACCAAAAACUCCUCAAGGUCUAAACAAUGAUCAUGAUAAUCCGUAUCUAAUGUUUCUAUCAUACGCUAAAUUCUGUACAUUCAUUUUGCCACAUGGAAGCCCAAUUUCUAAAACAGCCACACAUACAUUUGUGGCGGAUGAAAGAGAGAAUUAUAUUUUAAAAAAAAAAUGAAAGAGAGUCUCAUUUAAAAGCCUAUGCUUUGAACCGCCCCGUAUAAUGUACAAAACAAACAGUCAAUAACACCCAUUUCAUUCAAUCAUCAAGGUACCCCAGAAUAGCAAUAAUAAUAGGAAUCCAACGGCCGAAUGAAAAAUAUUCACAACUGUUAAUUAUAAUGUGAGAUGGUGAAUUAAGUUUGCUUUCCAGAAACGACUGCGUUUUGAGGCUAUAAAAGCUUCUUUAGCUUGUGCUGCUCAGCUGUUUUGUAACGGAAAACAGAUUAGUCAAAACGACGGGGCUGUAGCGCGUUUUGAGUAACAGCUUAAGUAACCACGUGAGGAAGCAUGUGAUGAAACCUGAUUCAAGUUCGUUAAAGUUUGUUAACCACGUGUCAACAAACUGUACAGAAACUAAGCUAGCUAUCAAAAAAGACUAUAAAGGCUGUUUUUCAGGGAUAGUUAGAUGAUGAUUCUAGAGUCUUGUAGUGAGGGUUUUGUGAGAGAGAAAGUGUUAUCUUAUUCUCUGUAAAAUCUGUUGUAAGGCUUUGUAACGAUCUUCAUUGUUAAUUCAAUAAAACUCAUCUUGAGUCUUUUCCCGUGAAUGUAAGCUGAGCAUUCCAUGUAUUAGGAAAUUGGUUGGUGAAGCAGGACCGCAGCUAAAAUGAAAUUGUAAGAAAAUAAAGAACAAGUACAAAAAUUAGACACAAGAAAUUACAUGGUUCGGCUUUUAACCUACGUCCACGGGCGAAAACAGAAGGAAAAUAUUAUACUAGUGAAAAAGAGUUAUAAGUAUUAUAGUAUUUUAGCUCACUACCCAAAAUCCCAAUACACCCAAACUCUCAAAUCACUAAACACAUAAAACUCUCUUCUCUGCAAGAAUUAUUUCUCACAACUCUCGACUCUCUCUACAAAAUUGGAUGCAAAAUGAAAUGGGGAGCUCUGCCUUUUAUAGCCAAAAAAUGGCUAUUAAAUUAUUAUUUUUACCACUGUCUUCAUUCUUCUAUUUUCUUUUUUCUUCUUUUUCUUCAUUCCAAAUUUGAUGCUGCCAAAUUCUUCUUCUUUUUCUUUGGACGACACCAAAACCUUCAACAUUUUCUUUGGCCGGCUGUCAAAGCCAACUUUGCUUAUUCAAGGCUUCUAGAUGUUGCAACCAAUUUUGAAAUUCUCCCACUUGGAGAUCAGAUUGAGAAUCAAUCAAUCUCCAUACCAUCAUUUCUGCUUCGCCAUAAUCAUAUUGUCUACGUUUCUGCUAGGCCACAAGAGGAUAUACUCUAGAUAAACUUGUCAAUAUUGAUUGGCUUGGUCAAAACAUCUGCUAGGUUCUCUUUCGUAUGGAUUUUCUGUAAAUCCACACUUCCGUCUUCCAUUACUUCUCGAACGAAGUGAUACUGAACUCCUAUAUGCUUUAUCCUGGAAUGAAAGGCUGGAUUCCUUGGCAUGUACAAGGCACUCUGACUGUCACAAAACAUAAAAAUUUUCUUUUGUUUGUGCUCGAGUUCCUCCAAUAACCUUUUUAUCCAAAUAGCUUCCUUGCAAGCUUGUGUAGCUGCCAUGUAUUCUGCUUCUGUUGUAGAUAAAGGCACAACGGUUUGUAGUUUCGAAAUCCAGUUUACGGCUACUCCCGCAAGUGCAAACACAUAGCCAGUAGUAGAUUUCCUUUUAUCAAGGUCUCCUGCAAAAUCUGAAUCCACAUAGCCCCUGACAGUAAAUUUCGAUCCUCCAUAACAUAAUGCAACAUUUGAGGUUCCUCUGAUAUAUCUCAGAAUCCUCUUCACAGCUAUCCAAUGCUCUCCACCAGGAUUCGCCAUGUAUCGACUGACUGCUCCCACUACUUGUGCAAUGUCUGGUCUAGUAUAUAUCAUAGCGAACAUUAAACUUUCCACUGAUGAUGCAUAUGGUACUCGAGACAUCUCAUUCCUCUCUACUUCAUUGCUAGGACACAUACUUAAGAAUAAUUUGAAAUUAACAGGAAGUGGGGUAGAAAUUGACUUACAAUCUUGCAUGUUGAAGCGCCGCAAGAUUUUUUUCAAGUAAUUCUUCUGCGAAAGCCAAAUCUUCAUGUUAUUUCUGUCACGGUGAAUUUGCAUCCCUAGAAGCUUGUUUCCUGGUCCCAAGUCCUUCAUUUCAAACUCUUUAGCCAACUGUGCCUUCAAUUCUUGGAUUCGAUCUUUGUUGGGUACUGCUACCAACAUGUUAUCCACAUACAACAGCAAAAUAAUGAAAUCAUUAUCUUUAAACCUCUUGUAAUAUGCACAAUGGUCUGAACUGAGUUUGUUGUAUCCAAAGCCCAUAAUGAAGGAAUGAAAUCUCUUAUACCAACACCUCAGCGCCUGCUUGAGACCGUAUAGAGAUUUGUUCAACCUGCAAACCAAGUUCUCCUUUCCUAUUUUUACAAAACCUUUUAGUUGGAGUAUAUAUAUUUCUUUUUCAAGUUCUCCAUGAAGAAAUGCAGUUUUCAAAUCUAACUACUCUAUAUAUAAGUCAAAUGUAGCACACAUUGCCAGGACUACCUUGACUGUUGUGAGUCGAACCACCGGCGAAAAUAUCUCAUUGAAGUCAAUACCUUCUUUCUGAGCAUAUCCUUUCACCACCAAUCUCGCACGAUACCGCUCCACUUGGUCAUUGCCAUCACGUUUGAUCUUGUAGACCCAUUUGUUUCUAAUGGCUUUUCUUCUACGUGAUAGUGGUACAAGUUCCCAUGUCUUGUUCUUGUGUAGAGCUUCAAUUUCUUCAUACAUUACUGUCAUUCGCAAAGCAACAUCUGAGUUGUUUAAAGUUUCAUGGAAAGUUGAAGACUCUCCAUCCUCUGUUAGAAGACAGUAUGCAACAUUGAUCUCUGUGACAUACUCCGAGUGCCACGUUGGCGGUCGUCUCUCACGAGUUGACCGACGAACUUCUGGAGCCUCGGACUCGACUGGUUCUUGUUCCUCGUGCUCUGGUGCUGCUUCAGAAGAAUCUGAAUCUUCUGGAUUAUUUUUCAUAUAUACCGGUACAGUCUCUGACUUUUCUUUUACAGUGCUAUCAUUAUCAUCUUUCCUUUGCAGUUGAUCUUCUACAAAAAUAACAUCUCUGCUGAUGACGAUCUUGUGGGCAAUGGGAUCCCACAGAUGAUACCCCUUUACUCCAUCAGCAUAUCCCAAGAAGAUACAUCUUCUAGAUUUUACAUCCAGUUUUGCUCUUUCUUGAGCAUUGUACAUCGCGUACACAAGACAUCCAAAUGCAUGUAAGUAGGAAUAAUCAGCUGGCUUUCCAGUCCACAUCUUCAUCGCUGUCUUCAGCCCAAUAGCUGUAGAUGGCGACCGAUUUACUAUAUAACAAGCAGUUUUAGUUGCUUCUGCCCAGAAUGAAUUGGGUAGACCAGCAGUCCUCAACGUAGCUUUUAUUCUUUCUGUAAAAGUUCUGUUCAUCUGCUCCGCCACUCCAUUUUGUUGAGAAGUGUAUGCCACCAUGAACUGUUUUUGGAUACUUUCUUGCUUACAGAAAGCAAGAAACUUGCCGUCUGUAUACUCUCCACCAUUAUCUGUCCUCAAGCACUUGAUCCUUUUACCAGAUUCAAGUUCCAUGUAUUUUUUAAACACUAGAAAUACAUCUGACUUUUUCUUAAUUAGAUACACCCAACAUCUUUUGGAAUAAUCAUCAAUGAAAGUCACCAUGUACUUUGCACCUCCCAUGGAUAUAUUUGGUGAUUUCCAAACAUAAGAAUAAAUCAAGUCUAGAAUGCAUUUACUUCUAGCAAUAGAUCGAUUGAAUUUUAAUCUAUGCUGCUUACUUGUAACACAAUGCUCGCAAAAUAGUAAAUUUACCGAUUUGAGCCCCGGAAGCAAUUUUCGCUCAGAGAGAAUCUUUAAACCUUGUUCCGACAUGUGGCCAAGUUUGAGAUGCCACAUCAUCGUUGACUUUUCUCUAUUUGAUGCGACACACGUGUGGAGUGUUAGAAAAUGUAUAUUUGUAAAGGAGAAAAUCAUCAUUUUACAUUUCAAGUUUUACUAACAACCCUUACUUUUAUGUAUUUAAGCUUCUUGCAAUUUAAUUAUGUGUGUUUAAUUUUAAUUAAGUAUUUUAUGUAUUUUAGGGGCAUCAUGAUCAUUUCACAAUAAACGAGAGAUCAAACGGCAAAACGGACAUCACUUUUAAACUCAGGACGGUCGAAAACUUUAGGAGGAGCAUAAAAGGAAAAAUGACACUAUUCACAUCAUAUCAGUGGACGAAAAAAUCGCACGUACGGUACAUGCAUCACACAGGAUUAUUUUCAACCAAACCGCGUCACUGUUCACCCGGGUCAAACCGUGUUACUGUCCAUCCACGUGGUCAAACCGCGUACUGUUGACUGAUGACGUGGCGCAAUCCUGAGCGUCCAAACUGUUUUUAAUCCGAUGGCCAUGAUUUACUCCAUGUAUCUAUAAAAAUGGGGCUUCUCCCCCUAAUUUGAUAUCUCUGAAUCCAUUUUUGGGAUCAAUUUUCUGUAAUUCCUUCUCCAUCUUAUAUUUUCUACGUAUUUUAAUAAAUUUCUAUUUUGCCACUAGUUCAAUUAUGAGUGGCUAAUUUUCUUUCAAGCUUGGGUUGAAGGUGAAGUCUCAACAUGUGUCAUGGGCUUUAUUUGGUAAAUUUACUUUCUCUUCCCCAAUAAUUUUUGUGGAUGUUUUGACUUCUCGUCGAUAAAUAAUAAUAAUCUUGUCUAGUACCGCCCUGGUUUCACCGGCCCCCUAGUACAAGGUUAUUAUUAUUUGGCACGAUAAGCCCUUAGCACCAUAUUGAUUAGAGCGUGGUUCAUGAGGUGUGGAUUCCCCCUCAUGAUUUAAUUGGUAUUAAUAAGGAAUAUUUAUCCCAUGAUGCAUGUUGAUACGGAUCCAGAUACCCAAGUACUUCAUUUCAAUAGAAUUCUCUUCAAUUUAUUCUCGUCAUUUCAAUUCCAAUUUUAGAAUUUAUUCUCGCCAUUUUAAUUUAAGUUUUAGCAUAUUCCAAAUCAUUUCCACCACAAAUCCAAUCCCCGAUUUACAAAAUUAAUUCUAUACACAAUUAAAAUCCACCUCCUCGUGGGAUCGACACUCGUCACCAUUAGUCUAUACUACAAUAGAUUCGUGCGCUUGCGAGUACAUUAAAAUUUGCACAACAAGUUUUUGGUGCCGUUGCCGUGAAGGUAAGUAAUUUUAAUUAAUAGAAUUAAUUUUUGUGAAUAAUUCCAUUUAAUUGUUUUCUUGUAUUUAUUUCUUUAAAAAAAAGAAAAAAAAAAGUGAAUAUACAGUUAAAGGUUAGUAUUUCUUUUCUUUUUCUCUUCUUUAAAAUUUUAAUUUAAUUUUCAAAUUAAUUUUCUUUGUAUUUUUUUUUGUUUUGUUUAUUUUAUUAAUUUAAUUUUUAGUUAAUUUAUUUCACGUAUUUGUUUUUGUGUAUUUUUAUAGAAAGGUUGUAAUAGUGCAAUAAGGUUAGUAUCGUAAUUUCUCCCUCUUCUUUAUUUUUAUUUGUUUUGUUCCCAUCUUUAUUCUUUAUUUUAUUUGUUUUGCAUGCAUGGUCGUAGGUCAUUAUUUUCUAAUCUUGAAUCUAUAGACCUUGAAUUAGAAAAAACACUUCGCACACAAAAGCACAUUAAAAAUAAAUUUAGAAUGGACUUACAAGCACCACAGGAGAGGCCAUUUAAGGACUACUUCAGUCCUCUAGCUAAUUUGAGCACAUCAUGCAUAAGAUACCCAAAUGUAGCUGCUAGGAGUUUUGAACUAAAACCUAGUGUGCUAAAUUGUCUCCCCACAUUCUAUGGCUUAGAAAAUGAGGACCCAUAUAAUCAUUUGAAUGAUUUUCAUGCUAUUUGUCAAACAUUUAAAUAUGAGAAUUUUUCAGAUGAUGAUGUAAAACUUAGACUAUUUCCAUUUUCUUUAAAAGAUAGAGCUCGUUCAUGGCUUAAUACAUUGUCUGCUAAUAGCAUUGCAUCAUGGGAACAAAUGGUUACAAAAUUUUUUAAUAAAUAUUUCCCAACGCAUAAAACCAAUGCUAUUCGCAGGGAAAUCUCGGAGUUUACCCAGAGAGAUGACGAGCAGUUUUUUGAAACAUGGGAGCGAUUUAAUAGGCUACUCUUGUAGUGUCCACAUCAUGGGUACAAGAAAUGGCACCAAUGCCAAUACUUUUUGGAGGGAUUAUUGCCGAAUGUGCAAGAAUGGCUAAUGGCAACAAGUGGAGGAGAGCUAAUGUCAAAAAGUGCAUCAGAGAUUUGGGAAUUCUUCCAGCGACAAGCGGAUAAUUCCCAAAAACGGAGUUGAUCACUCAGGAACACUAGAAGAAUUAAGGGAGUAAAUGAGGUUCACAUUGGCGAGUCAACUUCGGGAAUCAAAGAAGUCAAGGAGAUGGUUGAGGGUCUUGCUCGACAAAUAGCAUCGUUAUCGACUGCUAAAUCAAUAGAACCACAUGACCAUGACUCAUACUCAGAUCAAGCCAAUGCCAUAUGUGUAAUGAGAAAGCUAUCUAAUUAUAACUCAUACUCCAACACAUAUAACCCUGGAUGGAGAGACCAUCCCAAUUUUUCAUGGUCUCAAGGAUUCCAACAGAAUGGACCAGCAGCUCCAGCUCCACCAAUGCAACAAAUUCCUCAAAAUCCUCAAGCCUCUCAGCCCCCAUUUAGACCAUACAAUCAAAACCAGAAUUACUCUCAACCCAGACCAUGGGAGGAUUCAUUCCAGAAUCUCAAGAAUCUUACUCACUCCACGAUUGAGCAACAGAACCGCACCAUUGAUGGACUACGAAAUGAGUUGAGAGCAGGCUUCAACUCACAAGCUCAAUCAGUUUCAAGCCUCGAGAAGAUGGUGGGACAACUUGCUUCUUCAGUUCAGACCUUGGCAAUGACUGUUGAGAAAGGCAAGUUUCCAAGUCAACCAGUGUCUAACCCUAAAGGAGUACAUGAAGCAAGUACUAGUUCACCAUAGCAACAUGGAGAGGUCAAAGCAGUAAUGACCUUGCGAAAAGGAAAAGAAGUCGACAACAAAGUGGAGAUGCCGAUGACAAAAGAAAAUCAAAUUGUACCUGUAAAUGCUGAGGACUCAUCACCGGAGGAGAAAGAAGAAACCAACCCACGAGAAUAUGUUCCGAAAGCUCCAUUUCCUCAAAUGUUAGCUAAAGGAAAAAAGGAAAAAUCUACAGGUGAGAUUCUCGAAAUCUUCAAACAGGUAAGUGUCAACAUCCCUUUGCUUGAUGCUAUUAAACAAGUUCCAUCUUAUUCCAAGUUUCUUAAAAAUCUUUGUACUAAAAAGAGAAAUAUUCAUGUUCAAAAGAAGGCAUUUUUAAUAGAAAAUGUUAGUUCUAUCCUCCAACAUAAAAUUCCUCUGAAAUGUAAAGACCCAGGCUCCCCCACUAUCUCAUGUAGUAUAGGGAACCACACAAUUGAGAAUACUUUGUUGGAUUUAGGAGCUAGUGUAAAUCUUUUGCCUUACUCUGUAUUCAUGAAACUUGGACUGGGAGAAUUACACCCAACUCCAGUGGUGUUACAGCUUGCAGAUCGAUCCACGAAAAUACCUCGUGGUAUUGUGGAGGACGUGCUUAUCCAGGUAGACAAGUUUUAUUUUCCUGUUGAUUUCAUUGUAAUUGACACUCAACCAAUACAGGAUUCAAGGAAGCACAUCCCCAUUAUUCUAGGCCGACCUUUCUUGGCAACUGCGGAUGCUCACAUUCAAUGCAGGACUGGAAAUAUGCAGUUGUCCUUUGGCAACAUGACUAUGGAGCUGAACAUCUUCAACAUUGCCAAACAACCUCACAAUACAGAUGAUGGAAUUGUUGAUGUGGAUUUAAUUGAAGCAUUAGUUGAUGACACUUUUGUUUCAAACCUUAGUGAUGAUCCUUUACAAACAUGUUUAACUCACUUUGGUUUGGAUUUUGAUAUUGACAGAUCAGUCGAUGAGAUCAACGCCCUAUUUGACUCAGCACCAUCCAUGGACACUAAUAAAUGGAAGUCAAGAGUUAAACAACUAGCACCAUCAGAGAAGAAAUUCAUCCCAUCAUCAGAAUCACCACCGAAACUCGAGUUCAAACCAUUGCCCAACACUUUGGAAUAUGCAUUUUUGGGAGAGGAAAGUUCUCUGCCGGUAAUCAUCUCAUCAUCCCUCAAUGACGAACAAAAAGGUAAGUUGUUGGAUGUUUUAAAAGAGCACAAAUGAGCAUUAAGAUGGACCAUAGCGGACAUAAAAGGUAUAAACCCAGUAGACUGCAUGCAUUACAUUCACCUCGAUGAAAAUGCUAAAUCUACUAGGGAAAUGCAACGUCGGUUAAAUCCUAAUAUGAAAGAAGUUGUUAGAACCGAAGUCCUUAAGCUAUUAGAUGCAGGUAUCAUUUACCCAAUUUCUGGUAGUUCAUGGGUCAGUCAUGUACAAGUUGUCCCCAAAAAGUCAGGAGUCACAGUAGUUACGAAUGCCGAUAAUGAAUUGAUACCCACUAGAGUAACUACAGGAUGGCGUGUAUGCAUUGAUUAUAGAAAGUUGAAUUCUGUCACACGUAAAGACCAUUUUCCUUUACCAUUUAUCGAUCAAAUGCUUGAUAGAUUGGCAGGCCAUGAAUUUUAUUGCUUUCUAAAUGGCUACUCAGGAUAUAAUUAGAUUCCCAUAGCACCAAAAGAUCAAGAGAAAACUACUUUCACUUGCCCUUUUGGCACAUUUGCAUAUAGGAGGAUGCCAUUUGAAUUAUGUAAUGCACCUGCUACAUUUCAACGAUGCAUGUUGAGCAUUUUUUCUGAUAUGGUUGAACGAUUCCUUGAAGUCUUUAUGGAUGACUUUUCUGUCUUUGGUGACUUAUUUGAUCAAUGUUUACAUCAUCUAACACUAGUUCUGUAGAGAUGUAUCGAGAAAAACUUGAUCUUAAAUUGGGAGAAGUGCCAUUUUAUGGUAAAACAAGGUAUUGUCCUCGGUCACAUCAUUUCAAGCAAAGGUAUUGAGGUUGACAAAGCCAAGGUGGAUUUCAUUUCUAAUUUUUCUCCACCCAAAACAGUCAGAGAAGUAAGAUCUUUCCUUGAGCAUGCUGGUUUCUAUCGACGUUUUAUUAAAGAUUUUAGCAAAGUUUCUAGACCCUUAUGCAAUUUACUUGCUAAUGAUGUACCUUUUAUCUUUAAUGAUUCAUGUCUUGUGGCUUUUGAAAAAUUAAAGCAAUUGUUGACAUCAUCACCCAUCAUUCAGACCCCAAACUGGAGCUUACCAUUUGAGCUCAUGUGUGAUGCAUCUGAUUAUGCAGUAGGAGCAGUAUUAGGACAAAGAGUUGAUCGAAUUCCCCACGUUAUUUACUAUGCUAAUAUGACAUUGAAUGAUGCACAGUUGAACUAUUCAACUACUGAAAAAGAAAUGCUAGUAGUAGUGUUUGCAUUAGAGAAAUUUCGAUCUUAUCUCAUUAGUUGUAAAAUAAUUAUAUUUACAGAUCAUGCUGCUCUUAAAUAUCUUCUCACAAAGAAAGAUGCAAAAGCUAGACUAAUUCGUUGGGUGUUACUUUUGCAGGAAUUCGACUUGGAAUUCAAAGAUAAAAAGGGCACAGAAAAUGUUGUGGCGGACCAUCUCUAUCGUCUUCACUUUGACACAAUUACAGAACCAUUACCAUUAAAUGAGUCAUUUCCAGAUGAGCAAUUAAUGAGUGUGGAAGUAUUACCUUGGUAUGCUGAUAUAAUUAAUUAUCUUGUUACAGGUAAACUUCCAGAGCAUUGGACCAAGCAAGACAAGACCAAAUUUUUUGCGGAAAUAAAGAAUUUCUUUUGGGAUGACCCUUAUUUGUUCAAGUAUUGUGCAGACCAAAUUGUCAGACGAUGUGUCCCAGAAAGUCAAAUUCAGAAUAUUCUUUCAUUAUGCCAUGAACAAGCUUGUGGAGGCCAUUUCAGUGCUAAGAAAACAGCGACUAAAGUUUUACAAUGUGGUUUCUAUUGGCCGACUAUAUUUCGAGAUGCUUACACUUUCUGUUCUUCAUGUGAUAGGUGUCAACGAAUGGGGAGCAUUACACGAAGGAACAUGAUGCCACUAAAUCCAAUUUUAGUGGUUGAAAUUUUUUACGUAAGGGGUAUCGACUUCAUGGGACCCUUUCCCCCGUCUUUUGGCCAUCAAUACAUAUUGGUUGCUGUUGACUACGUCUCCAAAUGGGUAGAAGCAAUUCCAUGUAGGACCAAUGAUCACAAAGUGGUGAUAGGAUUUUUGAAAAGCAACAUUGUCUCACGCUUUGGAUUCCCUCGAGCAAUAAUCAGUGAUGGUGGUGCCCACUUUUGUAACAAAGCAUUCAAAGCUCUUUUGACAAAAUAUUCAAUCACACACAAAGUGGCGACCCCGUAUCAUCCGCAAACCAGUGGCCAAGUUGAGAUCUCCAAUCGAGAAAUAAAGCACAUAUUAGAAAAGACGGUGAGGUCGGACAGAAAAGAUUGGUCAUUAAGACUUGAUGAUGCAUUAUGGGCAUAUAGAACGGCCUUCAAGACCCCGAUUGGGAUGUCACCUUACAGGCUAGUGUAUGGAAAAGCUUGCCGCCUACCUGUGGAACUCGAGCAUCGUGCAUAUUGGGCUAUCAAGAAAUUCAAUUUUGACAUGCAGCAAGCUAGCUCAGAAAGAAUAUUACAGCUGGCAGAACUUGAAGAAAUUCGCAAUGAUGCAUACGAAAAUGCCAAGAUUUACAAGCAACGGAUGAAAGUCUUCCACGACAAGCAAAUUAUGAGAAAAUCAUUCACUCCAGGUUAGAAAAUGCUUUUAUUCAAUUCUCGCUUGCACCUAUUCCCAGAUAAGUUACGCUCUCGUUGGUCUGGUCCAUUUAUUGUUCAUACUAUUUUUCCACAUGGGGCAAUUGAAAUUAAAAACCCAAAGAAUGGUGUCACAUUUAAAGUCAAUGGUCAAAGAUUAAAGCCAUAUUUAGAGUACCAAGCACAUGAAGAAGACACCAAAAUAAAUUUGAGUGCCCCACCAGAUUUGAAUUGAUUUUUUUUUCUUCUUUUCGGUGAUUUGAUUUUUUUUUUCUCUUUAUAUUAUUCUUUUGCUAAUUGAAAUUAUUUUUGCAUAAGUGUGUUUGUUUAACCACUAAGUUUUCUCUUAUCAUUAUUAAUCAUGAGUACCAUGUUUAAACCGUUCCUCCUUAACAUUCUUAAACCACUUCAACGUGUCAAAACUCAUCUCAAAAGAUAGAUUCAAUUUUGUAAAACACAUCGCAUUUGGGCUCUACAACCACCAGAGUUAGUAGCCUAUGUUGAGGGUUUAGAAAGCCAACUUAAAGAUAUUGAGAGAAGUGUUUACGACAUCCAGUUGGAGCUUGAGGUAAAUUCAAUAAGAAGACGAUUUUAAUUUUCUUGUGUGUUUUAAUUUGUUUUUCUUUUUGGUGUGUUUUAGUUUGUUACCCCGGUAAAGUGGCGGAUAACGGUACUCCGUGACAAUCAAGUCGGUUACUUCAGUUUCCCAUAAUAACUGAUAUUCUGAGGCGAAGGUAUUGAUAGAAACGAGAUUCAAGCAAAGCUUCACAAGCGAUUCCCUUCACUUCCUCAGAAUGCCCUCCUUACGAUCUAUAAAGCCCGGUCUGAACGCAUGCGAUUACUCAUGAGGAAUAACAUACCUGCAGACAUCCGUUGGUUAAUCGAGGCUAAAGUACGAUUGGCAGGUGAGUUACCUCCUAAAUUUAUUGCAUACAUGCCUGGUUGUGGUAAAGGAAAUUAUGCAAGAAAACGACGAGCUCGAAGAAUUUUUGUUGCUUGUCAUAAGUGUGCCAGAAUGAGUUGCGAUAGAAACCCAUGUUCUUUAGGGAUGGUGUCUGAUAACAGAGAAGAUAAGAUUCAAUUCAUUAGGGAUGGCUUGAAUAAGAAGUCAUUGGAUGAUAUCCUUCUGUCUCUUGAAACGCAUCCCAGUGGAUAUGUGCAAGGAGCGAUUCUCCAGUUAUGGCCAUUAUUCCAGAAAGAGCAUGCACGAUAUAGUCUCGGGAAUCUGACUAUAAACGACCAUGUUUGCCAGUUUAUAAGAAAACUGGAUGGGAAGCCUAUCCUCGACCCAUAGAGGGCGUUCAAGCCGUUUCUGGACGUAAAACCAGAGAAAGAUGUGAGCCACAGUCGCAACUACGUGUAAAUAUCCUUUUACUUUACUAUUAUUUUAUUUCAUUUCACUGUUGUUUUAUUGUUUGCAUUAUUGUCUUUAAUAAUUUUAUUAUUAUUUUCUUUUUCCUUUUUACUGUUUCCUUUUUGACUCACGAGUCAUGUGCUUCACACAUUAUUUGACACUGACAUGUUACCUCAUUCACAACUGUGAUCCACUGUCACCAAGAUUCUUAAAUGUGAUUUCUUUUGUCAAACACUCACAAAUUGUUUUUGAGAAGUAUUCCAAUGGCAGCUACUCCCAAUAGACAAUUCAAGAACAUUUGUGUGCUUUCUGGAUUUACCUAUGGCAAACAUAAAGAGUUCGUUGAGGCAGCCAUAGAUCUUGGUCGAAGUAUAGUAGCGAGAAAAUUACACUUAGUGUAUGGAGGAGGUAACCAAGGGUUAUCAAAAAUGGUCUCAGAAGCAGCUUUUAUCAGAGGAAGUCAAGUGUUAGGCAUCAUCCCAAGAGUCUUAAAACCAUUGGGCAGUUCGUCUGACUCAUCAACUGGAGAAGAGUUAGUCGUCUCAGGUAUGCAAGAAAGAAUAACUGAAAUGCUUAAUCAUGUUGAUGCUUUUAUUUUCCUUCCAGGAGAUCUUGCAACACUAGAGACACUUAUCACACUAGCAUCUUGGGCCCAUCUGCACAUCCACCAGAAACCCAUCGGUUUGUUAAAUGUCAAUAACUUUUAUGAUGGCUUUAUCGCAUUUCUUAACCAUGCAAUAAAAAACUAUUUCAUUCCUUCUAAUGUGAAAAAACUCUUUAUUUGUGCUCACACUGCUAAUGAGCUACUUGAUAUGUUACAAGCUUAUAAACCGGAGCCAGACCCCUAGACCUUUGUGUUAGAGCGACCAAAUAAUGAUGGUAACAGUAGCCACAGUAAGAAGUACAAAUUAGAUUUAACUCUCCGCCUGUAAAUAUUUUCUUCUGUGUUGCACCACCCAGGUGAUGUCUUCUAAACUCUACUUCUUUUCUUUCAAACAUUGAGGACAAUGUUUCGUUCUGGUUGGGGAGAGGGAAUAGUCGACAAUUGUGGAAUCUUGAUUAAGUUUUUACUGAUUUUUUGUUGUAGAAACUAAUUGUUGCUAACUUUUUGUGUUAAAGAUGACCGAAUAUGGAGUGUAGUGACUCUAGAAACGCAUCUUCAUCGUUUAAAAAAACAAACAAAAAAUAAAAAAAAAUUCAAAAUUUUUUUUUCUUUUUCUUUAUUAAGUUUUGAUGUUUAUUUUUCUUCUUCUUUUUAAUUUCUCGUUUAUAAAUAUAUUCAAAUAUUUGAGUUGAAGAUGGCUGAAUAUGGAGUGUCGUGCCUCUAAAAACGCAUCUUCUUAGUUUAAAAAAAAAAACAUUUCUUUUUCUAAUAAAUUUUUCUACAUCAUUUUCACAUUUCUGCAUGCAUAUUUUCCUUUCAUGUUUAGAAUAGGUUGGGGGGUAGAAUGUUGUUUAAAAAAAAUAAUAUUUGUUGUAUUAUUUGUUUUAACAUUGGAUGACAUGAUUAAUUUCAAAUUUUAGUAUUUGUAUUAUCUUUGGUCUUAAGUGAUGUUACGCUAUAUUUGCUACUUUACAUGUUGAUGUCGGAGACAAAUAUGAGUUGCUUGAAGGAAUGAACGUGUCAUAAAUAAGUGCCAAGUGAGUUGUUGAGCCUAUCAUUUUCUUGGAGAGUAACCUUUUUGCCCAUUCUCUAUACAGCUUAGCAGUUUAUUAUUUUACACACGAUUUCUAGAUUUCUUUUGAGUUAACCCUUAAAAAAAUUGUAAAAUAAAAAAAAUAAAAAAAAAAUUAUGUGUUGCUAUAUUGGGAGGCCCAUCUAACUAGUAGAUAUGGAUGAUUAUUUAGAGCCCUAAAAGAUGAUGGAAAUGCCAUUUUUGAUCCGUUUGAGCCUUUCUAGCCAUCCCUUUUGUGAAAUAUCCAUAGUUAAUCAUUUUGAGCCUUUUUUUAAAAAAAAAAACUUUUUAUUUGUUAAACUUAUCAUCUUGACCCACUCCGAUUUGGAGUAUUACCCGAUAUUUUAUAAGUUCCAUCACCUAUUUAUGUUUGAGAAAAAUGUAAAUAAUUAUUUUGUUCAGUGACAUUGUGCCAAGCAAAAGCAAAAAAAAAAAAAUGUUCCAAAAAAAAAAGAGAAAAAAAUAACAAUAAUAGGUGAAAUGCACCUUGCAACUUCCAAAAAAAAAAAAUAUCCUCUGCAUUUUUCUCAAACAUACACUUUGUUUUUCUUAUUUCCCUUCUGUGUAAGCCAUGUCUCUAGCCUACGUUAUGUCCUAAUAAAAGUCCUUCUUGAUUUUAGGGAACUAUAGUUUGAAGUAGAAGCUAGUUAUAUGGGCUAAAAAGAUGUAGUGGUGCAUAAUAAUAAAAGAAAAAGAAAUAAAUAAAAUUGGUUGACUAGCAUUUUGUUUGACUUGAGAUCGUAUUAUUUCUAAGCUGAGGGCAUAUUUCUUUCAUCUUGGUGAGAGCAUGUGAUAUCACUUCUUUAUUAUUUUCUCUCAAUUACCAUUCAUUGGAGUGACUAUUUUUAUUGGGUUUAAUUUCUUUGUGAGAGUGUCACUACUUCCAGUGAGAUUUUGGGGUUUGACAUGUCAUUCUUGAAAGUAGCUAUAACAAAGUCUACUGGGCUGAUUUAUGUAGAUGGUUGAUGUGGGUGUGAUGUUUCUUUAGACUGGAGAUAAUGCUUAUACUUUUAUUUGAUUGCUAUCAUUAAUCUGAUUGAAUAAACACGAGUGUUUCUAUUAAAAAAAAAAUCAUUUUGGAUUUGAAUUUCGUUUUCGCUUUAUUUGCUAGGGACUAGCAAUAAGCUGGUUGGGAGGUGUGUUGAGUGUUAGAAAAUGUAUAUUUAUAAAGGAGAAAAUCAUCAUUUUAUAUUUCAAGUUUUACUAACAACCCUUACUUUUAUGUAUUUAAACUUCUUGCAAUUUAAUUAUGUGUGUUUAAUUUUAAUUAAGUAUUUUAUGUAUUUUAGGGGCAUCAUGGUCAUUUCACAAUAAACGAGAGAUCAAACGGCAAAACGGACAUCACUUUUGAACUCAUGACGGUCGAAAACCUUAAGAGGAGCAUAAAAGGAAAAAUGGCAUUAUUCACAUCAUAUCAGUGGACGAAAAAAUCGCACGUACGGUACAUGCAUCACACAGGAUUAUUUUCAACCAAACCGCGUCACUGUUCACCCGGGUCAAACCGUGUUACUGUCCAUCCACGUGGUCAAACCGCGUACUGUUGACUGAUGACGUGGCGCAAUCCUGAGCGUCCAAACUGUUUUUAAUCCGAUGGCCAUGAUUUACUCCAUGUAUCUAUAAAAAAGGGGCUUCCCCCCCCUAAUUUGAUAUCUCUGAAUCCAUUUUUGGGAUCCAUUUUCUGUAAUUCCUUCUCCAUCUUGUAUUUUCUACGUAUUUUAAUAAAUUUCUAUUUUGCCCCCAGUUCAAUUAUGAGUGGCUAAUUUUCUUUCAAGCUUGGGUUGAAGGUGAAAUCUCAACAUGUGUCAUAGGCUUUAUUUGGUAAAUUUACUUUCUCUUCCCCUCUAAUUUUUGUAGAUGUUUUGACUUCUCGUCGACAAAUAAUAAUAAUCUUGUCUAGUACCGCCCUGGUUUCACCGAGGUACUUGCUACACAACCCUGAGCAUUUGAUGACUCAGGUUCUUUGCCCUCUCUUCUCUUCUGGUACUCCAACACUCUUUCUUGACGUGCCCUUUCUUGCCACAGUUGUAGCAUUUAAUAUUCUUCUUACUUCUAGAUUUUGACUCCCACUGGGGCCACGUUCCGUUGAUCUCCCUCUCGUCACCGAUAGCGCCUCCGCUUGCUGCGAACUUGCUUGUCUAUUUUUCUUAUAUUUUCCGCCUGCUCUCCUCAUUUAAUACAGAGGCUGCAACAUCGUCGAAAAUUAGACUGUCUACUAGAUUGUUGUUCGUCAGGUUGAUGACGAGUUAAUCAUAUGAAUCUGGUAGACUUUGAAGUAGAAGCUCUGCACGUUCAUUCUCCUCUAUAUUAUAACCCAACGUUGUGAGUUGUGAAAAUAGAGUUUUCAAGGUGUUGAUGUGGUUAAUCACCAUUGUAGAUUCCGCCAUUCGAAGAGUAUAGAGUUUCCUCUUCAAGAAAAUUUUGUUGUGUAGUGACUUGGCCUCGUACAAUUUUGUGAGAGUAUCCCAUAUUUCCUUUGCUGUAUUUUUCUCUGCCACACUGGAUAAUACUCCAUCUGCAAGUGCCAAGUGUAGAUCAGCAAUGGCGUUGCCAUCUAUCUCAUUCCACUUGUCAUCAGUUAUCUCCACGGGUCUUUCUCCAAUUGGUGUCAAGUAAUUAUUUCUCCUCAAUACAGCUUUCAUCUUCAUUUUCCACAACGAAAAAUUAUGUCCGUUAAAUUUCUCAAUUUCAUACUUUGUCGCCAUUUUGUUGAUAAAUACAGCAUACAAGCUAGUGUACUAUCCUGAAUAGUUGUGAGUAUGUGUAAGAAUGCACGCCAGGAAAGUUCCCAGGAAAUACUGGAGGGGUCACAAUGGUCCCACUUAAAACCCAAACUCCUUAAACUCUUAUCGCCUUUGUGACAGAACUUUCCUACACAUGUACAAAACCACACAGUUGCUUUACUCACACCACUAUUCUCUGCUUUGCACCGCAAAAUUCUUAGAUCGCUACCGUAUACGUGAACAGUACCGUAUAUGUGAAUAGUAUCGUAUACGUGAACAAUACCGUAUACGUGAACAAUACCGUAUAUGUGAAUAAUACCCUUACGUCAAUAGUACCCGACUCCAAAAAUAUAACCAAUAGCUCUGAUAUCACUGUUAGGAAAUUGGUGGGUGAAGCAGGACCGCAGCUAAAAUGAAAUUGUAAGAAAAUAAAGAACAAUCACAAAAAUUAGACACAAGAAAUUACGUGGUUCGGCUUUUAGCCUAGGGCCAUGGGCGAAAACAGAAGGAAAAUUUUAUACUAGUGAAAAGGAGUUACAAGUAUUGUAGUAUUUUAGCUCACUACCCAAAACCCUAAUACACCCAAACUCUCAAAUUACUAAACACAUAAAACUCUUUUCUCUGCAAGAAUUAUUUCUCACAACUCUCGAUUCUCUCUACAAAAUUGGAUGCAAAAUGAAAUGGGGAGCUCUGCCUUUUAUAGCCAAAAAAUUGCUAUUAAAUUAUUAUUUUUACCACCGUCUUCAUUUUUCUAUUUUCUUCUUUCUUCUUUUUCUUCAUUCCAAAUUUGCUGCUGCCAAAUUCUUCUUCUUUUUCUUUGGACGGCACCAAAACCUUCAACAUUUUCUUUGGCCGGCUGACAAAGCCAACUUUACUUAUUCAAGGCUUCUAAAUGCUGAAUCCAAUUUUGACACCAUGCACAAUUGAACCAUGUAAAAGUCUUGGUUUAUGUGGGUUCUUGUUUUCAGUUUUUAUUCUUGAUUAAUUUCUUGUUGUUUUGCUAUUGAGUGAAUUGAUAUGUUUAGAUCUUAGAAUUGUGCAACUUGUAUUGAUUUGAUCACAAGUAUCUUGAGUAGUGAUCAGUCUUGUUUAGCUUUAUAAGACUUGCUAAUCACUACAAUUAUUAAUAUUAUUAUUUUGUGUAAGGGGAAGAUUUAUAUUACACACACACACACACAUAUAUAUAUAUAUAUAUACACAUUCACUACAUUUCUUUUUUAACUUCAUUUCAAGUGAUCAUGUAUUACGUUGAAUUACGAUUUAGAUAACCAAAAUGCGUAGGAUUAUUCAGCAUACAGUUAAUCAACCACAAUUCCCUUAUAUUUCACAGUGGCAUCAAUCAUAAGCCCAUUAUAUUAGAUUGACAACAAUUGUACAAUAAUUAAAGAACUCAAUUUUUUUUUUUUUUUUUUUUUUUUUACUGCUUUAACAUUGGAAUUUGUCAGCUAAAACUAAUGAGGUCCUUUCAUCCACAACAAAUUUAUACACGUGGCGCACUCUUGACAAAUUUCUUAUCACAUCAUGGGCCGUUAAAUACAUAUGGUAUGUUUGGAAUUGCUCUAUAUUUGACAUAUGUAUAAUAAAUAAAUUUUAAAAGUGAUUAUUACACAAUUUAUAAAUAAUCAAUUUUUGCAUUGAUUCUUAAAAGUAGGAAAUUGUAACUUUACGAAAAUUAAUUAUUUAAUAAUGUGAUUAUGAAUUGUUUAUAUGUCAUUUUUACCCUCCUUAAUUUUUCUUAAUCCCAAAAUAACCUUGUGUCAAUAUUUAAAUUUAAUUAGCUUAUUGUUUAAAUUUAGUUACCUUAUUAACUAUGAAAUAUUUAUUUGAAUUUUAUUAAAUAAAAAAAAAAUAAAACUUAAAACCCGAGGCCACCGCGCCCGGCGGGGAGCCACCAUUGUUGACAUUGGCAUUCAAGCUUGUGAAACAUUGUUAGCAAUAAAAAAAAAAGCUCAGAAUCCAACGAUCUAUGCACCGGAGUGAAUAUUUCCGUCCACAGCAGUUCGGUUUCACGGCGGAGAUGCUGCAACCUUCGUCAUGAAUUGCGCGUGUAGUAGGAUUGGCCAUUUUCUGACAAAAUCUUACGCUAUAUUUGAGCACAUCAUGGUCUUAGGGUUCGAUUGGUAUAAGCGGUGUUGAUAACGGACCAUUUCCGGCAGUAUCUGAAAUUUUGACCGCUGCGUGCGGUGAACUUGUUCACUAUUUUCCGACGGUCAUGAUAGUAAGGGUCUCAUCGGAGAACUAGGAUUUCAAUGAUCAUGGUGGGGCGUUCCGAGGGCGACAUCCCUCCUCAUCGCCGGUGAGUGGCCGAUGAUCUAUUUUUUAUUUCUCCGGUGAUCUAUUUUCAAUUUCUUAGUAAAUAUUUUUUUAAUUUUAAAGUGAAAAUAAACACCAGUUAAUGUUAAUUAUUUUUUGAAACAUCAAUGGAAAGUUAAAAAAAAAAAUAUCGUAUUUAUGAUUUAAAGAAAGUAUAAAUAGAAAGUUCAAAAACAUAAAAAUAUUUCUUUACUGAAUAAUUUGCUUCGAAAUAAAUUUUAAUUUUUUGAAUUAAAAUUUUAAUUGCUUGUAAUACAACCAAAUAAUAUCAUUAGUUCACUUUCGUCAUUUCAAUUUACAUAUUUCCUUUCAUGAUUUACCAAACAUGCAUGUCAAAUUAUAUUAUAAAUGAUUAUGGUAUAAUUUUAAUUUACAAAUAUUUAUUAAAUUAUUUAUAAAACUGAUUAUUUCAAAAUCUAUGCUAAAAUAUAUUAUUUGAGAAGCUAAUGCAAUCCCAAACAUAGCAAGAAGCAUUACAUAAAAAGGAGGCAAAGAAUAAGGUACAUAAUAUAGAUUUCUCUACUCUUGAGUCAUUUUGGUUGUUUACCCGCCUGACAGAAAGCGAAAGAAAAUGUCAAUUGUCAAGUGUGAUGGGGCAAGCAAAGCAUAUCGAUCGAUCACACGGCAAGCUGCAGCCUGCAGUACUUAAAGACAUCCAGGUCCAGGAUUUAACUAGUAAGCAUGUUGGCGGAUUUUUGAAUAUGGAGGCAAAUAACAAUAAGAGAAUUUGAUUCGUGUUUGCACACUUUCUGUUAAAGUUUUAUUUGCUCUCACUAAUUUUGAUUUGUUAUAGAGUUUUAAUAACAAAUUACCCUUAAGAUAUAACAAAUUCUGAAUACAAUCUCUAACAAAUAAGAUUGUAUUCUAAGAACACAAAAGAAAAAUUGUAAAUAAUCUUGUAUAUAUCUUUUUAAUCUAAUGUAUGUGUCUAUUUUAAUGAAGAACAUGUUUAUAUGAAAGAUUACAAUAAUUAGAAAUGGUAUUUUUCAAAGACACUCUUUUGGUUUGAAAUUUGCAUCCAUUCACAAUCAAAAUUUUCAAGCCUGCUAACCGUUUUUUCAGUUGACGCGAAAACACACUUUCUAGAAGAAAAUGGUUAGCCGUGAUCUCAAUAACGGCGAGACGUUUUAUUCCAGAAUGUCAAAAUAAGUUGCUCUCUGGAAAUAAACAGUUAGUUGUUUUCUCCAAAUGAUUAGCCGUUUUCUGUAGAACAGAAAACAUGCUCUCUGGAAUUAAACGGUUAGCCGUUUUUUUCAAAAAUGGCAAGCUGUUUUAUUCCAGAAUGUCAAACCAAAAAAGAAAAAUGUUACAAUCUCUCUUACAAAGCAUCAAACAAUUGCUCAAAUAAAUCUUCGCAUUCGCAAACAUGAAUCCUAAUUUGCACAAGGCUGUAGCUAAGGGUGAAAUUGAACGAGAUUGAAAAAGAUGAACUUGUAAGCAUAGUGACUCACGACAAGAAUACGGUCCUUCAUGUCAACAUUGCAUCCUCUCAACAAGAAGGAGAAAGGGUAUAAACGGAGUUCGUGCAACGGAUACUCGAAAUGUGUCCAUCAUCGCUACUCCAAGUUAGUGACAAAGGUGAUUAAUAUUUUGUAAUAUUUAAUUACAAAAUAUUAAAUAAAUAUUAGAAUCUAUCAUUCCAUUAUUAUAUCUUCAAAAAAAAAAAGUUUCAUUUUACUAUACUUUCAUUAAUUAUCCUUUAUUGUUUCUAGUUGUAGUACGGCAACUCUCGAAGCUAGUCUUAAUAGAGAUCAGUUCAAUGUUAAGGUCAUAACUGACAUUAAAGCAGUGAAAAUGAGUUGCACACAAAAACAAGAUAAAAUAUUAAGUGCUAACCCCCUUCUUGUUUGUUUUUUUUUUUUUUUUAUUACAUGAGACUAUUGCUCAGAUUACAACUCAUAUACAUGAGACUAUUACUGAUAUUUACAAAUCAAACUAUUACUGGGACCAACUGACAUCAAUGCUAAUGGAGCUCUGCCCAGAUUUUAACCCUCACAAAUAUUCGAGGGAUGUCUACUCCUCACUCAUGGGUAAUAGAGAAGACUACCUUCACUCAAAUUAAUUGAACAAGGAAAGACCCCCACAAUGCUUUUGUGGGGGUUCGAACUGCUGCCCUCCAAGUUGGAGGGCAGCAGCCCUGGCCACUCGGGCUACUGCCCGAGUGGUUCCCCUUCUUGUUUGUUAAAAUAUAGCGAAAGCCCCUAAAUAUUUCAAAAUCUAGCAAAAUCUCAUGUCAUCAGUAUUAUUAACGUUUAAUAUUUGGAGUUAUCAUUUAAAUUGGGCUCACACCUUAUUAUUUUUAACCUCGUCGAUGCUGUCACGUGUACUGUGUACACCACCAAAUUGGAUGUUUAAAUUGGAUUAACGCGUUUGAUUUAUUCAAUAAUUAACGAUAAAGUAGCUACUCCUCCCUUCUCACUUCUAUGCUUCAUGGGUCCUUUGUUACAUAAUUCUCGUAACCACGGAUUUGCUCUAAUCAUUACCCCAGAAAUGCGUCUGAGGUCUAUUAGAUCCAUAUUUCUUUUGCAACAAAGCCACUUACUACAUUACCCUAGGCUCUUUAGAGCAUCUUCAAAAGACUCUUCAAAUAAAAUUCUACUUUUUAUUUGAAGAGUCAUAUCAAUACUAAAUAUUCUAAAAGACACGUUAAUUUAAAUUCUCCAAAUAAAAUUUAUUUCUCACUCUUCAAUAUUGCCGAGUGAGUUUCUCCCUCUUCUAUUAAUAUUUUUUUUAUUAUUUAUUGAAAAGAUAAGACUGCAAUAAUUAUUAUUUAUAUUUCCUUUCCAAAACGUAACAACAAUUCAAUUUGAUAGUGGGAAAGAUUUAAUUAAAAUAAUAUUAACUUAUUCUUAUUUAAUGAGUCUUUUGGAGGGGAUUGUAAUUUUCUAUACACUUAUUUGUCACAUCAGUAAGUAAAUUGAAAUUUAAAGAGUAAAAUCUAAAGAGAUACUCUUAGCUAAUAGCUAUUUAGUAUUUACACUAUUUGCUGAUGGUUAAAACUCUUCUUCCUUUAUAGAUAGAAUGAUUGACUUUGAAUUUUAUUAGAAAUCUUAUUUUUUUGUAAAUAUAUUUUUGUAAGUGUGAAGUUGCUCCGAUAAUGACUUAAUGUAAUGAGAGAAAACUGUAAUAUAAAUUAAAAAAAAAGAUUUGUAUUAUUUAAUUAUCAAAAGGUUAGGCUUCGGAGAUUUUUUUUUGGGGGGGGGACAAAAAGAAUUCUUAUUAAAUAGAAAUUUUUUUAAAAAUUGACAAGCUAAGUGUCGCAAAAAAUCUUCCAUCAUUAUAAAACAACUACGGGAAUGAACUGUAAAUUUAGCUAACAACUUCAUUACAAUUAGCUUAGGAGAAAAUUUUGAUCUCUAAAGAGUAUAUUAAUUAUAAAAAAAAAACAGAAACACCGUUAAAAAUAUAAAUUAAAAAAAUAAAGACAAUCUCUAAAUCUAUUAUACUUUGUCACAUGGUAGAGCAAGAACUUUAUUAUGAAUCACAAAUAAAUCUUACUUUAGAAUUUAUAAAUUUUAAUAUUAAAAAAUAAUUUAUAUACAAAUGGCAGAAUAUAAGUCGUUGGUCCUACCUUCAACUGAGAUGAUAGGCCAGCAGUAGGGGUGGGCAUGGGUUGGGUUGGAUAGGAUUUGUGAAAAUCCAACCCAACCCAUUAUUGAAUGGGUUGAGAUAAACUCAACCCAACCCAAUUAAAUAAACAUGUUCAACCCAAUCUAACCCAACCCUUAAAUUAUCGGGUUGGGUUGGAUUUGGAUGAUUGGGUUGAAGAUUUGAAGUCAAAUCAAAAUUAAAAAUUAAAUAAAGAAAAAGAUAUGAAAAUUGAAAUAAAACUUAUUGAAAUCAAAUAUAAAAAUAUUAUAUUAUGAAAAUUUUAUUCACUGUCUAGUAUUUGAUAAAGAAAACUAAAAUAAUAUAUAAUGAAUAAUUUAAAUAAGUACCUUAGUUGAUUGAGAAUUGAGAUUUAAGAGAGUGAUUUUAGUUUUGAAGUUAGAGUCUAAAGUAGUAGAUACAAGAAUAAAAUAAUCUCUUUAUAAGAAAAUAAAAAGAGGAUAAAAAAUAGAUUAAACGUUUCAAUUUUUAGGAUUUUGCAAUUGAGAAUUUUCUUCUUCUUCUUCUUCUUCUUCCUCUUGUUAUUAUUAUUAUUUAUGUGGGUUGGGUUGGGUUACAUGGGUUUAUCAUAAUUAACCCAACCCAACCCAAUUGUUGAUUGGGUUAAAAAAAAAUUGACCCAAUUAACUUAUAAUAACCCACUCAACCCAUCAAAGUUAAAUUGGGUUGGGUUAGAUCAAUUGAGUUGGAUUAGGUUUGUCCACCCCUAGCCAGUAGAUAGAAAUUUUUCUCAUAAGUAAAACUUCUACAUCAUAAAGAAUACUCUUUAAAGAUAAAAUUAAAAGUGACAUAGUUAUAUUAUGUGAUAGAAAAUGUGGCAAAAUAAACAGAUUAAGUCCUUUGAAGUCAAAUUAUCUUGUGAAAGGCGUGUGAUCUAUGUAUUGUCAUAGAAAAUGUGUAGCAUCUUGGAUGGCCAUACUUUGGCAUUGACUCCAAAUAUAACAAAAAGAUAGAAAAGAAAAGAUUGAAAAAGAAAGUGAAAGCCUACCUUUGUGUCUUGAUCUCUUUAAUUAGGGGUCGAUAUUUUCGUAUCUAGUUUAGUUCGGAUUAACCUUUAGAAAUUUAUUGAGUUGAAAGUUAGAAAUAUAUCGGAUUAAAAUAAGGUUCAGGAAACCGAUUUGCUCACCCCUUCAAUUUCCAUCUCAAUGAUAACAAGUUAAGUGAUGUCAAAAAUCUUCCAUCAAUACAAAACAAAAAUGAAAUGCGAACUUAUAUAAAGAAUCUGUAAUAUUAUUAUAACUGACUUAAGAGAAAAUCUUAAAUCAUAAAGAAUAUAGUAAUUAUUAAAAUUAAAUAAAAUAAAGAAACACCCAAAAAAUAAAAAAAAAAUUAAAAUAAAGAUAGAGAAUCUUUGAAUACAUAAUUAAUUAAUUAUCAAAUAGUCAAGUAUGAGAUAGUUCACCACAAACAUACUAAGAGUAAUAAUAUAGUCACAAGCUCUUAUACAAAUUUAUUUUGUACAAAUAAUGUGGCAUGAUAAAAUUGAUUGAAUUAAAUAUCUCUUGGACCACGUGAUUUAUUUUUAUUAUUUUAUAUUUUCAUUAAACCAAUGAAUUAAUACCAAAUCAAUUUGUACAAGAUGAGUUGGUACAAGAGUUUGUGGUUGUAUCAUCACUCAUAUACUAAUAUAAUGAGGAGUGAUGAUACAACCACAAACUCUUGUACAAACUUAUUUUGUAUAAACUGAUGUGGCAUUAAUUCAUUGGUUAAAUAAAAAUAUAAAAUAAUAGAAAUAAAUCAUGUGGGCCAAGAGAUAUUUAAUUCAACUAAUUUUAUCAUGUCACAUCAGUUUAUACAAAAUAAGUUUGUACAAGAGUUUAUGGUUAUAUCAUUACUCUAUAAUGAGACCGGCUAUUGAUGUUCUGAUAUGUGGUAGAGUAAGGAUCCGACUUUAAAAUCUAUUUUUAAUAUUAAGAAAUAACUGCAUAGCAUGAUUAGUUGAUCCUCCCAUAGGCUGAAGUGUAGGCCGGUCUAUAAAAUUGUUUCUCAUAAUGAAUCAUCUAUUAGAUUAGAAAUCUUUAAACAUAGAAUGAAAAGUGAUAAAAUUACAUUAUUUGGUAAUAUAAUCAAAAGUUACGUAGUUAUUUAAUUGUCAAAUAGAGCGUAGACAAUGAAUCUCUGUAUAUAUUUUUUAAUCAACAAUUAUAGACAUACAAUGUAUCAUGUAAUAAUUGCACAUCAUCAUUUCUUAUUUAACUGAAAGGUUUUAUUUGAUACCAUACAAAAUUCAUAUUCUAACUUUGGGAGUCUGCUAAGUUACAUAAUCUGUAACUUAAAGACCUACCUUUAGUACCUACUAGGCUACUACCUAGCUUUAAUACCAAAUGCAUGCUCUUCCUCUCUCUCUACAGGACACGUGUAAUCAUCCCGUUUGAUGUGUAAGUAACAUAAUCUGUAAUAUAUCAAGCUCCCUAACUUUGUGAAAAUAUCCAUGCCUUUAUGUAAUUGUCAAAAUGAUCUAGGUCAAACUUAUCAGUUAGCUGAGCAAUAUACAGUACCAUAAUGAAUUGUCAAAUAAUGUUUUUUAAGAUAAUGACAAAUAAAAUUCUUUAAAACAUAAGACUCAAAAGAGAGGUAGUUCAUUAUGUGGUAGAAAAUGUGGCUAGGUGAAAAGUGCAUACGGAUAAAUUACGCGGGCUAUGGAUUGUAGUCGAGUAGUCUAUAAUUGGAAGGCCAAGUCUAGUUGUUAUAAAGCGAUGCUGCUGAAAACAACAAGAAAGAGCGCCUCGUCCAUAUAAUCCCCUGCUAUUUUCUUGAAGCAACAGAGCUCACAGGUAAACAAGUUGGUGGUGGUGAUGGUGAGUGGUAGGUAGGAUCGGCUUAAUCAUAGCUUUAGGUAAAUGAUUUUAGGCUCAGUUUGGUACUAAAGUGUUAUAAUUUUUAAGGUAUAGUUAUUGAAAAAAAAUUAUAAUUAUAAAGUAAAAAUUAAUAAUAUGUAAUAAUAUAAUUUUUAAAUAAUAAUUUUGAUAAAAUUAGUAAAGAUAUAAUGAAUUUUUUAUUAUACAAGAGUAAAAUCAAAUCAACUUAACUUUCAAACUACAGCAACUAGUGUUUACCAAACGCUUUGAUAUUGUAACUUUUAAGGUACAUCUAAAAAUUACAACUGUCAAACUUCAAUCCAAACUGGUGUUAAUUAGUUCUUCUUAAAAUUUGAGGAAGAAUAUAUAUUAAUUAUAUUAUAAAAUUUAAUUAUUUGAAAUCAAUUCUUCCAACAAUCUAAGAUGUAAAAUUAUUAAAUAAAAUUCUAUUAUACUAUUGCUAAUUUAUGAAAUUUAAAUUCAAUUAUAUCAUUUUCACUUAUUAUUUCUUCACUCAAUUACAUCUUUUUUACUACUCCUUUUUUAGAUUAAACUAAUUUUUCUAUUCUUCUAUUUUUUAAAAUUUUUCGAUACAAUUUUAUUUCAAAAUGGAUAGAAUAGACACACAAAAAUAAUAAUAGUAGAUGAACAAAAGAAUAUAUUAAAAAGAAAUAAGAAUAAAUAAACAACACAACUAAUUAAGAGAAAAAUAAAAAUAUAAUCUAAAAUUUGAGAUGAAAUCAUAAAUUAACUUUAUCUUUAAUUAUUUGAGGAUUUAACAAUGACUAAUAACCAUGGAAAAUAAGUUGUCAAAAAAAUAACCAUAAAAAAUAGAGAAACUAUAAGACCUUUUUUUAUUAUUAUUUUUUAGCGGGAGCAAGAGGAAGAUUUCUCACAAGCAUUACUCUUCCUGAUUAAAGGGGAUAGAAAGAAUAUACUUCAUAAAGUACCAUUAUUGUUAAAUGUUGAUAAAGAUCCAAAGACAUUUAGCAAAGCUAUGUCUUCUAGAGACGCUUCCUUUUGGAGAGAGGCGGUAAAUGACAAAAUUAAUUCAAUUAUGUCAAAUCAAACAUGGAUCUUGGUUGAUCUUCCUCUAGGUCUAAACCAAUUAGCAACAAAUGGGUGUUUAGAAGAAAGUACAACAGUGAUGGUUAUUUGUAAACUUUUAAGGCUAAAUUAAUAGCCAAAGGGUUUAAGCAAAGAAGUGGUAUUGAUUAUUUUGAUACAUAUGCUCCGGUGGCAAGAUUAACAUUUAUAAGAGUGCUCUUUACAAUUGCUUCGUUGAACAAUUUGCAUGUGCAUCAAAUGGAUGUCAAAACCGCUUUUCUUAAUGGUGAUCUUGAUGAAGAAAUCUAUAUGGAACAACCCGAGGGAUUUGUUUUGCCUGGAAAUGAGACAAAAGUAUACAAGUUAGUCAAGUCGCUUUAUGGUUUAAAGCAAGCACCAAAACAAUGGCAUGAGAAGUUUGAUUCGGUAAUCUUAUCUCAUGGUUUUAAGCAUAAUAAUGCUGAUAAAUGCAUAUACUCUAAGUUUAAGAAUGAUUUUGGUGUGAUUAUAUGCUUGUAUGUUGAUGACAUGCUUAUCUUUGGAACAAAUAUGCAAGGAGUAAAUGAUACAAAGAAGUAUUUAACUUCACAAUUUAAAAUGAAAGAUCUUGGUGAAGUCGAUACUAUCUUAGGUGUAAAAGUGAAGAAACAUAGUGGGAGUUACUCGUUGUGUCAAUCUCAUUAUAUAGAGCAAGUGCUUCUUUAAUUCAAUUAUUUGAAAUAUAAAGAAGCCAAUACCCCAUAUGGUUCUAGUAUUAAAUUACUAGAGAAUUCAGGUCGAGCAGUAGCACAAUUAGAAUAUGCCAGUGCUAUUGGUAGCUUGAUGUAUGCUAUGCAUUGUAUGAGACCAGAUAUAGCUUUUGUGGUUUGCCAAAUGUCAAGAUUCACGAGUAACCCUAGUGUUGAACACUGGAAAGCAAUUGGAAGGAUACUUGAUUAUCUUAAAAGGACUAUUAAUUUGGGCUUGUUUUAUAAUGAUUAUCUUAAAGUCUUAGAAGGAUAUUCAUAUGCUAGUUGGAUAACCAAUACAAGUAAUAAUAAAUCCACUUCUGAUCGGAUUUUUACAAUUGCUGAAGGAGCUGUUUCUUGAGCUUCAAAGAAACAAACGUGCAUAACUCAUUCAACAAUGGAAAGUGAGUUUUAUAGCACUUGCAGCUGCAAGCAAGGAAGCAGAAUGGCUGAAAAAUUUGUUGUUUGUGAAAUACUAACUAGGCAACCCAAGAGGGGGGUGCAUUGAGAUUUUAAAAUUUAAACUAAGCAAACCAUACAAUAAUUUAAUCUAAUGCCUUAAUAGAAUAAAAAACAAUAAAUGCAAUAAAGCAUAAUAAUAAGAGAGUAAGGGAAGAGAAAACAAACACAAUGAUUUUUACGUGGUUCAGCAAUCCUUACCUAUAUCCACGCCUCCAAGCUCACCCGGCUUGAAGAUUUCACUAUCCAAGCCUCUCAAGACUUCAAGUUCUUUACAAUUGGCUUCCAAGGUGUCAAUAGACCUUUAUAAUCAAGAGAUUAUCUCCCAAAUCUCUUUACCCCAAGUGUUUCUCACACUUGUACACUCACAAUUUGAUGAGAAAUGAAAAUUACAACAAACAACUCUCUUUUAGAGUGGAUAUACAAAUGAUAGCACAAUGAAGAUUUAAUCUAUGAUUAUUUGCGAAAUUGAAGCUCAAUAUAUGUUGUGUGCACUUGUUUAUGCUUGCAAAGAUUACUAAAAAUGAAUUGGAUUUGAGCUUAUAUAAUUAAAGCCCAAAAACUAGCCGUUAUAGACUUUUUGGUGAUAAUCGGCUUGUCGCUUUGUGAAUCCAGUUAGCUGCUUUUAUGUUACUGUUACAGCAAAUAUUUAAAUUUUGGAACAUCUGGCAUGCCGCUUUUGGAAUUCGGUUAGCCGCUUUCAUUCCAGUAAGCUAUUGCCUAUAAUUCGGCUUGCCGCUUUGUAAAAUCUGGUUAGCCGCUUUGCUACAGUGACGGCUACAGUGAACUAUUUUCUAAAAUUACGCUAUAGCCCAAAACAUCAUAAAACUUUGCACAAAUGUCCAAUUUCAGAAUUUCUAAAUAAUGCUUGUUAUUCCUAAAAUUUUAUGAAAUUAUGAUAUCACCCAAAACACUAUAAAACUUUUCAAAUAAGUCCCUCCCCAGAAUUCCAAACAAUACAUGUUGAUUUCAAAGUUUUCAAAACUCUUUUAAUUAGACCAUAAACUUGAAAAACAACCAAUUUUAUAAAAUCAUUUUUCCAUUAAAUAUAAAACCUUUAUAAUGUGAAAAUAAUGAUUUAUUUAAAAUGUAUAAAAAUAAUUUGAGCUUUUAAAAACUUAAUCAUUCUUAAUUGUGUUUGUUAUCAUCAAAAUCAACAUUAUGGAUACAUAAAUGUUAAUAGUUUGAUAUAAAGUUGUGGUCACAACCGAUGCCAUCUAUUUCUUUAUACUGCGAUAGUGCAGCUACAUUGUCUAGAGCUUAUAAUAAAGUAUAUAAUGGAAAAUCUAGACAUAUUAGCUUGAGACAUGAAUAUGUGAAAUAAUUACUAGCAGAUGGUGUUAUUAAUAUUGUUUAUGUUAGGACUAAUAAGAACCUAGCAGAUCCUUUAACAAAAAGUCUUUCAAGAGACGUAGUUAAGGAUACAUCUUUUGGAAUGGGAUUGAAACCUUUUUUUGAUAAACUCACCAACGACAAUAACCCAACUAUAUAAUAGUUAUACCACUAUUCCAUAGUUAUAUGGGUAAUAACAAGUUGUUGUAUUGUGACUAGUUUGGCACCGACAAUAAAUAAUGUCAUUCAAGAUAUUCGGUGCAAAUAGCUACAAGGUUGAGGUUGAGUAUUUACUCUGAAUGAAGUUCAAGUCUUAUAGUAGAUAAAGACAUGAUUUGAAGCUUCACCUAAGUGAACAUAAGAAAUGGUGCCGUUUCUAACAAGAUCGUGGUUUAAUCUUGUAAAUGUUAAUGAAUCCAAGAUAGAGCACAAGGCCAAAAUAGUGCUAAAUAUUGGAACAUAACUUUGAAAUCUGGGGUAGCUUAUAUGUGACGUAUCUCCAGUAUUUACUUAAGAGACAAAGUUUAAUACUUAGCACACUAUUGUCUUGUAAAUGCUUUGAAAUACACUCACUAAUUAAAGGUUAAAAUCAAAAGAUACAUUUUUGUACGUAUAAGUUUAUCAUUAAUAAACCUGAAAAAUAUUACAAUCUAGCAGGUGAUUGUAACAUUUUUAAAUUUGACAUUUUGGAAUAAAACGGCUUGUCGUUUUUAAAAAACGGCUAACCAUUUAUUUCCAGAGAGCAUGUUUUCUGUUCUACAGAAAAUGGCUUGCCGUUUGGAUAAAACGGCUAACCGUUUAUUUUCAGAGAGCAUGUUUUGUGUUCUACAGAAAACGGCUAACCAUUUGGAGAAAAUAACUAACCAUUUAUUUCUAGAGAGCAACUUAUUUUGACAUCCUGAAAUAAAACGGCUCGCCGUUAUUGAGAAAACGGCGAACCGUUUUCUUCCAGAGAGUGUGUUUUGGCGUCAACUAAAAAAAACGACUAGUAGGUUUGCGGAAAAAAAAAAAAAAAAACCAUUUGUGAAUAGAUGCAAAUUUCAAACCAAAGACUGUCUUUGAAGAAGUACCAUUUCUAAUGGUUGUACGUAAUCUUUCAUAUAAACAUUUUCUUCAUUAAAAUACACACUCACAUUAGAUUAAAAAAACCAGAUUAUCACAGAUUUCAAGUGUGUUCUUGAAAUAUAAUCUUAUUUGCUAGAGAUUGUAUUUAGGAUUUGAUAUAUUUGGGGAAUAAUUUGCCAUUAAACUGUAUAACAAACCAAGAAUGGUGAGGGCAAAUAAAACUUUAAAGGAAAGUGUAUAAACACGUCUCAAAUCCUAAGAAAUUUUCCUUAUUCUUUGCCUCCAUAUUUGAAAAUCCUCCAACAUCUCUAUACCCCAAAACUAACCCUACGUGUACCUUAAUCAUCUCACUUUUUUUGCUAUUUAAACCCACAACUAUUCAUCUUCUACUUUUGUUAUUCUCUGUACUCAUUUUUUUUAAAAAUUUUUUAUUUAUAUUCUAGAUUUAAUUUUAGAAACCCACAUCCUCGACAUCUUUAACGAAUUGAAAGGUAAUUUAAUUUUGAAACCCAUUCUUAUGCAAUUUAAGUCCCUGAAAUAAUUAACAUAAUGCCAGCUGCUAACACUUGCCGUAAGUUUCAAUAUCUGCUAAACAAGGAAGGAAAGCAAUAUUUUUACAAACCAGAACAGUUUCAAAAAUUAAUUAAACUUGAGAAGGUCAACAUGAAAAGGAAAAAGAUAGUGAUAUGUGCGUAAAUAGUAACAGAAAAAAAAACACAUAAUAUUAGAGACAAAAAGAAAAAAUCGUUAAAGAUAAAAAAAAAAAAGAAAAAGACAUUUCACUCCUAGACCACAAAAAAAAUAAUGUGUUGUUGUGCUAUUUUUGGACUUUAGUCUUGUUAUGUUAUAUAUAUUUUGUACUCUUUUUUGUACAGACAUCAUAUUAUUCAUAACAAUAUGUGCUGUGUAUUUUUGGCUCUAGAUCGUUUUAUAGGAUGUAUAUAGACCAAGAAAUUUGACUUAAUUAGGAGCUACUUUACUAAUUUCUCUAAGAACUAUAAGAAAAAUCAAAUAUACAAUCUCACAAAUCUUCUUGAUUUCCAAAAAUUAAACAUCAACCAUAGCUAGUGUAAACAAAUCUUACCGUUGGAGUAAAAUCUCCAACUUGAACGCUAAAUCCACACAUUUCUUACUUUAAUCUAUCUUUAGGCAAACAACACAACUGAAAACUUCAAUUCCCUUUCUAUGAAUGAAACUAGAUAUGAAAAUAUGAUGAUUUCUAAGUUUAAAACAUUCAAAAAUCAAAAGCUCCUAUCUUUCCAUUUCCUUUUUAGUGGGUUCAAAAUUUAGUUAGUAUUAUGGCAACGUGGGCUUAUAACUUAUUGGACCAACUAAAGAGAUAUAUGGUCAUAACUUGAAUAAAAAAUGGGCAACGCCCUUGGUUAUUACAGAAUGUCUUAAUAAUUGAGUAUUGAGGACCACUGCCGGAAAAUUUUCCACCUGCCGCUUCCUGCCUUCAGCUCCUCAAUUUUGCCUUCAACAAUGGUUACCUAACUAAUUAUUACAGCACCUAUAAGGCUAAAUCUUCCUGGCACCAAAUUUGAGUUUUAAAAUAAAAUCAAAAGCGCUAUAUAAUCUUCUAGAUUAAUCAAAUCAAAAUACAGAUAAUCAUAUUUUCACUGAAUGCAACUUAUAAUUAUAAAUUUACAUUUUUAUUUUUUUAAACAACCUCAAAAUUAAUUAAAUGAUAAAAGUUUUUAUCAUUAUUUUAUCAUGCUUUUGUUCAUUUAGCAUUGAUAAAAAGAUUGGUUGACGUUAUCGCAUCGGUGAUAACAUAAAACAACGUUGGAUGGCCAGACUUGGCCGUUGACGCCAAUUUACCGAAGACAAAAAGAGAUUUAAAAAAAAAUGAUAAGAAAAGAACAAGCGAAAAGUCGUAGAAAAUAAUAAUUGCAGUCUUAUAUAAGACAACUAGUGGGGUUCAAAGAAACCUACUCCACCCAUUUUUUCUUGCCUUCACAUUUGUCUUUUCUUGCAUUUAAUUCUGGAGUAAUGUAUUCCUACUGAUCGUUCGGUUUAAAAAAAAAAAAAACUGUACACAUUAUCUAAUUGUCAAAUGGUGAAGGUGAACUUGUCAUCAGCCGAGUAAUACACAAUUAUGAAUCGUAAAGAUAGAAUCGGAAGUGUGAUGGUUACAUUGUCUGGUAGAAAAAUGUGGCCAAGUGCAUAGGAAAAAGUCCACCGUAGUAAAAGUUUUGUUGUGAAAGAGAAAUUUUAAAAUAUUUUAGAUGUAUUAUAAUCAAUUGAUAUAAGUAUAAUAUGUAUAAUUAAAUUUAAUAUAAUUAUCACUUAUAUAAUAAUAAUUCAAAAUAAAUAUAUAAAUAUUAUAAUAUUAUUAUUUAUUAUAUAAAUAAUAUGAUACCUCAAACGUAUUUUAAAAUUUUUCGAUGUGAAGAACGUGCGGUCUAUGGAUUGUUGUAGACUUCGAGAGUUGCAGAAGUGUACUUGUGAAGCGAAGCCUGAUACUGAAAGAAGCCUGAUAGUGAAAGAGAAAAAAUAGGCGAGGCUACCUUACAGCUGUUGAAGGUGCAACCUUAUCACAUAAAUAAUAUAAAUGAGAUUCACGGUUAAGAAGCUGUAAGGUCAAAAAAAUACUUGAGCUGCUUUUUUAAUUCAGUUGGCUAUUUUUUCAUCGCUGCCCUCUACUUUCGUCUAAAUUCCCUUAACAUCUAAUAUACUCUUUUUAAGUCCCCCAAAUCUAACAAGCCCAUUAGCUUGUAACUUCCUCUGCUCCAAACAUUUAUGUAGGACACAGUUUGUACUCAAACUCAAAUAUCAUUGCAUUCACAAAGUAAGAUGGAUCCUGAUCUGUACAAGGCUGCAGCUAAGGGUGAAAUUGAUCCCUUCAACAACAUUGCAAAAGACCGUCUUGGAAGCAUAGUGACACACAACAAGAACACGGUCCUUCAUGUCAACAUCGCACCCCAGACCCACAAACACAAAUAAUACACAAUAGAGAAGGAGAAAUUGUAUUGAUGAAGCGUCACAACAGGAAUCAAGUCCAUCAUGUCCAUUGUACCAACAUCUUAUCCCAGACUCAAAAAUACGAUAAGAGGAGGAGAAAGUGUAUCAACCAAGUUCGUGAAACAGAUACUUGAAAUGUGUCCAUCGUUGCUGCUACAAGUCAAUGCCAAAGGUGACGCUCCACUUCAUGUUGCGGCCAAAUGCGGCUAUCCUUCUGUUGUGAAAGCUCUGAUUGAAUUCGCCAAAAGAGAGCCUAAAGAGCUAGAAAGCGGUGUGGAAAGCACAGUGUAGUGAUUUAACACCCCUUAAGACUCAAGAUGCUAAGCCACUGCCCAGGAGACUCAAGUUCUUGAUCAAACAAGUUGCAAAGGAAACCAAGCUUUGAUAACAAGACCCCAACUCUGAUUUCAAUAAGUCCUAGAUCUAAUGAUUAAUAUCACAGUGUAUAACCCAAUCAAGAAACAACUCACGUCACACAAGAAACAGAAUCUUACGUGGUUCAAUUGUGCAUUACAUGCACAAUCUACAUCCACGGGAAAAGCCACAUGAAAAGCUUUAUUGAUGAAUCAAGAAGACAAAUACAGAGCUUCUAAACAAGAGAUUACAAGCAACAAGAAUAAUCUCUCUCACUUUCAGAUCUCUCUCUUAAGCUCUCUCUGAACCACGUGCUUUCUCCCUCAGCAACCAGCUUUAUACUCCUGAUGCUGAAACCCAGAUUGCACAGAAUCUGGACACGUGUGUAACGACAUUUAACAACCUUGAUUCGCUUCUUCACGAGCUGGCUCACGUGCUUCACUUAAGUUUUUCCAAAACGACAGAGGCUGAGUCGUUUAGCUUUUGAACUUAAAAGCCUCGUGCUGCACGUGACAAAUGACUGAAAUCAUUUGAUCAAAACGAACCGUUUUGGGACUCUGAGUUUUCGAUUCAUUGCACUCAAGUCCACACACAGCAAGGCAGAUGCCAGGGAUGACCAAUGAUGAACAAAACACAGCAUCUCGAAGAAAACACUUCAACAUCAAUUAUAGCCAGUGUUAAAAAUCUUACCAUUGGUGUAAAAUUCCAGCUUGAACGCUUAAUUUACACAUUUCUUAUUCUAAUCUCUCCUAACACAAACAACACAACUCAAAACUUCAAUUCCUCGUCUAUGAAAGAAACUACAUACGAUCGCAUGAUGAUUUCUAAGUUUUAAACAUUCAAAAAUCAAAAUCUCUUUUAUUUCCCCUUUCUUUUUAAUGGGUUUAAAAAUUAGUAACACGCCAAUGUGGGCUUAUUAAGUUAUUGGAUCAACUAAUGAGAUAUAACUUAAAAACAGAAAAUGGGCAACGCCCUUGGGUUAUCACGUACAGAAGGUAGCAAAAUUCUUCUCUGCCACCUCCUUCCUACAGUGGCAUUUUCCUAAUCUUUUGAGUGUUGGCACAAUAAUAUAUCAGUGUAUAAAAUAAAAAAUUAAAAAAAAAAGUGUUGGCACAAUAAAGGAUGUUGAUGAUAAUUUAGGGGAAAACUAAAUAAAUAAAUAAAUAAAAGGACGGUUGAUUGAUGCUAUUGGUAAUAAAAUAAUGCUGGGUGGCUAGACUUCGCCGUUGACGCCAGUUGCGGGAAAAGACAAAAAGAUUGAAGAAGAAAGAACGAGCGAACCUGUAAUUCUUGAUAUCUAUAAUUAAUUAGUUGGCGUCGAGAUUCUUGGCACUGAGAGAAAAAUAAUUAUAAGACUGUCAAUGGGAUUCAAACAGUACUACUAUCCCACGCACUUUUUCUUGCCGUCACAUUUGUUUGUUUUUCCUUGGGACUUGACUGUUUCGUGAUUAAUUUUUCAAUAAGUUUUUUUAAUACUUAUCGUAUAAUGUAUAUUUAUGUUAAUGCAUGUGUUACUAUUCAUUAAUUAAGAUAUGCUUUAAAAGAUGAUAAAUAUUAUGGCUAUUAUCAUUUGACUACUUCAUUAAUUGUGAAAUAUUAAAUUAAUAUUAUAAUCUAUCAGUUCAUUAUUAUGUCUUUUAAGGAAAAAAAAAGUUUAUUUUACUAUUUUUUCACUAAUGAUCCUUAAUUGUUAGAACAUCUCUAAAAAGCUCUAUAAGUUUUACUCUUUAAAUAUUUAUUUACUUACCUAUGUGGCAAAUAAAAGAGUGAAAAAAUAUAUUAUUCUCCAAAGACUCUUCAAAUAAAAAUGAGUUAAUAUUAUUUUAAUUAAAUAACUAUUUUUUAAAAAGAAAAGUCAAUAGUAAUUAAAGCAUCUCUCUCUCUUUCUCUAACAAAAAAUAAUAAAAUAUAAAUUGAAGAGGGAGAAAUCAACUCUCCAAAUUUGAAUAGAGAUGAUCAUUUCUUAUUUGAAUAAUCUUAAUUGAAGUAUUUUUUAGAGCCUUAAAUACUGAUGUGAUUCUUCAAAUAAGUAAUAAAAUCUUAUUUAAAGAGUCUUUUGGUGAUGCUCUUACUAAUUCUAGCACGACGACUCGCGAAGCUAGUCUUAAUAGAGAUCAUAUCAAUGUUAAUGUCACGCUGAUAUUAAAGCAGUGAAAAUGAGCUGCGUACAAAAACAAGAUAAAAUAUUAACCCCCUUCUUGUUUGUUCAAAUAUAGCGAAAAACCCUAAAUAUUUCAAAAUCUAGCAAAAUCUCUUGUCUUCAGUAGUAUUAAUUAAUGUUUAAAAUUUAGAGUUAUCAUUUAAAAUGAGCCCAUGCCUUACUAUUUUUUACCUCCUCGACGUUGUCACGUGUACACCACCAAAUUGGGUGUUUAAAUUGUAUUAGUAGUUUUCAUUUAUUCAAUAAUUAACGAUAAAGUGGCCACUCCUCCCUUCUCGCUUAUAUGCUCCGUUAGUCUUUUGUCACCUAAUUCCCUUAAACUUGGAAUUGCUCUAAUCUUAACCCGAGGGAUGUGUCUGAGUCCAUUAUAUCCGCAUUUCUUUUGCAACAAAGCUGCUUAGCACAGUGCCUUAGGCCUCUUAGCUAAUAGCUAUUUACUAUUUAGACCAUUUGUAAAACUCUUCUUCCUGAACAGAUAGAAUGACCGACCUUGAAUUUUAUUAGAAACCUCAUUUUAUUAGAAACCUCAUUUUUUUUGUAAAUAUAUUUUUAUAAGUGUGAAGUAGCUCCAAUAAUGACUUAAUGUAAUGCGAGUAAACUGUAAUAUAUUUUUUUUUUAAAAAAAAGAAGGUUUGUAUUAUUUAGUUAUCAAAUAGUUAGGUUUCGGAGAAUUUUUUUUUCUUGGACAAAAGAAUUCUCAUUAAAUAAAAAAAAUAUAAAAAAUGAAAAACUAAGUGUUGUGAAAAAUCUUCCAUCAUUAUAAAACAACUACGGGAAUGAAUUGUAAAUUCAGCUAAAGCAGCUUCAAUACAAUUAGCUUAGGAGAAAAUUUUAAUCUCCAAAGAGUAUAUUAAUUACCAAAUAAACAGAAACACCAUUAAAAAUGUAAAUGAAUAAAAAAAGACAAAAUCUCUAAAUAUUUUAUGCUUUGUUAUAUAGUAGAGCAGGAACCUUACUAUGAGUCAUAAAUAAUUCUUACUUUAGAAUUUAUAAAUUUUAUAUUAAAAAAUAAUUUAUACACAAAUGACAGAAUAUAAGUCGUUGGUCCUUCAGCUGAGGUGAUAGGCCAGCUGAUAGAAGUUUUUCUCAUAAUGCAACUAAUAACUUUCCUCUUAGAUUAGAAUUCUUAGGUGGUGAUUGGUUGGGAGGAGAGAAUGUAGGAGAGAAAAGUAAUUUAAAUUUCUUUUUUAUUUUCAUUAUUUGGUUUGACAAAAUGUAUAAGAAUUUAAUUUUCAUUAGAAUUUAAUAUCCAUCACAAUGUAGAAUUUAAAUUCCACACUAAGUAAUGAAAAAUUUAAAUUUCUCUUAUAUUAGAAACUAAAAUUUUCAAAAUUAUCCUUCAUCUUUUUAACUUAUUUAAUGCCAUUAAUAAUUAUUAUUUAUGAUUUUAUUUUAUUAAUUUAAUAUUAUAAAUAGACCACCGUCAGAAAAUCGCUGGACCACCGUUGGAAAGUCGCCGGACCACCGCUGGACCACCGUCGGACCUCGCCGAAAUGUUGCCGGACCACCGUUGGACAUCGCCGGAAUGUUGCCGGACCUCUGCUGUCGGCCACCGGACCGCCAUUUUAUUUUUUAUAUAUAUUUUUUAUUACUAAUAUAAAUAGUUUAAUAUUUAAGAUAAAUAAUAAAUUUGUUAAAGAAAAAAAUUAUAAUUUAUUUUCUUAUCAAAUUUUAUAUCAAACCAAACAAUAAAAUUUAAUUUCACUACCAUUCUCCCUUCAUUUCUUCUCCCUUCCUCUCUAUUCCACUCUUUUUCUCUCUUCCCUUUUCUUCAAACCAAACAUGACCUAAAGAUAAAUUUAAAACUGAGGUAGUUACAUUAUGUGAUAGAAAAGGUGGCAGAGUAUAAAGGGAUAAGUCAUCUCGUGAAAAACGUGUGAUCUAUGUAUUGUCGUAGAAAACGAGUAGUAGCUGGCUGUGAAGCGCAAUCCGAUAGUGAAAGUCUGAAGAAAAGGAGCGUUGUUGAUUGACGUUAUCGGUAAUAAACUAAUCUUGGACGCUAGACUUGGGCGUUGACGCCAAUCGCAACAAAAAGAGAGAAAAGAUUGAAAACGAAGUGAAAGGCUGAAAUCUUUCCUGCCUGACUCGAUAUCUUCAAUGAGGGGUCGGUAUUUUCGUGUUUGGUUUAGUUCAAAUCAACCAUUAGAAAUUUAUCGAAUUGAAAGUUAGGGACUUUGCUAGCUUACAGAAUCUGUAAGCUACAGACUGCAGCAUCAUCUGUAAGCUACAGACUGCAGCAUCAGCGUUGGAUGUGGAGUGAGAAAUUAAACAAUAGAAAAUGAGAUGGUGGAAAAUGUUAGUUACUGAGGCUGCACUGUUGACGGGUCCGAAAGUUAGAAGUAGAUCGGGUUAAAAUUAAGUUUACAAAACUGAUUGGCCCAAACCCUUUGAUUUCCAUCUGAAUAGUAACAAGUUAAGUGAUGUCAAAAAUCUUCCAUCAUUACAAAACAGAUACAAAAAUAAAGUUCAAACUUAGAUAAAGCAUUUAUAAUAUGAGUAAAAUUAUGGUACAACUGUGUUACUAUAUUAUAAUUUAUCCAACCGUUAGAUCUAAUUAUAAUUAUUAUCAUAAAUUAGAUCUAACAGAUGGAAGCAACUAUAAUAUAAUACUACAGUUGCACCAUAAUCGGUCCCCUAUAAUUUUAUUAUAACUGGCUUAAGAGAAGAUCUUAAAUCUUGAUCAGCAUAAUAAUUAUUAAAUAAAACAAAGAAACACCCAAAAAAAAUAAAGAUAAAGAAUCUUUGAAUCCAUAAUUCAUUAAUUAUCAAGUAGUCAUGUGUGAGAUUGUCCACCACAGAUAUACUAAUGUGAUGAGACCGGCCAUCAAUGUUCUGAUAUCUGGCAGAUCAAUGAUUGUUGUGAAAAUUUUAAUAUACUCGCAAGCGCACGAAUCUAGAAAUAGAGUAGUGGUAACGAGGUCGAUCCCACAGGGAUUGAUAAAAAGUCUAAUUUAAAUCUAAAAUUAAUAUUACUCCUAACCUAGUUGAGCAAAUUGAGUUUUUAAGAAAAUUAAACCAAUUAAACUAAGGAAGCAAUUAAAAUAAAAGAGAAUUCAAUAAGAUAGAAAUUACCAAGGUUUCAGAAUCCACCACUAUUCAACUAGUAAUUAUCUAAUUAUUAAUUAAUCCCCAAUUUUAGAGUGACAACUCGAAAUCAAUCUAUGUCAUCUCAUAGAUAUAACAAUUAAGCCCAAGUAAUUAAAUCUAAUGUAGGUUCUUUUUCUGCUUAAUAAUAUGACAUCUAAGCCUCCCAUGUAAACAUAUUGAAUAACAAAGAGUCAAAGUUUUCCUAAGCACUCUAUGUAAACAAUUUAAUGAAAGACAUAAAAUCAAAGAUAAUCAUGUAUAAACUUUAUAGAUCCAAGCAUAGAAUUAAUCGAAUAUUAAUCCUAACAAUCAAUAAUGCAUGACAGAAUUGAUGAAAAGAUUUUAAUAACAUCCAAUUAAUCAUGUGAAAUAAAAACCAUAAUUAUCAAAGAACAUAUAUAGGGAAUUAAUUAAAUAAAAAGAGAUAAUUAUUUCAUUGAAUAGGGUUUCAUCCUUAACCUCAGUAUAAGAAAAUUAGCUAGACAUACUUGAAUUGGGAGCAACAAAAUAAAUAAAUUCAGCCAUGGGGAAGCCGAAAUAUUGCUGCUGAUUUUCUUCUCUGUCUUGAAUCCUUGCGUCUCCAGUUCCCUUCUUCCUCCCGUGGCCCUCUUGCCUUUAUAUAAUGUUACUGACUUGCUUAAUCCUUAUUGGAUUCUAAUUGCAUUAAUUCUUCUCCACCGACUUAUAAAGCCCACUCACCAAGGCCUUUUAAAAUUAUUUCCUUAUUAAACUUUGAAAGCAAAGCACACGUUUGACCACAAAAGCAAAAGGCCAAUUAAUGAUUUCUUCUUUUAAUGCCCAGCACAUGCAUUCCAAAUUGCCAAAUCUUUGCUUUCCAAAUGCAUGCCCACCGUUCAUCCUUUGAAGAGAUUGACUUCCAAUUUUGGUCUUCUUGACUUCCAUUAAUUCUUGGUUGCAUUUUUGUCUUCCAAUUUAAUCUUUAUUCCUUCUCAAUUUGAAGUGUUUUCAUGCCCUUUUUAUCAACAAUCUCCAAUUAAUUCCCUAUUCAAUAAAACAAUUCAAUUAAUUAAAAAUAAUAAAUAAAUAUAACUAGCAAUUAUAUUAUUAAGGGUAAAAUAUGUAUAUAAAUUAUGCUCAUCAAAUACCCCCAAACUUAGAUUUUGCUAGUCCUCGAGCAAAACUAAAAUUUAAAACAAAAACAAAAGUAACGAAACAAAAAGUAAAUCCUAACUAAACCACUUUCGCAGGUAAUCGCGAUUGCAUUUAGCGUAUGCAACAAGCCUUUAAACCCCUAGGCGGCCCUAGUGGACGAGUUAUAGUCUCGUGAGGGCUUCAGUGAUGAUACCCACAAACAUCAUUUUCCAAAGAAUUAAAAUAAAAAUAAAAUGAAAAGAACAAUAAGCUUUAAACAAAACAUGAAGAUAGCCUCAAAGAUUGCAUAAAUUAUAUAGCUCAAAGAAAAUUUCAAAGAUUGGCAAAGUUCUAACUUUAAUUCAAUAAUCAAUUCCAUCUCUCUUUCGAUUCUUGUAGUGUGUGUGUGAAAUCAAUUCAAUCAAAUCCAUUCCCAAAAUCCUCAACAUCAACAACCUUCGCCUCAAACAAAGAAAAGAGUAGGUCAAACUAAUCUUAUCAUCUUGAUCUCCAAUUUUUUUUUUCAGGCUUUUAUGUGCAUUUUCUUUUGAUUUUUUUUUUCAGCACAUGCACUUGAUUUGAUUUUUCUUUUUCUCUUUUUUUUUUCUUCUUUUUUUUUUUAUUAACCAUAGUCAGGAGCUUUCACUCUACCCCUUAAGGUAGCCUUCUUCUCAUGGUAGAUUAUCCUCUACAUACUUGUGGUACAUAGGCCCAAAUUACUCAAGGAUAGCUUCACUCUUAAGGGUUAUAGGUAGCUAUUUCUGACUUUGGCGCCCGUGUAUACUAUUUUGUAUUGUGGAGAUAAAAAUCAAGACAAACAGUCAUUUACUCUAUCUAAAAUUCUCAACUCAGGCUAUGUCAAUAUCAAAUUUCAAGUCAAAAUUACAAAAGAAUUGAUAUUAGUGCUCAGGGUUUAAAAAAUCUCAAUCAAGAGGAACUAACACAAGAAUCAAGUAUAAACUAAGACAAUAUUCAACCCUUUUUAAGAACCAUAUUCAUUGUCAAUCAAAUUCUUAUCAUUGGCUUUUCACAUAAAAACAAAAAAACAACAAAAUUUUUUUUUUUUUUUUUUUAACAAACAAAGCACACACUAUUCCCACCCCCAAACUUAUUCAGAACAUUGUCCUCAAUGUUUCACAAACAAAAGAUAUGCAUGCAAACAAAUGAAAAAAAAAAUAAUAAUAAUAAAAACAUAAAUAAUAAAAAGAAAGUUGGAGAGAACACACCUGAAUGGGCUGGGAAAGCUUAAAAGAAAAUACCAAAUGAAAAGAAAACAUUAGAAAAGAAAAAUACUAGAAAAGAAAAGAAAACCUACUAUUAAAAUAAAACAAGAGUGCAAAGAUGAACUUAAUUAAUCCUGAUAAACAGGAUCAUCUAAAAGUAUCUCCUCAACUUCUGGUGUUCUUAAUUCUAAAAAUGGUUUUAAUCUUUGACCAUUCACCUUAAAUAAAUCACCAUUUUUAGGAUUUUCAAUUUCAAUUGCUCCAUAAGGGAAGAUAGUACGAACUAUAAAAGGACCAGACCAUCGAGAAUGUAACUUACCUGGAAAGAGAUGCAAUCGGGAAUUAUAUAAAAGUACUUUCUGACCUGGUGUAAAGGCUUUUCUCAAAAUAUGUUUGUCAUGAAAGACUUUCAUUCGCUGUUUAUAAAUCUUGGCAUUCUCAUAUGCAUCAUUCCUGAUCUCUUCAAGUUCUGCUAGUUGUAAUCUUCUCUUGGACCCAGCUUGCUGCAUGUCAAAAUUGAAUUUCUUGAUCGCCCAAUAUGCACGAUGCUCCAACUCUACUGGCAGAUGACAUGCUUUUCCAUACACAAGUCGAUAAGGUGACAUCCCAAUUGGUGUUUUAAAAGCAGUCCUAUAUGCCCACAAUGCAUCAUCAAGUCUCAAAGACCAAUCCUUUCUAUCUGGCCUAACUGUUUUCUCUAGAAUCUGCUUGAUCUCUCUAUUAGAAAUCUCUACUUGGCCACUGGUUUGAGGAUGGUAUGGGGUGGCAACCUUAUGUGUAAUGGAAUAUUUGUCCAAAAGAGUUUUGAAAGGUUUAUUACAAAAAUGGGUACCACCAUCACUAAUGAUUGUUCUAGGAAAACCAAAACGAGACAGAAUAUUACUCUUCAAGAAUUUCACUACAACCCUAUGAUCAUUGGUUUUGCAUGGAAUAGCUUCAACCCACUUCGACACAUAGUCCACUGCAACCAAUAUAUAUUGAUAACCAAAAGAUGGAGGGAAAGGUCCCAUGAAAUCAAUACCCCAUACAUCGAAGAUCUCAACCACAAGAAUAGGAUUGAGUGGCAUCAUGUUCCUCUUUGAAAUGCUACCCAUACGUUGGCACCUAUCACACAAAGAACAGAAAAUAUAAGCGUCAUGAAAAAGAGUAGGCCAAUAAAAACCACACUGUAAAAUUUUUGUUGCUGUCUUUUUAGCACUAAAGUGGCCUCCACAAGCUUGUUCAUGACAAAAUGAGAUAACACUUUGAAUUUCAUUAUCGGGAACACAUCGCCUAAUAAUCUAAUCAGCACAAUAUUUAAAUAAAUAGGGAUCAUCCCAAAAGAAGUCUUUCACUCUAGAUAAGAACUUUGUUCUAUCUUGCUUAGUCCAGUGCUCUGGGAUUUGACCUGUAGCAAGGUAAUUAACUAUAUCAGCAAACCAUGGUACAACAUUUACACUCAUAAGUUGCUCAUCUGGGAAAGACUCAUUCAAAGGUAAAGAUUCUGGAAUAAAUUUAAGAUCAAGGCGAGAUAAAUGAUCCGCCACAACAUUUUCAGAACCUUUUUUAUCUCUAAAUUCAAUGUCAAAUUCUUGUAAAAGCAACACCCAACGAAUCAAUCUUGCCUUAGCAUCUUUCUUAGUAAACAAAUAUUUUAAAGCAGCAUGAUCAGUAAAAAUAAUCACUUUACAACCUAUAAGAUAAGAUCUGAAUUUAUCAAGUGCAAAUACCACAGCUAGCAUUUCUUUUUCUGUAGUUGAAUAGUUCAACUGUGCAUCAUUGAGUGUCAUACUAGCAUAAUAAAUCACAUAAGGCACACGAUCUAAUCUUUGUCCUAAAACUGCUCCUACAGCAUAAUCAGAUGCAUCACACAUAAUUUCAAAAGGCAAAUCCCAAUUAGGUGGCUGAAUGAUAGGUGAAGAAGUCAAUAAUUUCUUAAGCUUUGCAAAAGCAUCAAGACAAGAUUCAUCAAAGAUAAAAGGUGCAUCCUUAACAAGUAAAUUGCAUAAGGGUCUAGAAAUUUUACUAAAAUCUUUAAUGAAUCUUCUAUAAAAACCAGCAUGUCCAAGGAAAGAUCUUACUUCUUUUACGGAUUUGGGAUGUGGAAGAUUAGAAAUUAAAUCCACCUUAGCUUUGUCGACUUCUAUACCUUUGCUGGAAAUUAUAUGACCAAGAACAAUACCUUGUUUUACCAUGAAGUGACAUUUUUCCCAAUUUAGAACUAAGUUCUUUUCUUUACAUCUCUGCAAAACUAAUGUUAGAUGCUGCAAACAUUCAUUAAAAGAAUCUCCAUAAACAGAAAAAUCAUCCAUGAAUACUUCAAGAAAUCUCUCAACCAUAUCAGAAAAAAUGCUAAGCAUGCAUCUUUGAAAAGUAGCAGGUGCAUUGCAUAAACCAAAUGGCAUUCUCCUAUAUGCAAAAGUUCCAAAUGGACAAGUAAAAGUAGUUUUCUCCUGGUCCUCUGGAGCUAUAGGGAUCUGAUUAUAACCUGAAUAUCCAUCUAGAAAACAAUAAAAAUCAUGACCUGCAAGUCUAUCAAGCAUUUGAUCAAUAAAUGGAAGAGGAAAAUGAUCUUUUCUUGUGAAUGAAUUUAAUUUUCUAUAAUCAAUGCAAACACGCCAACCUGUAGUUACUCUAGUGGGAAUUAAUUCAUUAUUAGCAUUAGUAACUACUGUAACACCAGAUUUCUUAGGAACAACUUGCACAGGGCUAACCCAAGAGCUAUCUGAAAUAGGAUAAAUAAUUCCUGCAUCUAAUAAUUUGAUUACUUCAGCUCUUACCACUUCUUUCAUGUUAGGAUUUAGCCUACGUUGCAUUUCCCUAAUAGGUUUAGCAUUUUCUUCAAGAUGAAUACGAUGCAUGCAAUCUACUGGAUUAAUACCUUUAAUAUCAGCAAUGGUCCAUCCUAUUGCCUCCUUAUGCUCUUUUAGAAUACCUAACAACUUACCUUUUUGCUCAAGAUCGAGGGAAGAAGAAAUAAUAAUAGGUAGAGUGUCAGAUUCUCCCAAGAAUGCAUAUUCCAAAGUGUCGGGCAGUGCUUUGAGUUCCAAUUUUGGUGGUGCCUCCGCAGAUGGGCCAAUUUUCUUCUCAGAAUGAGGCAGUAAUUCUGACUUUGCCUUCCAUUUAGUUGUGUCCGUAAUUGGAGGUGCAUCAAGUAAAGCGCUGACUUCUGCAAUUGCACUGUCAUCAUUAAAAGAUAAAUCAGGAUGAGUUAGACAUGCCUCUAAUGGAUCAUCAGUAUGGUUAGAAAUGAAUGAAUCUUCUACUAAUUCCUCUAUCAUAUUUGCUUCAACAAAUUCAUCUUCUUCUUGUGGCUGCUUGGUAACAUUAAAAAUAUUCAAUUCCAUGGUCAUAUUACCAAAAGAUAGCUGCAUAUUUCCAUUCCUGCAAUUAAUAAGAGCAUCAGCUGUAGCUAAGAAAGGACGACCUAGAAUAACUGGGGUGUGUUUCUUAGGAUCAUGUACAUGCUGAGUAUCAAUAACAAUAAAAUCAACAGGAUAAUAAAAUUUAUCAAUCUGUAUCAACACAUCCUCUAUAAUACCGCGAGGUAUUUUCAUUGAUCUAUCAGCAAGUUGCAAAAUAAUAGGAGUUGAUUUUAACUCACCUAAUCCAAGUUGCAUGUAAACAGAAUAAGGCAAGAGAUUAACACUAGCACCCAAAUCCAAUAAUGCUUUAUCAAAACAUUGGUUUCCUAUAACACAUGAGAUAGUAGGAGAACCUGGAUCCUUAAAUUUUGGUGGCAUUUUACAUUGGAGUAAGUUGCUAGUUUGUUCAGUUAAAAAUGCCUUUUUAGUGACAUGUAAAUUUCUCUUUUUCGUGCAUAAAUCUUUUAAAAACUUUGCAUAUGAAGGAACUUGCUUAAUAGCAUCGAGUAAAGGGAUGUUUAUACUUACCUGUUUGAAUAUUUCCAUAAUCUCACCUGUUGAAGUCCCUUUCUUUACCUUUGUUAACCUUUGAGGAAAAGGAGCCUUGCGAAUGUAAGCUGGCGGGCCACUCUCUUCUGGAUCAUUUGUUGACGACUCUUGUGAUGGAACUGGAUCUGAAGAAGUAGGCUCAGAUAUCUUCCUUGUUGGAACCUCCACUUUGUUGUCAAAUAAUUUUCCUUUUCUCAAGGUCAUAACAGAUUUUGCUUCUUCAUGCAGAUGGCUUGAACUCGAUCCAACUUCAUGCACUCCUUUAGGAUUGGGAAUUGGUUGACUUGGGAAUUUUCCUUUUUCUCUCUCCGCUACAGUAGUUGCUAAUUGACCCAAUUGAUGUUCAAGCUUCAGAAUAGCUUGAGUAUUUGAUUGAAAAGCUUGUUGGGUUGACUGAAUGAAACUUUGAAGUGUAUCCUCUAAAGAAGGCUUUCUUUGUUGGGGUGCAACAAAUUGAGACAUAGGUUGUUGGGCAUGAGGAUAUACUUGGUUAGGAGGGACAAAUUGUUGAUUGGGCAUGUUAAAUUGUUGCCCUCCUUGGUUUGACAAAGGUUGAUUUUGUUUCCAAGAAAAAUUAGGGUGAUUCCUCCAAUUAGGAUUAUAUGUGGAUGAAUAUGGACUAUUGGAGGUUUUCUCAUAUGAUUGUAAGCCAUGUACCUGCUCAGAAUAAGCAUCUGGAUAGACUGGUAAUGAUGGACAAUUUUGUGCUGUAUGAGACAAGUUAGAACAAAUAGCACAAACCUCAUUAGCUACACUAGGAUGAUGAUUUAUAGAUUGGUUCAUAACUAAGGCAUCUACUUUCCUAGAAAGUGUAGCUAGAGUGGAUUUCAUAUCUAAAUCAUCCUUAACUUCAUAUAGCCCCUUUCUAGAAACUUGAGAUGAUUUUUCCCUUUGAUUUGAAAAAUCCCACUGUUGAGAAUUUUCAGAAAGUGAAUUAAAGAAAUCCCAUGCUGCCCCUUCAUGUAAGUUCAAAAAUCUCCCACCAUUCAUAGACUCUACCAUAUGACGAUUUGACAUGGUUAAGCCAUUAUAAAAGCAUUGUAUAAGUCUCCAUUUUUCAAAACCAUGGUGGGGACACUUGAGGAGUAAAUCAUUGAAUCUUUCCCAACACUCGUAAAAUUGCUCACUCUCUCUUUGAUAAAAAUCACUUAUCUCUCUCCUAAGGGCAUUUGUUUUAGACAUAGGGAAAAACUUGGUGAGAAACUUAUUACUCAAUUCAUCCCAUGUACUAAUAGACCCAGCAGGAAGUGAAUUCAACCAAGCUUUUGCUUUGUCUUUUAAUGAGAAAGGGAACAUACGAAGCCUAAUUGACUCAUCAUUAAAAUUUUGAAAACGAAAUGUAGAGCAUAUGUCAAGAAAUUCCUUAAUGUGCAAAUAUGGAUCCUCUCUCUCUAACCCAUGGAAGGAUGGCAAAAGUUGAAUGACAGAGGGCUUAAGUUCAAAGUGUGUUGCUGUAGUUUGUGGCAACACAAUACAAGAUGGUUGGUUGGCUGCAAGUGGUGAAAAAUAUUCUCUAAGGGUUUUCUCUGCUUGCGCUGGUGGGAGUAUUGGCAAUAGUCUAUUUGGGUCAUCCAUCACUUCUAAAGAACUAGUUUGACUACUAUCAAUUUUCGACUCUCUUUUAACCAAACGAUUUGUUGAAUCACGUUCCCAAACACUCAUAAACUAACUAGACAAGGAAAGAAAGAGAAAUAAAAUAAAAUAAACCAACAAAAAUGAGAAUAAACGAAAUUUAAAAAUAAAAGAAAUCAAACAACCAAACAAUGAAUUUAAAAUAAAAUAAAAUUAAAAUUAAAAUUAAAAGUUUUUUUUUUGUGUUUUUUUUUAAAAUAAAAAUUGAAUAAAUAAAAUAAAAGACAACCUAAAUUAUAACUAGUGGAAGAAUCAAAUUAACCUAGAUUAAACUGACUUUCUAGCACAAUCCCCGGCAACGGCGCCAAAAACUUGUUGUGAAAAUUUUAAUAUACUCGCAAGCGCACGAAUCUAGAAAUAGAGUAGUGGUAACGAGGUCGAUCCCACAGGGAUUGAUAAAAAGUCUAAUUUAAAUCUAAAAUUAAUAUUACUCCUAACCUAGUUGAGCAAAUUGAGUUUUUAAGAAAAUUAAACCAAUUAAACUAAGGAAGCAAUUAAAAUAAAAGAGAAUUCAAUAAGAUAGAAAUUACCAAGGUUUCAGAAUCCACCACUAUUCAACUAGUAAUUAUCUAAUUAUUAAUUAAUCCCCAAUUUUAGAGUGACAACUCGAAAUCAAUCUAUGUCAUCUCAUAGAUAUAACAAUUAAGCCCAAGUAAUUAAAUCUAAUGUAGGUUCUUUUUCUGCUUAAUAAUAUGACAUCUAAGCCUCCCAUGUAAACAUAUUGAAUAACAAAGAGUCAAAGUUUUCCUAAGCACUCUAUGUAAACAAUUUAAUGAAAGACAUAAAAUCAAAGAUAAUCAUGUAUAAACUUUAUAGAUCCAAGCAUAGAAUUAAUCGAAUAUUAAUCCUAACAAUCAAUAAUGCAUGACAGAAUUGAUGAAAAGAUUUUAAUAACAUCCAAUUAAUCAUGUGAAAUAAAAACCAUAAUUAUCAAAGAACAUAUAUAGGGAAUUAAUUAAAUAAAAAGAGAUAAUUAUUUCAUUGAAUAGGGUUUCAUCCUUAACCUCAGUAUAAGAAAAUUAGCUAGACAUACUUGAAUUGGGAGCAACAAAAUAAAUAAAUUCAGCCAUGGGGAAGCCGAAAUAUUGCUGCUGAUUUUCUUCUCUGUCUUGAAUCCUUGCGUCUCCAGUUCCCUUCUUCCUCCCGUGGCCCUCUUGCCUUUAUAUAAUGUUACUGACUUGCUUAAUCCUUAUUGGAUUCUAAUUGCAUUAAUUCUUCUCCACCGACUUAUAAAGCCCACUCACCAAGGCCUUUUAAAAUUAUUUCCUUAUUAAACUUUGAAAGCAAAGCACACGUUUGACCACAAAAGCAAAAGGCCAAUUAAUGAUUUCUUCUUUUAAUGCCCAGCACAUGCAUUCCAAAUUGCCAAAUCUUUGCUUUCCAAAUGCAUGCCCACCGUUCAUCCUUUGAAGAGAUUGACUUCCAAUUUUGGUCUUCUUGACUUCCAUUAAUUCUUGGUUGCAUUUUUGUCUUCCAAUUUAAUCUUUAUUCCUUCUCAAUUUGAAGUGUUUUCAUGCCCUUUUUAUCAACAAUCUCCAAUUAAUUCCCUAUUCAAUAAAACAAUUCAAUUAAUUAAAAAUAAUAAAUAAAUAUAACUAGCAAUUAUAUUAUUAAAGGUAAAAUAUGUAUAUAAAUUAUGCUCAUCAAUGAUCUAACUUUAUAAUCUACAAAUAAAGUUCUUUAAAGACAAACUCAAAAGAGAGGUCGUUACAUUAUGUGGUAGAAAAUGUGGCCAAGUGCAAAGUGCAUAGUGACAAACUUGUCCGGUCUAUGGAUUGUCGUGGGAUAGCCUAUAAAUGGGAGGCCAAGUCUAGCAUUGUCGCUGUAAAGCGAAGCCCGGCAGUGAAAGAAAACGUAUUCAAAAAGCUCCACUUGUUAUGUAAAAUCUCAGUUAGCAACUUUUUCAUUACUGCCCUCCAGCUUUAGCUAAAUUAGGUAAGAUUGUAGUAAUAAUUUCCACGUUAGCCAAUCGAGCCCAAUAAAUUCCCCUGCCUCAACACAGCAACACUGUACGCAGUAUGUAAAUAAAACAUCAUCGCAUUCACAACCAUGAAGCCUAAUUUGUACGAGGCUGCAUCUACGGGUAAAAUUGAACCCUUCGAGGAAACUGCAAAAGAUGAACUUGGGAGCAUAGUAACUUACAGAAAGAAUACAGUCCUGCACGUCAACAUUACAUCCCAGGCACAGAAUGGAGAAGCAGAAAGUGUAUCAACCGAGUUCGUGAAACGGAUACUUGAAAUGUGUCCAUCGUUACUGGUACAAGUUAAUGCCAAAGGUGAUGCUCCACUCCAUCUUGCGGCCAAGUAUGGGCAUGCUGCUGUUCUGGACUUUCUGAUUGAAUUCGCGAAAAAACAGCCAAAAGAGCUAGAAAGCGAUGUCGAAACCGUACGGCACAUGCUAGGAAUGACAAAUGACGAUAAAAACACAGCGUUGCACGAGGCAGUGCAACAUCAACAUCAGCGUACUAGCUUGGAUGUUGUGAGAAUGUUAAUGAAAGCAGACCCUGAUGUUCCGUAUUCUCCAAAUGGUCGCUGCGAAACUCCACUUUACAUGGCAGCCGCGAGAGGAUCUAGGGUGAUCGUAGCUGAAAUAUUAAAAUCCUGCCCAUCAGCUGCCCAUGAAGGCCCCAAUGGAAGGACUGCCCUGCAUGCCGCAGUAAGAAGCUAUGCUGCCACUGAUAUUUCUGCUUCAAAUUUACAGCGUACUGCCCUUAAACCUAUUAAAAAUGUAUAGUUAAUUUCACAAAUUAACCAUAAUUCUGCAUAAAAAAUCUUGAAAAUUUUUUCCGAGGAAAUUAUAUAGUUGAGAUUGAGAUUUUGACCAAUGAUCAGGUGAUCGACUAUAUAUGUAUCCUCUGUAAGCUUACACAUCUGGUUGCUCAUUAAUUAACAAUUUUAGCGAGCAAUUCAAGGUUAAUUACCAUUAAUGUGCAUGCUUUAGAUAUAGAAUUCGUUAAUUAAUUAAUUAUUUUAUUUUAUUUAAGAUAUGACGAAACUGUUUCUUGACGAAAAGAAAGAUUUGGCUAGAGCAAGAGACCAUCAUGGUUGGACUGCACUCCACCAUGCUGCGUAUUUUGGUGCCGAAAGCAUCCCAAAACUGUUAUUAGAAUCCAAUACAUCUGUUGCGUAUAUUGCGGACAAUGAUCGGAAGAUGACAGCUCUUCAUUUAGCCGCCGGCCGAGGGAAAUUCCAGGCAGUGGAAGAAAUUAUUUCCUGUUGUCCAGAUUGUUGUGAACUGGUAGAUGACAACGGGUGGAAUGUUCUUCACUUUGCUAUGGUUAGUUUUUAUGCUAGACAAUUGGCGCGUCUGCUGGACAAAUUUCCGAUAGUCAGAAGUCUUAUAAAUGACAAGGACGUGAAGGGGAACACUCCUCUUCACGUGCUUGCUGCUGUCUGUCCAGACUCAGCCAGUAUCUCUUACGUUUCCGUAAUCUGCCUGGUAAAAGUUAUUAUGAGGCUAUCAACAAGCAGAAUAUUAGUGUUCAACACAUAGCAAAUUACGGAUAUCCUGAGCUAGAGGUAAUUCCCUCUUUAGUUAUCAUCAAUGUUCUCGAAAGAGAAUAUAUAUAUAUAUAUAUAUAUAUAUAUAUAUAAGGCAAAUCAAUUAUCCAUGUCAUCUAAUCUUUCACCUUUUAUUAUUCUCUAAUUUAAAGGCUCAAAAUUCAUGUAACAUUGCGUCUAAAAAGUUAGCAUGCUGAUCCUGCCCUUAGCCAAGCACUUCUUACAGCUCGCACUUCCGUGGCGUAUGGAGCUUGCCAUUUGGGCAGAAUAAGUGGGUCCAAUGGGAUCCAUCAACUUUAAAUUAUCAAAUUUUUCGAAAUAAAUUGGUGAUCUAGUCCGAUCCUAUAAUGGGACUAGCUUGACCUCUCCAAAUGACAGGUUGUGAUUAGUCGGUCUCAUCACUUUAACAAGUUUUUCUCAUUAAUUAAAAGCAUCUCUUACCAACUCUUGAUGCUAAAGCUUGUCUCUCUCUCUCUCUCGCUAUGUUUUCAUAUAUCCUCUUUAGUUAAAAUUAAUCGAUUUCUUAUUUUUUGUCUCAGCUUGUUUGUAUAACGGUGUGUGGUGGCCAAAACCGAAAUCAGUUUCUAGCCCUCUAUUUCUUUUAUGAUUUAAUCUCAAAUGGCAAGUGAAAAAGAAAAAACUAUUUGAAAACCACUCAAUUAAGGUGAAUAAUUAAAAUUAGAAGACUGUUUUUCAGGUUCCACAAACACUAUAGAGAAGGAGAAUGCUUCUCAACCAAGUUCAUGGAACGCAUACUUGAAACGCGUUCAUCAUUGCUGCUAUGACGAAGGUGAUGCUCCACUCCAUGUUGCGGCCAAAUGGGGGCAUGCCCGCGGUGUGGAAAGCACAGCAAGGCGAAUGCUAGGAAUGACAAAUGGUGAAAAAAAUUAAAAAAACGCAGCAUUGCACGAGGAAGUGCCAUGUCGUAACUCGUAAUGGCCUCAAUCUGUGAAAAAUUUAUUGAAAGCAGACACUGAUUUUCCGUAUUCUGCUAAUGGUAGAGGCGAAACUCCCCUUUACAUAGCUGCCGCGAGUGGAAAUGACAAUAUGGUAGCUGAAAUAUUAGAAAACUGCCCAUCGAGGCCCCAGUGGAAAGACUGCCCUUCAUGCAGCAACCACCACUUAAUCAGAUGCCGCUUAAUUAUAUAUCUUGUUAUCCACUUCAAAUAUAAAGAUGCCUAUAUGUACAAUAGCUAUGAAUUAAAUCUGUAUUUAAAUGCAUCUUGUUUAACGUCUGUAUGAAUAUUAAUUAAUGUUGUUACUUUUACAAUUCUAUCUUUCCGAAUUGACUGUGCUUCAUAUAAUUAUGUAUUUAGUUGGCUGUUUAUUAUUAUUAAUUUUUUAUUAGGCGUUACAAAAAAUUUACUUGAGAAAAAAAAGAAGAGUUUGACCAGAUAAAGAGACCAAGACGGUUGGAUCGUUGGCCCCCACUUCACUACGCUACGUAUUUUGGUCGGAGUAUCAUCGCAGAGUUGGUAAUAAAACUUGAUAAAUCUCUUGCGUUCAUUGUAGACAAGAGCUGACAGCUCUUCAUUUAGCAGCCGGUCAAGGGAGUUUUGCCCAUUUUGAUAUUAAAUUCGGCCAGCUUACAAAUUAUAAUAUUUAAAUUAUUUGGUAAAUAAUGAUUGAUGUAUUUUAAAAAUUAAAUUAAGUUAAUUAAUUAUUUAUAUAAUAAAAAAAUUAUAAUAUCUUUAUUUUUUUAAUUAAAAUUUUUAUUUAAAAAUCAUAUUUACUACCCACUACUAAUUUUUAUUUCAUAAUUAUAAUUUUUUACCAUAACAACAUAAACUUAAAAGUGUACAGCAUCCAAAUUGUCCAAUACCAACCAUGGCUUCCGCCGUAGUGGAUGAUAUUAUUUCCUAUUGUUAAGAUGUUGUGAAUUGAUUUAUGAAAGAGGAUGGAAUGUUCUUCACUAAUAGAGAAUUGAAAUAUGACAAAUAUAGGAUAGUUAGAAAUCUUAUAAGGCAAUUCCUAAGUUACGUUUAACGUAACAUACAAUCUGAAAAAUUUUAUCCGUUCAAAGUUCUAAAAUCUAAUCCAAUUGCUAGUGUUUAAUUUGUCCAAAAGCUGUAAAGGACGGAAACCGGCUGAAUUGGUGUGCCCAUUUGACAAUCUUCUCUUCCUCUCCAGUCUCCACUAACAUUUUCUUGCUCCUUUAUUGCCUUUUGCAGCAUCUUUUCCUGCUCUUUAACACAAAAAAAAUUUAAAUCCGACAAGAACUCAUCUUUCUUUACAAGCAAAUCAAGAUCAUCACCAAGAAUUAGACUUUUCUUGUUCUUUUUCUUCGAAGCACUCUUUGGAGAACAUAAAAAACAGCCCUUUCUCUGAGGUGGAGACAGCGGAGAAGAAGGUGAAUCCAUCCAUGAACUCGGAGAACUCAACGACGAAGAAAAUGAGUUAGAUUUCGACUUCAACUUUGAUUUCGAGGAAACAACGACAAUAGGAACAGAAGCAAAAACAAACCCACACCUGGAAUUUUCUUUAAAGUCGAUUUUUUAAUCUGGGUUCUAUUUGGACUCAAAGAAAAUGGCAAAGGAGGAGAGGAAUCACAACUAGAAACUGAUUUUGCAGUCUCCAAGCCGAGUUUCCCAUAUGGGUUUUAUUUGGAAUAAAAAAAACUCUUAACUUUAAAGUUGGAUUUGAAUAAUGAUGAUGAAGAGAUUGUGUGUGUUUUUCGGUGUGACGAUGAUGAUUAUCAUUGAUGUGAGUUUUGGGUUUGGCAGUAGCUGGAAAAGAUUUGAGCCUGCAAAAUUGGGAUUCUAACUUAAUGGGAAGGAUUGAGUCGUCGGAGAAACCAGAAAAGUUGACGGCAGAGACAACCACCUGUAGAAGGGUGUUGCCUGCGUUGACUUCUUUUGAUGACCGACUUCCAACCACUUAAAUCAGUAUUAUUUUAUUAUUGUUAUGUUUACCUGGCAUAUAAUUAUUGGUCAACUAGUCAUGUCAUCAGCUAUAUGUUACGUUUAACGUAACUUAGAGGGAUCCAUCUUAAAAAUGACAAGAACGGGAACACUCCUCUCCAUGUACUUGAUGCUCUCUGUCGACAAUCAUCCUGUAGCAAAAUAGUACUGCUGAACACAUAACACGUUAUUGAUUCACGACCGAGGUAAUUAAUUGCCUUUUUACUAUUAAUAUUUCAAAGACGACAAAUUUAUUCUUAUAUCAUCUCAUCAAGAACUCAUAGCAACAAACAUGAUUAAUAUAUUAUAGUAUAGCAAGAAAUCUGAGAAAGCUGAUGGCCGUAAAAAAUAUCCAAAAGGUGUCAUCAAAAUGAAGGAAGACAAAAUUUUAAAAGUUUUCGCAUUGCAAGUAUGUAGAUGAAUAUGUCGUUGGAACGAAACAAGCAAGAGAUCGUCACAUUUGGGUGUGGUAGCAUUGAUUGCAACAGUAACAGGGGCACUGCAAUUCUCACUUAAAAAUGAAACUUUUCAAGCAUUUGUUGUAUCAGACGCCAUAACCAAGGUCUUGUUACUUUCUGCCAUCUUUGUCCCUCUUCAUUAUGUCAGAUAGAGAUGGCCAAUGGGCUGGGCGGCACAUGGCACGGCACGUGUCCGUAUAGCACGGCGCAGCACAAGCACGUUUCAGUGGGGUAUGCGAUAUGACACGGCACGCACACAGGCUGAGCUGGGCUUAGAAUUUUAGCCUUGCGAGCCUUGAAAGCACAAUACGAUUAGAGAUGGGCUAAAACACAGCACGAGAAAGGGCAUAAGCAAGUUUAACUUUUUUGUGGAAGUGAAGUAAAAAUUUUAUGAUUUUACAAAUAAUUUGAAAUUGAAUCUUUUUAAUAUAUUUUAUUAGCACAAGUUUUAUAAAUAUAUAUUAAUAUUAUUAUGGACUAUGAUCUAUAACUUUAUAUAAGUCAAAGUUAACAAGUUAAUCCUUAAAAAAAAUUUAUUAUUGUUGUUGUUAAGUAUUGCAAAGGAAUUUUAAUACCGUAGGGUCUAACUUAAUAAUUAUUAUUACAUUCUCUUACUAUUAUUAAUUUAUUAUUAUUGAAUAUAGACUUAUACUUUGAAUUUUUAAUUCUAUUGAAUUUGACUAAAGACACAUAGAACAAAAAAAGUAUAUAGGCUUGAAAAAAGUAUGCCAACAACUUGGUAUGCCCUCUUAAAAAAAAAAAGUUUGUCAUGUUAUUUUUUUUAGGCACGACAUGGCGCACGGGACGCCACUUGUGGGUAAGCCACAAGUGGGCAUAACACAUGUGCUAGAUUGAGUCUGAGUAAAAAAAAUUGGGCACAACACAAAGCACAUAUUGGCACGGAACGACAUGAGUAUGAGCAUGCAUAGGCAUUCUUUUGAUGGCCAGCCUGACCCAUUGGCCAUCUCUACUAUCAGUUAAUUAGUUAUCUCCUUUCGUUUACCUUGGUUACCACAGUAGCAAUGGUGGUAGCAUUUGUUCCAGGCACGUCCGCAAUAUUGGCACCUGCUUUAGGACUCGCCACUGUCACUUGUAUCAUUGGCUUUGUCGUGACCUAACCCAAACCUGAUAAGAUAUUGUCCGCUUUGGGCAUUCACAAAGCUCGCACUGUUUUGUUCCUGGGGCACUCAAACACCCCAGGAACAAAACCGUGUGGGUCUUACUAAAACCCAAAGCGGACAAUAUCUUACCAUGUCUGGGUUGGGUCAUGACAGGUUUCGUCAGAAACCUUGUUUCUUUUAUCAAUCAACUUUAAAUGUUUUCGUUUCGUCAUAAUGAGUGUCAGCUAUUGCAAUGGCUAAAGUUUCUUCUUAAUCUAGUUACGUAUAGCUCAUAUAAGCUUCUUCUUUUGUGUUGCGCUAUUAGAGGAUUAAGUGCAAACACAACAUCUUUCUCAAUCUUUGGGUUCUUGUCAAGGGUAAUUUUUAGGGACCUCCUAUGAGGUUUAGUGUAUUGAUAGUUUGAUAGAAAGUAUUCACGUAAUUACAGGGACCUCUCCCGACGUUAGUGUUCCAUUACGUGGAUCGUUAGAUGACUAUUCAUAUUUCAAAAAUACCCUUACCUCAAAAAUACCCUUACCGCUAAAAUAUAUCUUUAUUAAUAUGAUAAACUGAUGGGUAAUAGAAUUCACACCAAAAUACCCAAUGGAUAAAAAAAAAAUUACAUUGCAUAGCUAAAAUAAAAUUGAUAUUGUGCUCCCAAUAUUACUAUUGUAAAUAUACGGUAAUAUGUUCAGCAGCAACACCUAUAAAUAGAUCCUUUUGUAGGCUUAAUAAAUCACCAUAGCACACUUUUUCUUCUUCUUCUUCUUCUUCUUCUUCUUCUUCUUCUUCUUCCUCAUCUUCUUCUUUUUAAAAAUUCUUAAAAUCUCUUGUGCUGUAAUUUUUCAAACUCAUGACCGAUUUAGUUCAACUCAUCAACACAAUCAUUAAAAAAAAUCAAGCUUAAACACUGCCUGAAAGCCCUAAAUUCUCAAAGCUCUAAUAUAUCAUGCACAUCAACCAUUGAUUGAAUUCAUAGGCUAUCUUUUUUAUUUUAUUCUCCAAUUUGAAGAAAAAUAAACUUGCCAUAUUUCUUUAGCAUAUGUCAUUUCCGUGUUUGUUCUUAUGAAACCUUGUUUUCUGAUUAGAGGACACAACAGAUUUGUCAACUGAAAAUAUAAAGCAUAAGCUUCGUUUACAGGCUAUGGAACAAGAAGCUCAAUUACAUGAUGCUAAGUUUAUUAUAUGCCUGGUUUUAUUAUUAUCGUUACAGUCACUUUCCCAUAGUUGGCAUGUCAAGUUAUCCAAAUUCUAGCAGCCCCCAUGAUAAAGCAAACUUUUUGUUUUGUUAAUUAGAACACCGAUUCCUAAAUAAAAAAAAAAAAACAAAACAAUAUCCAAGAGUUGGCUUGCACAAGUCAUGCCCACUAUAUGGCCUAUGCUCAUAAUUCAUAAAGUGGAGUCCCAUCCCUUCAAAAAAUCAAAAUCCAUAUAUAUAUAUAUAUAUAUAUAUAUAUAUAAUUAAAUACCACUAAGAUGGUGGGGGGUUAGGUUGUACCCCUACCUGUAGAAUAUAGGCUUGGCAAAAUCCGGGUCCGGUCCAGGUUUUGGUGUUGCCCAAGACCGGACCAGAUGAGUGAACCUCAAGACAAGACCCAGGUUUAAACCCGAUUUUUCUGGGUGCGGUCCGGGCUCAAGCCCGGCACCCUCGGGCCAAGUUUUUUUAUCCGGGCUUCUAAACCCCCAUGUGAUAACUUCAAUUUUUUUCUUCAAUUUUUUCUUUCAUUUCUCUAACAUUGCAAAUUUUAGAAAAGAAAAUAGUCAAAUAAACUCAUUCAAUCUCAAGCUUUAAGAAAGAAAAUAAUCAAAUACAAAUAUAUAACAUACUAACAAUGCAAAUUUUACACAAAUAAUAAAUAAAAAUUUUUCAAUCUACUUUCUAAUACCUAAAUUCAUCCAAUUUAUAACCUAAACUCAUUCAAUCUAUAUAAAAAAUAAAAUUAAAUUCAACAACACAAUAAUCACACAAUAAAUCUAAAUAACAUCCAACAUAUCAUAAAUUCAUAUUUAUAUAUUUAUAUAUAAUAUAUCAUAUAUUUAUAAUUUUUUUAAUUUAUUAAGAAACCGGGUCUGGGUUCCGGGUUUUUGGUGUUGAGCCUGGACCCGGGCCUGAAAACGUCCAGGUUUGAGAAUUUCAAACCCGGGUUUGGUUUUUUUGUGUAUGCACCCGGACCGGAUUGCGUAGGUCCGGGCCGGAUCCGGUCCGGACUGGCCUUUUUGACACCCCUAGUAGAAUAAAUCAGUUAAUGAAAGAAUAUAAGGAGGGGGACCUAAACAUCAAAAUCCAUAUAUAUAAAUAUAUAAUUAAUUGGCAGGAAUAGAAACUGUAACUCCAGCAGCCCAUUCUUCAUUAGCACCUUUGCUUCUACUCAUUCUUCCCUUGAAACAGAACAUAUAUGCAUAAACUAAAACUAACACACUACUCUUUGGGGAAGAUCCUCCUACAAAAUUGUCCGUCGCAUUGGUACAGGUGAUAUUCAUUCUGUCAACAAGCAAAAUAUACGUGUCCAACAUAUUGUACGUUACGGAUAUCCUGAGCUUCAAGUAAAAUUAUCGGCCUAUUUGGGAUUGAAGUUAAGCAGGCAGAAUUAAAAUGUUUAGUAAACACUAUCUGUUAUAACUUGAAAGUUAAGUUUGAUUUGUUUUAUAUAUACUUAUAUGAUGAAAAAUCAUUAUAUCUUUACAAAUUUUGUCAAAAUUAUUAUUUACAAAUUAUAUUUACUAUAUAAUUUAUCUUUUAUUUUAUAUAUAUAUAUAUAUAUAUUUCAGCAGCUAUAACUUAAAAGUUUUAAUGUCUCAAUCUCAAACGGAGUUUAUUAUUACAAUUUGCAAAGUACAAUUAUUAUUCAUUUUAUUACUACCACUUUCUUUUUAGUUAUUGUGAUAUAAUUUAGCAAAUUUGAACAAUAUAUUGCAGCGAGAAAUCCAAGAGUUGUCCAAAGAUAUUGGUCGUGGAUAAUAUCCAAAAAGUGUUGUCAAGAUGAGACAAGACAAAUCGUAUUCGUUUUGGAAAUUUCUGGAUGAAAAUGUCAUUGGAAUCAAAGAUGCAUCAGAAUCAUAGUUGGUAGUUGCAGCACUCAUAGCGACAGUGACCUUUACGGCAGCAUUCAUUGUACCGUGUUGUUACAAGAGUGAAGACAGCCCAAGCCAGGGCACUGCAAUUCUCACUAAAAAUGCAUCCUUUCGAGCAUUUGUUAUGACAAAUGCCAUGGCCAUGGUCCUCUCACUUUGAACUGUAUUUGUCCAUUUCAUUAUGUCACUUAAGGCAUUCCAACAAUUGGUCUUUUUAUUCAUUGUCGCCCUUUUGUUCACCUUGACUGCCAUGGUAGCAAUGGUGAUUGCAUUUGUUACAUGCACAUACGCAGUGUGGGGAACUUCUUUAGGGCUUGCCAUUCCCACUUGUAUCAUUGGCUUAAGCUUCUUCUUCUGGAUCAUUUUCAUGUAUUACGUGGUAUUAUAUCAGGAACGAAAUAUUAAUUAGUCAUGAAUGCACGGUUUCAAUAAAAGUACAUGUAUACCCCCUCUUCAAUGAACUAUAUAAUUAUACAGAAGAAAUAAAUCUCCAUGUUCAGGAAUUUGCAUUCUUCUUUGUCUUUAGUAACGCCAAUCAAUACCACAAUCCUGCAGAUUGAUCAGAUCGCAUCCUCAAAUAAUCUAACUACAAAAUUAUUAACCAAUUUGGAGGAACAAAUACUUUACUUGUGUCCAUCACUUCAUCACACUGUUUAACAGAGUAAAUGUGACAUUUUCUCAUAAAAUUUCUUGAUAUUUUUACAUAUAUACAAUUUCUUCAAUUUUCGGUCCUUCGAUGUUUGGUUCAAUAAUUUAAUUUAUUAAAACCGAUAUAAUUAGUUUUUCUCUUAAUUAAAAAGAAUCAAACCAUUAGUUCGAUUCAAUUUUUUUGGUUCUUAAUUUAUUUUGCAUCCCUAUUUGAUAUUGUACAUUAUAUUUUUAUUUUAUUAAGCAUAGGAAUCAUAGCAAUUUCUAUGUUUAAAUUAUAAUGAACGCUAUAGUGUGAGGAAAUCAGCUGCUGGUCAGCUGCUGGUCAUUGGGUUUAAGUGCAAGAUUUGAAGAAGUCUGGGGGCAUUGUGCAGAUCGACUUCAGCUGGAGGGGUCUAGUUGAAAUCUUAAAGCUGAUGUGGCAGAAUUCGUUAUGAAUUCUUUAUAGCUUUCCAGAAAUACCAGAAUAUAAACACACGUGUUUUAGCCUCUGAUAUCAUAUCAAUAUCUUCUUCAUUUAUUGGUCAUUUUGCUAGCCAUUUGGUUCUUUGUGAUCCUUGUAAUUCCUUCUUGGUGAUUAGCUUGUAUUUCGUUUUGUUGAGAUCAAUAAAAGAGCAUUUUUUUUUCCUUCAUCGAGUUGUGUAUUUGAAACUGUGCUCUAUUCAGUUUCUCUUGUUUUUUCUUUCUUGAUUAAUUUGUUUUGAUUUGUUCUUUAAAAGCUCAAUACGUUAAUUGAGUUAUAACAUAUAGCCAUGAUUAUUUAAUUUUUGGAUGGUUAAGGUAUAGCUUAUAAUUAAUUAAAACUCACUUUGAUGAACUCCUUGACAAACAAAAAGUAUGAUUGUUUACUGGAUGGUAGCAUAUUUAAAUUAAAUAUCUAAGCAACUGCAUAAUUAAUAAAAUUUUAUCAUUCAAUAGUUAAAUAAUACACCAUCUAAGAUCAUAUCCUGUAUCACUUAAGUAUUUUGAUUCUUUUUUUAUAAUGCAACAAUCAGAACUCAUAUAUAGCAUAUUCCCUGUUACUUAAUUUAUUGGGAUUAUAGUUGGCCAGCAAACCUUUGUGCAUACGCAUUGGUAACUUUAUUUUCUCCGACUAUUACACAAUACCGAAUUAGCGAUUCCAAGACGCAAUGAGGCCACACAAAGCGUAGUUAGGCUUGAAGCUAAUGGUGGGGAAACAAAGGACCCAUUUGUUACUAUGGUAAGAUAAUUGUGGUUUUAAAGUUACAACCUUAAAGUUUUGGAUAAACACUUAGAGCUGCAACUAAGCACUUAGAUAUGCAACAUAGAAGUUGAAGUAAUUUUAUCUAACAACGAUAGGUAAAAUACUUAUAAUAUCCCUGUAAUUUAUCAAAAAUAUAAUUAGACUUUCUAAUUUUUAAUUUUAAAUAAAUAUUUACAUUUCAUUAUAGCAAAAUAAAAAAUUAAAACCAGUUGUUACUGUCGCCAUCUAAAGUUGUCCAAAAUAUAAUAAAAAACCACCCAGAGAUUACACCGUUGGUACCUUUAGAAUCCUUUUCUCGUCAUCUAUCCAACGGUGCAUCCUUGCACCUCAACCUCAAUCCUAUGUAUGUCAUUAUAGGAUCCAGCUUGGGCACCGUACCCCCUCUUUUUUUGUCGUUAUUCUGUCUAGCCGUUAGAUUUUAAUUACUUCAAUCUAACGGUUGGGAUUUGUAAAUGAAUAAUGAAACGAUGUUUGGCGAUUUUUUGCUUUCUUCUCUGUAAUGCUUGACUAGUUCUGGAAAUAUCAACCGCCAUCGACGAAAAAUCUGAAGCAGUUAUCAUUUUUUAGUUGUGGGUAAACGUAACAGGAGCAAGGACGACGUGCGAGUUCGGAUUGGAGGUGUUCACCGUGAAAUUGUUUUUUAGUGUGCUAAUCUAACGACUUUCGAAUACAUUCAUUGAAAUAUUAAACGUCCUAGUAUAUAGAUUUAUGUUUUACAAAUUGUUGCAGGAUAGCGAAAACUGUAAUCUUCCAGAUGAUCAUUCCCAACACGGCAACACCUAUGGCUCUUUUCCUUUAAUUUGCCUCUUUAAAUUUUCUUUUGAUUAAUCAUUAAAAAACUGCUUUUUUUUUUAUCAUUUGUUGUUAACAUUUACAUGGUUAAUGUCAUCGAAAUCCGAUGGUUAUCAUUUAUGGAAAGAUAAUUGCCAGAAAUUUUGUUAAUCCCACUGCAAUAAGAUAUUGUGUAAAUUGUAUUGUUUUUUGUCAUAAGUACAAUAAAAUUUUGAUAAAUUAAUAGUUUUCGGACCGUGAAAAAGUCUAUUAAAUCUAACGAACAUCAGUUAAUUGAUAAAUUAAUAAAUUAUUAAUUUAUGAAAAUAUUCAUUAUUUUGAAAAAAAAAUAUGAUCAUGUUUAUAGUACUGAUUUACCUUGAGUUGGUAUCUAUUAUUAAAGUCAGCAAAAAUGGUCACCGAGUAGUAUUCGUAUUGUGUCAACUUCGUGUCGUGUCAAAUUUAGAUCGACCCAAACACAACCCAUUCAAUAAUCGUAUCAAAAUAUUAAGACACAAACUCGACAUGAAAAAUAAAUAUGUUACUCAAUAAUCCUUUUAAUAUCUAUAUAUUUAAUAAAUGUUUUAUAUAUGUAAAAACUAAAAUAUUACAUAUUUACACUAUUAAAGUUUUAAUUAUAUAUAAAUAAUAUUAUAUAUCAAUAUAAUAAAAUAUAUGUAUCUAUCAAUAUUUUAAACACUUAUACUAUAAAAGUUCUAAAUCUAUAUAAAAUUAUAUAAAUAAAACACUGUGUAUAUGUUCAUCUUUCCCCAAAAAACGAUAAUAAGAGAAAAUCAUGUUUAACAUUUGAGUUUUAAUGGCAAGAAUUUACAAAUUAAUUUAAAAUGGAAAAUAUAAUUAUGUUAUUUGUUGGAUAAAUGGGUCAAAAACUUUAACUAGGAAUGACAAAAAAGCCUGGGCCGACCCUGUCAAUUCUUACAGGCUUUGACCCGGGCUUCCCGCAUGAGGGUCUGGACAAGAGCUUAAGAAAAAAAUUUUGGGCCAAGCCUAAGCUCUUUAUUUCUUUUAAAAAAUAAAUUUAUAAAUUAGAAUAAUAAAUUGAAAUUUGAAAAAUAAUGGAAAAAAAAGAUUGAGUCCCUAAUUUAUAUAUCAAUAAUGAAUCAAAAUACUUAAAAUUAUAAUACUAAAUUCUCUUUUAAGUAUUAAUUAAUUAAGAGAGUCCGUGAAUUAGAGAAUCCAGUACAAAAAAAAAAAAAACAAAUCUCUAAACUUUUAUUUGCUUCAUUUUCUUUUUUUAUUAUUUUUCUUUUAUUCAUUGUUAAUUAUAAAACUUGAUUAUUAUUAACUCAUUUCAAGUUUACAGCAAUUUGAAAAAAAAAAAAAGUAAAAGUCCAAGUUCAGUCCAAGUCCAACCCUUACACUUUUAUUCUAUUGGGCUUGGGCCUAGGCUCCAACCCCUUAAAUUGUCAUCCCUAACUUUAACCCUAACCAAACAUUAAAAAAAAAAAAAAAAAAAAAAAAAAAAAAAAAAAAAAAAAUAAUAAUAAUAAUAAUAAUAAUAAUAAUUUCGUGUCGAUCUAAACCCAACCAAUUUAAUAAUCGUGUCAAAUUUGAUGACUUAUACUUAUUUAUUCGUGUCGGUAAUUUGGUCAUAUCAAAUUUUGCUAGGUCUAUUUAUUAUGUUUUAUUUGAAUAAUAGUUUUCUUUUAAGAAGAUUUCUUAAUAGUUAGCUGCUUUAUAUUAAUAGUAAUAAGAUUAUUGUACAAUUUUUAUUUUUCUAUGUUAAAGAUGAUAAUUCAACUAGACAAACCAUUUCAAACAAAAAAGUAAAUGAUAUUGACAUUGAAUAAUUUAUUGUUGCAAAAUGAUAAUACCAACUAUAAUUUCUUUUCACAUUACAAAAACUCAAAGGUGAGAUCCAAGUCGAAAUUAAUUUAAGGAUCAUUCUAUGACGCCUUGAUUAAAUUUAAAGCAUUAAUACCGUAAUUAAACAUAAAUUAUGUAAACGAAAUAUAAAACUUGUAAAUUUAACAUAAAACUCGUAAAUCAACAUUAAUUGUAAAAUAAAACAUAAAUUUUAUAAAUUAAACAUAACAGUGUAAAAGAAAGGUAAAACAAGUAAAUUAAUAUAAAACUGAUAAAUUGAUGUAUUAUUAGUAAAUAAAACAAAAACUUACAAAUAUAACAUAAAACUCGUAAAUUAACAUUAAGUGUAAAAUAAAACAUAAUUUUUAGAAAUUAAACAUAAGAUUUGUAAAUGGAAGAUACAAUAAAUAAAUUAAUAUAGUAGUAAAUUAGUGUACUAUUAAUAAACAAAACAAAAACUUGCAGAUAUAAUUUAAAACAAUUAAUCAACAUUAACUAUAAAAUAAAACAUAAAUUUUGGAAAUGAAACAAAAGACUUGUGAAGAAAAGGUAAAACAAGUAAAUUUCUAUAAAGCUGAUAGAUUAAUGUAUUGCUAGUAAAUGAAACAAAAACUUAGAAAUAUAACAUAAAACUAGUAAAUUAACGUUAAGCGCAAAAUAAAAUAUAAAUUUUAGAAAUAGGACAUAAGACUUGUAAAUGGAAUAUAAAACAAAUAAAUUAAUAUAAAACUAGUAAAUUAAUGUAUUAAUGGUAAACAAAAUAAAAACUUACAAAUAUAACAUAAAACUAGUAAAUCAACACUAACUGUAAAAUAAAACAUAAAAUUUGAAAAUAGCACAUAAGGCUUGUAAAAGGAAGAUAAAACAAGUAAAUUACUAUAAAGUUGGCAACUUCAUGUAUUACUGAUAAAUAAAAUAAAAACUUACAAAUAUAAUAUAAAACAAGUAAAUCAACACUAAGUGCAAAAUAAAAUAUAAAUUUUGUAGAUUAUGCCUAAAACUUAUGAAUAAAAGGAAAAAUAAAUUAAUUAAUAUAAGAGUUACUGCCAAAAAAAAAGUUCACAAUUGCAAAAUAAAAACUCGUUAUAAUGUUUAUUACCUUGUAUAUUUAUUGAUUUUUUAAUUUAAAUUGAAUAAUGCUAGUUUUGUAUUUAUAUAAUACAUAUGAUGUUUUACUAAGGAUGAAACUUAUUCUGAAAAUCGGAUUUUGAAAAAAUAUUAUUUUAAUAUCUUUCAUAGUUAUUGUAAGAUGAGGUUAUUUUAUAUCUUUUUACACUUCUUCAACAACAACCCUAAAUAAUCUCUAAGUACAAGUAAAAAAUUUGAAACUAAGUGAAGUAUGUAUAAGACUCAAAAUUAGAUCUAAUUUUGUUGAUAUAUCAUAUAUGUGUCUAGUAAUAUAAUAAUAUUUUUUUUGUUUUUGCUUGAUCCAUAUCAAGAUAAAUGAUUGUGCUUAAUUAACUUGUGUAAUAAAUAGAUACUAUUAUAGACAAUGGGAAAAAAAGUAUACAAAUGUCCUAUAAUAAAUAUAGAAUUUAUGGUUAAACCAAUUCAGUAAAAAUUAUUCUACUUUUUUUAGUAUAAUUUUUUUGUUUAAUUAAUGAGUAAUUUUUUCUUUGUUUAAUUAAAUAAUUUUUUUUGUAAAUGAAUAAAAUACUUUUCACUAAAAUUCUAUAGAAACAAUGUUAAUUUUUUAAAUAAUUAAUAAUUUUGUAUGAAUUUACUAGUUUUAUUUAUAAUUUACAAUAUUUAUAUCUAUCACGGUAUUGAUGCCAUAAUUUUCAUUACGACAUUAUAGAAUUUUCCUUAAUUUAAAAAAGAAGCAAACAUUGGUGAGAACAUAUUUUACACAAGCCAUGUAGACAUAUCAUAUGGAUUUUGAUUUAUACUAGGUAAUUAUUAAUUUAUAUAGUAAGUGGAUCCUAUAAGAAAAUACGAAUUUUUUAAAAAAAUUUACGGAAUUGUUAAUUUAUCACUUUGUCCCAAAUUAGGACCACAAAAACUAUUAUUUAAUCCAGAGUAUCAAUUUACUAAGAAUUAAUUUAUUGAGAUUUUACUAUAAAUAGUUACUGAUUGUCAUGUUUACUUUUCUCAACCAAUAAUUGCUUCAAUUUAUUUUUGUUUAAACAUAUAAAUUUAUUGUAAAGAUAGAUCAACAUGCAUCUUUCUUCUAGUAACAAUUUCUUGCUACAAAAAUAAUUCCCUUUGCAUGACCAAAUUCCCCGGUAUUCUAUAUGUGCCAUGUGCUUCAUCGUAUGAGCUAUUUGCGUUUUAAUGGAUUGGACUACAUCUGAACAUCCCUAAAUUCCUAAAUCUACUUACUAUCCUUUCAUUCUUAGUUCAUUUUUUCUUUUAUUAACAUUACAGUUUUAGUAAUUCGAUUACUUCUUGUAUACUGUUACGGUCGCCUACAUUUUAUGCCAAUUGCAACAACAAAAUUGUAACUAACCUACAUUGUAUUGUUCUUCACUAACUACUUGCUUCUUCAAAUACUUGUUUCGGCUAAUUAAUUUAUUGUUAUAUACGGCAACAUUUUCUUGUUCCCUUAAACAAAAUAAUUGCAACAUUAACAGUUCCUAUCUAUUGACCUGCAUUCUCAUUUUGCUUGAUGUGCCGUGUGGCCACUUCACACCUGCACAAUAUUGCUCAUUUUCAUCCAACGACGACUUCACUAUAAGGCAAAUAAAGGGGGUAUAGUGCCCAAGGGACACAAUAGAUGGAGCCGUCAUUUUAGGCCCCAUUUAGGAUUGAGAUUGAAAUAUUAUAAACAGUUUAUUUUAUAAGAUUUGAUAAAUAUAAUGUUUAAUAAAUUUUUUAAAAAUUAUUUAUUAUAUAAGUUUUUUCUAUUUUGACAAUAAGUUUUAAAGUAGCAUAUUAAAUAAGUCAUGUUCUAACCUUUUUAAAGUCAUGUUCUAAUCUUAGUAUUUUAAUUAAAAAGACAAUUAUAUCUUAUUUUUUUCAUAUAUAAACCCUAAUAUAUAAAUAAAACUCCAUUUAAACAUAUGUAUUUUUUUAUCAUUACAUAAUAAACAAGAAUUUUGUAGUAAAUUUACUAAAUACAUACAUGUACUCUAUUUUUCAAACUUACAAUAGUUGCAACAAUAGAGCAUGUCAAACACAAGCUACUUUUUUAAUCACUGAUUCAUUUUAUCCACAUAGUAGAAACAUCUUACUUCAUUAACCACCACAAUUAUAAACUUGCCCUUGACAAUUACUUCAACGCUUGUUGUUUGUGGAAAGAAACUAAAAAAUUAAAUGUUCUUAAAAUGGAUCACUUAAAUCUUUUUAAAUUUAAGUUAUUUUCAUUCAAAUUCUUGAUUGAAUUUAUAUAGUCAUUUAUUUAAGUCAUAUUCGAAUGAGCUAUCUCCUAUAUUUACUCUGUGACAAGUGUCAAGAGUUUAAGCUAUAAUUAAAGGAGAAAUGAUGUGUUUAGGGGAGAAAAAAUUGAUGAAACUCCCAAGUAUUGUAUAAUUAAUUUUUAACAUUAUAAAAAGCCCAAAAAAAUAUAUAUAUACAAACAAGGUUAAAACAGACUUUAAACUAAUAACGUGAGUUAUAGGGGUAUAAUUACCUUUCUGUUUCAUGUCUAAUUAUGUAAACUUUUCACAAAUUUUUCAAGAAAUUCAGUACUUUAUGACUUGAAUGAAAUAAAUUUGAAUUUGGAAGGAGUUGAGUGAUGCAUUUAAAAAAUUUGUGAUAUUUGACACUUAAUCCUAUUCCCACCUGUGUGAGUUUUCAAGAUAAAAGAGUUUACUAUGUUAAGUGUCAACUAAAUGUCACCCAUAUAUAUAUAAGGGGUUGUAGGGUCUUAAGCCCAUACCCUCAACAUAUUGAGAAGCAUAGGUUAUCACCGAGCUAUAAGACUCAGUAUGCACACAAAAUUAAUUAACUGAAUGAAAAUUUGUAACAUUAAUUAACAAUUAAUGUCCUUUUUAGUAGUCUUACGAAUUGUUUUGAGAUGCUCAAUUCAAUUAAAGAGGUUCACGUAUGGAGGAAUAAAGGAAUUAUUCUAUAAAAUUAAGGCAAAGAAUCUCCAUAUAUUUUAUUUAUUAAUUGUUGGAUGGACAAGGUAUGACUUGUCAAUUAGUUAAGAGUAAAUUUGAUUCUUUACUCGCCAAGACAAAAAACAUAAAUGUCUAAGGAAUCCGAUUGAAAUUUGAUGGGAAAAAAACAAGCAGCAACUGCUGUAUUUAACAAAUUGAGAGCCAGGAUUAGUAUGCGCAUGCGUGCAGUCUGUAUGCACAUUCAAUAAUCCUCGCAUUUACAACCAAAACAACAUGGUCAUGGAUCCUGUCUUGUACGAGGCUGCAGCUAAAGGUGAAAUUGAACCGUUCAAGAAAAUUUCAAACUAUGAACUUGGAAGCGUAGUUACUCACAACAACAAGAAUACAAUCUUGCAUGUCAACAUAAUAUCACGAGAUCGAGAAACAAUAGCAUCAACCGAGUUUGUAGAACAGAUACUUGAAAUGUGUCCAUCAUUGCUGCAAAGUGUUAAUGCGAAAGGUGAUGCUCCACUCCAUGUUGCGGCCAAAUGCGGGCAUGCUUCUGUAGUGACAGCUCUGAUUGAAUUUGCGAAAAAACAGCCUAAAGAGCUAGAAAGUGGUGUGGAAAGUACGGCAAGGCAGAUGCUAGGGAUGACAAACGAUGAAAAAAACACAGCAUUGCACGAGGCAGUGCAACAUCGUAGCUUGGAUGUUGUGAAAAUAUUAAUCAAAGAAGACCCUGCUGUUCCAUAUUCCACAAAUGGCCGCGGCGAAACUCCACUUUACAUGGCAGCCGAAAGAGGAUUUGAAAAAAUGUUAACUGAAAUAUUAGAAAACUGCCCUUCAGCAGCCCAUGAAGGCCCAAAUGGAAAGACUGCCCUGCACGCAGCUGCAGUCAACAUCAACUCUAUUGGUACUAGUGCUUCGCCUUUUUGCAUGCUUACAAAUUAAUAUUAUCUUGUUGAUUGUGCAUGCUUCAUUUAUUUAUCAUUGACGUCAGUUUGUCGUUUCCCAUUAUUAUUAUUAUUUUGAUUUUGUUUUAGAUGUGGUAAAACUAUUACUUGAUAAAAAGAAAAGUUUGAUUGGAGAAACAGACCGAUACGGUUGGACCCCACUCCAUUACGCCUCGUAUUUUGAUCGCAAUAUCAUCGCAGAGCUGUUACUAAAAUCUGAUAAAUCUCUUGCGUACAUUGUGGACAAUGAUCGGAAGAUGACAGCUCUUCAUUUAGCAGCCAGCCAAGGGAAAUUACGGGUAGUGGAAGAGAUUAUUUCCUAUUGUCCAGAAUGUUGUGAAUUGGUUGAUGGCAGAGGAUGGAAUGUUCUUCACUUUGCUAUGGUUAGUUUUGAUGCUAGUGACUUGAAACACCUGCUGAACAACUAUCCGAUAGUCAGAAAUCUUAUAAAUGACAAGGACAAGGAGGGGAACACUCCUCUCCAUUUGCUUGCUGCUCUCUGUCGAGAUUCGUUCUAUCGCAUUGUCCCUUGGAAUGUUGGAGGCGAUUAUCAAGCUGUCAACAAGCAAAAUAUUAGUGUUAAACAGAUAAUACGUUACGAAUUUCCUCAGCUUGAGGUAAUUGCCUUAAUUUUGACUAUUAAGAUUAUUUAAUUGCAUACGAAUAUGUAUAUACACAUUUCAUAAUUUCAUCAAGAACUCAAUAUGGCAUGUAUAGCAUCGUGGUUCAACACAUUUCAUAUGAAGAAUUUGGUAGAACUUAAUAUACAACCUUUAUUAAACGUAUUACCUAGUUGUAGAUGUUGAUGCCUUUAAACUUUUUCCGUUCUAAUUUCCUUCUUAGUUGUUCUAUUUUCAAUUACUUUCUUUACUUUGGUAAGCAAAUUAAUAUGGUUAAUAUAUUACAGCAAGAAAUCCGGGAGUUAAGCAAAUAUAUUGGCAGUGGACAAUAUCCAGAAGGUGUUGUCUCAAUGAGAGAAAACAAAAUAGUAAAGCGCACUUCGCACUGGAAAUUUAUAGACGAAAAUUAUAUUGGAAUGAAAGAAGCUUCAGAGUUCCAUCUGGUAGUGGCUACACUCAUUGCAACCGUAGCCUUCUCUGCAGCAUUCACCUUACCCGGUGGUAACAAGAGUGAAGGCAGCCCAGACCAGGGCGCUGCAAUUCUCAGUAAACAUGCAGCUUUUCAAGCAUUUGUAAUAUCAGACGCCAUAGCCAUGGCCCUUUCUCUAUCUGCUGUCUUUGUUUAUUUCAUUCUGUCACUGAAGGCAUUUCAAGAAUUCAUCUUUUUGUUCGCUUUCGCUCUUUUUUUCACGUUGGUUGCCAUGGCAGCAAUGAUGGUAGCAUUUGUAACGGGCGCAUAUGCAAUGUUGGAACCUUCUUUAGGGCUGGCCAUUGUCACUUGUAUCAUUGGCUUAAGCUUCUUCGUCUUGGUGAUCUUUUUGUUCUACAAGGUCCUAUCAAAAGCGGAUGAGGAAUUGGAAGAGCCAUGGUUCCAAUAAAAGUAUUAUUAUAUAUUUCACUAUACUUCAUCUACUAAUAUUUACGACGUAAGCGUUAUACUGCCAUUAUGAUCUGGAGCUGUAAGUUGUGACUUAAAAUUUAUUAUAUUAUCUUAUGAAUUAUGUACUAGCCAACUAGGUUGUAUAAUAUACUUGGAGGAUGAAAGAAAAAAAGAUUAUGUGUUGGAUUUUUUAAUUUAACAUUGUUGGAUCCUUAAUUUAAUGUUGGGCUUAUAAGUGAAUAAUUUUGUAUUGUGGAUUGUCAUAUAAGAUUAAGUCCAAUUAAAAGUAAUCUAUUAAGAUUUUUUAAUUUGGACUUUAAUGUAUUUAAUAGGGUGUGGGUCUUUAAUGUAUAUAGACUUAAAAGGAUAAUUAUUAUUUUUAUGAUAGGCAUAAAUAAGAAUACCUAAAGAUAAUAGGAAAAGUUGUUUAUAUAAAUAGUUAUGGUCCCAGGUUAUAUAUAUCAUUCUAUUCUCUUUUGACAUCCUAUCAUCAGCGAGAGUGCAGUGAGAAGUUUAAAGGAUUCUCUAAGAGAACGUGUUGACCUGGAAGGUUAAUCAUACAACUCUAGAGAGCAAUCAAGUAUCAUGGAUUCAGGUACGCUUCAGUAUUUUUUAUUAUUGAUUCUUGACGAUACAACAUGAAUGUUCUUAGAUUAUAAGUACUGGAUUUCACUAGGGGUGGGCAAAUUACCCGACCCGACCCGAAAAAUUUCGGGUUCGGAUCGGAUCGAGUGUAAACGAUGAAACCCGAUCGGGUUUUGUACCCGAUCCGAUCCAAAAACCCGAUCUGGUUUCUUAAAAAAAAAAAAGCCUAACCACAUACACGCACGCCACACACGGUCACACAAACACACACAACACAAAUCACAUAUUCACUUACAGUACACACACACAAACACAAGUCUGCUGCUGCGCACAAAACACAUCCACGAACCAUGGUCAAUCACACCCAAUGGCCAACAGCAAGUCGCCAACGGAGUCCACACCUCAAGAAGCGUCCGAUCUGUUGCGAAUCUGCCUGUGUGCUCACUGCUGCUCAGUGUUGCUGCAAGUUCGCUGGUCCGCGAUUGCUGCUGCCUGCUACGCAUCCGAUCGAUUCUCGAUCUACUGCUGCGCGAGUGUGCGUCAUCCCGUCUGCUGCUAUGCGUUCGUGGCCACUGAUUUGCAGCCAAGUGCCAAGUGCCACCGAAAUUCAACCGUGAUAUUCUUGAUAAAAUGGUCCUUUAAUAUCAUCUUCUCAUCUUAUCUUUCUCAGCGACGAUUAUAUAUACAUAUAUAUAUACAUACACCCAUAUGCUUGAAAAUAUUUCCCGGGUGAUGAAAUUCUUUAAGUCUCUUGGCACCAUCUUUUAGUCAUUAAAAUUGCAUAUAAGCUUAAUAAAAUCCUCCUCGUUCCUUCCGAGAAAUUAAUUCAAAAUGGUCCAUUAUGAUAACUCAGGUUCAUAGAAGCUAAACUUAUAUGAAAAGAAAUAUUAGUAGAUUACACGCAUUGUAGUUGAACUUUUACAGUUGUUGUUUAAAAUCCCGAACUUGAUUUGAAUUCUGCAGCUCCAAGACCCGAACUCAACUCGAUUUUUUGACCCGAUCCGAACAUAUAUCGGAUCGGCUCAGGUCGGGUCGGGUUGUAAGUUAGGGUUGUAUUCGGAUCAAUAUUUGCCCAACCCGAACAACCCGAAAUCCGAUCGGGUUGACCCGAACCCGAUUUUGCCCACCCUUAGAUUUCACCAAAAGAUUAUUGUUCUAACAAGUGGUAUCCGAGCUAUUUCAUUGGUGUUCUUGAAUUUGACAAUACCGAAAUUAUAAAAAUUAUUGAAUUUUAGAACAAAUUUGUGGUUAACUUCUAGUAUUAAGCAAAAUGCAUUUUCAGAAAAUUCAGAAUCAAGGAAAAUUAACUAAGAAAUUCAGAAAAUACAUAUUUUUUUUUUCAUGCUUUGGUGUCUGGCGACAGCUUUGCCACUACCGUCAGUCAUUGAUCGUUGACUGACCUGAAUUUUAUUUUUUAAAUUUUUUAAGGGAAAAUUUUAUUACAAUUUUAAAUUCAGAUAUUGGUAUGUUUAUAUAUAUUUUGAGAUGAAUUAAUUAAAGCAACAUGUCACAAAAAUGACCUCUCUUCUGGGAAUUGAUUUGUUUUAGAAUAUAAACAGUUCUGUGCAUGUAAUUUUUGUAAAUGUUGAUCAGCCCAACAUGAAAGUCCGUAUUUGACAAGAAUCGCAGGUGCACCUAUGGUAAUAAACAAGUGGUGAUUAUUCGGUUUUACAUGUGAGCAAUAAAUAAGCCAAAAUGACGAUUUAUUGUUUGACAUGUUCUUACUAUCACUGUUUGAAUACUACACCAAGAUAUCACUUACAAGUUAAUAUUUUGUCCAAAGAUGAAAUAUUAAUGGAGUGCCCGAUAUCUUCAGAUAGGGUUUACCUUUAUUUGGAUUUAUUUUUGUUUUAAGACUUAUAUGAGCUUGUUUUAUUUGUUUGUUAUUCUCUGUUCAGUUAUGUCUGCUGUCAAUAUUACUGCCAACAUCAAUUCUAUUUCUAUGUUGAAUGGAUAUAACUUAAAGUCACGGCAAGAAAACCCCUUAAUAGUUCUUUCUACCAUGGAUCUUAACCUUGUUUUAAGGGUUGGUUCUCCCCCAACUCUUAUGGAUGAGAGUACUUCUGAUGACAAUAAGGAUUUGGAAAAGUGUGAGAAAUCAAAUCACAUGUGUGUGAUGAUCACGAACAAGAUCAUUUCGGAAGCAUUCAAGGACUAUAAGUCUAAAAAGAUAACUAUGGUUAAAUAGUUUCUUGCAAAAAUUGAAAGAAGACUUGUCAAAAAUAAAAGAGCAGAAGUAGGUACAUUCUUGACAAAUCUAAUUUUAAUAAGGUGUAAAGGCAAGGGCAAAGACAAGAAAAGAAACAAAAAUAAGGAAGCUGCAGACAUAACACCUUAAAAGAAACAACAAAAAAAUCGGAUGAUUUGAAAUAUACUAAUUGUUUCUUUUACUGAGUUGAAGUGUAUGGUUUGGUUUGUUCUGAGGUUAAUUGAACUUCGAUACCAAGACACACGCAGUGGAUAGAUUUUGGUGCAACCAUUCACAUAAGUGUGUCUAUGCAUGGUUGCCUGAAUUGCAAAAAACUCAAUGAUGGCGAAAAAUACAUCUAUGCGGGCGAUGGUAAGACGGUUGAAGUUAAAGUAAUUGAAAAAAAUUAGAUUAUUAUUAAGGACUGGAUAUUAUUUGGAUCUUCAUAAAACAUUUAUUGUUCUCUCUUUUAGAUGGAAUUUGAUUUUAUUUCUAUUUUGGACAAAUAUGACUUUUCUUGUUCAUUUGGGAAUAGAAAAAUUAGUUUGUUUCAUGAUUUAAAGCUGGUCAGCUCUGGUUCAUUGUCAGACGAUGAUAAUUUUUAUAUGCUUGAUAGAAUUGCUUUAUUUAAUGAAUCGCUGCAAUUAAGUACUCGAGGUGUAGAGUGAAAAUUAAUCAAUGAGAAUUCAGCUGCAUUAUAGUGCAAAAGAUUAAGUCAUAUCUCCAAACAAAGAAUAGAGAGACUUGUAUCAGACAAAAUUCUCAACUCCUUAGAUUGUAUAGAUUUUGAUGUUCAUGUUAACUGUAUAAAGAAGAAAUAAACCAAUAAGAGGAGAUUUAACGCCAACAGAACUAUGGACGUCUUAGAACUCAUACAUACAGAUAUUUAUGGACCAUUCCUUAUAAUUGCUUGGAAUAGUCAACUAUAUUUUAUGACAUUCAUAGACAUUUUUUUCUAGAAAUGGCUACAUAUAUCUCUUCCAUGAAAAGUCAUAAUCCAUGGACAUGUUCAAAAUUUUUAAGGCUAAAGUCAAGAAUCAAUUGAACAAAAGAAUCAAAAGCGUCAAAUCUAAUUGUAAUGGUGAGUACUAUGGCAGAUGUGACGGUUCGGGUGAACAACGUUCAGGACUGUUUGCUAAGCUCCUAGAGGAAAGCGGUAUCAUCCCACAGUACACUGUACCGAGUUUGUCCACCAUGAAUGAUGUUGUUAGAAGAUGAAACAAGACACUUAAGGACAUGGUAAGGAAUAUAAUUUGUCAUUUAACUUUACCAGAAUUACUCUGAGAAGAAACACUUAAGACUGAAGCACAUAUCCUUAAUAGGGUUCUAAUUAAAGCAACUUAUAAAACCCUUUACGAACUUUGGAAGAGCAAGAAGUCUAAUUUAAAGUACUUGCAUGCUUGGGGAUGUCCAGCUAAGGCAAGACCUUAUAGGCAAAAAAAAAAAAAAAAAAAAAAAAAAAAAAAAAAAAAAAAAAAAACUGAACUUAAAGAAGGUGAAUUGCUAUUUUAUUGGAUACCCUAAAAGAUCCAAAUGGUAUAAGUUUUAUGAUCCCAUGACUAAGUCGAUUUUUCGAGUCAGGAAACGUGUGGAUCUUUGAGAAUGUUAAGUUUGUGGGCAAAGAUAUAGUAAGGACUUAGUCUUUAAAGAGAAAUAUGUUGAUAUUUGCAUAGGUGUUAUUAGUAUUAAUCAAGGUCUCAUUCUUACCUUUGUUCAAGACACAUCAAGUUAAAAUAAUGUUGGAAAACCCCUUAUACUAGAAAUUGUUCCAAAAGAAUAAACUCUACUGCCUUAAGAACCUAUGUUAUUAAGGAGAUCUACUAGAGAAAUGAGAAGUGCAAUGCCUGGUAGUGUCGUUGAGUGCACUAAAUUUAAAACCUUACUACUAGUAUAAAUAAUUAGUACAGAACAAGUAAGGAUCGAUCUCACAGAGACUAUGCUAGUUAUAUUUAUUAUCAGCUCUAAAGCAAGACUUAAAACAAAAUAAUAAUAAUAUAAAUAAUUAAUAUAAAUUAAUCUAACUAAAGAAAAUGUCAAUUAUAAAUGAAAGGGGAGUUUUUGAAUUUUUAACUAAAUAGCAAGAAAUCAAGAAAUUAAACUAUGAAAACAAAAAUUUAAUAAAAACUCUAAUUAAAGGAGAAAGAAAUAAUAAUGAUGAAAACUUUGGUUAAAGGAUCAUUCGCCACCACCAAACAUGCACAUAAUAUAUCAAUUCUAUCAUCAAUUUAUAUUGAAACUAUCAACCGUAGACAACAACAAGUUUUGUUUGUCUUAAUCUUUACUUAGUGUGUCGUUAGGCAAAACAAACUCUUCACCUAAUCUCUAACCAUUAAAUAAUUUAAAACAAGCUCUUUAAAUUUAAGAUAAUGGAAGCAUUAAGUAGAGAAAGAUAUUAGAUUGAUCUAGGCAAUAAACACACAAGCUCAUAUUAUUUAACCUAGGUUAUAUUCUCCAAUUGAAAUCAUUGAUUCCAACCUGCUACUUAUGAUUAAAAUCUCAAGACAAUUACGGAUCAAGAAUUUUAAAUCUAACAAUAGAAUUGAUUCAAGUACUAUCUAAUUGGCCACUCAAAUAAGACGAGAAUAAAAUCAUAAACAUUAAUUAUAGAAGAACAUAAACAAUCUCAAUUAAAUAAAUUGAAUGAUAGAAAUUGAACAUUAAUCAUAUGAUAUGUUUGGGGUUUUGAAUUCACCCUCAACCAAAUAGAAAAUCUAGCCUAACAUAAUUAAAUUGGGAAUAAGAGAAUUGAUAAAACCAAUCAUAGAGAUUAAUUCAAGCGGCUGCCUUUUUCUUCAAUUCCUUUCGACUGCUGAUUUUUUUCUUCUCCUUUACAGCUGCAAAUUGUUCAGUUUCUCUUACUGCCGAUUCUCCCUUUGUGUUGCUUCCGCUUUAUCCUUUUAUAAUGCUUCAAUUGUGGCUUUUAAAUCCUUGCAUGGAAAGAAUUAAAUCCAAAGCCAAAACUGCCCAUGCCAUAAUGUGCUUGCCAUUUAAAGCCAUGCAAAAUAUUUGCUUCCUUUAAUUGCCAUGCACAUGCCGCCCACUUUGCCAAUUUCCUUUUUCUUCAAUUUGCUUUCCAUAAUUUAAUCCAAUGCAUGCAAUCUUUUUAAAUUGGUCAAGUAAAUCCAUGCACAUUAAACAAGUUUCCCUUUUAUGCAUGCUUGUUCCCAAAGUCUUUAUUAAUCUCCAUGAAAUCCUAUAUGCUUCCAAAUGUGCAUCAAUUAAUUAAUUGGCUUCUAAAAAAUCUUCAGUAUUUCCUUUCCUAAUUCCUUCAAGCAGAUUUCUUCUUAAAUGCUCCAAUUUAAUUUAUCUUUAAUCCCAAAAUAUACCUAAAAUAAAAUAAAAUAAAAACUAAGAUAAAAAUUAACACAAUAAAAAUAUAAUUUACUAAAUUAAAAAUUAACUAAAAUAAUUAGAAUAUUUAAGACUAAAACAAGAAAGAGAUAGAGAAAUUAAUAGCAAAAUAUAUGAAAAAUAUGCACUUAUCAAUGCUAGACAAUUACAUUGUAUUUCUACGAGAACAUGAGGUAGAUAUUGGAGUGAUGGAAGAUGAUCCAAUUAUUUUUCGCCAAGCCAUUAAAAAUUCUACCUCUUAAAAGUGGAUUGAUGUCAUGAAUGAGGAGAUAGAGUCCAUGAAGGACAACGACAUAUGAAAUAUUAUCCUAUUACCAGAAAGUACGAAACCUAUUGAUUGCAAAUGGAUGUUUGAGACCAAAAGGGAUUCAAAAGGCAAUUUGGAGAGGUACAAAGCACAUCUUGUCUCGAAGCACUUUAUAUACAAAGAAGGCAUCAACUAUAAAGAGAAUAUCUCUCUAGUAUCUUCGAAAGACUCUUUCAAGAUAAUAAUGGCGUUGGUGGCACGUUUUAUUCUUGAGUUAUAUUAAAUGGAUAUGAAUACAACAUUUCUCAACAGAGAUAUUGAUGAAACGAUCUAUAUGGUGCAGUUAGAAGACUUUAUGUCAAGAGACCCAAAGAAUAUGAUUUGCAAACUUAAGAAAUCCAUUUAUAAACUCAACCAAGCAUCUCGACAAUGAUAUUUCAUGAUUGCUAGCACUUGUGUCAAGAUACCAUGUAUUUUCUUGACCUUCAUUUAUGUCAUUGUGUGCUAGUAAAAGGAUGCCAUCUUCACCAUUUUUCUCUUCAACAUAAUUCACUUUCUCCUCAAUUUUGGCGCUUAGAGCUCUACAUUCUGAAGCAUAAUGCCCAAACUUUUGACAAUUAUAGCAUUGUACUUGGGAUUUGUCAUACCUUGAUCUUGGAUUGCAUUUGCCUCAUCCUCUGGUUGAGCUUUCUCCUUUGACAUAAUUGGAGUUGUUGUUGUUGAAAUUCCAACCUCAUCCAUGACCACGACCUCUACCUCGAACAUAAUGCAUUGUCUCGUGGUCCGAGCUUUCUUAUCUUAAGUUAGAUUUACUUCCAUCUUGAAAAGUUAUUCUUCGAUUCCUUACUUCUUUUUCAGUUUUUCUUCAUGUGCUUGCAAUUUUCCUUGAAGUUGCUGGAUCUUAAUAUCCUUCAAAUAUUUUGUUUCCUCAAUUGUCACAAUAAUAUAGUCAAACUUCGAGUAUACUGAUCGAAGUAUCUUUUCAAUGAUCUUUACCUCUUUUAACUCCUCGCCAUUUCUUUUUAAUUCAUUGGAAACAGUCACAACCCUAGUAAAGUAGUCAAAAAUUGACUCUGAUGCCUUCAUGUGUAAGGACUCAAAUUCUCCUCAUAAUGUUUGGAGAUGAACCUUCUUAACUUGCUCCGCUUCUUUGUAAGAGAUCUCUAACUUCUCUCAUGCUUCUUUUGAGGAGGUUGCACUAGCAAUCUUUUUAAAAGAUCUUCAUCUAAUGAUUGAAAGAUGAGAUACUUUAUUUUAUUCUCUCUCUUCUUCAAAUCUUUUAAAUUCUCCUUUUGCAUCUAGUUAAAGUAGCUUCAUUUUCUGGCACAAUAAAGCAUUUCUCCACGACAUCCCACAUGUCAUGUGCACCCAAUAGAGCCUUCAUUUUAAUACUCCAGUUGUCGAACUUACUUCUUUUUAAUUGUAGAACUUGGAAUGACAUCAUGCCACCAUUUGCCAUAAUUCACAAAUUGAACGAGAAUAUGGAGAUUUUGAAUGCACGGAUGAAUCCGGAACGUCAAAAAACCUUGGGAGGAACUCGAGUCAAUUUUUAGUCAAUGGUCAACAUUUCUACUUAGUUGACUUGCUCGGUCCGGUUCAUGGUGGCUCGGUUCGGUUCGGUUCGGUGCGGGUUUAACUCAGUGAGUUGACUCAGCUUCCGGACAGAAAACUUCCGGCGACGAGUGUGGGCGCAUUUGGUCUCUGAUCGGGCUGAUGUUUGAAGCGUUGCAUUUCUCUCAUCGAGAUCUUCGAUUUGAUAUGCUAUACGACUAUAUAUAGCAUCAAACACUAGCUCUGAUACCACUUUUUUGGAGAAUCAACAAAUGAAACACUAAAAAAACACAUUAUUUUAUUUUUUCAACAACACUCCUCACCAACUAAAACUUUUAUUUUUCACUCUCUACAAUUUAGAAAUUUUGUUACUUCACGUGAUGCAUAAACCAAAGGGGAGUCGGAGUUUUUAUACAUGAAACAAACUAAUAACAACCAUUCAUUUAUUCAACUACUACACAAAUCCUCACCAUUCAUUAAAAUCUAUUACUCACAUACUUCACCAACUACACCUAUCACACCUAACACAAAUAAUUCAAACCUCACCAUUCAUACCUACUCAUGGAACCUUUCAUGAAUUGAGCUUAAAUUUAUUCAAAUAUGGAUCAAGUUUAUGAUCCAACAAAUGUGCAUAUUAAAUAAAGAUUAUAUAAAUCUCUCCACUGUUGCAUACAAAGAUCUUUGAGAGCCUCAAAAUAUGUGUCAAGAGGGGACUGAAUAAAGUUGCAUGUCGGGAUAAAAGACACCAUCCUUCUAGCCUUCUCGCCUCCAUGCUAAAUUGUUUAAGCAUAAAAUCUUCCAAAUCUAUGCAAGAUAAUGACAAUGUCGUCCCCUGCUAAAUAUCAAAAGCUCCUCAAGGUCUAAACAAUGAUCAUGGUCAUCCAUAUCUAGCAUUUCCCUCAUACACUAAAUUCUGCACAUUCAUUUUCCCUCAUACACUAACCCAAUUUCUAUAACAUUCACAGUUUCCUCUAAUAGCCACAUAUUUAUAGGAGAUGAAAGAGAGAGUUGUAUAUAAAUAAAUAAAAAUAGGAGAGAGAGUUAUUUAAAAGCCUAUGAUUUGAACCGCCCCCUAAAAUGUACAGAACAAACAGUCAAUAACACCCAUUUCAUUCAAUCAUCAAGGUACCCCAGUGUAGCAAUAAUAAAAAGAAUCCAACAACCAACACUGAUGAAUGAAAAAUAUUCACAACUCCCAAAUAAUAAUAAUAAUAAUUAUUAUUAUUAUUAUUAUUUGUAAUUAAGGGGAAGAUUUAUAUUACAAAGAUUAAAAAUAUAUAUAUUGACUGCAUUUUUUUAACUUAAUUUCAAGUGAUCAUGUAUUAAGUUCCAUUAAGAUCGAAAUUGCUUCUUCAGAAAAUUAUUGAGAAAUUAUAAAAGAAAAAAUAAUUUAAUUUGCCUUCCAAUUCUAUGUUUUCCCCCCAAAAUCAAAACGAAUCAUGUGAGGCUCAAAAUUUUAUUUGUUUUGCCGUGAAAUUUAAAAACAAAAAAAUAACUAGCUGAUACCAAACACCCCAUGACUCAUUCACAGUGUGCAGGAAGACGUUUGGCUGCUGGGAAUAAAAGAGGUGUAGAGUUGGCCCUUCACCGAUGUCCUUCAAGUUGGUCACUGCAAGAAAGUAAAUUUUUAGAAGGCAGUACUAAAAUCUCGGAACAAUUCUGCUUCCAAAACAUCUAUUAUUUAGAUCAAAAUAACCAAAAUGAUCACAAUUCCCCUAUAUUUCACUAUGGCAUCAAUAUAAGGAUUAAGAUUCUCUCAUGAUCUGAUCGUCUCCUGAAUAAAAAUAUACAUAAGUGAUUGAUAGUUAAUAAAUAAAAAAAAUAAAAAAUUAAAUCCUACCUAAAUAUUAUCAAUUAAAUACACAUAGCAUAAAAUCAUUAAAAAUGAGCUUAUUUCAAGAGAAAAUCCUUAUUACAAUGAUAAACCCCUUAUAUUAGAUUGACAACAAUUAUACAAUAAUUAAAGAAUAGUGUAUGUUUUUUGUUUCUGCUUUAACAUUGGGAUUUGCAAUUGACAACCAAAACAAAUGAGGGUCAUUAAUUUUUCAUCCUCAUUAAAUUUAUACACAUGGCGCAUUCUCGACCAAUUUCUUGUCGCAUCAUGAACCGUUACAUACAGAAUCCCAUAACAAGACAGCUUUAUAUAGAAGGGAGCCCAUAUGUUACAAUUAAUGUAACAUACACACUUAACAACAACCACACAAAUGAUGGGCCCACAUAAUUUGUGUGGUUGUUAUUGAGUGUGUAUGUUACAUUAAUUGUAACAUAGCAUUUGCCUAUAUAGAAUAGAGGGAAAGAAUCUCCACGUAUAUUAUUUAAGGGUCCCCUAACUUACAUUUAAUGUAAGUUACGGUCAGCAUAUAAAAUUUCAUUGAAUCCCUUAUAUUCUAGGUUAUUUAUAAUUUAUUCGUAAGUAUUAUAAAAUUUUUUGAAUUAUAAAAUUUUAUUUAAUCUCAUACACUCAAUUUUAUUUUAUUGAAACCCUAAAAUACGAAUUCGCCCCUUAUAAUUUUAAAUUUCUAAAAUAACCUCCAUUUAAUUAAUAACUAUUAUUUCAUUAUAAUCAUAAAUAUAAUUAUAUUAUUUAAAUAGAUUAUUAUUUUUAUUAUUAAUAACAAGAAUAAAAAGUAUUAUAAUUAAUUAAUCUAUUAACAAUAAUUAAUAAUAAUUUUUUGUUAAAUUGUUAAUAAUAAUAAUAAUAAUUAACGAUAAUGAUUAUUAAUAAUUAAUUUUUGAAUAAUAAUAACAAUAACAAUAAUUAAAAUAUAAAAUAAUAAUUGUGAUAAAAAUUAAUUAAUAAUUUUAUAGCAAUGUUACAAUUUAACUCAUUAUGAUUUUCACUCUAAGACAAAAUAAACAAAUAAAUGGUAAUACAGCUCAUUCUAAUUACGAUUUCUACAGUUCAAGUAAAUAAAUUAUUAUGAUUCUAAUUCCUUAUUUUAAUUCUAGCUAUUCUGAUUUUAAUUCAUUAUGUUUCCAACUAAAUUUGAUUACUAUUUAGUGAAUGCACUAUAAAAUUCAUAAUACUUAUGAAUAAAUUGUAAAUAAUAUAGAGUGAUCUAAUUGAAUAAUUUAUUUGCUUGAAUUGCAAGAAUCGUAAUUAAAAUGAGUUUUAUUACCAUUUAUGUAUUUGCUUUGUUUUAGAAUCAAAAUCCGAAUGAGUUAAAUUAUAACCAAUUGCUAUAAAAUCAUUCAUUAAUUUUUAUCAUAAUUAUUAUUUUAUAUUUUAAUUAUUUUUAUUGUUAUUAUUAGUCAAAAAUUAAUUAUUAAUAAUAAUUAUCGUUAAUUAUUAUUAUUAACAAUUUAACGAAAAUUUAUUAUUAAUUAUUGUUAAUAGAUUAAUUAAUUAUAACACUUUUUAUUCUUGUUAUUAAUAAUAACAACAAUAAUCUAUUUAAAAAAUAUAAUUAUAUUUAUGAUUAUAAUAGAAUAAUAGUUAUAAUUAUAAUUCAUUUGAUAAUAAUUAUGUUUUUUAAUUAAAUGGAGGUUAUUUUGGAAAUUUAAAAUUAUAGGGGGCGAAUUCGAACUCUAGGAUUUCAAUAAAAUAAAAUUGAUCAUAAAGGGCUAAAUGAAAUUUUAUAAUUCAAAAGUUUUAUAAUACUUACGCAUAAAGUAUCAAUAAUAUAGAAUAUGGGGGGUUAGAUGAAUAUUUACAUACUGGCCGUAAGUUACAAUGUAGCUUUGUCCACUCCAGUCUCUCGAGUCAUUUUGAUUCGAGAAAUGCUAAACGUAGGGAACGGCGAGAGAAUGCCGAGAGAAACGGCAGCUUGUGCUGCCGUUUCAAGUGCUCUCUCACCAUUCCCCACAUGACCCACACUUUUCUUUUCUUUUUUCACUUUGACCCCACGUAAACUCCACUCCACUUCUCCUUUUGUUCUCUCCCCACGUGAACUCCACUUCCCCUUUUGCUCAUCUUUUUCCCCCACUUUCCCUUUUGCCAAAGUUGCUUCAACAAAGCAUCACCAGUUAAGGAGUCAGCCCGAAGAAGCUCUCCCCCAGUGUGUAUCAUGAAACAAACAACACUAUCAUCAACACAAUGAACAAAAGAAAAGGUGAAAGUGACUGUUUGAAAUAUGAAGUUUGCAGAACAAAGGAGGUUUAGAGUCAAACCUGUAACUUCGACUAAUCCAUCGUGCCAAAGUAAGAGCCUCGGGUGAACCAGGAAGUGCUUUUGGCCCUGCAUCAGGGCCGAGUCGGGAGGGGGAUAUAGCCAUUGUUACCCUCUGUACAGACCCUAGUUCAUCACAAGUCAUUACUUCAGCUCAACUCGAGGCCGAGUUUCCUCUCACUCCUCUCCCCCUCUCGCUCCGUUUUUCCUCUCACUCCAUCAGGAGCUUUACCAGGUCUCCGUCUCCCCUCUCGCUCCAGCUGCAGCUUCGUCUCCAUCUCCCCUCUCGCUCCUACACCUCUCACUCGCUACUCAUCUCCCUCGCGCGCUACUACUUCAGAUCUACCCGGUGGUCGGUGCUCUCGGUGGUGCUGCUUGCUGGUCCUCGUCUCCCUCAUCUCUCUCCAUCUCCCUCUCUCCGUUUGGUUUGUAAUUAUUUUUUGAUAAUUAAUUUUUUAUAAUUGUCGGUAAUUUUAUCUGGCAAUUAUUUUGUUCAGUAAUUAUUUUGUUGGGAAUUAUUUUGGUAAUUGUAUUGUUGAUAAUUAUUUUUUGAUAAUUAUUUUAAUAAUUAAUUUAUGAUAAUUGUUGGUAAUCUUGUUUGGUAAUUAUUUGGUUGAGUGAUUAUUUUGUUGGGAAUUAUUUUGGUAAUUGUAUUGUUGAUAAUUAUUUUUUGAUAAUUACUUUUUGAUAAUUAUUUUUGGAUAAUUGUUGGUAAUUUUGUAAGUAAUUAUUUUGUUGGGAAUUAUUUUGGUAAUUGUAUUGUUGGUAAUUAUUUUUUGAUAAUUGUUGGUAAUUUUGUAAGUAAUUAUUUGGUAAAAAUUGUCGAUUAGUGAAAAUUGUUAGAUUAAGUUUGAAAAUAAUUUUGUUAGUAAUAAUUUUUUGUUUUUUGUGGCAGUUAAAGUAGUGUAAUAUUGACAAUGUUAUCUAGCACAAAUGAAAGUCGAAAUUCACGGUAAAUAUAUAAUGAAUGUGGUGGCCAAAUGGAGCUAUUAACAUCAAGUGCUAUAAAGAAAGAAAUCAAAUCGCAAAAUUUAGAAAUGUAAAGUAUGCAUAAACUUUCAAUUGUUGUCUUCAUUACGUUGUUGAUGUAGCAAAUAUUGGAAACUUUUACUUCUAGAUCCUUCGUACGUUAUCAAAUAACAAGGAUAAUAUGGUUGCAAAGCAUACGGAGUGGUUGUUGUAAUACACAAAAAAUUAAAAUAUAAUAUGAGAUUUUAGAAAUUAAAAAAUAUAAGCAUACACUAACAAAUUAAAAAAUUAAAAUAUAAUAUGAGAUUUUAGAAAUUAAAAAUAUAAGCAUACACUAACAAAUUGUGAUUUUCAAGUGAAAAUUUAUUUGGUGUCAAUUAUAAGAAAAUGACUGAUAAAUAUUAUGCACACUACCUUAAGUUGGGUAUAUAAAUACCUGCACAAAUAUAUAUAUGACUGAUAAAUAUUUAAUAAUACUUUUAAUUUUGUAUAUUUAAAAUAAUAUAUAUAUAUAUAUGACUGAUAAAUAUUUAAUAAUAUUUUUAAUUUUGUAUAUUCAAAAUAAAAGAAAAGUUUAACAUAAAAAUACAUAAACUUACCACUCAUGCUGACGCUGUUUUCUUUCUCUUGUGAUGAAUUAUUUUUGCUUGAGCAAUGAGCAAAUCAGUUCACGUGGGGGAGAGAGCAAAAGGAAAAGUGGAGUGGAGUUCACACGGGGCCAAAGUGAAAAGAGAAAAGAAAAAUGUGAGUCAUGUGGGGAAUGGUGAGAGAGUACUUGAAACAGCUGCCGUUUCUCUCAGCAUUCUCUCGCCGUUCCCUACGUUUAGCAUUUCUCGAUUUUGAUUCUUUACACGUGGAAAAAGUAAAAGGAACAUGUCAAUGGUCAAAUGUGAUGGGUAAGCAAAGCAUAUUGAUGGAUCAGGCAGCACCUACAGUUUUUAUAUAAAGAUAUCCCGGUUCAAGAUUAAUUAGUACGUAUCAGACAGUUAUUCAAAUAAACCAUCGCAUUCCCAAACAUGAAUCCCGAUCUGUACAGGGCGGCAGCUAAGGGUGAAAUUGAACCCUUCAACGAAAUUGCAAAAGAUGAACUUGAAAGCGUAGCGACUCACGAAAAGAAUACAGUCCUUCAUGUCAACAUUGCAUCCCAGCAAGAAGGAGAAAGGGUAUCAACGGAGUUCGUGGAGGGGAUACUUGAAAUGUGUCCAUCAUUGCUGCUACAAGUUAAUGACAAAGGUGAUACUCCACUCCAUGUUGCGGCCAAAUGCAGGCAUCCUGCCGUCGUGGAAGUUCUGAUUAAAUUCGCGAAGAAACAGUCUAGAGAGCUAGAAAGCGGUGUUGAUUGGGUAAGGUGGAUGCUAUUGAUGGAAAAUGAGGAAAAAAACACAGCGUUGCACGAGGCAGUGCAAAGUGGUAGCCUUGAUAUAGUGAAAAUAUUAGCGAAAGAAGGGCCUGAUUUUACGUAUUUUGCUUAUGGUUGUUAAGUUUGAGGAUGAAGUUGAACUUGAAUCAGCUCAUGUGGGAGUGCCAGUUGGAGUUUACUUGAUUACCAAGGGAGAUGCUCACACAAGCAAGGUGAUGCAAUCCACACGUGGAGAGGAAGAAUAUUCCAGUUGGCAGAACAGUUAUACAGAGAUUCCACAGCUGUUAGAUGUGUAGCUAAUUAGUUAUAGAUUAGUGGCUGUGAUUAAAACAAAGCACACACACUUUACUUGCUUUCGUAAAUUGUAAAUCUGAGUUGCUGAGCUGGAUGGGAAAACUGAUCAGCUACAUAUACCAGCAACAUUGUACAUUGCCUUUUUAAUAAAAAAUAUUGUUACAAAUUCAUUACUCAAAAUUCUCACAUGGUAUCAGAGCUUUGAGAAGCAACAAUGGCGAGUAAUGAAAAUCAAACAAACAGUCAUGGAGCUUCGAGCUCAACUGUAAACACUAAUCACAUUUCAAAUGUUAGCACCUCUGUUCUUAGCUCACUUGUCUUCAACACGCCAAUAAAGCUUACUAAUAACAACUACCUGCUAUGGCGAUCUCAAGUGAUAGCUACAAUCAAUGCAAAUGAUCUGGAAGAUUUGAUUGAUAACUCAAAGAGUCCACCUAAUCGAGUUAUGAUCAACAUUGACAAUGAUCAAACUGUAAUCACAACUCCAAAUCCGCAAUUCCAGAUCUGGAGGAGGAAUGAUCAGCAGCUGAUGAGCUGGUUACUCUCAACUUUAAGUGAAGAGGUUCUUAGUGCUGUAGUUGGAGCAAGAUCUUCUUUGGAUGUGUGGCAAAUUCUUGCAACUCAGUUCGGAGCAAGAUCCAGAGCCAGAGUUCUGCAGCUGAGAACUCAAAUUCAGACUACCAGAAAAGGAUCAACUAAUAUUCAUGAGUACUACACGAAGAUGAAAACCACUCUUGAUGCACUGAGAGCUGCUGGAAAUAAUAUGAGCAAUGAAGAUUUUGUGCUGUGCUUACUUGCUGGCCUUGGAUCUGAUUACGAUUCAAUUGUCACCACAAUCAAUGCACAACAUGAAGGCACAUCUCCUUCUGAUGUGUAUGGAAUGCUGCUGAGUCAUGAACAUAGAAUUGAAUAUCAACACUCUGUCAGUCACAUGGAUUAUCAAGCUAAUUUGGCUUAUCACAGAGGAAAUCAAAGGAGGAAUUGGCAGCCAAACAACAAUUAUGGUGGAAGACCAGCUGGAAGCUUAAAUGGAAAACAACCUGGUGGAAACAAUUUCAAUCAGAAUAUGAAUCCAUCAGACAAGUUCAAAGGCAAAAAUCCUACUGAUGAGGAAGAACCUAAGGGGCCAUGCCAGAUUUGUUUCAGAAAAAAUCACUCUGCUACUCACUGCUGGUACAGGUUUAAGAAGAAUUAUGUGCCCAAUCAAACACCUAACAGGAGGAGUGCAUACAUAGCUGAGAAUGGAGAUCAUAGGGAUGCUGCUUGGUAUCUUGACAGUGGUGCAACAAACCACAUCUCAAAUGACUUCAACAAUCUCAACAUCAGUUCUGAAUACAAAGGAAGUGAUCAGCUGGCUGUAGGUAAUGGAGCUAAACUCAAUAUAGUUUCUGUUGGUCACUCACUGCUCAGCACACUUGAUUCAUACACAUUAUCACAUAUCAAACUUAACCACAUUCUUUAUGUUCCAGAAAUAACCAAAAACUUGAUUAGCAUUUCAAAACUAUUGCAUGAUAAUAAUGUCUCUAUUGAAUUCCAUAAAACUUGUUGUGUUGUUAAGGACAAGAGAAGGGGGAGUGUUCUUUUGAAAGGAAUAGCUAAAGAUGGAUUGUACAAGCUGCUGAGUUUGCCUCAUGAUUCCAGUCAAUUCAAGUCGAUUCUGUUGUCUUCAAUUACUACUCCUAGUCUACUUACAGUAAAUAAAACACCUGGUCCUGAGUCUAUGUUGUCUGUCAGUUGUAAUAACAAUUAUACAAGCAACAAAGUGCUUGAUCUUUGGCACAUGAGAUUAGGUCAUCCUAAUGUCAAUGCUCUUGUGAAAACUUUAUCUGCUUGUAAUAUCUCUUUUGGAAAUAAAACAUCUGGUUUAUCUUUCUAUAAAGCUUGCCAGUACUGCAAUGCCGAAGGUAAUUAAGCUGUUCAUAUGUGCAGUUUAAUAGCUUUUCCAGACUUAAUAAAGUCUAGGAUCCCGGACCCGAUCAUUACUAGUAUGAUCAUGUAAGAGAUCCUGCACUUUAAUAUAAGGAAGCCAAUCAAAUAAAAUUACUUAAAAAUCACUCAAUAAUCACUCAAUCAUAUCGCUCACCCUUGUGAUAUAGAUAUGAUCAAGAUAAAAAUAUUACCAAUUCUAACUAUUUAAAUGCAUCCAGCUAGUGAUCAACUAUGCAUCCUCUGUGACAAUAUGCUUAAAAAUCUAGUUGUUUUACAAUUUGAGGUUACCGUGUAUAUAUAUAUUUUUAAUUUUAUUAAUUAAAUAUCUAUGCGCAUUAUAUAAAACCCGAAUUCCAAAAUUUUAAGUCUUGAUAAGACUGCACACUAACGAGUGUAGCUAAGGCCUUGAUCUCAAAUAUAUAUGUAUUCUUUUUUCAGAUGUGAUAAAACUAUUACUUGAGAAAAAGAAGAUUUUGACCAGAGAAAGGGACCUGCACCGUUGGACCUCACUCCAUCACGCUGCAUAUUUAGGUCACUCUAACAUCACAUCAAUGAUGUUAAAAUCUGAAGAUGACAAAAUUGUUGCGUUAUAUAAAUAAGAUGAUCGCGGGAUGACAGCUCUUCAUUUAGCAGCCAGCCAAGGCCAUGAAAGGGUAGUGAGAAGAAUUCUUCGCCAUUGUCCCGAAUCUUAUUCAAUAGUUGAUAACAGAGGAUGGAAUGCUCUUCACUUUGCUAUGGUUAGUUUAAGGGGUGGAGUAUUGAAAAGUCUUCUUGAAAAUCCUUAUGUUAUAUCUCUUAUACAUGGUAGGGAUAAGAACGGAAACACCCCUCUUCAUUUGCUUGCUGCUGCCUGUAGAGAUUCAUCCUAUUUCAUUGUCCCUGAUUCUGAUAUGUAUGAGGCUGUUAACAAGCAAAAUACUAGUGUUGAACACAUAGUACGUUAUGGAUAUCCUGAGCUCGAGGUAAUUCCCUCUUUACUCAUCAUCAAUGUUAUCAUUUUAUGAAUUCAGAUCCUUAAUUUACUCAUUUUUACUAUUUGCUUGCUUUUAAUCUGAACUGUACGUCCUGUCUUUUUUUUCCCCAGGUAUUAAUUAAAUUAAAAAAAUUAAACAAAUAAAUAGUUUGCAUAGCCAUCCAAAUUAAAUCAUAUAUAGCCAUCAAAUUAUAUAUGGAUCUCACCAUGCUUGAGCUUGCUUGAAUCCUGAGUGAAUAAUGUUAAUGGAAUUAAUGCUUAGGUAUAAUUAAUUAUCUUAUCAGCAAUCAAUAUGCAGAUCAGUAUAGAAUACACUUUCUGUGUCGCCCAUUGCUCUAAAUCAAUUGACCUUUAUGCACAUUUAUACCUCGGCAAAAUAUUCUCAGUUUAGAUUUCUUAACAUAUUCUAAUAGAGGUAAUGAAAAAGUUGUUGCUUAAUAAAAAAUGAAACAAGAGGUGGUGUAGAGAUAAUUUUAUACCUUAUUAAUUUUUUUUUCGUGUAAUUAAUAUUCAAAUUAUGUUAAACUACAGAAAGAAAUCGAAGAAUUGUCCAAAGAUGUUGGGACAGAAGGACAAUAUUCAAGAGGUCUUCUAUUCGUAAGACCACGAGAUCCUGAUGAUGUACUGAAAAUGGAAGAUAGAAGUGACUACCGGAAGGUUAGAGAGUCACAUUUGGUAGUGGCUGCACUCAUAGCAACAGUAGCCUUCGCAGCAGCUUUCACCAUCCCUGGUGGUUAUAAAAGCGAUAACGGCACUGCAAUCCUGAGGGGAAACACAGCUUUUCAAGCAUUUAUAACAUCAGAUACCAUAGCCAUGGUCCUUUCUCUUUCUGCCGUCUUUAUUCACUUCGUUUUGUCUUUCGAGGUAGGCGGGAAAGCCGAGAUUGAUUUGUUAGUUACGGCCUUUAUUUCCACCAUGACUUCCAUGGGGGCAAUGGUCAUUGCAUUCGUCACGGGCACAUAUGCAAUGUUAGCAACUUCUUUAGGGCUUGCCAUUAUCACUUGCUUCAUUGGCUUGACCUUUUUCCUCCUUGCUUUAUGCGUCAUGAGAAGGGCUUUUUAUAUUAUUGAAUGAAUUAUAAUUUAAUUAUAUAAGACACGGGGCCUCCUUUAAAUUUUCUUGUUUAGUAACUUCUUUACUCCAGAAAACAAAUUUGUUUAUAUAUGCAACAUAGGUGGAGCCUGAUACAAAGAUGGAUUGAUCUCACAUCAAUCUAAUUUUCACUUUCCUGUUCCCAAUAAUAUGUUAUCCGUUUGUUUGCAUUAUAAUUUCCUUGAUCAUGUUAGAAAAUCACCAAUUCCACCUUAUUUUAUGUCUUUUUAGAGAUCAAGUCUCUUUAAAAAUUUGUAGGAUUCUUUUUUUCUUUGUUUUAGAGUAUACUCUUUAGUCUUUACAAGUACAGGCACAGCAAAGGACAUUGUUCAUUUAAGGGAGAAAGAAACUGGACCAUCGAUUGAGUAAUAAUGACGCAAAAUCAUUGAAAAAGAAAGAAAAGACGAACCGGUGUCUGUGAUUCUUGAUGUCUAAUUUCCAGGUGUAAUUGGAUAAGUUGGCUUCAAGAUUCUUCACCAACAAUAAAGAACGGUAAAAAAAAAAAAAAAAAAAGCGAUGAAGAAAAGUUGUAGAAAAUAGUAAUUACAGUCUUAAUCUUUCUUAUAAGACAACUAAUCAGUGGGGUUCAAACCACUCGGCCUUGGCCAAGUGGCCAGAACCUUUCUCACUUUUACUGGGUGUUUUUGAUUAAAAAACAGUAAUGUAAUGAAAGUAAAUUAUAAUAUAAAUUAAGAAAAACUCUAUAUACAUUAUUUAAUUAAUAUCAAACACUUACACUUAUGAGAAGAUCUUAAUACAUAAAUAGUAUAUAAAUAAAACAAAAAUAAAGUAUACAUCAUUUAAUUGUCGUAUGGUCAAAGUGCAAUAUUUUUUUUUUAGGUUCAUUUUUUAAAAGAUAGAAAGUCAAGAUACAACUUAUUGUUUAACUGAGUAAUAUUCAGUUGUGUAUUAAUAUUUUUUUCAAAGAUAAAAUGAAAAGAGACUCACUUUUGGUGGUAGCAGCAACUCAUAGCAACAAUAACCCAUGCUGCGGCAUUCACCUUACCCGGCGGUACUGCAAUUCUCACUAAAAAUGCAGCUUUUCAAUCAUUUUUGGUAUCAGAUGCCAUAGCCAUGGCCGUCUCACUUUCUACUGUCUUUGUCCAUUUCAUUCUGUCAGUUAAGUUAUUUCAAAAAUACGUCUUUUUAUUGGUUUUUGCUCUUUCCUUCACUUUGGUUGCGAUGGCAGCAAUGGCGGCAGCAUUUGUUACAGGCACAUACACAAUGUUGACACCUUCUUUAGGGCUUGCUAUUGUCACUUACAUCAUUGGCUUGACCUUCUUCCUCUUGGUGAUUUUCAUGUUUUACUAGGUUCUAUCAAGAGUGAGGGAAUUUGAAGAUUUGCUUUGGUUACAACAAAAAGUUUUAAUAUUGUACACCUCAUCUUCUAAUACUAUGCUUUUAUAUUGAAGUUGUCCAUUAGUUUCAAACUAAUAGUGAAUUUUGUUAAUGAUGAAGAUUAAAGUACAUAAAUGCCAUUUUUUUUUCACCUAUUAACCAUUAAACAAUCAGUCAUGGAGACUUGUAAUUAGUUCUUGAAGAGUGUGUUUAUUUAAAGUGAAAACAAGAGUCUUGUCUCUCUGGCAAGUUUUAAUAUUGUACACCACUACACCUCAUCAUAAUAAAUAGCGACUAAGUCCAGCUAUUGUUUUAAAUAUGCAAAACAUAUAGAGAUGAUGAUCUCAUCUAUUUAUUAUGCGCAAUUAGUCGCUGCAUAGGCAUUCCAAUGGGUAAAGCUUCUUCUUAACCUACUUAAGUAGUGAUCAAAAUAUAAUGCAUACAAUCGUGUUGUGGCGAUCAGUUUUGCCGACGUGAUUAGAUUGAAAAUGAUCAAUUGAAGAAAGUAAGUUAAACAAGUUUGAUAUUUCAAAUAGAAAUGAAGAGUUCUUUUGAAUACUUUUUGACCAUAAAUUGUACAAUUUCUAACACAUUCUAAAUUCAGAAUAUCUACUAACUGCAUAAAGAAUAGAUCUGCAGUCAGAUAUAAGUUGAAAAAUCCAUGUGUACUUGAGAUUUUAGAAUAUAUCAGAACUAAUAUAUCCAAUUAAUAUAUAUUAUGCAUAUAUUUAUUUUAAAAAAUUAUCAUAUAAUUAAUAAUUAUAUUUAAUUGAACUACACAUAUUAUAUAUAUAUAUUAAUUGAAUCUACUCUAGAAUUAAUUCUUUUUGUGUACAUGACAAAUUGCUGGCUUAUUUUUCAGCAAGGUUAGAGAAUCAAGGGAAACUAAUAUUUUCACAAGCCAGAAAAGUUUCAAAAAUUAAUUAAACUUGAGAAGAUCAACAUGAAAAGGAAAAGAAUAGUGAUAUUUGCUUAAAUAGUAGAAUAAAAAAAUAACGCAUAAUAUCAGCGACAAAAAAAAUUCACUGAAAGAAAAAAAAAUUAUUUCACUCAUGCACAAUAAAAAAAAAUAAUGUGUUGUCCUAUUUUUUGAGUUUAGUGUUGUUAUGUUAUAUAGUACUCUUUUAUGUACAAACAUAAUAUUAUUCAUAAUAAUAUGUGCUAUGUAUUUUUUACUCUAGAUCGUUUCAUAGGAAUGCCUGAGGUUCUAAAAUUAUAUAUAAACCAGGAAAUUUGACAUUUAUAAACCAAGGAAUUUGACUUAAUUAAGAGCUACUUUACUAACUUCUCUAAGAACUAUAAGAAAAUUUACAUACACAAUCUCACAAAAUCUUUAUGAUUUCCAAAAAUUAAACAUCAAUUAUAGAUAGUGUUCAAAUUUAAACAAAUCUUUACCGUUGGUGUAAAAAUUGCAACUGGAAAGCUAAAUUCACACGUUUCUUACUUUAAUCUAUCUUUUCACAAACAACACAACUGAAAACUUCAAUUCCUCUUCUGUGAAUGACCACCGCCGGCCGCUUUUCCACCUGCCACUUCCUGCGUUCAACAAUGGCUGCCUAACUAAUUAAUACAGCACCGAUAAGGCUAAAUCUUCCUUGCACCAAAUUUGAGUUUUAAAAUAAAAUCAAAAUCGCUAUGUAAUCUUCUGGAUUAAUCAAAUCAAGAUACGGAUAAUCAUACUUUUAAUUAAUGCAACUUAUCAUUAUAAAAUUUCAAAAAAAAAAAGCCUAUCAUAUUAUGGGGGAUCAGAUACCAAAAUAAAUUUGUCAACUUAUUUUGCUCGUUUGGGAUCCUUUUAUUUAGUUGAAAAGAAAAAGGAAAAUGAUAAAAGGGAAAAAAGUAUGAUAAAUUUAUGAUAAAAAUAUGUCCUUUGUGAAUGUUUAAAAUUUUCUCUAAUAAGUUUACAUUUUUCUUUUUUCUAAAAAUUCUCAAAAUUAAUUAAAUGAUAAAAGUUUUUAUUAUUAUAUUGUCACGCUUUUAUUUAUUUAGCAUUGCUUAAAAAAAUUGAUUGACGCUAUCGGCAAUAAUAUAAAAUAAUAUUGGAUAGCUAGACCUGGCUGUUGACGCGAAAGACAAAAAAAAGAAAAACAAUUGAUAAAGAAAGAACAAGCGCAUAGAAAAUAAUAAUUGCGGUCUUAUAUAAGACACUAGUGGGGUUCAGAAAAACCUUCUCCACCCAUUUUUUCUUGGCUUCACAUUUGUUUUCUCUUGCAUUCAAUUCUAUGUUGAAAUUUGAUUAAAAAAACGAGGAAAAAAAAGAAAGGUGGCUUCCACCAAAUUUGUUGAUGAAAUUUGAUGGCUACGCCACCAAUUUUGAUCAAGAUUGGUGGGUUUGAUUUUAGGCAAAAUCUUGCCUAUAAAAGGAAGCUCUCAUUUGAGAGCUUGGCAUUCAAAAUUCUAGAGAAGCAAUCCCAAAAUUUGAGAAGAAUAUGUAAGAGAAGCAUUGAGAGCUUCAAUAUGGGAGAGAAAAAUUCUUAAGCAUGCAGUUAUAUUGAAGGAGUAUUUGGUUUCUCAAUAUGGGUAUUACGGGUUUGUUUUGUUAAGGAAUAUUUCUCGAAAUUAUGUAUUUGGGGCUUAGGUGAGAGAAAAUUAUUUGUGAGAGUGUGAUUGUAAUAAUUUUUCAUAUAGUGAAUAUUUUUUCUCUGGUUAUCUCUUAACAACGGCCGUGGUUUUUCUCCGAAUUUGAAUUUUUCCACAUAAAUUUUGUGUUGUGUGAUUGUUGUAUUCUCUAUUUAAAUUUUUUGUUAAUUUAUUAUUUGACAAAUUGCUUAGAGUGAUAUUGGGAGGAAGCUCAAUUUCCUAACAUUCUAUAGUAAUGGGUUACUAACACUGAUCAUUCGUUAGAAAAAUUUAAAAAAAAAAACUGUAUACAUUAUUUAAUUGUCAACCGGUCAAAGUGCAACUUGUCAUUAGCUGAGUUAUAUACAAUGAACCGCCUAUGAGAUUAGGAGUCUUUAAAGAUAUAAUCAAAAGUGUGAUAGUUACAUUAUGUGGCCAAGUGCAUGGGGAAAAGUCCACCGUAGUGAAGUUCUGACGUGAAGAACCUGUGGUCUAUGGAUUGUCGUAGACUUAUAGUGAGAGGAAAAAUACUUGAGCUACUUUUUUUUAUUUCAGCGGACUAUUUUUUCAUCACUGCGCUCUAGUUUCAUCUAAGUUCCCUUAACAUUUAAAUACUCUCAAGUCCCCAAUCUAGCAAGCCAAUUAGCCUGUUACUUCCUCUGCUCCAAACGUAUAUACAGUACACAGUCUGUACUCAAACUCAAAUAUCAUUGCAUUCACAAAUUAAGAUGGAUCCUGAUCUGUACAAGGCUGCAGCUAAGGGUGAAAUUGAUCCCUUCAACAAAAUUGCAAAAGACCAUCUUGGAAGCAUACUGACACACAACAAGAACACAGUCCUUCAUGUCAACAUUGCGUCCCAGACCCACAAACAAAAUAGAGAAGGAGAAAUUGAAUUGAUGAAGAGUCACAACAGGAAUCAAGUCCAUCAUGUCCAUCAUGUCACAAACUUAUUCCAGAUCCAAAUACACAAUAGAGAAGGAGAAAGCGUAUCAACCAAGUUCGUGGAACAGAUACUUGAAAUGUGUCCAUCAUUGCUACUACAGGUCAAUGCCAAAGGUGAUGCUCCACUUCACGUUGCGGCCAAAUGCGGCCAUCGUUCUGUUGUGAAAGCUCUGAUUGAAUUCGCGAAAGGACUGCCUCAAGAUCUAGAAAGCGGUGUGGAAAGCACAGCAAGGCAGAUGCUAGGGAUGACAAAUGAUGAAAAAAACACAGCAUUGCACGAGGCAGUGCAACAUGGUAGCUUGGAUGUUGUGAAAAUGUUAAUCAAAGCAGACCCCCAUGUUCCGUAUUCUGCUAAUUGUAGAGGCGAAACUCCACUUUACAUGGCAGCCGCGAGAGGGAUUUAUUUUUAUGAAAUGGUAGCUGAAAUAUCAGAAAACUGUCCUUCAGCGGCGCAUGAAGGCCCCAAUGGGAAGACUGCCCUCCAUGCAGCAGCUAUCAGCUAUGAACCAGGUACCGCUUUUUGUAUAUAUCUACUUCAAAUUUUAAGAUGCCGACAUGUACAGUAGCUAUUAAUUAAUUCUAGCUAUUUGAAUGCAACAUAGUGUGGCUAGGUUACGAUCCCGUAGUAAGUAAAUUGCUUGAAAAAAGGAAGAGUUUGACCAGAGAAAGAGACCAACACGGAUGGACUCCACUCCAUUACGCUGCGUAUUCUGGUAAUUUUGGUGGCACACAUCUAUUGUUAGAAUCUGAUAGAUCUGCUGCGUUGAUUGCUAACAAAGAUCGGAAGAUGACAGCGCUUCAUUUAGCAGCUGGUCAAGGGAAUGAAUCGAUAAUGGAUGCUAUCAUUGACCAUUGUCCGGAAUGUUGCGAACUGGUUGAUGACAGAGGAUGGAAUGUUCUUCAUUUUGCUAUGGUUAGUUUUAGUGCUAGAAAAUUAAAAGAUCUGUUGGACAAGUAUCCAUUUGUCUGGAACCUUAUAAAUGAGAAGGACAUCAAGGGAAACACUCCUCUCCACGUGCUCGCCGCUCUCUGUCCACAAUCAUACUACGUCGUCUCUUAUGUUGUCCCUUGGAAUACUGGUAGAGGUUAUUAUGAAGCUGUCAACAAGCAAAAUAUUAGUGUUCAUCACAUAGUACGUCAUGGAUUUCCUGACCUCGAGGUAAUUAAUUACCUUUUUACUCAUCAAUUUUAUAUAGGGUUAUAUAUAUAAAUGUGAGUAAUGAAUUUGGAUUUUGAUUUGUGCUAAUUUUUUAUACAUCUUUUAAUUUUCAAAACAUAUAUUUAUAAUAGUUAUUUAUUAGAAUUUAGUUCUGAAGAGUUUCUUAUACUACGUAUAACAUUAUUAGAACUUAGUUGCGUCUAUUUUCUCGUACUAUGUAUUAUGCAUACUAAAGAUUUAUUUAAUUUAGCAAAUAUAUAUGAUUUCCAGCAAGAGAUCGGAGAGUUGACCGAAGCUGAUGGGAGUGGACAAUAUCCAGAAGGUGUCGUCAAAAUGAAAAAAGACAAGAUCGAAAAGUAUUCAUUUUGGAAAUUUGUAGAUGAAAAUGUCAUUGGAAUGACAGAAGCAUCAGAGUCACAUUUGGUAGUGGCAGCACUCAUAGCAACAGUAACCUUUGCCGCAGCAUUCACCUUACCCGGUGGCUACAAGACUGAUAAUGAAGACGGCCGAAACAGGGGCACUGCAAUUCUCACUAAAAAUGCAGCAUUUCAAGCAUUCGUCGUAUCAGACGCCAUAGCCAUGGUCCUCUCACUUUCUGCUGUCUUUGUCCAUUUCAUUCUGUCACUUAAGUUAUUUCGAAAGUUUAUCUGUUUAUUCGUUUUUGCUCUUUUGCUCACCUUGGUUGCCAUGCUAGCAAUGGUGGUAGCAUUUAUUACAGGCACAUACGCGGUGCUGUCACCUUCUUUAGGGCUUGCCAUUGUCACUUGUUUCAUUGGCUUGACCUUCUUCCUCUUGGUGAUUUUCAUGUUUUACCAGGCUCUAAAAAAUGUGGAUGAUGAAGAUUAGACACAUGGUUGCAGUAAAAGUACUACUAUAUAUAUAUACUUCAUCUUCUUAUAAUACUACGCUUAGUUUAUACAUCCUGCUAUUAUGAUCUGGAGUUGUAAGUUGUGACUUUGAAAUUUAUUACCGUAUCGAUCUUGUGAGUUUGGUCUGUUAUGUACUAGCUAGUUUCCUAAUUGAUAUUUGGAUAUUUCCAAUUGUGAUUUGGAUAACCAUCAAUUAUAGAACUUCUAGCACAUUCUAAUUUGGAAAUGUCUACUUACUGUAUAAAGAAUGGAGCUGUUAAAUUGAUGGUUUAAAAGUGAUACAAACUUUUUUUUUUCAAUUAUAUGGGCUAUGAUAGUUUUAUAUAAUUAAUUUAUUUAUAUUACAUUAGCUUGUAUAUAAAUAAAAUAGUUGUGGCUCUAUCAUCAAAUAAAAAUUACAGUUGCAAAAAUAUGAACUAUUGUAUUUAAUUAAUGUUUCACAAAAUUAAAAGUUUAAUUGUUUAGAAUUCAAUUUGCCAUUAAUCAAAUUGUUUUUUCUUUCUUUUUGUUGUUACAACCGUGUGGCUGGAAAAAAAUCGUACUUGGAUCUUUUGGCUUCUGUUUCAGGUUCGGACUCGGAUUCCGGAUUUCGGAGUCGGGAGGAGAGGUUGGGUAAAAAUUCUCCCGGUGCCAAACAGAGGAGUUGAAGUCAAGACUGAAAUUGAUGACAAGUGAAGUUUGCUUGGAAAGCUCUUGGGAAAAGUGGAGUUGCUUGAAAAGCUGUUGGGUUCUAUUGUAUUCUAGUUUCGAGAAUGUCUACUAACUGCAUCACUAAUAGAGCUGCAGCGAGACAUAAGUCGAGAAAGCUCAUGCAUACAUGCCAAAUUGCUGGGGAAUGUUGUAAUGGCAAUUCUCAUUUCUCAGCAGGGUUAGAGGAUCAAGGGAACAGAGGGCCGCCUCCGUGUUAAGACCUGUGCUUGCUGUGAUUUAUUAUCGUGGGAUCACACUUCACACACAACUUCAUACAAGUAAGAUAUAUGUUCUCGACUUGCCCACACUUCAUGAAGACCUACUUCAUUCAGCACCUUGUGUGCAAUCCCCUCCAAGAUCUCCCUCCCGAAAAUUUUGAAGGUGAUGCCACUAGAGCCAACAGGAAAGAGCACUUCCUCUGUACAAUCCCCUGUUGUUUCUUUAAGCAACAGAGCACAUAGACAUAGGGAAACAAGUUGGUGGUCGUGGUGAGUGGGUCACUAUAUAUAACCUAACAUUUAGGUAGUGGAAUUCAAAUGGGCAAUCAUAAUUUAGACUGGUACCAUGAUAAAGUGGCAAUUUGUAGAGAUGGCAGGUUCGCACUUAUUUGGAUGGCUACUACAUAGCUUGAAGACUAUAAAGAAAACAAUCUAAUUCAUGCAAAUAUAUCCACAUAAAAAGUAAAGAUUAUAUAAAUCUCUUCGACUGGAAUGUUCGGUGAAAGAAAGCUCUAAAGCAAUAAAACAAUCCCCUGCAAGGUAGCCUUUACCGUUGCAUACAAAGAUCUUCGAGAGCCUCAAAAAAUGUGUCAAGGGGCGAUUUAAUAAAGUUGCUGGUCGGGAUAAAAGACACUGCUUCUCACCCCAUGCUAAAUUGAUUAAGCAUAAGAUUUCCACAUCUAUGCAAAAUAAUAACCAUGUCAUCCCACCGCUCAACGUCAAAAGCUCCUCAAGGUUCUAAACAUGGAUCAUGGUCAUCCGUAUGUAGCAUUUCCCUCAUAUACUAAAUUCUGUACAUCCAUUUUGCCACAGGAAAACCCAAUUUCUAUAACCAUCACGGUUUGCUCUAAAAGCCGCGAAUUUAUAGCUGUUGAAACUUGAAAGAGGGAAGUUCAUGCGUACAUGCCAAAUUGCUGGGGAAUAUUGCAAUGGCCAUUCUUAUUUCCCUCUCAGCAUGGUUAGAGAAUCGAAGGAGCAGAGGUUCUAAAAUUAUAUAUAAACCAAGAAAUUUGACUUAGAACUACUUUUCUAUUUUCUCGAAGGACUAUAACAAAAAUUAAAUACCAAAACCCAGAAGUCUUCUUGAUUUCCGAGAAAUUCAACAUCAAUAUAGCUAGUGUUAAAACAAAUCUUACCAUUGGCGUAAAAUUCCAGCUUGAACGCUUAAUUUACACAUUUCCUACUCUAAUAUCUCUUAAUACAAACAACACAACUCAAAAUUUCAAUUCCUCUUCUAUGAUUAAAACUAGAUAUGAAAACAUGAUGAUUUCUAAGUUUAAAACAUUCAAAAAUCAAAUACCUCUUUUCUUUCCCUUUUCUUUUAAGUGGGUUUAAAAAUUAGUACUAUGGCAAUGUGGGCUUAUUAAGUUAUUGGAUCAACUAAUGAGAUACAGUCAUAAUUACUUAAACAGAAAACGGGCAACGCCCUUGGUUAUUACGUACAGAAGGUAACCAAAAUUCUUCUCUGCCACUUCCUGCCUUCAACAAUGGCUUCUCAAUGAUCUUUUGUUAUAAGUGCUGGCACAAAUAAAGGAUGUUGAUAAUUCAGCGAAAAAAAAAAAAUAAAUAAAUAAAAAGACGGUUGGCUGAUUUGAUGGUAUCGGUAAUAAAAUAGCGCUGGAUGGCCAGACUUGGCCGUUGACGCCAAAUACGGGAAAAAGAGAAAAAUGAUCGAAGAAGAAAGAACAGGCAAAAUAAUUCCAGAUUUAGUCGAAUUAGCUGGCGUCCAGAUUCUUCACCAACCAUGGAGAAAAGUCAUAGAAACUAAUUGUAAGUCUAUCAGUGGGGUCCAAACAGUAGAACAAUACUACUACUCCACGCACUUUUUCUUGCCUUCAUAUUUGUUUGUCUUCUUUUAGACUUGACCAUUUCGUGUUUAGGUUUUUCAAUAUAUAUAUAUAUUUUUUAUACUUAUCAUAUUGUUUAUAUUUAUACUAAUGCACGUGUUUCUAUUCAUUUAUUAAGAUAUGCUUUAAAAAUUAUAAAUACUAAGGUUACUAUCGUUUGACUAUUUCAUAAAUUAUAAAAUAUUAAAUAAAUAUUGUAAUAUGUUAUUUUGUUAUAUUAUAUAUUAUUUUAUUAUUAAACUUUAUAAAACCUUCUAUUUUAUUAUAUUUUUAUUAACAAAGUUAGUCCUCUAUUGUUACUAGUUGAAGCAUGGCAGCUAGCGAAGCUAAUUCUAUGAGUGGGUAAAAAUGAGUUCACAUAGGAGACCAAGAUAAAUUUGUAUAAGGUACUUAAUCGUUGAUUAUUGAAUAAAUUUCGCCAAGAAGUUUUAUUUGUGGAGAAUAAUUUGUGUGGGGCUGUCGCACUACUUUAUUGAUGAAGCGGUCAUAGCGAAAGCGGAAAUUGAUAGGGUAGGAAAAUCAUAUAUCGUUCUAGUACUGGACCAAGCUAACGCAAUCAGAUUAUGCUCUAAUUGAAGCAUGAUUAGAUCUUGUUAUAAUCCAAAAAACUUAAUGAGAUUUUUAAUAACGCAUAAAGCAAGAAUAGAUGAUGCUCUAAUUUAAACGACUCUAUAAGAGAGAUUUUGAUAGAUAAUCCCAAAGAAAAUUACAAAAGGAGAAUUUUAUUGAAUAAUUGAAUCUGAGUUAUGAAAACAAUAACAAGAUAGAGUAAACUCACUUCCAUAAGUUAACUUAAAAAUGGAAAGUAAAUCACAAUUAUAAUAUAAAUAAAAGAUGAAAAACAUAUCAUAAUAGACUCCAAUUAAAAUAGAAAGUCUUAAACUAAUAAAAGUUCUAGAAUCCUAAAAUACCUAAAAUAACAUCAUAUAUCAUUCUCCCCCUCUUAAAAGAAACUCAUUCUCGAGUUUGAAUACAGUCUGGAGGAUGAUACUUGUAGUAUAAGACUAAAUCAUCUUGUAAUUCAAACUUAUUGUCUUUCUCAUCAAUUUUUCUCGAAACUUUAAAGAAGUCAUAUUUCAUCAAUUUCCUUUGCUUGUACAAUCUUCGUGGUGAUGAAGACUUCCAAGAACAAACAAUGAUCAAAUAAAUCUUUCCCUUCCCUAAUCGUCGCUCAAUGCGUUCCCCAACAAGUUUAACAUUUUCAAUCAAAUCUUCUUCAAGCACAAUCUCCUUAUCUUCAAUGUAAAUAGGUAGAAACAUUUCGAUCAUUUUAGCUUCUUCAACUUGAUUUUGCUGCACAUCCUCAAUCGUACUGUUAGGCUCAAUGCGCAAAUCAAUGGUAGGUUGUUCUUCUUCAUCAAAAAUCCCAAAGAGAUAAAAAAUCUCAUCAUCUUCAACACUUAUCUUGUCCUCCAAGGAAAUAUCAUUGUCAUAUUGAAAUCUUAAAUCAAUAAUAAAUUGUACUUUUUUCUUCUGCAACAUUAGACACAUUUUCGACAUGUGGAGAAGUAUAAACUUCUUUCAUCUGUAUAUUUUUCACUUUAAGCUGCUAGCUUGCAAUAGGAUUAGGGAUCUCAAAUUGGUGUCGAUGAUGAAGUUUUCUUAAUUGCUUUAAUGCUUGGCUUUUUUCUCUUCUGAUUUGCAAUACAAUUAGCAAUUCAAUUAGUUUCGCUACAAGAAUUGCAUGCUGCAAGGUGUAUAUAGUGUAUGCAGGCAUCCUUUCUUGAAUAUGUAAAUCAAACUCUUUCACAAAUCUUCUAACUGUACUCUCUUCAGGCUCAUAAUAAUAAUAAUUGCAUUCAUAAAGUUGUUCAAACUCAUAAGCACAAGCAGAAACGGAUCUCGUAUCUUGUUGUACCAAACAAUAAUCAAGAAAGAUAAACUCAUAUCACAAAAUACACUUCAUACGGUUCUAUGAUCGAAUUUUGCAUUUGCCUAGAUUAAGUCGAGAAAUUUGCAACUUAUCCCAUCAUUCCGAAACACUUGUGCUUAAUGUACAAACAACAAAUCCUACUUGCUCUUCUUUAGGAGAGCGCCAAAAUGAAAAUUAGUGCUCAAUUUUGUCCAACCAAUCAAGAAAUUUGUUUGAACGAGUGCAUACAAAUAAUUCCGGCACAUUAUAAAUAGGAGGGUAAAAAUGGUAGUUUGCCAAUUAUUGCCAAGUUUGCACACAAUGGCAAAACUAUAAAUAAUGGUGAACUCUCGGGUUUGGUGUGGUCGUUGGCUAGUGGCCGUGAGUUGGUGCGGUGAAGGUGGGAUCUGGUAGAGUUGGUGGUGAGGAACACGUUGGUGGCAGUGGAUUGGCCGGAUCCGCAGCAGUUUGGUCGGAAAACUGAAUUAAGGUGGCGGCAGCUUAUGGUGGUUCGUGGUGGUUUUUUGGCCAGUGCUUGGUGGCAAUUGGUGAUGGAUUUUAGAUGUGUGGCUCGAGGGGAGUGUGGUGGCGCAUUGCUCACGGUGAUAAAGUCUGACGGUGGAAAAUUUGGAGGUGGAAAGCGGAGAGUUUUGAGGUUUUGUGUGUGGCGGUUCUGGUGGAGUUCAAGGACAGUGGUCGAUCAGGUUUUGUUGGGCGAAGGCUAGGGAUCACAACGGUGGCGACAAUUGACUGAAAGAAAAGGUGAUUUCGCAUCAGCGGAUGGUGUAGGACUCGUGGAUUUGGGUGAUUUUCGCGGUGGUUGCAACGGCGAUGAGAGCGUGCUGCGCUGGCCUUUGGUCGCCGGAUUACAGUGAGUCCGAUGGUGGCACCGGUUGUUCGUGAUGUGGCCAGAUGGUGGUGAUAGCGGUGGUGGGCAACAGUGUGGCUGGCGGCUAGGGUUUCAAAUUCUUUUUUUUUUUUUUGGACUUUUCGUGUUUUGUUAUUUUUGGUUUUGUUUGUGAAUAAAUAGUGAUGGAUUUGGAUAAUCAUGAAAGCUGUGUAAUUGGCAAGAACGGCUCUGAUACUAAUUAAUGGAGCGGUCGUAACAGAAGCAGAAAUUAAUAGGAUAGGAAAAUCAGAUAUCAUUCUAAUACCAGACCAAGACAAUACGAUUAUAUUACUCUCUAAUUUAAGUAUAAUUAGAUCUCAUUUUAAUUCAAACGACUCAAUGGAAUUUUUAAUAACUCAAAAAGCGAGAUUAGAUGACGCUCUAAUCCAAACAACUAUACAAGAGAAAUUUUUAAAGACAAUUCUAGAGGAAAUUAUAAAAGAAGAAUUUUAUUGAAUGAUUGCAUCUGAGUUAUGAAAACAAUAUUAAGACAAAGUAAACCCACUUCUCUAAGCUAACUUAGAAACAGAAAAUAAAUCACAAUUAUAAUAGAAAUAAAGACGAGAUACGUACCAUAAUAGACUCUAAUUAAAAUAAAAAGUUCUAAAAUAAUAAAAAUUCUAGAAUUCUGAAAUGCAUAAAGUAACGUCCUACAUCAUUUAUCAUGAUAACUUGCUAAGGUGGUGAGAUCAGUAAACUAGUGUUUUGUCACAUGACAAAGUAAUGGUUCUACUACGAAAUCUAUAAACUUUUUUAAUAUUAAAUUCAAUGGUUCCCAAGGUAGAAUUAACUAAUGCCUAAUUUAGGAUCGACUACUACGUCGUAUGGCAGAGUCCUAAUAGAAUAAUUCUACACAAAUUUUUCUUUUAUUUGUGAUACUAAGUAAGAUAUUCCACAUUCUAAAAGAGAUGUCGUGUUAUUAAUUUUUCAUCAAUUUAAUUUGUUUUGCAUUUCGUACUUUUCUUUAGACAUAUACUUAUCCCACUGUAACAAUUUGAACUUAACAGUACUUUUGACUAUGUAUAAACAAUUGAUUUUUUAAAAUAUAAUUUGAAGAAAAGAAGUCAUAAAUCAAAUUUGAUUCAUUGAAUUGUGAGAGCUUUUUCGGAUUCUUGACCAUCGAUCAUAACUUAUAUGUGGCUGCCCCAUUUUAACUGUUACAAAUGCUGUUUUAACUUAAUUAAAGUUUCAUGAUGGAGUAAAGAACAUGUAUAGUAUAAGGCAAGGAAUAAUCCCUUUAAAAAGAUAGUAAUGAAUCUUCAUAUAUAUUAUUUAAUUGUUGGAUGGUCAAGCUAUAAUUUUUAAAUGAGUUAUUAUCUUUUGGGAAAUUAUCAUUCAUAUAUCCUAUAUUUGUUCUGUUAUCAAAAAUACUACAACACUUUGAGGGUAUAUCAAUCGUCCACCCUUAGUUAACAAAAUGUAUCAGCCGACUACCAAACCGUUAGUUGCCGUUUGAAAGUUAACGGAGUUACAGUGAAUUGAUGAUUUUACCCUUGAAAGUUAUCACUUGUAUACCCUUAAAUUCUCUUUUUAUCACUUGUAUGCCUUUAAAUUAUCACUUGUAUCAUAUGAAAAGACCAAAUUACCCUUCUGACGUCAUCAUACUUAAACGGCAACUAACGGUUUGGUGGUCAGCUGAUACAUUUUGUCAACUUAGAGUGGAUGAUUGAUACACCUGAAAUACAAGUGUACAACCCAAGAGGGGGGGUGAAUUGGAUUUUUAAAAAUUAUCCUAGUUAAACCACACAACAAUUCAAUCUAAUGCCUUAAUCAAUUCGAAAACAAUAAAUUCAAUGAAACACAAUAUUAAAAGAGUAAGGGAAGAGAAAACGAACACAAGGAUUUUUACGUGGUUCGGCUAUCCCCGCCUACGUCCACGCCUCCAAGCUCACCCGCUUGAGGAUUUCACUAUCCAAGCCUUUUCAAGGCUUCAACGAUUACAAUUGACUUCGAGGUGUCAAUAAACCUUUACAACAAGAGAUUAUAUCUCCAAUCUCUUUACCCCAAGUGUUUCCCACACUUGUACUCUCACAAUUUGAUGAGAAAUGAUAAAUACAACAAUGAAUCUCUCUUUAAGAGUGGAUAUACAAAUUGAAGAACAAAGAUGAUUUAAAGAAUGAUGAUUCACGAAGUUGAAGCUCAAUAUAUGUUGUGUGCACUUGUUCUUGCUUGUUGGAGAUUGUUGGAGAGCUUUAAAAUGAGUUGGAUUUGAGUUCUUAUAGUUUGAGCUCAAAAACUAGCUGUUACUCACAUUCUGGGCAAUCCGGUUUGCCGUUUAUGGAAUCCGGUAAGCCGGAUUUAUGUUACCGUUAAGGCAAAAUUCAAAAUUUUGCCUAACCGGCUUGCCGGAUUCAGAAUCCGGUAAGCCGUUUUCGUUCUGGUGCUUACUGCCGCGAAUUCGGCUUUCCGUUUAUCAGUAACCGGUAAGCCGCUUGCUACAGUAACCUGCUACAGUAAAAUAUUUCCCAAAAUUUACAGUUUGACCCCAAAACUUUAUAAAACUAUACUAAGGCCCAAAACGUUAUGAAACUUUAUAAAUAGAUCCAAUUUCAGAAUUUCUAAAUAAUGCUUUGUUUAUCCCAAAACUUUUUGAAAUUAUGAUAUUUCCAAAGAUGCUAUGACACUUUUCAAAUAAGUCCUUUACCAAAAUUUCAAGCAAUACUUGUUUAUUUCAAAGUUUUCAAAAUUCUUUCAAUUAAACCAUAAACUUUGAAAAACAACCAAUUUCAUAAAAUCAUUUUUCCAUUAAAUAUGAAACAUUUAUAAUGUGAAAAUAAUGAUUUAUUUAAAAAGAAUAAAAACAAUCAAUUUCAUGAAAUCAUUUUUCCAUUAAAUAUAAAACCUUUAUAAUGUAAAAAUAAUGAUUUUAUUUAAAAAGAAUAUUAAAUAAUUUAGGCUUAAAAGAUUAAUCAUUCUUAAUCUUGUUUGUUAUCAUCAAAAUCAAUAUUAUGAAAACAUAUAUGUUAACAAUCUCCCCCUUUUUGAUGAUGACAAACAUUUCAUGUAUUUAAAGAAUGAUUCCACAAAUUGCUCCCCCUAAAUAUAAUCUUCUUUUACAAUUUGCCAAUUAGCUAAAUUAAUGAUUUAAAUACAUGGAUUUUUCUCCCCCUCAUCAUCAAAAAGAAAAACUUAAUUGGCAAAGACAAAAAAAUAGUAAUUUUUUUUUAUUAAAUUCGAAAACAUGUAUUCUUCUCCCCUUCAUCAUUAAAAAGAAAACGUAAAGGAAAAGAAUAAGAGUAGGAAAUUUGUUACCCAUGUUGUCCGAAUAGAAAUUUCGACAAAAUCUCCCCCUAACAACAAGCAUCACCUCAAAUAUAAAUUUAGUAAUAUUACUCAUAAAUUAUCAUCAUAUCUCAAAAUCAUCAAGUACUCACCAUAAUCACAUAUCAUCAAAAUCAUCAAAAGAAUAUUCAAAGUGCAUAUUAUUGUCCUCCUUUUGACAAUAUUGAAAUGAUAUAUUAUUUUGUCUCCCCCUUUGGACAACAAAAAAAUUCAAAAUGCAUAUUAUCCAAAAUCAUGUUAUAUGCUCCCCCUAAAUAAAUGGCCAAUUUAAAAAUUUAACCGAAAUGAUUUUAUCCAAAAACAUAUUAUAUUUGUCUCCCCCUUAAAAAUGAACAAAUUCUCAAAUACACAACAUAGUUAAAAACACUUCCAUAUAAGCUUAAACAAUAUCAACAACUCCAUCAAUUUAUCAAGCAACACACAUAUAAUCAUCAAUUACCAAAAUCAUCAAGAAAUCAAAUCAUUCCAAGUUUAUGCCGAAUUUUUAAAAAUUCUUCUUUGCAAAGAGGUUUUGAUUUCUUUACAAAAUUGGCAUGCAUAUUAUCAAAUAUUCAAGCUCCAUAAUUAUCAAUGCAAGUUAAAAAAUGAUUUGAAAAUAGUUUAAUAAAAACUCCCCCUGCAUACAUGCUCCCCCUAGAUACAUGCAUAUAUUUUCAUAACACAAAUUAAAUCAUUCUCCCCCUUUUUCGAUAUCAUUUAAAAUAAGUAAGACAUAUUCAAUAAUACAUCGAUAAAGUACAAAAAAUGCAUUCAUUCACUAAUCAUAGAUUGCAUAAGAUCAAGCUUCAUCAAAUAUAAUGUAAUCAUCAAUGCACAUUCUUUAUCAUCAAAACUUAAGUAAAAACAUAAGUACAUAAUGGCAAUAUAUAAAUCAUCAAAAUCAACAUAUGCCAAUAUAUAGAUCAUCAAAAUCAACAUGACUAUUAAGAAAAGCCAUAAUGAUGAGUUAAAGAACAAAUGAUCAAAUCCAUUAUUACAAAUGCUCAUAUAUAUUUUUAAGAGAUGAUAUAGUAGUUACACCUUGUGAUGAAUCUCUCAAAAUUAAGUUCUUAAGGUGAGAAGAAACAUACCUCCACUCUUUAGGGAGUGUUUGAGAAAUACCUUCAUUUUACUCCGCAUUUGUUUCUUCAUGUUGCUCCUCUUGAUUUUCAAGUGGUGCAUUCUUUUGGCUAUCAUUUGAUAAUCUUCUUGUAGCUUUUCAUCUACAUUAUCAUCAACAACAACUUUCUCCAUAGAGGAAGAAUUAGACUCAUCAAAUAUAACAUGUAUAAAUUCUUCCACAAUCAAAGUUCUUUUGAUAUACACUCCAUAAGUUUUGCUUGUGUUUGAAUAGCCAAGAGAAAUACCAACAUCAAAUUUGCCAAGAUUAUCUUUUGUGCUCAAAAUAAAACAUUUGCAUCCAAAUAUCAAACAAUAAUCAUCAUCAAUCCACAAUGAAAGCAACAAUGUAUAUGAAAAUGUAAGUGCAUAAUAUAAUAGAAAACUAUGGUAAAAUCCAUAAGGAGAGCACACUAUGGAAGUGGUAAUUUGAAAUACUCAAAAUGCACAAAUUCGAAUUUUCAAGAUAUUGAGUAAAAUAAGUAAGUUUGAAUCAAUUAAAAUGAUUUUAGACACAAGAAUGGAUGGGGAAUAAUUUAUAUGAAUCAAUUUGGAUUGAAAACGAAUGAGAAUGAUGGAUUUUGGAAUGAAAUCAAGUGAGGAGUAAUCGGCUUUUAGUGAGAGAGAGAGAAACGGAAAGCCGAAAGAGAGGGAGAAGAUGAAUAGUUGAAAUAGCAUCCGAAACUGGAUUGCUGAAUGAGCUUAACCGGAAAUCCGGUUGGUUCCAGCAAAUGUUUCACGCAAAUCCGGUUUUCCGGAUAACACGAACCGGCUUGCCGGUUGGAUCCAGAAGAUAGCAAGAGAGAAUCGGCUUGCCGGUUUGCCAAAAUGCAGCUCGAAUUCGGAAUUCCGAAUUGACAGAACUGGAAAUCCGGUUUGGUCCAGCAAGCGUUCCUUGUGAAUCCGGCUUUCCGGUUUUGCUAACCGGUAGUCCGAUUUGAGGCAGAAAGUAACGUGCAAGCUAUAUACCGUUGGAAAGAUAAUUAAGUUAGCUUUCCAAUAAAUUUUACAGAGCUUGAUUUAGAGUUCUCUAGAAGAAGUUAUGACCAAUUCAUUACAACAUGUGCAGACUUGAUUUGGAGUGCUUAUAAGCAUUCAAAAAUAAAAUGCAGAAAGGUCAAAUUCGGAAUAAAAACUGUAUUGAUUGAGCCAGAAGUAAUGUACAAGAUAUAUACCGUUGGAAAGAUAAUUAAGUUAGCUUUCCAAUAAAUUUUACAGAGCUGGAUUUGGAGUUCUCUAGAAAGAGUUAUGACCAAUUUAUUACAACUUGUGCAGACUAAAGAUUUUCACAAUAAUUAAACAUAUAAACAUUCAAAAGUGAAUAAAUUAAACACACCACUUAACUAUCAUGCUUAAACACUUCAUAAACAUUAACAUCAAACAAAUCCAUCAUGAUAAAUCACUCAAUAUUACACACAAUAAUAAUUCCAUCAUAUAAACAUACAAGCAUACUUUCGCAAUUUCAUUUAUCAUGAUUCAUUCAACAAAAUUAAUAUGGCAAGAAUUGUUACCAAAACAAUUAAAUUAUCUUGCCUCAUCUUUUUCUCCUAGAUCAUGCUCAAAUAAUUAUCCUCACAAGCUUUCAUCAAGGAACUUCUCCACCAUUCCUUGAUUGUGGUACCUACAAAACAAAUUCAAGUUGUACCCUUUGGUACCCAAAUACUCUUGGGUCCUUGAAUGUUAGAUUUAGUUCCUUUUGGAACCCAAAUACAUUUGACUCCAUAAUACACAUUUCUUUUAAUUGGACAUCUAUUCUUCAUGUGACCAUCUUGAUUACAAUAAUGACAUACAAUUUGAUUGUUAAUGGAUGUAUUCUUCACAAAAUAACUCUUGUAAAAUUUUUGUUUCAAAUUUGGUUUGUAACCAAUGCCACUUUUGUCAAAUACGCAUUUUUGUGAAUUUAGCAAAUUGUCCAACAUCUUUUGCCAAUUUGUAAAUUUUAACACAAUUUGAUUUAACUCAUCACUCUUCUUUCUAAGCACUUCAUUUUCUUUUAUUAAUUCAUCACCAUAUGAUUUCUCAUGCUCAUAUGAAGUACUUUGUUUACAUGUGAAUGAUGCAAUUUUAUCAUGUAACAUUUCAUUAUCUAAUUCCAAUUUUUUGAUCUUUUCAUUUAAUGAAACAUUGGAUUUUUGCAAGGCAUCUUUUUCAUUUUUCAAUUCAUUUACAUGUGAUUCUAGAUGCUUGUGUGAAGUGCUAGAUUUCUCAUUUGAUAAUACAACUCUAUCAUGCAAUGUUUUAUUUUCUAAUUCUAGGCAUGUGAUCUUUGUACUAAAUGAUUCAUUUUCAUUCUUAAGCUCCAUCAUCUUCUUUUUAAGACAUAUAUUCUUUUUACCAAUCUUCAUUAACUCAUCAUGCAAAUCCUUAAAAGCAUCAUGUAAUUCAUCAUAUGUAGGAAGAUCAUUUACCUCUUCAAGUUCAUUAUCCGAGUCAUCUCCAAUUGUCAUAAGUGCCAAAUUCGACACUUCAUGAAAUUCCUCCUCGCUCGUAGUCUCCUCAUACACAAUUUCAAGUUUUCUCCAAAUUUCAUAAGCAUUAGAACAAUUUGAAACUCUAUGAAAUUCAUUUUUAUCUAAGGUACAAAAUAAAGCAUUCAUAGCCUUGGAAUUUAAAGACAUAUUUUUCUUAUCCAAUUCACUUAAAACAUUCUUCCUAGGAAUGAAUGAACCAUCACAAACUAUUUCCCAUAGUUCAUAAUCUAAGGCUUGUAAAAACACUCUCAUCCUAAUUUUCCAAUAAGGAUAAUCAUUACCAUCAAAGAAUGGAGGUCUAGUGGUGGAUUGGCCUUCCAUGAAAGUUGAACUAAUUUGGGUUGCUAUUGAUCUUUAACUCUAGACGGUUAAGUCUACACAAGAGCACCUUGCUCUGAUACCAAAUGAAAUACAAGUGUACAACCCAAGAGGGGGGGUGAAUUGGAUUUUUAAAAAUUAUCCUAGUCAAACCACACAACAAUUCAAUCUAAUGCCUUAAUCAAUUCGAAAACAAUAAAUUCAAUGAAACACAAUAUUAAAAGAGUAAGGGAAGAGAAAACGAACACAAGGAUUUUUACGUGGUUCGGCUAUCCCCGCCUACGUCCACGCCUCCAAGCUCACCCGCUUGAGGAUUUCACUAUCCAAGCCUUUUCAAGGCUUCAACUAUUACAAUUGACUUCGAGGUGUCAAUAAACCUUUACAACAAGAGAUUAUAUCUCCAAUCUCUUUACCCCAAGUGUUUCCCACACUUGUACUCUCACAAUUUGAUGAGAAAUGAUAAAUACAACAAUGAAUCUCUCUUUAAGAGUGGAUAUACAAAUUGAAGAACAAAGAUGAUUUAAAGAAUGAUGAUUCACGAAGUUGAAGCUCAAUAUAUGUUGUGUGCACUUGUUCUUGCUUGUUGGAGAUUGUUGGAGAGCUUUAAAAUGAGUUGGAUUUGAGUUCUUAUAGUUUGAGCUCGAAAACUAGCCGUUACUCACAUUCUGGGCAAUCCGGUUUGCCGUUUAUGGAAUCCGGUAAGCCGGAUUUAUGUUACCGUUAAGGCAAAAUUCAAAAUUUUGCCUAACCAGCUUGCCGGAUUCAGAAUCCGGUAAGCCGUUUUCGUUCUGGUGCUUACUGCCGCGAAUUCGGCUUGCCGUUUAUCAGUAACCGGUAAGCCGCUUGCUACAGUAACCUGCUACAGUAAAAUAUUUCCCAAAAUUUACAGUUUGACCCCAAAACUUUAUAAAACUGUACUAAGGUCCAAAACGUUAUGAAACUUUAUAAAUAGAUCCAAUUUCAGAAUUUCUAAAUAAUACUUUGUUUAUCCCAAAACUUUCUGAAAUUAUGAUAUUUCCAAAGAUGCUAUGACACUUUUCAAAUAAGUCCUUUACCAAAAUUUCAAGCAAUACUUGUUUAUUUCAAAGUUUUCAAAAUUCUUUCAAUUAAACCAUAAACUUUGAAAAACAACCAAUUUCAUAAAAUCAUUUUUCCAUUAAAUAUGAAACAUUUAUAAUGUGAAAAUAAUGAUUUAUUUAAAAAGAAUAAAAACAAUCAAUUUCAUGAAAUCAUUUUUCCAUUAAAUAUAAAACCUUUAUAAUGUAAAAAUAAUGAUUUUAUUUAAAAAGAAUAUUAAAUAAUUUAGGCUUAAAAGAUUAAUCAUUCUUAAUCUUGUUUGUUAUCAUCAAAAUCAAUAUUAUGAAAACAUAUAUGUUAACAACACCCUCAAAGUGUUGUAGUAUUUUUGAUAAUGGAGUAAAUUAAGGGUAUACAAAUGAUAAUUUUCCUUAUCUUUUUAUUAUGUCAAGUAUUGUAAAAUAACAGACCACUACACAAAAUAUUGAAAGGCAACAUUUAACUACAUUAACAUUUUAAAAGUAAUAGUUUACUACAUUUUCAUCUGCCAUUAGUCUAUUGAUGAUGUCGCAUUGACUUCAUAUGGGUAAAAUUAUAUAUUCAUCAAAUGAAACCCAAAUAUUUGUAAUUAAGUCUCACAAUUAUCAUUUUUUUACUAUGACAAGAAUUACAAAAUAACAAAUUACUACAUGGAUAAAAGGUAACAUUUCACUACAUUAACUUUUAAAAAUAAUAGUUUAUUACAUUUAUAUCAAUUUACAAUUAAUUAUGCAACAAAUCAAUUGUAGAGGCAAUAUUGUUAUUCAACUAAAAUUAUAUAUUUAAGCGGCAAUAAAAUGUUGUUUUGCACUAAGAGCAAGGCAAAAUUACAAAUUCACAUGGCAUUGCUUUAACAUUUUCUUUUUAUUUUAAGAGUUAUACAUUAACGGUAAAAUUGAUAUUUUAACAUAUUAACUAUAGAAGUGAUAGAAAUGUAGUACACUAUAAUUUUUUAAAGAAUUCAUGAAAUGAAGUUUUAUCUCUCAAUAAUUUAUGUAGUGAUUUGUUAUUUCGCGAUAUUUGAUGUAUUGAAAAAGAGAUCUACCUAUGUUACAACAGUUACACCAUGCCACAUUUUUUUUGUAUUUAUUUGGCAGAGCUAUUGGAUGAUUUAUUGUUCAAUCUAAUCGGCUGAAAAUAUUUUUUUGAAAAAUCAAACAACCACUGCUCUACGGUUUAGGCAGUUGCUUUCAUACAGGUAAGAAUUGACGGACAUGGAUACUUGAGGCAACUGUAGACCGAAAUUGGUAUAAAGAAGAUCACAAACAUCAUCUAAUUGAAACUGAAAGAGUGAAAGUGAUUCCGACAUCAAUCUUCACUUCUUGAGACAGCAUAGUAGAUGAAAAUUAGUGCAAAAAAAUUGUAAAAUUAAUUCAAGAAUUCCAAUCAUAAAUAAGAAAAUGGCCUGUCACGUGCAGGCAAAUUUUUAUGCUAUUUGGAUGAGUGAUUCAGUUUGAGUUGUUUUUCGGUGGCUUUAGUAGAGGAGUCAAAUUGAAAUUGAAGAUUUCAAACCAAAUUGGUUUUUGAUGAUUUAAUACCUGGAUGCGGCAGCAAAUGCUUCUCUAAAUAAUUUUUUUAUUUAAUUAAUUAUGUGGGUUAGUAGACUUCAGUUGAAAAUUUAAUAAAUUUGUCUAAUAGUUUAAUUAUAUUUUUUUAUUUAAUUUUAAUGAAAAUUUAUAGAUUUAACUAUUUUCUACAUUAUAAUAUAAAAAAAGACCACACUUCUAAUUUUUUUAUAAUGUUAAUUAAUUACACUUUUAACUUGUAAUUUUUCUCAACCAAAUCGGUGAUGGUGAUUAAUUGACGCCGAACGAAACGAGCAGUCUACAAAAUUCUAAACUUGAGAACACUAAACUUGCCAUUAAUCGGUGGUGGUUGGUGUACUUGGCAAUAAUUUGGUGCCUGUUGGCCAUUGAUUGGUCAUGAAUUUGGUGCCUAGUGGCCAUUAAUUCACACAUCUCCAUGAUGGCAGCAAGACGAGAACCCUAAUUGUGUUAAACAGCCGCCUAAACCGUUAACCGGUGGCUAUUUGAUUUAAAAAAAAAAAAAAUUAUAUGCAGCUGUUAGAUUAAACAAAAGCAUGCAUCAGCUCUGUCAAAUAGACAAAAAGUGUGGUAUAAUACAACUGUUGUAACGUGGGUCGAUAAAAAAAUAAUAAUCUUUGUAAAUUAAAUUAAGAAUCACUGAUGUUUUCUUUUAUAUAAAUGUCUAUUGGACCCACUGACCCCACAAAGCAUUAGGGUUAAAACUAAGCGUGGGGAAACAAAGCCCCAUGCCCCCAUGUCAUAUUUGGUGAAAAAUAAGCCAACCCAAAAUUGAUUAACUGAAUGAAUAUUACUUAAUGAGCAUUAUUGUCCUUAAUAAUCUCACUGAAUAGUAUUGUAAUGCUUCAGCAAUUUCAUUAAAGGUUCACAAUGAAGGAUCCUGCUAUGUUGACACAACGGUAACAUACCACACUUCUUUGUCCUUUUGAGUUAAUUACACUGCAGUCCCUAUUUUAUUCUAAAAUUAGAAAACAAUUAGAUAAUCCUAAAUUUUGACUCAUUAGUCCUACUUAUUUUGAUUUUUUAAAACUUAAAUCAAAAGGUGAGGGUAUUUUUUAAUUAUUAAUUCACACACCCAUCAUCAAAGUUUUAAAAAGAAAAUUUACUCCAUACAUUUACCUAAAUGUCAAAUAUAUCCUUGAUAAAACUAAUUUUUUAUUUGUACUAAAUAAAUAAAUUAAAAUGAUAUAAAAAAAAUUGAUUGAAUUCUUUACAUGCCCAUUAGUUUCAUAUCUCUAUCUCCAGCAAUUAGCAACUAAUUUCUAUCACUAACUCAAAAUUAUCGAACAUGAGAUGUGAAAAAGGUUCUCAAAUAAGUGUGGAGCAUAAAAUGGCUUUACCUCCAAAUUCUUAUUAAAAGUUUCUAAACUUAUUCAUCAAGCUCGUAGAUGUAAAAAUAAAUGACAAGCAAGUUGCAACCCCCCCCCCCCAUUUUUGAUACCUUCUUAUUAAAUAAAAAAAAUUAUAAAUUGGUAUAUUAAUAUAUUUUUAUUGCAUAUUGAAAUUAUUUCCUGAAUAUUGAAUAAGUAUUAUGAAAAAAAAUAUUAACUACAAAUUAAGAACAAGAAAUCAAAUUCAUACUCAUAUUUAUCAUAAAAUAUGGUUCGAAAUUAAUACAUGGUUUUACUAUAUAUUAAAUUAAUUAAUUAAUUAAUAAGAAAUAAUAUUAAUUUAAAUAUAUUAAUUCAAAUACAAGAAUAAAUCAAUUUAUCAGUGAAAUUAACAAGUUAUUUGACACAAUAUAUUGUAUUACAUUAGCUGUAUUGUAUUACGGUAUAUUAAACUAUAAUACAAUGUCAUGUUUGGUGCAACAUGAACUGUAGUAUAUGUAAUAAUAUUUUAUAUCAUUAUUUAGAUUACUAUUAAUUUUCAAUUAAUAUUUAUUAAUAUUUAAAUAUUUAUCAUUUGUUAAUUAACUAUUUAAAAAUAAUUAAUUUUUAUUUACUAAUUAUUAUAUUAUAAUUAAAUAACAUAAUAUUAUAUUUUUAUUUUUAUAUAUUAUUUAAGUAUUUAUUAUUAGUUAUAUUAAAUUGUUAAAUAAUAAUCAAUUCUAUGUAUUAAUUAAUUUAAUAUAAUUAAAUAAUUUAAUAUUAUGUUAUAAAUUUAUUUUUAUAUAAUAUUUAAGUAUUUAUUAUUAUUAUUAUUUAUAUUAGCGUAUUAGAUAAUAGUCAAUUUUUACUUAUUAAAUUUUAUAAUAUAAUUAAGUAAUACAUUAUUUAGUUGUAUUUUUAAUUAAAAUGUUUUAAUAUUAUUGAACAAUAAAUUGUAAAUUUAUGGACUAAUAUAACUUUGUUACUUUUGUAAUUUUGUAGCAAACAUUAGGGAUUAUAAUGUUAAUAACUCAAAAUAAACAUCUUAGCCAUUGCACUUGUUUUGAGUUAAAUAUAACGGUGGAUUAGAAAAAGACAAAAGAAUGUGGUAUGUUACCAUAGAGGUAACAUAGCUAGACCCCACAAAGAAAUAUAUUGAUUACAUAUUAUAAAUCAGACCGAAGCAAUGAGUCUUCAUGCAUAUUAAUUAAUUGUUAAUUGAAUGGUCAAGGUACAUUUGGCUUCUGAAUUAAUUAAGAGUCAAUUUGAUGUUUUCCCGCAAAACAAAAUGUAUAAUUGUCUAUUGGAUGAUGGUAUAAUUGCAUAUCAUUAAAAUUUUAUCAUUACAAUAGGAGAAUGAUACUCUACUUAAGAUAAAAUCUUAUAACUUAAGAAGGACUGAUUUAAGAACGAGAAAGACUAAGAGGGGAUGAUUGAUCACUUUUCCUUUUUGGAGAAUUAAUGAAACUAUAAGAACUCAUGGCAUACUCCCCCCUUAGUUUAUUGGGAUCAUACUUCAGUUGAUGAACCGAACGAAAUGGUAGUGGCCUUUGUGCAUGUAUAUGCAUUAAUUAAUUGUUAGUGACUUUAGAUAUUUUCUCCGAGUACUAUGCAAUACCGAUUAAAAGAGCAUAGCUGAACACAGAAGCGAAGGGUGGGGAAACAAAGCCCCGUGCAAGUCAUAUUUAGUAAAAAUGAAAAAAAGAUAGUGCAUAUAAAAUUUAUUAACUGAAUGAAUAUUAGAACAUUAAUUUUCUCCUUAAUAAUCUCAAUUACAGUUCAGUAAUCUCAAAAAUAUUUUUGUGAUGCUCGAUCGAGUAGUUAAAUGAAAGAGAGGUAAAGAUUCUCGAUAUAUAUUAUACAAUAGUUCGAUGUUCACUAAAGGUAUAUCUUUAAUCACUUUAAUUAAUUUUUGAGAAAUUCUCUCCCAACCACAAUAAGAAUGUUAAAAGUGAAUCUAACUACUACAAAUUUUUAAUAUAUCUUAGAACCACCUUAAAUUUUAGUUUUAUAUCAACUACUUUUCUCUUAAUUAUAUUAAUCACUAUUAAAGAAUCAAAGAUAAAAGACUAUUUUGUUUUUGGAUUCUUUUAAGAAGGUAAAGUAAUAUUUUGGGAUUGCUAAUUGUAGUCUUUUAAUUUAAAUUAUUUAACUGUAGCUAACGAAGUUAACGAAAAAGUGAUUAGUUGAUAUAAAACUAAAACUUGAGGUAAGUCUCAAAUAUUACCGGUUAUUACUAAUUGUACUUUUAAUAUAUUAAUAUUCUUGAUGUGAUUGGAAAAUAAUUUUUCUUAAUUCUUUACUGGACAAACUACGAAAAGCAUCAAGCAGCAAACCGCAGUACUUAAAAGAUCCAGGAUUAGUAAUUUGGUAUGCAUGCUGCAGUCUGUGCUGAAAACUCAAAUAUCAUCGCAGUCACAAAUUGACAUGGAUCCUAAAUUAUAUGAUGCUGCAGCUAAUGGCAACAGCAAAACUCCGCUCUAUAUUGCUUCGGCAAAUGGAUCUGUCGAGAUAGUAACUAAAAAUUUACAGAACUGCCCAUCACCUACUCGUGAAGGCCUCGAUGGGAAGACUGCCUUGCAUGCUGCAGUCUAUACAUAUCCUACAGGUUCGCUUAAACGACCACACACACACACAUACACAUACAGUUAUUAUCAAGUGCGGACUUUCGCAAGAAAUUUUAUGGACAUAAAAAAUAGGAAAAAAAAAUGAGAUAGGAUUCGAUGUUUAGCUCGAUCCGUGAUGAGCACCGAUUGAGAUUUAUUUAAUAUGUGUCGUAGUUAGGUUCCAAUCAGUACAAACUCAAUUGAGCAUGUUAGACAAUCACCACGAUCCCCUCACCUUAUUUUUGGUCUUUUUUGAGAUCAAGUCUCUCCAAGUUUCCCUAGAUCUCCACCCGCGUUUGAAAGUACACUCUUUAGUCUAUACAAGUGUCAGCAUAGCCUUCUGACUGAAAAAAAAAAGUGUCAGCACAGCAAAAGCAAAGGAUAUUGAAAAAAUGGACCAUCGACUGAGUAAUAAUGACGCCAAAUGCAAAAAGAGAAAAAUAUUGAAAAAGAAAGAAAAGACGAAUCUUUGUGAUUCUUGAUAGCUAAUUUCCAAGUGUAAUCCGAUAAUUUAACGUCAAGAUUCUUCACCAUCCAUAAAGAACAGUCAAAUAUAAUAGAAAAGAAAGGGAGCUGCUACCUUACGUUUAACGUAAGGUACAACAUUUGCUACCUUACGUUUAACGUAAGGUACAACAUUUGCUACCUUACGUUUAACGUAAGGGACAACCUUUGCUACCUUACGUUUAACGUAAGGGACAACCUUUGCUACCUUACGUUUAACGUAAGGUACAACAUUUCCUACCUUACGUUUAACGUAAAGUACAACUUUUUCUAUCAGCGGUGGGCCUCAGUGGAGUAUUUUAGUUUUUCUUAUAAGACAAUUAACUAGUGGGGUUCAAAUAAAACUACACACAACAAUUUUUCCUCUUUUUUUCAUUUUUUUUGGACUUGAUCUUUUCGUGUUUACUGUUUAGCUUCUCCAAUAAUAUUAUUAUACCUAUCAUAUAAUUUAUAUAAUUUUCAGUAAUGUGAUUAAGAAGUUAAACAUGCAAUUUAUAUUAAUAAGUGACGCCAAAAAUUUUUCAAGUCCACAAUUUUUAUUAGCUUGUUUGAUUUAGAUUUUUUCUACGCAUAUUGUCAUUGAUUUGAGACCCAAAUUGACUGUUAACAAAAUAAAAUAAUAAAUUGUUCACAUAUCUAAGUGGAAUAAGGAAGAAUUUUGAUAGUAAAUUCGUUUUUUUAUAAAUAUUUCUUUAUAAAUGUGAUGGCUCAUUUUUAGGUUUUAAUAAAAACUUAAUGUAAUGAAAGUAAAUUAUAAUAUAAAUUUUAAAAAAUGUAUAAAUUAUUUAUAUGUUAAAUGAUUAGGUAUAUGAGAAAAUCUUAAUUUACAAAGAGUAUAUUAAAUAAAACAAAGAUAAAGUAUACAUUAUUUAAUUGUCAGAUGAUCACAGUGCAACUUAUUAUUUAACUGGAGUAAUAUACAAUUAUGAACUGUGUAUUAAAUUUUUUUAAAGAUAGAAUCAAAAUUGGGAUAAGUCCACUAUAGACUAUGAGUUAUUUUAAAGAUAGGAAAGAGGUUUAUCCAACAGUAGUUGAAAUGGGUUCCUCUGGUGCUUGAUUAGAUCUUAAUGUGUGAAAUUAUUUAUGGUCAAUUUGAUAAUUCUAUAGCUUUUAAAAUGAUUUUUAUUAACCGUACUGUAGAAAUAAUUAACUGUGAAGAGAAUAAAUUAAAUAUUUAGUAAAAUUUAUUUUUAAAAGUGUUAGUAAAAUUUGUAGUGUUUAAAGUUAUGUAUUAUUGUUAUACAUUGCUCUAACUUUAACUUGAGUCUUAUGAAUUAUCUUAUAAUUACUCUUAAACUUGAUAUAUUUUUGUAUUUACAUUCAUGUGUCAGUAUAUUUUAAGCUAUUAUUGGUUCUUUAAUAGAAGACACAUUUUCCUAACAAAAAAAAAAAAAAAAAAACCAGUUCUGUCAUGAAAAAGGUCUGGUCUAAGGACUGUGGUAGACAGUGACUGGUGCAUGAGAUAAAAGGCCCCAAGUCCAGUUGUAAAGCGAAAAGCGAAGCCCAAUACUGAAAGAAAGAAAUACUUGGGCUAAUUUUUUAAUUUCAGUUUGCUAUCUUAUAAUUACUGCUGACAGCAUUCCCUCUAGUUGAACAGCUAACCAAACAAGCCCACUAGCUUCUUUCCCACCACUUGUACUCAACAACUCAAAUAUCAUGAAUUCUGAUCUGUACAAGGCUGCAGCAAAGGGGGAAAUUGAACAGUUCGAAAAAUUGGCAAGAGGCGAACUUGGAAGCAUAGUGACUCACAAAGAGAAUACAAUCCUACACGUCAACAUAAUUGCAGCCCAGACCCAAGAAGGAGAAAGUGUCUCAACCAAGUUCGUGGAACGGAUACUUGAAAUGUGUCCAUCAUUGCUACUACAAGUUAAUGCCAAAGGUGAUGCCCCACUCCAUGCUGCGGCCAAAUGCGGAAAUGCUGCUGUUGUGGAAGCUCUUAUUGAAUUUGCGAAAAAACAGCCCCAUCAAGAGCUAGAAAGUGGCAUGGAAAGUACAGCAAGGCAUAUGCUAGGGAUGAAAAAUGACGAAGAAGACACAGCGUUGCACGAGGCAGUGCAAAGUGGUAGUCUUGAUGUCGUGAAAAUUUUAUUGGGAGCAGACCCUGCUUUUCCGUAUUCUGCUAACGGUAGCGGUCAAACUCCACUUUACUUGGCAGCCGCGAGGGGACAUAAGAAGAUAUCAGCUGAAAUAUUACAAAAAUGUCCGUUGGCGGCCCAUGAAGGCCCCAAUGGAAAGACUGCCCUUCAUGCAGCAGUCUGCAGUUACUCUCGCGGUAUGGAUGCGCAUGCUUUCGUACAAAAUUUAAUACCAUAAUUGUUUUUUAAAUUGUUCGGUUUUUUAAUAAAAUUUUUAAAGAUUAAAUAAUUUAUUCUAAUAAAAAUAUAAAUUUUAACCUUUUAAUAACAGAGUUUGAAAACUUUUUAAAAUAUUUAAAUAUCUAAAAUAUUUUUUAUUUGUUUGACAAUUUAUUUUAUUUAUUUUAUAACACAAUUUUAAAAAAAUUAUUCAUUAAAAUAAUUUUAUAAUUUUAAUCAAAUUUUUAUUGGCAAUCAAAAAAUUAAUUUUUUUUUGAUAAAAAUUUUACUAACAGGAACUAUUCUUAAAUGGAUUUUAUUUUAAAAAUAAUAUCAAACAUAAGCUUAGUUGUUUAAUUUUCUUUUCUUUUUAGGUGUGAUAAAACUAUUACUUGACAGAAAGAAAAGUUUGACCAGAGAAAGAGACCAACACGGUUGGACUCCACUCCAUUACGCUGCGUAUGUUGGUCGCUUGUGGGGCUCAAUCCGUUUAUUAGAAGCUGAUAAAUCUGCUGCGUUGAUUGCUGACAAAGAUCGGAAGAUGACAGCUCUUCAUUUAGCAGUCGGCCAAGGGAAUGUUGGGACGGUACGUCGAAUUAUUGACCGUUGUCCGGAAUGUUGUGAAUUGGUUGAUGACAGAGGAUGGAAUGUUCUUCACUUUGCUAUGGUUAGUUUUUAUAAAAGUGACUUGAAAAGUCUGCUGAACGAAUAUCCGAUCGUCAGAAAUCUAAUUUUUGAGAAGGAUGUGAAGGGAAACACUCCUUUCCACGUGCUUGCUGCUGUCUGUCCACAUCCAUACUAUGCUGCCGGCUAUGGCAUCAUCCCUAGGAAAAUUGCUCAAGGUUAUUAUCAAGCUGUCAACAAGCAAAAUAUUAGUGUUGAACACAUAAGUCGUUAUGGAUUUCCUGAACUCGAGGUACUUAAUUCUUUUUUUAACUCAUCAAUGUUAUAAUUUAUAUAUGGAUACGAGUAAUGAAAUUAAAUUUUAAAUUUUGGUUUUUUUUAUUGAUCUUUUUUCACCCGUGUAUUUAUAGUAAUUAUUUAUUUAGGAUUUAAUUAUACACAUUUCUCAUAUGAUGUGUAAAUAAAACAUUAUUGAUUUUGAUAUCAUGUAUGAAAUUAAUUUUAGUAUGUGAAUUAAUAAAAUGUAUAGUCCAAUGCGUAGAUGUUGAUGUCAAGUCAAUUUUUCCUUCCCUUUCAUUAAACUCAUAUUCUUCCAGUUACAUUUAUAAUUUAGCAAAUAUGGCUGCAGGAAGAAUUUGAAGAAUUGUCCAAAGCUGAUGGCAGUGGACAAUAUCCAGACGGUGUCGUCAAGAUAAACAAAAACAAAGUUUAUACGUUUUGGAAAUAUUUAGAUAAAUAUUUCAUUGGAAAGGAAAAAGCAACAGAAUAUCAUUUGGUAGUGGCAACACUCAUAGCAACAGUAACCUUUGCUGCUGCAUUCACCUUACCCGGUGGGUACAAGAGCGAUACUGAAGACGGCCCAAGUAAGGGUACUGCAAUUCUCAGUAAAAACGCAGCUUUCCAAGCAUUUGUUGUAUCAGACGCCAUAGCCAUGGUCCUCUCACUUUCUGCUGUCUUUGUACAUUUCAUUCUGUCACUUAAGUUAUUUCGAAAGUUUAUCUUUUUAUUCGUUUUUGCUCUUUUGUUCACCUUGGUUGCCAUGCUAGCAAUGGUGGUAGCAUUUAUUACAGGCACAUACGCGGUGUUGUCACCUUCUUUAGGGCUUGCCAUUGUCACUUGUUUCAUUGGCUCGACCUUCUUCCUCUUGGUGAUUUUCAUGUUUUACAAGUUUAUAUCAAAAGCGUUGGAAGAGGAAUCUGAAGAACAGCUUAUGGUUGCAAUACUACGAUAUCUGGUCCAAAUUUAUUAGAGGACUCUAUAAUUGUAUCUUAUUUGGUGUAUUGUUUCAAGGUUGUAUAACAUAUUAAGAGCUUGAAAGAAAUGCAAAAUUAGUUGUUGCAUAAGCAUUCCGAAUUAAUUCCAAUCAGGAAUCUUCUCUACUCAUUUUAGGACCGGCUGAAUGAGUAUUAGUUGUUUCCGAUGGUCGAGUUUCUUUUUAACCUAAUUGAGUGGAGAAACAAAUUUGAUAUUUCAAAUUGUGAAGAGCCCUUUUCUUUUGGAUACUCUAUCAACAAAAUCAAUUAUAGAACUCGAAACAAAUUCUAGUUUAGCAAUGUUUACAGUCUACUUGAAAUAUCUGGUCGACAAAUUCUAAUUUUUUGAGAAGGAUGAGAAGGGGAACAAUCCUUUCCAUGUGCUUGCUGCUGUUUGUCCACAUCCAGACAGAGUCGGCUAUGGCAUCGUCCCUUGGAAAAUUGCCAAAGGUUAUUAUCAAGCCGUCAACAAGCAAAAUAUUAGUGGUGAACACAUAAAUCGUUAUGGAUUUCCUGAACUCAAGGUACUUAAUUCCUUUUUUAAACUCAUCAAUGUUAUAAUUUAUAUAUGGAUACGACUAAUAAAAUUAAAUUUUAAUUUUAAAUUUUGAUUUUUUUAUUGAUUUUUUUUCACCUGUGUAUUUAUAGUAAUUAUUUGUUUAGUAUUUAAUUAUACACAUUUCUUAUAUGAUGUGCAAAUAAAACAUUAUUGAUUUAGAUAUCAUAUAAGAAAUUAAUUUUAGUAUGCGAAUUAAUAAAAUAUAUAGUCCAGUGCGUAGAUGUUGAUGCCAAGUCAAUUUUUCCUUCCCUUUCAUUAAACUCAUUUUCUUCUAGUUACAUUUAUAAUUUAGCAAAUAUGAUUGCAGAAAGAAAUUGAAGAAUUGUCCAAAGCUGAUGGCAGUGGACAAUAUCCAGACGGUGUCGUCAAGAUGAACAAAAAAAAAGUUCAUCUGUUAUGGAAAUAUUUAGAUGAAAAUGUCUUUGGAGUGGAAAAAGCAUCAGAAUAUCAUUUGGUAGUGGCAGCACUCAUAGCAACAGUAACCUUUGCUGCGGCAUUCACCUUACCCGGUGGUUACAAGAGUGAUACUGAAGAUGGCCCAAACAGGGGCACUGCAAUUCUCAAUAAAAACGUAGCUUUCCAAGCAUUUGUUAUAUCAGACGCCAUAUUUGGAAAAAAUUAAUUUUUGCUUAAGUUUUUUAAAAAAUUCAUCUUUCUAUUCAUUUUUGCUCUUUCGUUCACCUUGGUUGCCAUGGCAGCAAUGAUAAUAGCAUUUGUUACAGGCAUAUACGCAGUGUUGGCACCUUCUUUAGGGCUUGCCAUUGUCACAUGUAUCAUUGGCUUGACCUUCUUCUUCUUGGUGAUUUUCAUGUUUUACAAGGUUAGAUCAAAAGCAGAGGAAAAGUUAUUGUAUACCUCUCUCUAAUACUAUAAUUAUGUUAGCAUCAUCCCACUGUUAUGAUCUGGAGUUAUAAGCUGUGAUUGAAAUUUAUUACAUUAUCUUAUUUGGUUUAUUGUUUCAAGGUUGUAUCACAUACUGAGAGCUUGAAAGUAAUGAUCUCAUCUAUUUAUGAUGUAGAAUUAUUUGUUGUAUAAGCAUUCCAAAUUAAUUUUAAUCAGGGAUCUUCACCGCGGAAUGAGUAUUAGUUAUUCGGAUGGGUAAAGUUUCUUCUUAACCUAAUUAAGUGGAGAAACAAAUUUGAUAUUUCAAAUUGUGAAGAGCUUUUUUCUUUUGGAUAUUCUACCAUCAAAAUCAAUUAUAGAAUUCGAAACAAAUUCUAGUUUUGCAAUGUCUACAGUCUACUUAUGAAUUGCAUAAAGGAUAGAGCUGCAGACCUGCAGUUAGACAAAAGUUGAUAAAGGAUAGAGCCCCAGAUUCCAACUGCUAAUUUACACUUGCAUCUAAAUUUAAAAAUCAGCUAAUUACAAACCGGAUAACCAGCUGCUAACAGUUUCCACUUUCAAGAGCUUGAGAAGGUCAACUGGAAAUUGCAAGUAUUCAAAUGGUGAUAAAAAAAGAGAUUCUUUUGAUAUGUUAUCCAGGUGCAAAAAUAAAAAAUGUCGCUUGAUGAUGAAGUAAAAGAACUAAAACCGCCGCAACAAACUGUGGCGGCCACACUCGUAGCAACAGUUACCUUAGCUGCGGGGUUCAUAUUACCCGGUGGUUACUGGGCUCGAGAAGGCCCAAUUCCCAGCACUCCAAUUCUCAGAAAAAAUGCAGCUUUUCAAGCAUUUGUUAUAGCUAAUGCCAUGGCCAUGGUCCUCUCCCUUUCAGCUGUCUUUUAUCCAUUUCCUUACUUCAACUAAGACCCUUCGGCAAAUGACGUUUCUUGUCAAUGUGGCUCAUUGUUUCAUCCCGGCUUCCAUGUUAGCAAUGACGGUUGCAUUUGUUACAGGAACAUCCCCAGUGUUGGCACCUUCUGUUGGGCUUUCCGUUGCUACUUGUGCCUUGGCUUGAGCUUCAUCCUCUUUGUGCUUUUCGCCAUGUUCAAGUUUGCUUAUGGAUUGGCGCAAAGGUUGCUGGGCUUCAUGAUAUAAUUAGAAAAAAACAAAUCUCCAUGUUGGAGAAAUUAGCAUGUUUCUGUCUCUGUCUGGUAGUUAAUAUGUAAUUUCCGUCUCUUCAAUCUUUAUUCUCGGUGUUAUAAGUGUAUACAUUACUCCAACUGAGAUUGUACCUAAUCCUCUUUUGAUCCUCUUUUGUGUUGAGCUAUUAUCAUCAAAAGAGGAUUAAGUACAAAUACAAGGUCAACAUGAAAUUGCAAGUAGCAUAUUAGCAUUCCAACAUUUUAUCAGGUGUUAAUGUGUUAGAAGCUUAUUUAUAAAUAGAUAAAUAAUAUCUAAAAGAUAUGCAGUGAGUCUAGUUUUAGUACUCUGUUCUCAUAAACUUUUCCUUCUCUGAUUCCACCUUUUUGGAUUUUUGAACUUGAGCUAGCUUAUUGUCACGGGAUGAAUAUUUUGCGCAGCUAACCCGUGCGGCACUUAGACAACUUUGCCGAAUGUUGCUAAGUAAGCCUAGAGCUUCUCGAACUAGAGAAGAGAGCAAUGGAGCCGAAUGAGAGAAUUUGUAUUGCACAAAGAGAGAUUACAAUGCUUGAGUUGCUUACAAUGCUUGUUGUUGUGUUUUUUUUUUUGAUACAAAUGCCUAAUGCCAUCCCAUAUUUAUAGGGGAGGCUUGCCAAGCUCUAGAGAUUUUAGAGAAUUCUACAACUUCCUAGCUAUUUACAUGUGCUGAAAUUGUAUAGAGAAUUCUAAAGUAUUUACAAGCUCAAUGUGCUAGAGUUGCCUAGAAUUUUCCAGAAUCGGGCCAAGCUAGCACUCUUGGCCUUGUGUUGGCUCUCUAGCCCGAAAUUGUGGGCAAUUGGGUUAGCGAAUUGGGCGGUCUGCAACAUCCUCCCCCACCUAAGCUCGCGGCAUCCUCGUCGCGCUCUCGUGCUUGAACCUCUGGAUGUGCUCAGUGAAUUGCCACAAAUCAUCUUCACGUUCCCAAGUGGCUUCGCUCUCGGGGAGGUUUUUCCACUUCACCAAGUACUCACUGUGUGCUGGCACGCCCCUCCUCGAAACCACGCGGUCCGCAAUGAUGUAGUCCACAUCUUUGUCGAACGCGGUGACAACGGCGGUUGGCGCGCACCUCGAUUCUCCGCGACUUGGGUCUCCCAUGUCUUCGUGAUAUGGCUUGAGAAGACUCACAUGGAAGACCAGAUGGAUCUUGAGUCUUGGCGGAAGUUGGAGUUGAUACGAGACGUUGCCCACACGUCGAACAACUCGGAAGGGUCCCUCGUAGCGCCUCACUAACCCCUUAUGGACUUUCCGCAAUGUCUUGAAUUGUUGGGGUAGGAGCUUGAUCAUGACUUGAUCACCUUCCUUGUACUCAACAUGUUGUCUCCUUGUAUCCGCCCAUUUCUUCAUUUUCCUCGCGGCUUUGUCAAGGUAGGCUCGCGUGAUGUCCGCUUCCUCAUGCCAUUCGCGAGCGAGCUUGUGUGCCGCGGGGCUUUUCCCUCUGUAAGUCGAGGCUAUGGAGUUGAGAGUCAUUGGCUGGAAUCCCAUGAUGAUCUCGAACGGACUCUUGCCCGUAGCCUUGCUUCGCUGCAAGUUAUAAGAAAAUUGGGCAAUGUCAAGUAGCUUCGCCCAAUCCCGCUGGUGAGCGCUCACGUAAUGUAGGGAUGGUAAAAAUCCCCACGGGGACGGGUACCCUUGGGGAUUUUUCCCAUUUGGGGAGGGUACGGGGAUAAUUUUAUAUCCAAUUUUUUAUUCGGGGAGGGGACGGGAAAAAUUUUUUACCCAAUUUUUUAUUCGGGGAGGGGACGGGAUGAGGUGGAAUCCCCAUCCCCUACCCAUUUCCCCAUUUUAAUUUUUAAUUUUAUUUUUAUUUUUAAAAUUACUAAUAAAUAAAUAACAAAAUUAUAAAUAUUAUUAAAAAUAAUAAAUAUCAAAAUAUUUAUAUUAUUAAAUUUUUAAACUUAAUUAACUAAUUAAAGUGUUAAAUUUUUAAUCAAAACCACAAUGAUACAGGAGAGAGCUACCUAAUUAUAAUUUACAACAGUCCUAAUCCUAAUUCGUAUAGAACGAGACAAUGAACACAAUACCAAAUUGGUAAACCUAUUCUUGUUCAGAAAGAAUUUCCAAAAGCUGAAAUUCGUCUCAGAUUUUGAAAAGCUUGCCUAUAAAUACACAGCUCCCUGUUCUUUUGCGUUCCAAAUUAAAAAAAUCCCAAACGAACAGCGCACUCUUACAAUUGUCAUUGUCAAGUCAGUCUUUGCAAAUUAAUCAAAGUCUUUGCGCGUUCAACACUCUUCUUUGGUGGCUUUUUAUUCAUCACUCACAUCUAGAGUUGGCAAAACGGGUCAUCGGGUCGUGUUCGUGUCGUGUCAGCUUCGUAUCGUGUCAAAUUUAGGUUGACCCAAACCCGACCCAUUUAAUAAUCGUGUCAAAAUAUUGAGACCCAAACCCGACAAGGAAAAUAAUCGGGUUACUCAAUAACCCGUUUAAUAUCUAUAUAUUGAACAAAAGUUACAUCAAAUAUUUACACACUAUUAUACAUACGUAUGUACAUACAUAUAUAUAUACAUACAUACAUACAUACAUACAUAAUUUAUCGAUAUUAUAAAAUAUACAUAUCUACCAAUAUAUUACACAUUUACACUAUUGAGGUUUUAAUUAUAUAUAUAUAUAUAUAUAUAUAUAUAUAUAUAUAUAUAUAUAAUAUUAUAUAUCAAUAUUAUAAAAUAUACAUGUCUAUCAAUUUUUACACAUUUACACUAUUAAAACUCUAAAUGUAUGUAAAAAUUUAUAAAUAAAACAUUGUGUUUAUAUUCACCCUUUUAAAGAAUAAAAAAAAAAGAAAAUCAUCUCUAAUAUUUGAGUUUUAAUUAUAAGAAUAUGUAAAUUAUUUUAAAAUAGAAAAUAUAAUCAGGUCAUUGAUCGGGUAAAUGGGUCAAGAAUUUUAAUCCUAACCCGACACGGAAAAAAAUCGUGUUGACCCGGACCCGACCCAUUUAAUAAUCGUGUUAAAUUUGACGACCCAUACCCAUUUAUUUAUGUCGUGUUCGUGUUGGGUAAUCAGAUCGUGUCAAAUUUUAUUAGCUCUACUCACAUCACACCACAUCCAUUCACAUGCCAUCAUUUAAACGCCACAUCACCAUUGUCAAAUAAGCAUUCACGUCAACAUCCACAAGUAAGUCUUGAUUCUUGCAAUUUAUAUGUUUAAUUUUUUAUUAUUAAUUUAUUUCAUUGUCACAUCUCAUAAGUAAACUAAGUUUUUGUCAUUUUAUAUAAUAAAAGUGGAAGACAACUCUGAUGCUUUAUUGAUUCUAUAAAAUUCUCGUGCACAAAUCUUUUUAAUUGAAAAUUUAAAUUGAUAUUAUGUUUAAUUUAUUUUAUUUUGUAUAUUUUUAGACCAAUGGAAGCAAACAUGUCAAGUGCUACACCAACACCACAAUUAGUGGAUGUAGUCCAUGUGGAUGAUGAUGGUCAAACAGAAAAUGUUAUUUCGGAUGGGUCAUUAAAAAGAGGAAGCACUAGAAAAUUAAGAUCUAUUGUCUGGGAUCAUUUUGAGAAAAAGAUAAUUAAUGGGGAACAAAAGGCAGUAUGUAACCAUUGCAAUUCCAAGUUAGUAUCAAGGCAAAAUGAUGGAACAAAGCAUUUGCAUGACCAUAUGAAAUCGUGUUUCAUGAAAAAACAAAAAGAUAUCAAUCAUUACAUGACAAAUUUGAAUACUGUCAAGGAUGAUAAAGGACAUUCAAAGGUAGAAUAUUUUGUUUUUUAUCAAGAUGUCACAAGGAAAAUAAUUGCACGUGCAAUUGUCAAGCAUGAGUAUCCGUUUAAGUAUUGUUGAUCAUGAAGGAUUUAGAGAGAUAUUAUCCUCGCUUAAUCCAAUGUGGAAGCAUGUGUCCCGAAAUACAAUUAAAAAGGAGAUAUUGGAUUUGUAUGAGAACGAAAAGGCUAAGAAUUUGAAUGCCUUGGCGAGCAAUCAAAGUAGGCUAGCCAUCACAACAGAUAUGUGGACUGCAGAUACCCAAACAAAAGGGUACAUGGCAGUUACUGGACACUUUAUUGAUGAUUCUUAGACGUUACGGAGUCUAGUUUUGAGGUAAGGUCUUUAUUUUUAUUUUUUUUUGUAUUUAACUUAUUUUUUAAUGUUAAUUAAAAAAUUUAACAAAAUAUAUAUUUUUUAUUUUCUUCUUGUAGGUUUCAGCAUGUAAAAGGUUCACAUACUGGCUUAAAGCUUUGUGACACAUUAUUUAAUUGUUUGAUGGAUCUCCACCUUGAACAUAAGGUAUCUUCUGUGAUUGUGGACAAUUGCUCUGCCAAUGACCGCAUGAUGGAAUAUCUUUUGGUUAAGCUUAAUAAAGAUGAUCUCAUUUUGCAUGGACAAGUAUUUCACAUUCGUUGUUGUGCCCAUAUAUUAAAUUUGAUUGUCAAAUAAGGUAUGACUGUGAUUAGUGAUGGAAUUGCAAAAAUUCGUGAGAGUGUUGUUUUUUGGACUGGAUCAUGUAAAAGAAAGGAGAAGUUUGAAGAAUUUGCUAGUCGUUCAAAUGUUAAAUAUGACAAACAAUUAGUGCUUGAUUGUCCUACUAGGUGGAAUUCCACAUAUCUUAUGAUUUCAUCUGCUUUGCAAUAUAAAAAUGUUUUUCUUCGAUUAAAGCAUAUUGAUGGACAAUAUAAGUGUUGUCCUAGUGAGGAAGAUUGGCAGUUUGCCAUUAUUUUGGAAGAGAAUUUGAAAAGUUUUUAUGAUGUCACUGAGUUAUUUUCAGGAACUAAGUAUCCGACAGCAAAUGUAUUCUUGCAACAUGUGUGUGAGAUUAAAUUAUCUUUACAAGAUUGGCUUUUAUCACCUUGUGAUAGGAUUCAACAUAUGGCUCAGUUGAUGUUAUUGAAAUUUGAUAAAUAUUGGCAAGAUAUGAGUGGAAUUUUGGGUGUGGCCUGUAUCUUUGAUCCAAGGUAUAAAAAGAAGUUCAUUGAAUAUUACUUUUCUAUGGUUUAUGGUAAUGUUAAAGAGUUGUAUGUUAGGAAAGUGGUCACCCUUUGCCGGGAAUUUGUGGAAGAGUAUCAAUUGAAGUUUUCACCAACUGUUUAUUGCUCAGAUUAUACUGGUAGUAGUUCUUCUACUAGAUCUACAGGGGAUUCCUAUAAGAAAGCAACCAAAUGGAUGAUAGGUUUUGAUGAUUAUGUAAACAAUGGAGAUUGUGCAGUUGUUGCAGAUGAAUUAGAUUCAUAUUUGGAUGAGAAAGCAGUUGUUGCAGAUGAAUUAGAUUCAUAUUUGGAUGAGAAAGUUAUACCCCGGAUGGAAGAUUUUAAUAUUUUGAGUUGGUGGAAGACAAAUGCUAAUAGGUAUCCUACAUUGGCUCGAAUUGCUAGAGAUAUUUUGGCAAUUCCAAUUACAACGGUUGCUUCUGAAUCAGCUUUUAGCACCGGUAGUAGAGUUGUGAGCCCACACCGUAACAAACUUCAUCCAAGCACAUUGGAGGCCUUAAUGUGCUGUCAAAGUUGGUUACGAGCUUACAAUAGCAGUAUGAGUUUAUUUUACAUUGUAAUUAUAUUAUACAGUUAUUAAUAUUUGCACUUAUAAGUUAAGUUACUUAUAUCAUUUUCAUUGUUUUAGGUUUGAAAUCUGAGGCUAUCUCUCAAUUUGCCACAUUUCUUGAGGAAGAACAAGAGGAGCAGGACGAGCAGGAGGUAAAUAGUUUUAUUAAAAAUAUUAAUUAAGUAUCUACAUUUAUUUCAUUUAUUUUAUUGCCGAUAUAAAAAUAAUUUUUUUUCUUUUUAUUGUAGGAUUAUGAAGAUUGAGUCAUUGACAAAGAUAAUUAUUUUAAUAAUUUAUAUUUUGAAUGUGACUUUGUAAUGGAUCAAUAUUAAUGUAAGAUAUAUUUUGAACUUUAUUUUUAUCUGAAUUUUUUAUUUUAAUAUGAUUAAUUUAAAAUCGAAAAUAAAAAAAAAUGUAUUAGUUAUUCGGGGACCGGGGACCCUCGGGGAUCCCCUGUUAUUAUUCGGGGAGGGGAUGAAGAUUCUCUCAAGCAAUUCUGACGGGGACGGGGACAUACGCAAAAUAUCGGGGAUGGGUAUGGGGAGAUUGGUCCCCUCCCCUCCCCUCCCCUCCCCAUUGCCAUCCCUAAUGUAAUGCCUCAAGUACAUCUCGAGGAGGCCAUUAAUGCGCUCGGUCUGCCCAUCCGUUUGUGGGUGGAAGCUUGUCGAGGACUUGAGAUCGGUCCUCAACAUCUUGAAGAGCUCCGUCCAAAAGCGUCCAGUGAACCGAGGGUCUCGGUCGCUCACAAUGCUCUUCGGAACUCCCCAAAGCUUCACAAUAUGCUUGACGAAUAGGCAGGCUGCCUCGUCCGCUUUGCAAUCGAUUGGUGCGGCAAUGAAUGCGGCAUACUUGUUGUAUCGGUCGACAACGACCAUGAUGCUUCCGCAACCUUCGGACUUGGGCAGCGAUGUGAUGAAGUUCAUGGAAACACUUUCCCAUGGCCUUGUUGCUAGUGGUAGCAGCUCCAAUAAUCCCGCUGGAAGUUGAUGAUCCACCUUGUCUUGUUGGCACACAAGACAAGUUCGCACAUAUGCCUCGAUGUCGUCCCUCAUGUGCGGCCAAAAAUACGAGGCUUGUACUAGUGUGGUGGUGCGCUCGAUUCCUGGGUGACCAGCCCACUUGGAGUCGUGGCACUCUUUGAUUACUUCCUUCCGCAAGUUUCCCUACCUUGGCACGAACAGCCGAUCUCCCUUGGUAAGGAGGAUGCCUUCCUCUUGCCAAAAGCGCCUUGUUUUUCCCUCGAGCACCUUCUCCAGCAAAUCCUUUGCUAGCGGAUCUUGUUGGAGGCCUUCCUUGAUGCGUGAGACAAGGUCGGACUUCGGUUGGCUCAUGCUAAGAGUUGCCAAUUCCGCCUUGCGGGUUAGAGCGUCCGCAACGACAUUGGCUUUACCUAGUUUGUACUCGAGCCGAUAGUCGAAUUCCGUUAGGAAAUCUUGCCACCGUGCUUGCUUCGGACUCAACUUUUUUUGCGUUUGAAAGUAGCUUGUUGCUACGUUGUCCGUCAUGAUCGUGAAGUGAGAGCCUAGCAAGUAAUGUCGCCACACCCGCAAGCAAUGUAUGAUUGCGGUCAUCUCCUUCUCUUGCACCGUAUAGCGGCGUUCCGUAUCAUUUAGCUUUCGACUCUCGAAUGCUAUCGGGUGGCCUUCUUGCAUAAGGACUCCACCUAUGGCGAAGUUUGAGGCAUCCGUUUGAGCUUCGAAGGACUUUAUGUCGUCCGGAAGGGCGAGGACUGGUUCCUCCGAGAUUGCCUUCUUCAACUCUGCGAAUGCGCGUUGGCACUCUUCGGACCAAUGCCACAUUCUGUUUUUCUUGAGCAUAUCCGUCAAGGGUGCCGCCUUGGCUGAAUAGCCCUUGAUGAAGCGGCGGUAGUAAUUCACCAGUCCAAGGAAUGAGCGAAGCUCGGGCACUUUCGAGGGAGGCUCCCAUUCGAGGAUGGCCUUUACUUUGGCAUUCUCCAUCAUGAUCUUCCCGCCCGCAAUCUUGUGGCCAAGGAACUCCAUUUCUUAUUGUGCAAACGAGCACUUCUCUAACUUGAGGAAGAGCUCGUUGUCUCGGAGUACUUGGAGGACUUGUCGCAAGUGUUGGGCAUGAUCCUCGAGCGUGGUGCUAUACACCACUAUGUCGUCCAAGUACACGACCACGAAGCGGUCGAGGAAUGGUUGGAGCACCUUAUUCAUGAGCGUGCAAAAAGUGGCGGGUGCAUUAGUAAGGCCAAAAGGCAUCACAAGGAAUUCGAAAGACCCGUACCUUGUUGUGCACGCUGUCUUCAGUUCGUCUCCCUUGGCGAUGCGCACUUGAUAGUACCCGGAGCGCAAGUCGAGUUUGGUAAAGUACCGCGCUUUACCAAGCUGGUCGAACAAGUAUGCGAUCAAGGGAAUCGGAUACUUGUUCUUGAUGGUGAUCUUGUUGAGCGCUCUAUAGUCGAUGCACAUCCGCAGCGAUCCAUCCUUUUUCUUUUGGAAGAGGACCGGUGCACCGAAUGGGGCCUUUGAGGGGCGAAUGUAGCCUGCGUCCAGCAAGUCUUUGAGUUGUCUCUGCAACUCCUCUAAUUCAGGUGGCGCCAUGCGGUAGGGUGCCAAGGCUGGUGGCUUCGCGCCUUGUUCCAGCUCGAUCGCAUGAUCUACCUCUCGUCGAGGUGGGAGCUUCUUCGGAAGUUCUGGAGGCAUUACGUCCUUGUACUCAUUGAGGACGGCUUGAAUUCGCGGAGGGACUUGGCUUGGCGACCUUCCCCUAUUUCCUUCCUCGUUUAGUUCCCGAAUAGAGACCAAGAAGCUUGGGUUCUUUCUGAAAGCCCUUUUGAAUUGCAUGGCAGAGAGUGUCUUCUCUUCGGACUUGCCUCGCUCCGUGGGUACCAUGCAUGCUUUGCUCCCGUCGAGGAUGCUUAGGGAGUUUGUAGCGGGCAGCGGGAAGGCAUGGACUUGGUCGAAGAAUUCCAUGCCGAGGACCAUCUUGAAGUCAUCCAUGGGGACGAUGGAGAAAUCAAGCUUUCCGCUCCAUGUUCCAAGCGCAAUGUGCACGCCUUGUGCUAUUCCCGCAAUUGGCUUAGCGGGUGAGUUCACAGCCUUCAUCGUGCCUCCUUCCUUGGUGGCCUUGAGGCUUAAGCGCUUGGCCUCAUCUACGGACACGAAGUUGUGCGUCGCUCCCGUGUCUAGCAGCGCGCGAACGGACUGACCGUUUACUUUUGCGCUUACAUACAUGAGCCCUUUCUUGACGAGUGCGGGCUGUUGGCAAUUGAGUGCGCCGAGGCGUUGGAGAGAAUGACACGACUUAAAAGUGUUUGAUUUACUCUCAAGUAUAAGAGUGCCUAGUUAUAAUAUAUCUCGGUGAGUCCGAAGUCGAUCCACAGAGAAAAUAUUUAAUUUGUUUAUUUUAUUUUAUCUAAAAUUCGAAAAUAAAACUUAAAUAUAAAAAACUUAAUUUAAAUAAAACUAUGAAAUUGAAUUAGUUAGGGUUGUGGAUUCACUCUUAGUAGUAAAUAAAAUUUAAUAAAUUCUUUUUGCCAUUUUUUUAGAUUUAUUGCCCAAAAGAUUAAUUAUAUAAAUUAUUAUUAUUUUCCCUUUAAUUUUACGAUGGAUUAAGUAUUCAUUGUGCCAAAAUUUAAUUUGUCUACAAUAAGUUAAAAUACCAUUUUACCAUACUUUAUAUUUUGAUAAAAAGAAUUUAUUCUGCCAAACUCCCUUGUUUGUCUACAAUAAAUCAAAAUCUCAUAAUAUAAAAUAUGUAUGAAAUUAAAUAGAAAAUAAUUUAAUUUAUAAAAUUAAAAAUAGAAUUUCAUUAAAUCAUAUUUAUUUCCUAAGAGUUUCACCUUCCCCUAACUAUUAAUAUUUAGCUAAACAUUUUUUUUAUAAAGGAAAUUAUUAAAAUUGAAAAACACAUAAGUAAAAAUGGAAUUUGAAAAUUGAAAUAAAACUAAUUUUAUUGAUUGAAAAUAAAUUACAAAGAGAGAUGAGAAUAAGAAUUUGGGGGAAAAGAAGAGAAGAGAAGGUGUGGAGAGGUGUGUUCACCCCCCCUCUAUUUAUACUAAUACAUGGUAAAUCCACACCACACAAAUAAAAAAAUCUAACUACAUCUUAACCUUACAUUUGUCCCACUAAUAAUCCCACUAAUAAAAGAUAAAUCUAACUUAUCCACUCAAGCAUAUCCAACACAUUCCACUAACAAUUACCAUACCUAAUAUGAUAAAAACUUAUAAUUUUACAAUUACCACAUUUACCGUGGUAAAAACGUAAAAAAAAGUACAACAAAAGUCUUGGAUCCUCCUCGACAAUGACAUAAUUUCUCGGACUUUCGAAAUCCAAAUUUGACAUCCAUGCAUUUGUUCGAAGCCUCAAAUUGCAUGAAAUUAUUAUUUUUACCUAAUAAACACACAAAAAUACACAAAAUCAAAUAUUUAGAAAAAUAAUUGGAAAUUCACAAUAUGUUACACAAUUACAAAUAUAAAUUACAUUAAUAAAACAAAAUAACAUUUUUAUCCCUUAAUAAACAUACAAUUUUUAACACUAAUCAGAGAACCCAUGCUGAGUUGGGGUUCCUCCGUGGACAUUGCGGGGUUGCUCUUGAGUUGGGCAGCAAGAGCGUUAAGCGACCUCUUCUCCGGACAGUCGCGUACCCAAUGAGGACCAUUGCAUAUGAAGCAUGGGCUUCGUAGCUUUGGCACCUCCUUCUUGCCCUCCGAUUUCCCUUGUCCGCUCUUGUUGCUAGGCGGCUUUUUCUGCCCCCAAUCUUUGCGGUUGUUGCCCUUGUCCUUGCGACUCUCUCUCCCACCUUUGCCUUGGCUAGACUUCUUGUCUUUGGAUUGGGUGGAGUAUUCGGUAAGCGACUCCGCAAUGGCGAUGGCGUCGUCAAGUGUUUGAACACCACGCCUAUCAAGCUCGGUCUUGGCCCAAUCCUUGAGGCCAUCUUGGAAGUAGAAGAGUGAAUCUUUGUCGGACAUGUCGCUUAUCUCUAACAUAAGGGUAGUGAACUCGUUGAUGUAGUCCCAAAUGCUACCCGUUUGCUUGAGGCGAUGUAAGCGCGCUCGCGCUUCCUUCUCCGCAUUGCUUGGGGCGAACUGUUUUCGGAGUUCUUGCUUGAAGUCGGCCCAAGUGUCGAUGGUGCAAAUGCCCUUGCCCAUCUCGCCAUGCUUGCGACGCCACCAUAGUUGUGCAGCGCCUCUAAGAUAGGUGGGUGCAGUGCCCACUUUCGAUGCCUCAUCUCGGACACCAUGGCAUCGAAGUAUUGAUCAAGCCCAAAGAGGAAAUUGACCACGAUUGUGGCAUUGCGUGUGCCAUCGUAGGUGUCGGGCUUUGGCACGUCAAUGCGGCGCGCAUCACUCAAGUUUGCAGAAGGUGGACUUGCUGAGAGUGUGCGCUUGUGCCAUGCCCAAUCCGAGCGAACUUCAUCCACUUCGGAGAGUGUUCGCUUGCUCUUGAAUGAGAGCUUUUGUUGCCACCGUGAACUCGGCGUAUUCUCCCUCGAGAUCGUCCACUCGUUCCUCCAAUCCCUCGAGGCUAUCUUGAGCGGCGGACAAUGCGAUUUCGAGAGUAGUCACACGAGGCUCCAACGCAUCCACGGAUGGGGCCUUGGACUUGCCGCGAGUCUUGCCUUGGGCGCGUUCUCCCUCUCGGUCGCGGCUUGGUUCCGGUGGAACAUCGACACCAACAACACCCUCUUGUGCUAUGUUCGAAGGGUUGGCCAUUGCUUCGUUAGCUAACUUGCGUGCGUGCAAACCUUAGCUCUGAUACCACUUGUCACGGGAUGAGUAUUUUGCGCAGCUAACCCGUGCGGCACUUAGACAACUUUGCCGAAUGUUGCUAAGUAAGCCUAGAGCUUCUCGAACUAGAGAAGAGAGUAAUGGAGCCGAAUGGGAGAAUUUGUAUUGCACAAAGAGAGAUUACAAUGCUUGAGUUGCUUACAAUGCUUGUUGUUGUGUUUUUUUUUUGGAUACAAAUGCCUAAUGCCAUCCCAUAUUUAUAGGGGAGGCUUGCCAAGCUCUAGAGAUUCUAGAGAAUUCUACAACUUCCUAGCUAUUUACAUGUGCUGGAAUUGUAUAGAGAAUUCUAGAGUAUUUACAAGCUCAAUGUGCUAGAGUUGCCUAGAAUUUUCCGGAAUCGGGCCAAGUUAGCACUCUUGGCCUUGUGUUGGCUCUCUAGCCCGAAAUUGUGGGCAAUUAGGCUAGCGAAUUGGGCGGUCCGCAACAUUAUGCUAUCAAAACUGAAUAAACUUAGUAAUAUAGACUCAAAUUGCAAGUCUCAAGUCAUUUCUUUUUCUAAUUUAUAUAACCAAAAUUUUGUAAAAAAAAAUAAAUCUUAUAUAAAAUAAGGGAAAUCAUCAUUCGUAUACCCUAUAUUUGCUCUGUUAUCAAAAAUACUACAACACUUUGAGGGUGUAUCAAUCGUCCACCCUUAAUUGACAAAAUGUAUCAGCUGACCACUAAACCGUUAGUUGCCGUUUGAAAGUUAACGGAAUUAUAGUGAAUUGACGAUUUUACCUUUGAAAAUUAUCACUUCUUAAAUUCUCUUUUUAUCACUUGUAUACCCUUAAAUUAUCACUUGUAUCAUAUGAAAAGACCAAAUUACCCUUCUGACAUCAUCAUACUUAAACGGCAACUAACGGUUUGGUGGUCAGCUGAACUUGUUCACUAUUUUCCGACAGUCAUGAUAGUAAGGGUCUUAUCGGCGAACUAGGAUUUCAAUGAUGAUGGCGGUGCGUUCUGAGGGCGACAUCCUUCCUCAUCGCCGGUGAUUGGCCGAUGAGCUAUUAGUUCACUUUCGUCAUUUCAAUUUACAUAUUUCUUUUUAUUAUUAAUUUAACAAACAUGCAUCUCAAAUUAUAUUAUAAAUUAUUAUGGUAUAAUUUAAAGAACCUUUUUUUUCAUUUCUUAAAAUAAAACAUUAUACAUUGAACGUUAUUUAUCGAUGCAGAGACUACAUUUUUUUUAAAGAUUAACGGAAGGAAAUAUGUCAAUCUAUUCGGUGCGGAUCGUGUCUUUAAUAAGUGCGGAUCAUGCUUUUGUCAAGUGCGGAUCAUGCCUUUAAAAACUUCCUUCAAUGCUGUUUUAUUUGACAUUCUUAAUAUAAUUUUAAUUUACAAACAUGUAUUAAGUUAUUAAUAAAACUGACUACUUCAAAAUCUAUCCUAAAUAAAUUAUUUGAGAAGCUAAUGCAAUCCCAAUCAUACCCAUAAUCGGUAACCCAAUAGCUAGAAGCGUUACAUAAAAAAGAGGCAAAGAAUAAGGUGCAUAAUAUAGCUUUGUCUACUCUCGAGUCAUUUUGGUUUUUGCCCGCCUGACAAAAAGUGAAAGAAAAAUGUCAAUUGUCAAAUGUGAUGGGGCAAGCAAAGCAUAUCGAUCGAUCAGGCGGCAAGCUGCAGUACUUAAAGAUAUCCGGGUUCAGGAUUAACUAGUAAGCAUCAAACAAUUACUUAAAUAAACCAUCACAUUCGCAAACAUAAAUCCUGAUUUGUACAGAGCUGCAGCUAAGGGUGAAAUUGAACUUCAUCGAAAUUGCAAAAGAUGAACUUGUAAGCAUGGUGACUCACGAUGAGAAUACGGUCCUUCAUGUCAACAUUGCAUCCCACCGAGAAGGAGCGAGGGUAUCCAACGGAGUUCGUGCAACGGAUACUUGAAAUUUGUCCAUCAUUGCUACUACAAGUUAAUGACAAAGGUGAUUAAUAUUUUGUAAUAUUUAAUAACAAAAUAUUAAAUAAAUAUUCACUACUACAAAAUUGGUCUUUAAUGACGGUUUUAAAAGACAUAAGAUGACGGUUUUAAAACCGUCAUCUUAGGCAGUGACAUUAACGGGGUAUACUUUUUAUGACGGUUCAAAAACCGCCAUUAAAUGUCUACUUAUAAUGACGGUUAUUUUAAAAAACCAUCAUUAUAUGUCAUGGAUACAUAAUAUUUAAUGACGGUUUUUUCCUAAAAACCGUCAUUAAAUGUGUAUUUAUAAUGACGGUUAUUUUACUAAGCAGUCAUUAUUUGUUAUUUAUACUAGAGAUUUAAUGACCGUUUUUAGGAAAAAACCGUCAUUAAAUGUUCAUUUUUAAUGACGGUUUUUUUCCUAAAAACCGUCAUUAAAUGUUUAGUUUUUAAAUUUUUUUAUGAUGAUUUUUUUAAAUACUCGUCAUUAAAUUAAUAUUUUUAAUGACGGUUUUAUAUAAAACAGUCAUCUUAAUCAUGUUUUGCUACUUUUUAUGACUGUUUAUCAAUUUAUAACGACGGCUUUUAUAGAACCGUCAUAUUUGAUGUUAUCUAAAAAAAAAAUUAUUACAAGCCUGCUUUAAUUGUAAUUUUCUAUUUAACAAAUGUAUUUUUACAAUUACGUUUUUACAAACUAUAUCAUAUACAAAAUAUUGCUUUACAAAAAUCUUAGAUGUAUAAUCCUUCAUACUUCCUCAACAAAAUGUUAUACAUUGAAAUUCUUACAAAUACUCUUCCAAUAUAACAAAAUCAACAACUAACUAAGAAAAUUCUCAUACUCUUUUGUAGAGAACUUUGACAAUCCUUCAUCUUCAACAAAAUAUUAGCUCUUCCACAUGUAAUCUAGCUACCACAUCUAAAUUCUCAUCAAGUCUUCAUAUGUAAUAUUUUCAAAAAAAAUUAUGCAGCUGUUAGUGACCUACGACAUUAUUUACAAAGAAAGAAAAAAUAAAUAUAUCAAGCUCAUUUAUUACAAGUUGUAGUUUAAUCACGAUAAGUUGUAGUAUCUAGUACUAUUAGAGACUGACCUUGAAUUAUCAAUCAAUUAAUUUUCAUAUGUAGCAGCAAGUUGCCAUGUAUACCUAGCCCACUUGCAUCUCACCUCGUCAAUCUCCCUUUGAGUGUAGCUUUGUAUCUUAACAAACUAUAAAGUGAAAAAUAUAUAAAUUAUUUUGUGGGGAAAAUAAAUAAAUAUUUGAUAACAAAUUGCCAAUACCUUUUCUAGAAUAGAGACAUUAGUAUUAGCCACAAUAUCCCACAUAUAUUUCAUCACAUAAUAUCCGCAAUGCUCAACAUAUUUGGGUUGACGAGGACACUACAAAAGAGAAAGUAAUAGAUUUAAGUUACACAAUGAACAAAUUCAUGCAAUAAUAAAUUAUAAAUCUCAUACAAAAUAUUAUGAAUUUGAAUUUAAGACUAAUGUUCCUUACUUUCAUUGGUUUCCAUAUGCAAUGCUUCCGAUUAAUUUUUCCAUGUGCCGUGCUAAACAUUCUCAAUGAACUUAAUUUCAAAAAUUGCAAAGCAUAUAUUAGAACAUAAUAUAAAGAAAAUACAAGCUAAAAAGUACAAUUUUUUAACAUACCUAUUAAUAAGCUCUUUCAAGUUUUGACGCGGAUCAUGACCAAUUGAAUCAAAAAAAUAACAUUGGCCUUCAUAUGAAUCAAUAACAGUCAACAUCCAAUGUGCUCUGUGUGCAAAAUACUUAUCAUUGUAAAAUUCCAAAUAUCAUAGCAAUCUUAUUCACUUUGAAUGUAUAACUUACGAUUCAUUAUAUGGAAAAAUGAUAAGUAGCAUUGGAUCGAUCGAUUCCAUUAUAUCUCCAAGCUUUUUGGCCUUUUCAAUGAAAUCCAAGACUUAUCCAUUGUAAACUCAACAGCAAUAAAUUGAAGCCUGAAGUAAAUGUGCUUUGAUGUUCCAGUGCGAAAACUGAACCUAUUUAUUUCCAAAAAAUAAAAGGGAAUUAGUUUGGACAUAAGAGCAAACAAGAAAAUAAGUAAACAAAAGAAAAAAGAAAAGGUAGCACUAUAAUUAUUUUGGUGUUGUAUAGCUACUGUAAUUGUGUUAAAACAGCACCUGUAACUUUCAGGUGCUGUUUUUAAUUAGAAUCAAACACAGCAUGACAGCACCUAAAAAUUUAUUUAAGUGCUAUCCAACUAAUAAAAACACCACUUGAAAGUUUUAGGUGCUUAUUUUAACAGCAAACAGCAGUAGGACAGCACCCAAAAAAAUUUUUAGGUGCUGUUUAGCUGCUAAAAUUAUGUUCAAACAGCACCUGAAAUGUUCAGGUGCUAUUUUUCUAAUCAAACAACAACAUGAUAGCACCAAAAAUAAUUUUUUGUGCUGUCUAGCUGAUAAAAAUAACAGCUGAAACUCUUAGGUGUUGUUUGUAACAACAAACAGCAACAUGACAGCACCCAAAAUAUUUCUUGGGUGCUGCCUAGUUGCUGAAAUUGUGUUAAAAACAGCACCGGCAACUUUCAGGUGUUGUUUUUAACAUCAACCAAAAGCAUAACAACACCCUAAAAUAUUUUGGGUGUUGUCUAACUGACAAAACCAACACUUUGAAUUUCCAAGUGUUGUUUUUAACAGCAACAUGACAGCACCUGAAAGUGUUUUUCUAAUCAAACAGCAACAUGACAGCACCCCAAGGAAAUUUUGGGUGGUGUGUAGCUGAUAAAAACAGAACCUGAUACUUUUAGGACCUGUUUUUAACAAAAACAGCAAAGGACAGCACCCUGAAUAUUUUUGGUGUGCUGGCUAGCUGCUGAAAUUAUGGUAAAAACAGCACCUGCAACUUUCGGGUGCUAUUUUUAACAUCAAACAGCAGCAUGACAGCAUCCUAAAGUAGUUUAGGUGUUGUCUAACUGAUAAACCCAGUAACUGAAAGUUCCAUUGCAGUUUUUACAACAAACAGCAGCUUGAAUGCACCUAAAAAACUUUUCAAGUGCUGUUUUUAGCCUUAAACAGCAGCAUGAUAGCACCCAAAAAAUUUGUGAGUGCUGUCUAGCUGAUAAAAACAGCAACUGAAAUUUUCAGGUGCUAUUUUUGACAGCAAACGGCAAAUUACAGCACCUAGAAUAUUUUAUAAGUGCUACGUAGCUGCUAAAACUGCGUUAAAACAGCUAGACAGCAGCAUGACAGCACCUAAAAAUUUUUUUGGUGCUGUCCAGUUGAUAAAAACAGCAUUUGGAACUUCCAUGUGCUGUUUUUAACAGCAAAUAGCAGCAAGACAGCACCCAGAAAAAUUUUUGGGUGUUGUCAUGCUGCUGUAAUUGUGUUAAAAUAGCACCUGAAACUUUUCAAUGCCGUUUUUUACAACAAAUAGCAGCAUGACACACCGAGAAAAUUUUAUGGAUGUUGUCCAGUUGCUAAAAUCAGUGCUUGGAAGUUCCAUGUGUUGUUUCUAACAGCAUAUAGCAGCAUGACAGCAGCAGAAUAAUUUUACAAUUGUUGUUUUCUUUAUAAAUCAGUGGCAAUCAGAGCUUCUAAAAACUUCAGUAUAAGAAAAGAACAAUUAAAUCCUCUCAAUUGAUUUUGGGAGGAAGGAAUACUUUUAUUACAUCAAAACAAAGUUAAAAAAACAACAAAAAAGAAAAAUGUUAUGGCCCUUUUAAGGUUUUCUACUUAUUAUUGCCGAUCAUAGAACUAAAUACUUAACGAAACAGAAUUUGCUGAAUUAAACAUGAAUUUCAUAAAAUCCACACCAUAGAAUUACAUGGCAACGAAAAAUUUUAAAACAAACUAUAAGAACUGAAACAAACCUUGCAGAUGAUUGAACUCAAUACUGAUAUCAAGCACACCAAAAAUCUCUGAGAGAAGUAGCCAUGUUUAGAGUCAUCCAAUGCUAGGUUACAAAACCAUGAAACCUGCCCAGUCAAGUUAAUGAGAUUUAUAAGUAAUAAAAUGAAAAUACAGAGAGAGAUAGAGUGCAAGAAUGAUUUGGCUCAUAAAUAAGAAAUUUCAAAUUCCUUCCAGUAAUCUGACCUAGGCAGUGAACUGAGGAUGCAUUGGAGCAUUAACAAUGGGAUUCAACUCGGUGGCUGCUGAGACGGCACAAUAAUCCCAAGGUUGCGAUGGUUACGAAGUUGGCAACAAUCAAUCUUGGCUAUUCUGGAGAGAAAUGAGCGAGUGAUGGAAGGAAUUUGGGUAUUUGGGAGAGAUAUUUUGAAGUGAUGAAAUAAAAUGCCAAGUCUAGAAAUCGGCUUUGCUUAUUUUUAUUUGUAUUAUUCAUGACCGUUUAUUUUAUAAACGGUCAUGAAUGAAGAUUAAUAAUUUCCUCUUUAACCACGGUUCCUAAAAUAACUGACAUUAAUACUAAGGUUAUAUUUUAGUGGAUAUACAAUGACAGUUAAGUUUAAAACCCGUCAUUGUAAGUAUGUAUUUUUAAAGACGGUUUUUAUAACGAACCGUCAUUAAAAAUAACAUUAUAUUUUAAUUUUACAUUUAAUGACGGUUUUCGAAUAAAACUGCCAUUGUAAGUAUAAAAUAUUUUUAAUAACGGUUUUUAUAACGAACCAUCAUUAAAAAUAACAUUAUAUUUUAAUUUUACAUUUAAUGACAGUUUUUGAAUAAAAUCAUCAUUGUUAGUACUAAUAUUUUUAAUGACAGUUUUUAUAAAAAACCGUCAUUAAAAAUAACAUUAUAUUUUAAUUUUACAUUUAAUGACGGUUUUAGAAUAAAACCGUCAUUGUCAGUACUAAUAUUUUUAAUGACGUUUUUUAUAACGAACCGUCAUUAAAAUUAACAUUAUAUUUUAAUUUUACAUUUAAUGACAGUUUUUUUUAUAAAACUGUCAUUGCAAGUAUUAAAUAUUAUGACGGUUCACAUAAUAACGGUCAUAAAAAAGUUUUAAUGACGGUUAUUUUUAAGAACCGUCAUAACCUAUGGGUCAUUAUUUUGAAUUUUUGUAGUAGUGAUUAUAAUCUAUCAUUCCAUUAUUAUAUCUUCAAAACAAAAUCUUUCAUUUUACUAUACUUUCAUUAACUAUCCUUUAUUGUUACUGACUUAAGAGAGAAUCUUAAAUCGCAAAGAAUAUAGUAAUUAUUAAAAUUAAAUAAAAUAAAAAAACCAAAAAAUUAAAAAAAUAAAUAAAGAUAGAGAAUCUUUGAAUACAUAAUUAAUUAAUUAUCAAAUAGUUAAGCGUGAGCUAGUUCACCACAAAUAUACUGAUAUGAUGAGAUCGGCUAUUGAUGUUCUGACAUGUGGUAGAGUAAGGAUCCGACUUUAGAAUCCACUUUUAAUAUUAAGAAAUAAUCCUCCCACCGGUUGGGGUGGAGGCUGGUCUAUAGAAUUGUUUCUCAUAAUGAAAUAUCUAUUAGAUUAGAAUUCUUUGAACAUAGAAUCAAAAGUGAUAAAAUUACAUUAUUUGGUAAUAUAAAUAAAGUUAUGUAGUUAUUUAAUUGUCAAAUGGAGCGUAGACCAAGAAUCUCUGUAUAUAUUAUUUAAUCAACAAUUAUAGACAUACAAUGUAUCCUGUAAUAAUUGAACAUCAUCAUUUCUUAUUUGAAUGAUAAACUUUAUUUGAUACCAUACAAAAUUUAUAUUCUAACUUUGUGAAAAUAUCAAUACUUUUAUGUAAUUGUCAAAAUGAUCUAGGUCAAACUUAUCAGUCAGCUGAGCAAUAUACAGUACAACAAUGAACUGUCAAAUAAAAGUUUUUUAAGAUAAUGACGAAUAAAAUUCUUUAAAACAUAAGACUCAAAAGAGAGGUAGUUCAUUAUGUGCUAGAAAAUGUGGCCAGGUGAUAAGUGCGUACGGAUAAAAUUGCUCGGUCUAUGGAUUGUCGUCGAGUAGUCUAUAAUUGGAAGGCCAAGUCUAGUUGUUGUAAAGCGAUGCAACUAAAAACAACAGGAAAGAGCGCCUCGUCCGUAUGAUCCCCUGCUGUUUUCUUCAAGCAACAAGGCUCACAGGGAAACAAGUUGGCGGUGGUGAUGGUAAGUAGUUGGCAAGACCGGCUCAAUCAUAGCUUUAGUAAAUAGUUUUAGGCCCACUUUGGUACUAAAGUAUUAUAACUUUUAAAAUAUAUUUAUUGUGAAAAAACUUAUAAUUAUAUAAUAACAAUUCAUAAUAUACAAUAAAUAUAUUUUUUAAAUAAUAAUUUUGAUAAAAUUAGUGAAAAUAUAAUUAAUUUUUUAUUAUAUAAGUAUAAAAUCAAAUCGACUUAACUUUCAAGUUACAACAAUUAGUAUUUACCAAACAUUUUGAUACUAAAACUUUUAAGCUAUAGCUAAAAACUACAACUGCCCAACUUCAAUCUCAAACAGGUCUUAAUUAGUUCUUCUUAAAAUUUGAGGAAAAAAAUAUAUUAAUUAUAUUAUAAAAUUUAAUUAUUUUAAUUCAAUUCUUCCAAUAAUCUGAAAUGUAAAAUUAUUAAAUAAAAUUCUAUUCUACAAUUGCUAAUCUAUGAAAUUUAAUUCAAUUAUACCAUUUUCACUUAUUGUUUCUUCACUCAAAUUACAUCUUUUUUACUACUCCUUUUUUAGAUUAAACUAAUUUUUCUAUUCUUCUUUUUUUAAAAGUUUUUCAAUACAAAAUGGAUAAAAUUGGCACACACAAAAAUAAUAAUAGUAGAUGAACAAAAGAAUAUACUAAAAAGAAAUAAGAACAAAUAAAUAACACAACUAAUUAAGAGAAAAAUAAAAAGAUAAUUUGGAAUUUGAGAUGAAAUCAUAAAUUAAUUUUAACUUUGAUUUUUUGAGGAUUUAUGCAAUGACUAAUAACCAUGGAGAAUAGAGAAAACUAUAAGACUUUUAUUAUUAUUAUUAUUAUUAUUAUUAUUAUUAUUAUUAUUAUUAUUAUCAUCAUCAUCAUCAUCAUCAUCAUCAUCUUUGAGCGGAAGCUAGAGGAAGAGUUCUCUCUCUCUCUCUCUCUCUCUCUCUCUCUCUCAAGCACCAAGAGUAUAUCAUAUCUUAGUUGUUGGCGGAAAAAUUUAAUGGAUAAGUACCAAAAUGUAGGGCUUUUAUAGAGAUUUAAACUGAAUAUAGAACUUUUUAAUUAUGACGUAUUAAUUCUAACAAUAAAAUAAAGAUUUUUGUAUGAUUAAAACUAUUAAGUUAUCGUUUUUGUAGAAAUUAAAACUAUUAAACAUUCUAUUAAAUAGAUUGUAUAGGAAUUUUUUUUUUACAUUAAAAUUUGCUUCAUUAAACUGAAACAUUAAAAGAGAAAUGUAAUGUCAAGAGGCGCCUUAUGCGUCUUAUGCACCCAUAUACAAGACUCUGAUCGCCCAAGGGCCAUUUUAGCAGCAUUGUGAGCUAUAGAGUUACAAGUGUUGAAAAGUCACACUUCCGCGACAACAAGAUCUUGGAAUAUGUUUUACAGCAAACACACUUUAGUUUAUUUAGCAAUUUGAUAGUUUAUUUAAGAAAAGAUAAUUACAAAAUAAUAAUAAUAAAUUAAAUGAUUAAAUAUGACUUUAAAAUUCACGUUCUCCUUUUAUACACAAAUUAAUAAUCUAAUACAAAUGUGUCGCCUUGAUAUAUAGUAGGCCUAUGCAAUGCCGAAUUGCUUGGUCACGAAUCUUCUUGGAAUAUUGCAAUGGCCAUUCUUAUUUCCCUCUCAGCAUGGUUAGAGAAUCAAGAGAGCAGAGGUUCUAAAAUUAUAUAUAAUCCAAGGAAUUUGACUUAGAACUACUUACUAUUUUCUCGAGGAACUCACAAAUCUUCUUGAUUUCCCACCAAUUCAACAUCAAUUAUAGCUACUGUUAAAAGUUAGAACAAAUCUUACCAUUGUUGUAAAAUUCUAACCUGAAAGCUUAAUUUGCACGUUUCUUACUCUAAUCUCUCUUAACAAAAAAAAAAAAAAAACACAACUCGAAACGUCAAUUCCUCUUCUAUGAAUGAAACUAGAUACGAAAGCCUGAUGAUUUUUAAGUUCAAUAAAAAUCAUAACCUCCUUUGUUUCCCUUCUCUGUUUAGUGGGCUCAAAAUUUAGUAGUAUUAUGGGAACGUGGGCUUAUAUUAUAAGCUGUUGGACCAACUAAAGAGAAAUAUGGUCAAAACUUAAACAGAACAUGGGCAACGCCCUUGGAUUAUUACGCACAUAAGGUAACAAAAUUCUCCUCUGCCACUUCCUGCCUUCAGCAGUGGCUCUCUCAACGAUCUUUUGUUAUAAGCGUUGGCACAAAUAAAGGAUGUUGAUAAUUUAGGGAAGUAAAUAAAUAAAAAGGACGGUUGAUUAGUGCUAUCGGUAAUAAAGUAGCGUUGGAUGGCUAGACUUAGUCGUUGACGCAAAACACGGGAAAAGACAGGAGACUGAAGAAGAAAUAACAAAGCCAACCUUUAAUUCUUGAUAUCUAUAAUUCAGGUUUUGUAAUUAUUCAAGUACAGUUGUUGUUAAAUAAAAAUUAUAAUUAUAAAAUAAAAAUUAUAAUUAUAAAAUAAAAAUUAAUAAUAUGUAAUCAUUAUAAUAUUUAAAAAAUAAUUUUAAUAAAAUUAUAAAAGAUACAAUAAAUUUUUAUUAUACAAGUAUGAAAUUAAAUCAAUUUAAUUUUUAUAUUACAAUAAUUAAUAUUCAUCAAUUAUUUUAACACUAUAAUUUUUAGCUUACAACCGCCAACUGUUCGACCUCGACUUUAAAUAGGCCUUACUCGAAUUAGUUGGCGUCGAGAUCCUUCACCGGCCAUAGAGAAAAGUCAAAGAAAAUAAUUGCAGGACCAUCAUGGGGGACCAUUUCGUAUUUUCGUGUUUACUUUGUCAACAUUUUUUUCCAGAAGUAUACUUAUCAGACAGUUUAUAUCCAUAUUAAUGCGCGUGUCACUAUCCAUUAAUUAAAAUAUGUUUUAAAAAAUAAUAAACAAUAAGGUUAUUAUCGUUUGACUCAUUCAUAAAUUAUUUAAUAAGUAUCAUAAUUUAUUAUUUUAUUAUUAUAUUAAAAAAAUUUCCAUUUUACUACAUUUCAUUUAAUACGGUUGGCCCUUUAUUGUUACUAAUUGUAAGGUUACAGCUCACGAAGCUAAUCCUAAUAGAAGUUAGUUCGACGUUGAUGUCAUACCAGCAUUGAGGGGGUAAAAAUGAGUUCACAUAUAAGACCAAUAUCAAAUCCUAUAAGCUACUCUAUCGUUAAUUAUUGAAUAAAUGGAACGUAUUAAUCCAAUUUGAAGGCGUACACGUGAGAGCAUAGAGGAGGUUAAAAAAUUAAGAUGUGGGCCCACUUUAAAUUAUAACUCUCAAUUUCAAAUGUUAAUAAUAUUCACGAGGGGAAAAAUUUUAAAAUACAUUAGAGAUAAUAUAACUAAUUAAUACAUGUAUGAUAUAUGUUUUUAGAUUUGAUAUAACCCUAUUUGAAUGAUGAUUUUCUAAAAUAAAUACACACAUAUCAUAAUAUAAUUUAUUUAUUAUAUGACUAAUAUGGUAACUCUAAUGUAUUCUAAAACUUCUCAACAAUAAGAAGUUUUGCUGAAUUUUGAAAUAUUAGGCAGUUUUUGCUAUAUUUUACCAAAUAAAGAGAACGUUUUACUCAUUUCCCUUAGAUUAAUUUUGUAAACUAAGGUCCAUUAGAUUCACAUUUCUUUUCCAACAAGCCGCUUACCACAUUGCCCUUAGCUAAUAGCUAUUUACUAUUUAGACCAUUUGCCUAUGGUUAAUAAUCUUCUUCCUUCAUGGAUAGAAUUACUUUGAAUUUUAUUAGAAACCUCAUAUAUUUUGUUAAUACAUUUAUGCAAGUGUGAAGUGCAACUGUAUUGGGUGCUCCGACAGUAACUUAAAUGAGAGUGACUGUAAUAUAAAUUAAAAAAAAACGUUUGUAUUAUUUUAAUUAUCAAAUGAUUAGGCUUAUGAGAAGAUCUUUUUUCUUAAAUAAAAGAAUUCUCAAUAAAUAAAUAAAUAACAUCUAAAAAUAACAAGUUAAGUGUUGUGAAAAAUCUUUCAUCCUUCUAAAACAGCUACGAGAAUGAAUUGGUAAUCCACCCUUAGCUAAAACAUAUGCAGGUUUAUCAUUAUUAGUUUAGGAGAAAAUCUUAUAAGUAGAUCGUAUUUUAGAAUUUAUAAAUUUUAAUAUUAAAAAAAUAAAUGCUAUACCCAACGAAAUAAUUUAUGCCGUUGGUCCUACCCUCCGCUGAGGUGACAGGACAGCUAAUAGAAUUUUUUCUCAUAACUCAUAAGCAGCCACCUCUUAGGUUAGAAAUCUUUAAAGAUAGAAUUAGAAAGUGAUGUGAUUACAAUGUUUGGUAGGAAACGUGGCAAAGUAUAAUGGGAUAAGUCCAUUGAAGUCAUCUCGUGAAAAACGUUUGAUCUAUUAUCAUGUAUUGUGGUGGAAACUGAGUAGUACGUAGUUGUAAAGCGAAGUCCGAUAGUGAAAAUCUGAAGAAAAGGACCGUACCGUUGUUGAUUGACGUCAUCGGUAAUGAAAAUAUCUCGGAUGGCUAGACUUGGGCAUUGACGCUGAAUACAACAAAAAGAGAGAAAAGAUUGGAAACGAAAGUAAAAGCGAACCUGUGUUUUUUGAUAUCUUUAACUACUUUUAACUUCCAUCUCAAUGAUAACCAGUUGAGUGAUGUCAAAAAUCUUCCACUAUUACAAAAUAACUACGAAAAUGAAAUACAAACUUUAGAUAAAGUAUCUAUAAUAUUAUGACAACUACCUUAAAAGUUAUCUUAAACCUUAAAGAGCAUAAUAAUUAUUAAAUAAAAUAAAGAAACACACCCAAAAAGUUAAAAAAUAAAAUAGAGACAGAGCAUAUUCGAAUGCAUAAUUAAUUACAUGUCAAAAAGUCUCGCGUGUGUUAAUCAGUCAUAAAUAUAUUGAUAUGAUGAUGAAAUCGGCAGAACAACUACAGAGAAUGGGUCGUUUAUCUAACUACCGGUUGAGGUGGUAGGCUGCUCCAUAAAAUUGUUUCUCAUAAUAAAUUAUCGAUUAGAUUAGGAUUAUUUGUAGAUAGAAUCAAAAGUGAUAUAAUUACAUUAUCCGGUAAUAUAAUCAAAAGUUACGUAGUUAUUUAAUUGUUAAAUGGAAAUAAACAAAUGAAUUGUUGAUGCUGAAAUCUGCUCGCCUUUGGACCGACCAGAUUUUUUCACCAACGUUUGUGUUAUAUACUGUUACUCGUUCACUGGGAUUGGAAUCGUCCUCCUUUCUCACAAUAGACCUGCGCUCACCAAAAACGGAUCAGAGACGCCGGUGGUUUUGCCGGCGUAAACCCUCCGAUGCCUAAGUUAGCUCAAGGUGUUUACGGGAAAACAGUGCAAUAUCUCAAAAUGGUUUCUAAAUUAUUCGGAGUUUAUAAGAAAAUAGCCUGGUUGAAAUUUGGCAGCGUUUUCCCUCUCUCAGUUUUUCUAUCCCCUUCUUCAUCGAUUUCUUCUUCUUUUAUAGCCGCUGUCCCCACGUUCCCGUUUGCCCUUCAUCCCACCUUUUUCGGGUAGUGGUAGCCUCUCAUGGGGCUCUAACUGCUGCAUUAUGGGCAAACGUGGGAUCUCGCGUCUCCCGCAACGGUUCUGGGAAAGCGCAACUACCGUGAUUCUGUGAGAUCGUGUUUCCGCUUUUCGGGGGACGGGUACCGGCUCGGUAUAUGGCUCUGGUCAGUAUUCGUCUCUGAUCGACUCAUGCUGCCCUCUGCUCUGCUCGUACCAUUUGACUGAGGUGAUUCAUGCCGGGGUGGAAAUAGUGUCAUGGCCGACCUGGUGCUUUUAUUUGCUUAACACCAGUCCCCCAGUUUCUGGUCUUGUGAGUGAAAUGAGUCAAGAGUAGAAACUGAUAGUCGACUCUUACCAAUCCGGGGGUUUCUCCUCUGGUCUUCUAUCUACCGGGACGGACAUGAGGUAUCAUUUUUCUUCGGGUGAGAUUUUGAUCUGGGCGUGGGCCUAAAUGAGCAUGUCCACUGCGCAUCUGGGCUUGCAUCUAGCCUGGCCUCUUGUAACGGUUGGUGACGUGGCAUCUCCCGAUUCUUCGUAUUUGAAAUUUGAAACGACGGGCUAUCUGUCCUCGAUGUACGGUGAGUGAGCUGGCGUCCCCAUCACUUAAAUGCUCUCAUUUCCCCCUUUUCGUUUUAAAUCCCUAGACUGGAGUCUUCAUCAUCUUGUUACUCGUUUCUCCGCCGUUAACCAAAUUUUCUCUGAACGUUGCUCACACUUCCAGCGACCGGAGUAUUCACUUGCUGGGUGUUCUCUCUGUCACGGCAGCGCUAUCAGUGUCAGUCUAUUCCAGGUAUAGCCUUUAACCUUUUCUUUGGCUGUUGUUGGUUGGGUUCUGUGUUGCCCCUUUUUGUAUCCGUGUACUUGGGUUUGUUUUGGUCUUUCUUUUGAGAUUCCGAUAUGUCAAACCGGAAAAGAAAGUUAAUCGUUGAUGAGGGUGAGGAAGAAUCAGGGGAUUCAGGCCUCAACGUGUCAAUACCCACCGAUUUCUUAGGUCCCUCCAGUAGUGUAGGUCCUUCCCAUGGCAGGGGUACCCUUGAGUACCCACGCCCCUUGGCUGUCUCUCCCUCCCCCGAACUAGAGCUUGUAGGGAAUAGAGGUGGACCUGCUUCGGGCUCUGGUGAGAACCACAGCUUUGGUGGGGUUGGGAUCCCUGAAGGAGUUGGUGAUGGUGAGGGGAGCAGUUCUGGACCGAGUGGACCUGCUAAGAAAAGGAAUCUUGGCCAUAGGGUGGAGGCUGAUUCCUACCCUAUUGAUUACAUAGCCUGUGCCACCACCCAAACUGAUCUGUUCAAGCUUAGGAACCUCUACGACAUUCCUGAGGAGGUUCUCCUUGUAGUUCCUGGGAAGGGUGACGUUCCUAGUCGGCCUCCGCGGGGGUACGUGACGAUGCACCUAGAGAGUUUCAAACUAGGAGCUCGGCUGCCCCUUCAACGUUAUUUUGCCAAGAUAUUAAGAGGUAUGCACCUGGCCCCAGGUCAGCUACACCCGAACGGGUGGAGAGUUCUCUCGGCAAUGUUUGUGUUGUGGGAGAGGUGCGGGUCGGAGGAGUCUUCCCUUGUUGAAGUGAAACAUCUGUAUCAGCUGCGAAGCAGCCCAAGGGAGGCGGGCUGGUACUACUUCAUGUCCAGUUCUGCGAAGAGAAAGCCAAUCACCGGUUUCCCCUCCUCGUGCAAAAAUUGGAAGAACAAAUUCUUCUUUGCUGGGGGAAAGUGGUGUCCAGCACUCCGCUCGUUGGGUGGUGAUAUUUACCUUCCAACGCAGUUUGUCACCCCAGGUCUUUCAUUUUUGCCUAUAUUCUUUCUCAAAUUGUCACUUAUCGAGUUCUUUAACCUUUUGUGUUAUUUCAGAGUCGUGGGGUCUGAUCGGGGGGCUUGAAGAUCGGCCUUUGCUUCAGGUGGAAACGGCUCUAUUGAACGCGUCUACCUGCCAAGACCUCCUGUCACCAACAAGUCUGGUCGGCUCGGGCUUAGUGGACAUAGCUGCCGGGAUGGAUAACAAGAUCCUCAGCGCGAUGAGCAAGAAGCGUAGUCGGGGCCCGAGUAGCUCCAGCAACCCUCCUCCUCCUCCGAAGAAACCUAGCGUCGGUCCUUCCAAGGCGCCUGUUCCUGCUCUGCUCCCUCCUCCACCUCGUAAGAGUGUUGGGGAGAAAACCUCUGACAAGAGUCCUGAGGUCAGCUUGCAUUCUGGGGACCGAUCUUCUCCUCUUCCAUCUCGGGAUCAAGGUGACUACCUGAGCCCAUAUCAUAAGGAUUAUAAAAAGUCGGUUGGGCCCAAGAUGGUGAAGGACAUCGAGAGCAUGAGCCUCUCCGAGUUGGUUGCCUCUGUUCAGAGAGUCUCCUUCAGACUGGCCACAAUGGUCUCGUGCUACAAGACUGGAUCCGCGCGUCAUGAGAAGAAGCUUCAAGCUGACAAUCAGGAGUUGAAAAAGAAAGCUGAAUCUGCUGACCGCUCCAAGGAGAAACUAGCCGAGCUGAACAAGAAGAUUACGGAGCUGGAGGAGAAAGUUGCGGUUGCUGAAUCCACUUCCUCCAAACUCGAGGGCGAGUUGGGUGACCUGAGAUCUGAUCUUCAGGCUACUCAAGCUGAAAGGGAUACUUUGAGGGCCGCCCUUGAGGGGGAAAUCAAAUCCUUAGGCGAGCAGCUGGCUGAGGAGAAAGGCAAAUCCGCUGAUGUGGAUGAUCGGCUGGAUGCCGAGUAUGAUUCUGGGGUUGCCUUCUCCUACAAGUGCAUCAUGUCUGUGCUUAAGACAGAAUAUCCCGAGAUGGACAUGAGCAAACUGGAGGCCGGAGUGCAGCGGUAUAUGGCGCAGGUCGACCAAGCAGAUAAGGAGCAGGGUGAGCAAGAGCAGGUGGAGGCCCCUUUGGAUGGAGUGCAAGAGGAGGAAGCUGGGGGACGCAUUUUCGAAGUGGGUCAAGGGUCCAUGCCUCCUCCUCCCGGCAUUGCUGAUCUCCCACCUCCUGAUGUUGCUGAUCCCUUACUUCCCGAGCUCGCUGAUCCUUCAGCUGCUGGAGCCGCUGACUCUGCUAAGCUUUGAGCCUAUUUUUUGUAUAAACUCUAGAUUUGCAUUUGUUUUGUAAACGAUUGAACAUUUAUAAAAAUUUUUGAAUGCUCUCUAUUGGCUUUCUUGUCUGGUUUUGCCUGUUGGUUCUUUGGUGCAUCGAACAGGAAUAGGCAUCCGUUUGCCUUAAUAAAAUUUUCGAAGCUUUAGUUGCUGGUCUUUCGUUGACCGAGCAGAAACAAGCACUUUAUUGCCUUAGUAAGAUUUUUUGUAGAAUUAGCUGCUGGUCUUUCGUGGACCGAGCAGAAGUAGGCACUUACUUGCCUUAGUAGAAUCUUCGUAGAUUUAGCUGCUGGUCUCUCUUUGACCGAGCAGAGGUAGGCACUUACUUGCCUUAGUAGAAUCUUCGUAAAUUUAGCUGCUGGUCCUUCGUUGGCCGAGCAGAAGUAGGCACUUGCUUGCCUUGGUAGAAUCUUCGUAAAUUUAGCUGCUGGUCUUUCGUGACCGAGCAGAAGCAGGCACUUACUUGCCUUGGUAAAAUCUUCGUAAAUUUAGCUGCUGGUCUUUCGUGACCGAGCAGAAGCAGGCACUUACUUGCCUUGGUAAAAUCUUCGUAAAUUUAGCUGCUGGUCUUUCGUGACCGAGCAGAAGCAGGCACUUACUUGCCUUGGUAAAAUCUUCGUAAAUUUAGCUGCUGGCCUUUCGUGACCGAGCAGAAGCAGGCACUUACUUGCCUUAGUAAAAUCUUCGUAAAUUUAGCUGCUGGUCUUUCGUGACCGAGCAGAAGCAGGCACUUACUUGCCUUAGUAGAAACUUAGUAAAUUUAGCUGCUGGUCUUUCGUAGACCGAGCCGAAGUAGGCACUUAUUUGCCUUAGUAGAAACUUUGUAAAUUUAGCUGCUGGUCUUUCGUUGACCGAGCAGAAGUGGGCACUUACUUGCCUUAACAGAUUUUUUGAUGGGCUUAUUAGCCGGGGGAUUUCAUGUUGAAUUCAUCUUUAUUGAAAUUUGAAUGUAUUACAAAAACAUAGAAUAUAUGUAUGUGCGACAAGCCAUCAGGCAUUGUAACAUAAAUAACUUGCCAGAGUGAGGAUUUAAUAGAGCCUUUUGCUUACUGGAAAUACUUCUUCAGGUGUUCGGCGUUCCAUGACCUCUUCACGUCUCGUCCGUCUUGGCACGCUAAUUUAUAUGCUCCAGGUCCAGUGGCUCGUGUCACUCGGUAUGGGCCUUCCCACUUUGGGCCAAGAGCGCCAUGGUUAGGAUUCCUGGUGUUCUGGUUCACCUUCCUAAGUACCCAAUCUCCUGCUCGGAACUGCCUCACGCGUACGUUCUUGUUGUAAUAACGCAUGACCCUUUGUUGGCACUGGGCCACUUUCUGCACUGCCCCUUCCCUUUUCUCUUCCAGCAGGUCCAGACUUAAGCAAAUCUGCUCGUCAUUUUGCUCCUUAGUGAAAUAUUCCAUCCGAUGUGUUCCCACUCCAACCUCUGCUGGGAUUACCGCCUCAUGACCAAAAGCUAAAGCGAACGGUGUUUCUCCUGUGGCGGUUUUGUGAGUUGUCCUGUAGGCCCACAGUACUCCUGGUAGCUCGUCAACCCAAGCUCCCUUCUUCUCUCCCAAUCUAGUCUUUAGGAGCUUUUUUAUCACCUUGUUGGCUGCUUCCACUUGUCCGUUUGCCUGGGGGUGUGCGGGGGUGCAAAACUUCAGGUCCACCCCCAGGUUUCGGCAAAAUUCCCUGAAGUUGCCGUUGUCAAAUUGCCUCCCAUUGUCUGUGAUGAUGGCGUAGGGGAUCCCAUAUCUGCAGAUGAUAUUUUUCCAAAUAAAAUCUGUUGUCUUCCUCUCUGUGAUCUGGCUGAGGACUCCUACUUCCACCCACUUGGUGAAGUAGUCUAUUGCCACAAUUGCAUGUGUCGCCGCUCUUCGUCCCUUAGGCAAUGGACCAAUCAAGUCGAUUCCCCAUUGAGCGAAAGGCCAUGGGGAUGUCAUAGCCGUCAGCUUUUCCGGGGGUUGUGCAGGAACCUCGGAGAAGCUUUGGCAUGUUUUACAAUUCUUUGCCAUCCUUUUGGCAUCCUGGUGCAUGGUUGGCCAGAAGUAUCCUUGCCGGAGCGCCUUGAAGGCUAAAGUUCUUGCUCCCGAGUGAUUGCCGCAUAUUCCCUCAUGAAUCUCUCUCAGCACAUAAUCCGCCUCCUCAUCAUCCAAACAUCUCAAAAGGGGCAAGGUGAACCAUCGGCGGUACAGCACUCUAUCCAGUAGCGUAUACCUUGCUGCUCGGCAUUUUAAUUUUCUUGCUUGCCUUUUGUCCUCUGGUAAAACUCCAUCGCGGGCAUAUGCGCGAAUCGGAUCCAUCCAGGAUUCUCCAGCGCUUACUCUCAUCACCUCUACUUCCUCCCCUAUACUCGGCGAGGUCCUUACCUCUAGUGGAACCGACUUAGGUAAUUUUGGAUCUGCAAUUGCAGCCAUCCUAGCCAACAUAUCCGCUCGGUAAUUCUCAUUCCGAGAUAUCUGCUUUACUUCCACCUCUUGGAAAAGCACAACCAUCUGCUUCGCUUUUUUUAAAUAAAGGCCCAUCUUCUCUCCCCUUGCUUGGAACUGAUCGUUGAGCUGAUUACAUACCAAUUGGGAAUCUGCUCGGAUUUCUACCCUUUCUGCUCUUAAAGCGUGUGCAAGGCCGAGCCCAGUGAUAAAGGCUUCAUACUCAGCUUGGUUGUUUGUGAGCUGAAAUUCGAACUUCACCGCAUAUGUUAUCUCGGUUCCCUCUGGGCUCCGUAUUACAACUCCUGCUCCGGAUCCUUGCUCACUACAUGAUCCGUCAACCAUUACCAGCCAUAUCCCCUUUGAAUCCUCUUGCUCUGCCAGUUGUUCCUCUUGGACCUCUUCCCCCGGUUCAACACGGUCCACCAUAAAAUCUACCAGGGCUUGGGCCUUGAUUGCUCCUCGGGGCCUGUAGGACAGGUCAACUUCGCCCAGCUCCACGGACCAUUUUACUAACCGACCAGACGCAUCUGGUUUUUGAAGCACUUGCCGAAGUGGCUGGUCAGUCAUCACAACGAUCUGGUGGGCUUGGAAGUAUGGUCGGAGUUUGCGUGCUGCCGUUAUCAAAGCCAGCGCCCACUUCUCCAUUAGCGGAUAUCUGGUUUCUGCGUCCACCAGGGCCUUGCUUGUGUAGUAUACCGGGUGUUGCUUCCCUUCUUCUUCCCUGACUAAGACCGAGCUGGUAGCCUGCUUAGAGAUUGCCAAGUACAAGAGCAGCUGAUCACCCUCUCUCGGAGUUGAUAGUAACGGGGCGCGGGCUAGGUAUUCCUUCAGCUGUUCAAAUGCCCCCUCGCAUUCCGGUGUCCAUUCCAUCUUCUUCCCUUUCUUUAUGACUUGGAAGAAAGAGUGGCACUUAUCAGUGGCUCGCGAAAUGAAUCGGUUCAAUGCUGCCAAUUUCCCUGUAAGGCUCUGCACCUCCUUAACUGUUCGUGGGGACCUCAUUUCUAUCACCGCCCGUAUUUUUUCUGGGUUGGCUUCAAUACCCCGAUGGCUUACCAGGUAUCCCAAAAAUUUGCCCGAGCCGACCCCAAAUGCACAUUUCUCCGGGUUCAGCUUCAUUUCGUACUUCCUCAGCAAUUCGAAAGUCUCCUCUAAGUGCUUCACAUGAUCUCUCGGUUCUCUUGACUUGGUGAUCAUAUCGUCCACAUAUACUUCCAUGGUGUGACCGAUCAAUGGUUUGAAGACCUUGUUCACUAACCUUUGAUAGGUAGCUCCUGCAUUUUUCAGGCCAAAGGGCAUCACCUUGUAACAAAACAGACCCAUGUUAGUUAUAAAGGUGGUGCUUUCCUCGUCCUGCUCGUUCAUGGGUAUCUGGUUGUAUCCGGAGAAGGCGUCCAUGAAGCUGAGCAGAUUAUGACCCGCGGUUGAGUCCACCAACUGAUCUAUUUUUGGUAGGGGAAAGCUGUCCUUCGGGCAUGCCUUAUUGAGGUCCGUGAAGUCUACACACAUUCUCCACUUUCCAUUGGCCUUCUUUACCAGUACCACAUUGGAAAUCCACUCCGGGUACUUGGCUUCCCUUAUAAAUUCUGCUUUUAGCAGCUUUUCCACUUCGGCAUUUAUAGCCUCGUACCUUUCAUGGUUGAAGCACCUCUUUUUCUGCCUCACCGGCCUUGCCCCUCUCUUGACUGCCAGCUUGUGACAAGCUAUCCCGCGGUCAAUACCUGGCAUAUCCUCAUGAGACCAGGCAAAUAUGUCCGCAUAGGACUGUAGACACUUCACCAGCUCGGCCUUUAUUGCUUCACCCAAUUCUGAUCCGACCUUAACAACUCUGCUAGGGUCACUCCUACUUACAACAACUUCCUCCAGCUUCUCAACAGGUUCCUGACGACCAUUUUUUGAAUCCCCUCGGUUAUCUAGAGAGGUAACCUGCAGCGUUUCCUUGGCCGCUGUAGCAUAGCAGCUCCUGGCCAUUCUCUGGUCGCCCUUUACCACACCCACAACUCCAUUUAUUCUGUACUUCAGCGCCAGAUAGUGCGUGGACAUUACACAUUGGCUUAUCCUCAUGAAUGGUCUCCCCAGUAUCAUCUGGUAAGGGCUUCUUUCCUCUACCACGACGAAGUCCAGCAUUAUCGUUCGCUCAAACGGCUUUGUCCCCACAGUAAUCGGGAGUUCAAUGAUCCCCAAGGGAGUUAACCGUCCCCCUCCAAAUCCUUUCAAGGAAGUAUUUGUCCGCUCCAGCUUUAAAUCUGAAAUCCCCAUAUCAUCUAGGGCUGACUUAAAUAGAAUGUCAACUGAACAGCCCGUGUCCACCAGUAUUCGCCGCAAUUAUGUGCUAGCCACCGAUGCUUUAAUCACUAGUGCAUCCUCAUGAGGAUAUAAAAUACACUCUUCAUCCUCAUCUGUCCACAUAAUGGGAACUUGUCGCACUUUUGCCUUCUUGGUUGCUGGCAAAUUGAAAAGCACUUCUUUGCUAGUCAGGGCGUAUCUCCCAUAGUUCUUCCGUGCCCUGUUCCAAUCUCCGGCCAAUGUUGGCCCUCCUGCUAUCACACGGAUGGUCGGCUGUUCACGUUCCAGAUCCCUCUCAACUCCUUCAUCUCGUGUGUACUGUGAUUCCAUGACAGGGGAUAUUCCAUCUACAUACUCGUCCAAGUACCGGUUCCUCACUAAAUCCUCCACCUGAAUCUUCAGGUCACGACAUUGGCUGAUAGUGUGACCGUGAGUGUCGUGGAACUUACAGAAUCUGCUCUUAUCCCGUCGGUGAGUCGGUUUUGUUAUUGGGGCUGGAGGGUAUAGCAGGCAUCGUCCCUCGAUCCUCUCGUACAAUUCCUCCAUGGAGAUCUUUAGGGGAGUGUAUUGUCUAUAUGCCAAGCUCUGGUCUACCAGCUGAACUGCUCGGCUAUCUUGAACGUCACCUCGGGCUGGCAUAGUCGCUAACUGAUCUGGUCGUCUAGCCCUGGAAUUGGUUGCAUGUAAUGUUCUGGGAGUGUUAUGAUAGGGGUCGGCAGCCAUCUGCCGGAAUUCUCGCUGCCGAUCCGGGAAUGGGGGACGUGGAGGUUGAGCCCGGUUGUGCUGGAACUGUUGUGAUCUCGGAGCUAUGGGGUAAGGGCGGGAUCGAGCUGAUGUUCCGCCCCUUACCGAGGGUUCCCCAGCUCGCUUUCCCGACCCGCUCCCAUUUGGAGUUCUCCUUUCCUUUCGUCUCAGCUCCUCCAGCUGUUCACUCUUUAUCUUUGCCGAUUUUUCUUCUUCGAUUUCGAUAUCUCUCUUUGCCUGCUCAUAUCCUGCUGAAUAAUUCUGCACCAGGGGGCUUCUCAGGUUAUACCAUAGCCGGCCUAUCCUCACACCCUCCUUUAAACCCCUCAACGCCUGCGGGUGAUUGAAAGCUCCCAAAUCAAGUACGGCUCGGUGGUAUCGCUUUACAAAAUCCCGUAGGGACUCGUGCUCCUCCUGUUUCAUCCCCAUCAGUUCCAUCAUGUCGUCCUCUGGGGCUACUGCCCCUCGGAACUGCUCGGCCAACUCCUGGCACAUCUGCUCAUACCCCUUUAUACUUCCUCGGGGCAGCUUGCGGUACCAUUCUCGAGCUCGUCCCUCUAGUGUCAACGGGAACGCCCUGCACCUCUGAGCUGGUGUCAGCCCCUGCACACCCGUCAUAUCGUUGAAACGCUCAAUGUGCACUAGUGGGUCACUUCGCCCGGAGUAUUUGAGGUCGGGGAAGCGGAAAUCUCUUGGGAUUAUGGUACCCAUGAUCUCAAUUGAUAGCGGAGAUUCUUCAUCUAACAUUAUCCUCCAGCUCGGGGGCUUUCUCUUGCCCUGUAUCUCCUCUAUCGCCUGCGCCAACCUGCGCACCUCCCCCUCCAAUUCUAUAGCACGGUUAGGAUCACGCGCAGCUAUCUGGUCUCGCUCCUGCUCGGCGUUCUGCAACCGCUGUCUGAGCUCUCCUUCAUCAACACUGGCACCUCGGCCAGUAGUUUCCAGUACCCGUCCGGGGCGAGUUUGGUCUCUCCCUUCAUCCCCGUGUUCUCCUGGGACCCGACCAGUACUCCUGUGGGGGUGCACCCCAUUAGGUUGGUCUGCGGGCGGAGGAAUGUCCUCGACUCUACGUCUCCGGAGGCUGGGUUCUGCUCCGACUUCAUCUCUUCCCACGGGGGUUUCACAAUCCCUUCUCCGCUCAUCCCUCAGCUCAAACAAUAUGGACGCGAGAGUCUCCAUUUGUUUCUCCAUCCGCUCCAGUCUGUCUUGCAUCAUCCUCUCUCGGGCUUCAUUCGCAAUUUCCCGGAGAGUGAUUGUCUCCCCAGCUUCGUUAUCCUCCCUCAAAGCGUCCUUCCUCGUCACAUCCAUGUCUAACAGUUCGCUAUUUCUCCGGUACUUCCUAAUUCGGUGGUAGCUUUUUAUCCAGAUCCCCACAGACGGCGCCAAAAUGUUGAUGCUGAAAUAUGCUCGCCUUUGGACCGACCAGAUUCUUUCACCAACGUUUGUGUUAUAUACUGUUGCUCGUUCACUGGGAUUGGAAUCGUCCUCCUUUCUCACAAUAGACCUGCGCUCACCAAAAACGGAUCAGAGACGCCGGUGGUUUUGCCGGCGUAAACCCUCCGAUGCCUAAGUUAGCUCAAGGUGUUUACGGGAAAACAGUGCAAUUUAGAUCUCAAAAUGGUCUCUAAAUUAUUCAGAGUUUAUAAGAAAAUAGCCUGGUUGAAAUUUGGCAGCGUUUUCCCUCUCUCAGUUUUUCUAUCCCCUUCUUCAUCGAUUUCUUCUUCUUUUAUAGCCGUUGUCCCCACGUUCCCGUUUGCCCUUCAUCCCACCUUUUUCGGGUAGUGGUAGCCUCUCAUGGGGCUCUAACUGCUGCAUUAUGGGCAAACGUGGGAUCUCGCGUCUCCCGCAACGGUUCUGGGAAAGCGCAACUACCGUGAUUCUGUGAGAUCGUGUUUCCGCUUUUCGGGGGACGGGUACCGGCUCGGUAUAUGGUUCUGGUCAGUAUUCGUCUCUGAUCGGCUCAUGCUGCCCUCUGCUCUGCUCGUACCAUUUGACUGAGGUGAUUCAUGCCGGGGUGGAAAUAGUGUCAUGGCCGACCUGGUGCUUUUAUUUGCUUAACAUGAAUAAUGCACUGUAGCUUUCUUCUUCAAAAUAUAAAAAAUUUUCUGUCAUGAAAAACUUGUGGUCAAAGGCCCCAAGUCUAUAGUCGUCAAGCAAAAAGCGACGCCGGAGAGCGAAAGAAAGAAGGGUCCGCCACUGUUACUACUGUUACAACAGUUUUUGUCUUUUCUGAUUCAGUUGCUGUAAACUUUCGUUGAACCCCUUGUACUAUAUAUUAUUUAUAGGUUAUUUAUAAGUAUUAUGAAACUUUCUACUUACUUAUAAUAUAAAAAAUUCAAUUUAUUUCCUUACACUCUUUUUCAUUUACUAUUUUUUUUGUGAGUAUCAAGAGUUUCUAUUUACAACCAUGAUACAUUAAUUAUCAUAACACUCUAAUAUUAAUAAAAAGACAAAAACAUCCUUAAAUUAAAACAAAAAAAAAAGCUUUCCUCUUUUGAGGAAUUACAGUAUCUCAUCUUCCAUCACUCAUCAUCAACAAAAAUUUCAAGGAUAUGACCAUUCAUCUUCUUUAUAAUAUUAUCUCAUAAUAAUUAAUACUUUCAUGAUAAAAGAAUUAACAAAAUAAAAUAUAAAUUUCCUUUAAAUCUAUCCUCUCCAUUAUUUAUUUCUCUUUAUCAGCAACCUUUAUCGACAAUUAAUAUCACCAUUAGGCUCAUCAGAGAGAGAAAAAGAGAGAGGAAGAAGAAACGGGAAAAAAACUAUAUGAAACUUUUACAAUUUGAUAGUGUGUUCACUAAACGGGAAUCGAAAUGAACUGAAAUCAGAAUGAGGUGGAAUCAAAAUGAGGAAUUAAAAUCAGAAUAAGUUAUUUACUUGACCUAUAGGAAUCGUAAUUAAAAUGAGUUAUAUUAUCAUUGAUUUGUUUAUCUUGUCUUGAAAUUAAAAUUGGAAUGAAUUAAAUUAUAAAAACUUACUAUAAAAUACUUAAUUAAUUUUUAUCAUAAUUAUUAUUUUAUACUUUAAUUAUUGUGAUUAUUAUUAUUCAAAAAAUUAAUUCUUAUUAAUAUUAUUGUUAAUCAUUAUUAUUAACAAUUAAACUAAAAAAUUACUAUUAAUUAAUGAUAAUAUAUUAAUUAAUUAGAUUACUUUUUACUGUUGUUAAUAAUAAUAAUAAUGAUAAUAAUUUUUUUGAGUUAAUUAAAUGGAGGGUAUUUAGGGAAUUUAAAAAUUAUGAGGGGCGAGUUUGAUAUUCUAAGGGUUUUAAUGAAAUAAAACAGAGUACGAGGGGUUCAACGAAAUUUUACAGUAACUGGUUCAGAAAAGACAAAAGCUGCUGUAACGUACUACGGUGGUAGCAUAGGCGGAUCCAAGAAAAGAAAGGGGUACUUAGCUAAUUUUUUAAUUUCAGUUGGCCAUAUUUAAUUAGUGUAUGCCCUCUAGUUUUAUAGCCAACCAAACAAGGCCACUGGCUUCUUCUGCACCAUACUAUUGUACGCAUUCUGUACUCAAAACUCAAAUAUCAUGAACUCUGAUCUGUACGAGGCUGCUGCAAAGGGGGAAAUUGAACCCUUCAACCAAUUGGCGAUAGAUCGUCAACUUGUAAACCUAGUGACUCACAAAAAGAAUACCGUCCUGCACGUCAACAUCAUUGCAUCCUACACCCAGAAUAAAGAAGGAGAAAGUGUCUCAACCAAGUUCGUGGAGCUGGUACUUGAAACGUGUCCAUCAUUGCUACUACAAGUUAAUGCCAAAGGUGAUUCUCCACUCCAUGUUGCGGCCAGAUGCGGGCAUGCUGCUGUUGUGGAAGCUCUGAUUGAAUUUGCGGAAAAACAGCCCGGUCAAGAGCUGGAAAGCGGCGGGGAAAGUACAGCAAGGCAUAUGCUAGGGAUGAUAAAUGAUGAAGAAAACACGGCGUUGCACGAGGCAGUGCAAAGUGGUAGCCUUGAUGUCGUGAAAGUUUUAUUGGAAGCAGACCCGGCUUUUCCGUAUUCUGCUAACUGUAGCGGUGAAACUCCACUUUACUUGGCAGCCGCGAGGGGACAUAAGAAGAUAUCAGCUGAAAUAUUAGAAAAAUGUCCGUCACCGGCCCAUGAAGGCCCCAAUGGAAAGACUGCCCUUCAUGCAGCAGUCUGCAGUGCCUCUCUCGGUAUGGAUGCGCAUGCUUUCGUACAAAAUUUAAUACCAUAAUUGUUUUUUAAAUUGUUCGGUUUUUUAAUAAAAUUUUUAAAGAUUAAAUAAUUUAUUCUAAUAAAAACAUAAAUUUUAACCUUUUAAUAACAGAGUUUGAAAACUUUUUAAAAUAUUUAAAUAUCUAAAAUAUUUUUUAUUUGUUUGACAAUUUAUUUUAUAACAUAAUUUUAAAAAAAUUAUUCAUUAAAAUAAUUUUAUAAUUUUAAUCAAUUUUUUAUUGGCAAUCAAAAAAUUAAAUUUUUUUUGAUAAAAAUUUUACUAACAGGAACUAUUCUUAAAUGGAUUUUAUUUUAAAAAUAAUAUCAAACAUAAGCUUAGUUGUUUAAUUUUCUUUUCUUUUUAGGUGUGAUAAGACUAUUACUCGAUAGAAAGAAUUUGACCAGAGAAAGAGACCGACACGGUUGGACUCCACUCCAUUACGCUGUGUAUAUUGGUCACGGUUGGACUCCACUCCAUUACGCUGCGUAUAUUGAUCGCUUAGUCAUCUCAUUCCGUUUAUUAAAAGCUGAUAAAUCUGCUGCGUUGAUUGCUGACGAAGAUCGGAAGAUGACAGCUCUUCAUUUAGCAGCCGGCCAAGGGAAUGUUGAGAUGGUAGAAGAUAUUAUUGACCAUUGUCCGGAAUGUUGUGAAUUGGUUGAUGUCAGAGGGUGGAAUGUUCUUCACUUUGCUAUGGUUAGUUUUGAUAAAAGUGACUUGAAACGUCUGCUGAACAAAUAUCCGGUGGUCAAAAAUCUAAUUUUUGAGAAGGAUGAGAAGGGGAACACUCCCUUCCAUGUGCUUGCUGCUGUCUGUCCGCAUCCAGGCAAAGCCCGCUAUGACAUCAUCCCUUACAAAAUUGCUAAAGGUUAUUAUCAAGCUGUCAACAAGCAAAAUAUUAGUGUUGAACACAUAAAUCGUUAUGGAUUUCCUGAACUCGAGGUACCUAAUUCCUUUUUUUAACUCAUCAUUGUUAUAGUUUUUAUAUGGAUAUGAGUAAUGAAAUUAGAUUUUGAUUUAUGUUAAUUUUUUCUAGAUCUUUUGUAAAGGGUUUUUUUAUAACAAUUAUUUAUUUAGGAUUCAAUUAUAUGCAUUUGUUAUAUGAUACGUAAACAAAACAUUAUUGAUUCUGAUAUCAUAUAUGAAAUUAAUUUUCAGCAUAUUAAUUAAUAAAAUGUAUAGUCCAGCGCGUUGAUGUUGUUGCCAAGUCAAUUUUUCCUCCCUCUUCCCCCACUUUUUUUUUCUUUUUUAAACUUACUUUCUUCUUGUUACAUUUAUAAUUUAGCAAAUAUGAUUGCAGAAAGAAAUCAAAGAAUUGGCCAAAGCUGAUGGCAAUGGACAAUAUCCAGCCGGUGUCAUCAAAAUGAACAAAGAAAUAAAAAUAAAAAUAAAAAAAGUAAAGAGUCUGAUUUAUUCGUAUUGGAAAUAUUUAGAUGACGAUGUCAUUGGAAUGGAAAAAGCAUCAGAAUAUCAUUUGGUAGUGGCAGCACUCAUAGCAACAGUAACCUUUGCUGCGGCAUUCACCUUACCCGGUGGUUACAAGAGUGACACUGAAGACGGCCCAAACAGGGGCACUGCAAUUCUCAGUAAAAACGAUCCCAUUUCACGACAUUCACUAUAAAGGCCAUAGUCCUAAUACCCAAUACCAAAAAACACAGAAUAUUCAUGCAAUGCGCAUAGAACUUAAAUAACCUUCAGGGUUUAAAGAGAAAUUAGAACCUGCAAAUGACCACAGAACUAGAACUGAACUAAGAUGAAGAGAUCAAGUGAUGGGUGGGUUUAAAUAGAAAAAAAAAAGAAUAUUCUAGCAUCAGAUGAUGAUGUAAUGGGAUCGUUAUAUUGUAUAUAGCGUACUCUGGAUUCAAAUUUUAAUGAUGAAAAGUUUGACCUGUGUUUGUUCUUCACUGAGCUUGAGUCGGACAAAAUUGAUAUGUUCGAAACUCUCUGCAAACGCACUUUUAUGCUAUCUUAUACUUUCAUGUUGUCAUAUCACUCAAGUCCUGCAAAGUUUUUAACAUUUUAAUGUUUUAACAUUAAUUCACUUGCAAAAAUAUUAAGAUCUAAAGCCCCACAUGGAAAGUUGAUUUUUAAACUAAUUAAAUUUUACCCAUAAUUUCACAAAUAGUUAGUAUCAGAAUAUGAUUUCACAAUUAUUUAUUUAGGAUUCAAUUAUACGCAUUUCUUUUGCCGUGUAUAAAUAAAACAUUAUUGAUUCUGAUAUCAUAUAUGAAAUUAAAUUUUAAUAUAUUAAUUAAUAAAUUGUAUUGUCCAGCGCGUAGAUGUCAAAGCCAAGUCAAUUUUUCCUUCCCUUUUCUUUUUUUUUUAUUUUUUUCAUUCUUAAGCUUGUUUUCUUUUAGUUACAUUCAUAAUUUGGCAAAUAUGAUUGCAGAAAGAAAUCGAAAAAUUGUCCGAAGCUGAUGGGAGUGGAAACUAUCCAGACGGUGUCGUAAAAAUCAACAAAAACAAAAAGCGUGUGAUUUAUUCGUAUUGGAAAGAUAUAGAUGAAGAUGUCAUUGGAAUGAAAGACGCAUCAGAAUAUCAUUUGGUAGUGGCAGCACUCAUAGCAACAGUAACCUUUGCUGCGGCAUUCACCUUACCCGGUGGUUACAAGAGUGAUACUGAAGAUGGCCCAAACAGGGGCACUGCAAUUCUCAAUAAAAACGUAGCUUUCCAAACAUUCGUUAUAUCAGACACUAUAGCCAUGGUCCUCUCACUUUCUGCUGUUUUUGUCCAUUUCAUUCUGUCACUUAAGUUUUUUAAAAAACUCAUCUUUUUAUUCGUUUUUGCUCUUUGCUUCACCUUAGUUGCCAUGGCGGCAAUGAUAGUAGCAUUUGUUACGGGCACAUAUGCAAUGCUGGCAACACCUUCUUUGUGGCUUGCCAUUGUUACUUGUAUCAUUGGCUUGACCUUCUUCCUCUUGGUGAUUUUCAUGUUUUACAUGGUUAUUUCAAAAGCAGAGGAAAAGUUAUUGUAUACCUCUCUCUAGUACUAUAAUUAUGUUAGCAUCAUCCCACUGUUAUGAUCUGGAGUUAUAAGUUGUGAUUGAAAUUUGUUACACUAUCUUAUUUGGUGUAUUGCUUCAAGGUUGUAAAACGUACUAAGAGCUUGAAAGAAAUGAUAUCAUCUAUUUAUGAUGCAGGAUUAGUUGUUGCAUAAGCAUUCCAAAUUAAUUUUAAUCAGGGAUCUUCACCGGCGGAAUGAGUAUUAGUUAUUCGAAUGGGUAAUGUUUCUUCUUAGCCUAAUUAAGUGGAGAAACAAAUUUGAUAUUUCAAAUUGUGAAGAGCUUUUUUCUUUUGGAAAUUCUACCAUCAAAAUCAAUUAUAGAAUUCGAAAAAUAUUCUAGUUUUGCAAUGUCUACAGUCUACUUAUGAAUUGCAUAAAGGAUAGAGCUGCAGACCUGCAGUUAGACAUAAGUUGACAAAGUUCGUACGAACGUACAGCCAGAUUCCAACUGCUAAUUUACACUUGCAUCUAAAUUUAAAAAUCAGCUAAUUACAAACCUGAUAACCAGCUGCUAACAGUUUCCACUUUCAAGAGCUUGAGAAGGUCAACUGAAAAUUGCAAGUAUUCAAAUGGUGAUAAAAAAGAGAUUCUUUUGAUAUGUUAUCCAGGUGCAAAAAUAAAAAAUGUCGCUUGAUGAUGAAGUAAAAGAACUAAAACCGCCGCAACAAACUGUGGCGGCCACACUCGUAGCAACAGUUACCUUAGCUGCGGGGUUCAUAUUACCCGGUAGUUACUGGGCUCAAGAAGGCCCAAUUCCCAGCACUCCAAUUCUCAGAAAAAAUGCAGCUUUUCAAGCAUUUGUUCUAGCUAAUGCCAUGGCCAUGGUCCUCUCCCUUUCAGCUGUCUUUUAUCCAUUUCCUUACUUCAACUAAGACCCUUCGGCAAAUGACGUUUCUUGUCAAUGUGGCUCAUUGUUUCAUCCCGGCUUCCAUGUUAGCAAUGACGGUUGCAUUUGUUACAGGAACAUCCCCAGUGUUGGCACCUUCUGUUGGGCUUUCCGUUGCUACUUGUGCCUUGGCUUGACCUUCAUCCUCUUUGUGCUUUUCGCCAUGUUCAAGUUUGCUUAUGGAUUGGCGCAAAGGUUGCUGGUGAGCUUCAUCCUCUUUGUGCUUUUCGCCAUGUUCAAGUUUGCUUAUGGAUUGGCGCAAAGGUUGCUGGGCUUCAUGAUAUAAUUAGAAAAAAAAAAAUCUCCAUGUUGGAGAAAUUAGCAUGUUUCUGUCUCUGUUUCUAGUAGUUAAUAUGUAAUUUCCAUCUCUUCAAUCUUUAUUCUCAGUGUUAUAUAUUAUGUGUAUACACCACUACAACUGAGAUUGUACCUAAUCCUCUUUUGUGUUGAGCUAUUAUCAUCAAAAGAGGAUUAAGUACAAAUACAAGGUCAACAUGAAAUUGAAAGUAGCAUAUUAGCAUUUCAACAUUAGUAAUUAAUUAAAAUACUUUUUAUAUUGUAUUGGUGAAAACUCUGUAAUAUAAGGGUAAUAUAAUCAAUUUUAUCAAGUGUUAAUGUGUUAGGAGCUUAUUUACAAAUAGAUAAUAAUUUCUAAAAGAUAUGCAGUGAGUCUAGUUUUAGUACUCUAUUCUCAUAAACUUUUCCUUCUCUGAUUCCACCUUUUUGAAUUCUUGAACUUGGGCUGGCUUAUGGUAUCGAAACUGAAUAAACUUACUAACAUAGACUCAAUUGCAAGUCUCAAAUCAUUUCUUUUUCUAAUUUGUAUAACCAAAAUUUUGUAAAAAAUAAAGCUUAUAUAAAAUAAUCAUACGUUUUCAUUGCAUCUUGAUACAAAUUGUUUCUUAACAGAAUGAUUGAGAAAAUAUAUAAGAGACAAUAAUGAAAUUUUCAAUUUUCAAAUUAGGGAAUUGCAAAUUGCAAUGCUGAGACAGCAAAAUAGCUUAGGUAAAUCAAUAUGCAACAAAACAAAAGAUAAUAUCCAUCAUUUCUAUUUCUAAUAUACUGAGAAACUAGCCUUCUAGGCUUAUAUAAUCGUAGCAGCUACAUAUUCAUAAGAUAUUUUUAAAAAAUAAUAAUAAUUUAUAUAAACAUCCUGUUGCUUAUACUGCAAGCAAAUGCAAGUCCAUUCACUACACCUGCAUAAUAUGUACAAGCAUUUACAAGUUAAUAUCAUCAGUUCCAUCCCGACCAGAUAAUGAAACUGGUCCAAGUGAUUCACCUUCUACUCUACCAAAUACCAAAUAUUUCUUUUUUAGAUUUCUCCCUUCGUCAAUCCAUUGCACUGCAGUCACCAAGAACUGGACCACUAAGCCAUUCCCUAUCUUUGCUUCUUGUUCAUUUGGGAAGAAUGGUUGUUCCCUAGGUUAACAUAGCAUACUUCACAGGACCACACCGCAAUAUGAAUAACUCCAUGCAAGAUUUCUCCCUUGACAGGCAAGAAAGUGCGACACAGAAAUGUUACAGGGAAGAACACAACCCUUGACUCAUUCACAGUUCCUCGCUCUCUGUCGAUGCUCUUCAAGUUAGUUAUUGAAAGAAAGUAACAGUGAUCCUUGCAAGCCUUCUCAUUUAUCAAGCCCUUCAACAGGCGUGUUACAAAUAUCACUGAAGAACCUGCAACUCGUUUCUAUCCAAACUUUUAGCAGGCACUGAUACAUCCUGAGCAAUUCCACUUCGAAAGACAUUUCUCCUCUACAUCAAAACAACUAAAAUAAGUAGGACUAUUAUAGAUUAACCAACCAGAAUUCUUCCAGAUUCUAUGCAUAUCAAUGCUGUUAAGAAAUCUAAUAGAAAAGAUGAACAAUAAUACAAUGAUGCUGAUACCAGUGUAUGCAUCCCCAAUUGCGCCAUGACCUGGAGGUUAAUUUUAAAGCUAAUCAAGAUUUUAAACUUAGUAUCGUAUCCAUAAUACAAUCCACAAAAAUCGAAGAACAAACCAAUAAAAAGGUUGUACCAAAAAGAGAUAAAUAACUAAAGGAUCAUUUUCAGUUACAUUGCGAAUGCUAUACAUUUUGAACAGAAUAAUUUAUUCCUAUCAACACAUCAGUGUUUCUUAUCAUUACACACAUCAGUAAUCUAUUUGGUUGUAUACAUACCUUCUCUUGCGUAUUGACUCAUGUUAGAUAUCUGAAGUAAUUUAUGCUAGCUAGCUCUUCAGUAACACCAAAAACAGCCAAAAGUACCAGCACUCUCUGCAGCUAACAUGAAAAAGAACUCAACAUUACCAACAAAAAAUUUCAAAAUUUGGAGGAAUGUAAACAAGUAUCAUAACCAUUUCUAAAGAUCCUAUUUCACAACAUUCACUAUAAAGGCCUACACAAUAUAGCAAGUGACUAGGAAUAAAUAAGAAUAUAGAACUCUCUCUCUAAUUCUCACUCUAGCUUUUAAUUGUCACUCAAAACCCCGAAUUUAUCCUUAAAAGUGUAAGCAAAUCAGAGAUGACAGCGUCUGGUUGUCAUACGCGCCUUUUAGUUUCCGGAUGACAUGGCGUACACUUCUUAUGUAAACCCAACACGACAUGUCGUACUCUUUGUUUUGAGAUCAUAUUUCAAACUCUUCAUGUUAUGAAUGAAACAUAAACUACAAUCAUCAAAACAUUUAGUGUUUAUUUGGUAAUGUAACGUCACGAUUGUUGUGAAUUGAAAUUAUUUCUGUAAAAUAAAAGGAUUUGGGUCAUUGUUUGUUAUUUUCUGGUAUUAUUUAUUAUAUAUUAAAAAUAAAUUUAUAUUUAUUAAGUAUAAAAAAUAAAUAAACAAAUAGAAAUAAAAGGAAAAGUUUAUACAUUACGUAAAAUAAUAAGAACAAUAUCAAUAUUUCACACUCUAUAAUUGAGUGAUGUGUUGUCCAACUGCCAUACAUUGGUCCCAAACGGAGACUUAAAUAUCAAAGUCCACAGUUAUUGUGAUGAUGAUUUAUAAUCGUUAAACUUGACAUUAUAAGGUAAUCAUGCAUUAUAAGGUGUUGAUUUCUUCCGGAACCUUAUUUUUCAUUUACAAAUAAAUAAAUGAUGUGACUUUCACAGAAUAUUCAUGCAAAAAACAAAAAACAAAAUAUCAUAACUGAAUUUCAAAUUGUCAAUGUUCUAUAAUAUAAAACAAAAAAUUUGUUUUUAAAAAAAAAAGAAAAAGAAAAAGAAAAGACCUCUGUUACAUGAAAAAGAAAUUUCCAUUCUAUAGAACGAAUAUUAUACUUUUAUAUUAGAAUAGAAGGACACUUUUCCUUGGUGCUACUCCAUGUAGUUCUUAAAAUUCGUACUUUAAUUAAUGUCAGUAAGUAAUAUAGGAUUUUUACAUGUAAUAGUUUUGUAAGUUUAGGAGUAAAACUUGGUCACAAUAGGACUGGACAAGUCUUGUGUUAAUAUUUUACUCUUUUUUAUUUUACUUUUAAAAGAUUUUCCAAUGCAUAUUAUAAUAUCUUCAAAAUAUUUUGAUUUCUAUUUUCUUUUCAGUUAAGAAGCUGAUAAUAUUUAUAUAUCUAAUUUCUCUGUUUUUAUAAUUUUAUUUUUUUAUUCAUUUUUUAUAAUCCAAAUACUAUUACCUUAGAUAUUUUUCCCCGCCACAGAUAACGUAGCCAUGCCAAAAUAGUCUUGAGAAAUAUGUCAGCGUCUAAUUGCUGCUGAGCUUCCGAAACCCAAAGCCUCAAAUUCGUAGCCUCAAAACAGUGGCAAUUCGAUGCCUGCUUUUUCACUAAAUUUAGUUUUUGCGCAGAAGAUCUUUAGCUAAUUAAUGAUAUGGCUCGAGUCCCUAGUCGCCAGUUCUGCCCAGCAACAGCCAUAUUCGAUUCGUUUCAAUCAUCCUUUUCAAAGUUCCACGGUACCCAUUUUCAUUUCUUCAGGUGCGGUUACACAAUUCCUCUUAAAAAUAAUUUCUUUUAUAAAAAUUCUUCUUCAAACUCUGCCCAUGAAAAAAACCCGCCAAGAAAAAUUUGUUCUUUAUCCAGGAAUAAAUUUUUUUUUUCUCAACAUGAUAAAGAUGAGAAUGCCAACUUAUGUUCUAGCAGCAGUUGGUUAGAUAAAUGGAACAAACCCAAUAAGUAUAACCGCCUGAAACCGCCUCAGGCACGCGUGAAUUAUAGAAAAAAUAAUGGUAAUGGUGUUGGUGGCGUUGAUGAUGGUGGUAGUACCAUGGGGAAAAUUGUGGAGAAACUGAAUAAAUUUGGUUACGUUGGUGACGGUGAUGGUGAGUGCAAGGAAAAGAGAGAGUGAUUGAAAAAGGGUCUAGAGAGGAUAUAUUUUGUUUGGAAAAAGGAUUGUUGCCGAAUGCAGGAGGGUGGUUUUCAAAAGAAUCCCCGUUGGGGUUAGGAGAGGAGGUAGGGAGUGACGGAGAAGUGAAGUUUCCAUGGGAGAAGCGGAAGGGAAGAUUUAUGUUACAAAUUUGUUUAAAAAUGUAUAUAUUGAUGCAUUCACUGCAUUUCUUUUUAACUUAAUUUCAAUUGAUCGUAUAUUACGUUGCAUUACGAUCCAAAUUGCUUCUUCAGAAAAUUAGUGAGAAAUUAUGAAAGAAAAAAUAAUUUAAUUUGCUUUCCAAUUCUAUUUUUUUCCCCAAAAUCAAGGCAAAUUAUGUGAGGCUCAAAAUAUUAUUUGUUUUGCCGUGAAAUUUAGAAACAAAAAAAAUACCUGGACAGAUACCGAGCACCCCACGCCUCAUUCACAGUGCGCAGGAAGAAGUUUGACUGCUGGGAAUACGAGAGGUAUGGAAUUGACCCUUGGCCGAUAUCCUUCAAGUUGGUCACUGCAAGAAAGAAAAUUUUUAGAAGGGAGUGCUAAAAUCUGAUUAUGAAUUGUUUAUAUGUCAUUUUUACCCUCUUUGAUUUUUCCUAAUCCCAAAAUAACCUUGCGUCAAUAUUUAAAUUUAAUUACCUUAUUAACUAUGAAAUAUUUAUUUGAAUUUUAGAAGACAUCUGUUGUACUAUGUCAGUCAUGCAAGUAUUAAAAUAAUAUCAUGAUAUGUGUGUAUUUAUUUUGUAAAUCAUCAUAUAAGUGAUGGUUGUAUUAAAUUCAAUUACACAUGUCAUGCAUGCAUCAAUUAAUUAUAAUACAACGGAUGUAUUCUAAAAAUUUUCCCCAAGAAGAAAGAGAAAGGGUGUCAACGGAGUUCGUGCAACGGAUACUCGAAAUGUGUCCAUCAUUGCUACUAUAAGUUAAUGACAAAGGUGAUUAAUAUUUUGUGAUAUUUAAUUACAAAAUAUUAAAUAAAUAUUAUAAUCUAUCAUUCCAUAAUUGGAAAAUUCUAUGAUGCCGUAAUUAAAUUUACGGCAUUGAUGCCGUAAUAGACGUGGACCGUUAGAUUAAAUCAACGACUCUAAAUAAUUAUAAUUUAAUAAAAAAAAUUAAUUAAAUUACAUAUAACCGGUUACAAGUCGGUUAAAUAUUAUUUUAAAAGUAAAAUUUUACCGGUUUAAAAUUAAAGAAAGGGGGUUUGCCUAUUACAAGAAUAAUAUAAUAUAAUGGGAAAAUUCAAUCCCUAAUCAAUGAAUUGCAAACGAAAGCCACACCCACCCCUGCGUAAACUUCCGUUCGAGUGCGCCGGUAGAUUGUAGCCAUCCUUGAGCCAAUUUUCUGCCUUCCAACUGCUGCGUCUCUGUUGUUGCUGUCUCUGUCCUGGUUUGUUCAUCAUCACUUGUGCAAGGUAAGUUAAUCCUUGGCUUCCAACUUUGAAGAGUCGAAGGUUUCAUGUUAUGCUAAGCAAUUUAGUUCCAGAUCUCUCAUUCAAUUUUAUAUUAUCUGAUAUAAUAUUCCUUCUGUGCACAAUUUUGCAUCUUUACUCUGUUUUCGUCCUCGGGCAUGAUGUGUGAGAGAGAGAGAGGAGCACAGAAACUAUAGAAUGAAUUUUCUGUUUUUUCAUCAUCUCUCUCUCCUCUUCUUUUAACUCUCAAUGCCCGCAGAAUUAAGCCAACAUCAAUAAUCAUGUCCUCUUUCCACAUGGCAUCUGAACAUAUGACCCUAUAAUGAUCAAUUUUAGGAUGUGGAUGUGCACGGCAGAUUUUUUCCACUUGCUUCACUCUGUUGUAUUUUAUGAACACUUGGUGUAUGACACAAAGUUGAGACCCUUUUUCUCCAAUGAUUGAUCUGAAUUGAUUUUUUUGAAAAUCAGAUGGAAUUCUUACACAAGAUGGAGAAAAUAGUAGCUUCAAAGAUUUAGAAAUUAGAAAAUUGACACCAAGGUGAAAAAAAUUAUUUAAGCUUUAUUAUUAGAAAUUUAUUUACAUUACAGCUGUAUACAUGGGAUUGAAUGGAAAGAGCCGCAUACAAAAUUGAAGAGACUGCUUUUGACUGUCUCACAAAUUAAUAUUUGCUUCAACUUGGGAGAAAAUAAUGACCAGUUAAUGAAUCAACAAGAUGAUCAAUUGUGGCAAGAAUGUAGAAGCCGCUGCCAUUUUAUGAACAAUUCAAAGUUGAAGUUAAGCUGACGAAGUAUUCUUCACUGCAUGGAAUUGUCAGACCGCCCAUCGGAUGAUCAAAUCCAAAUUCUUCUUCAGCCAUAUUUAGGAGGUCUUGGAAUAGAGGGUGAUUCAAAUAUGAUAUUGGAAUUACAAACCUCUUUCUAUAGCCUUCUCCAACAUAAAUUGCAAUGUGGCCUUUUGGCACAUUAUUUGUAUUGUUAGCCACAGCCAUUCUGAUCUUUGCUGAUAAAGUUCUCUGAAUCUUUUGUUUAGCAUGAGCGAAACCCAUCAAUUGGAUGCCCAUUUUAGCAAUGAAAGAAAGAAUGCUAUUGAUGAAGUAAAAGAAAAGUUUAUUUGGUUUGAAAUGGCAUCUUUAAUUAAUAUAAAAUAUUUAUAGGCAGAUAUGUGAAAACAAAAACAACCUUAACUGGAUAGGAAUGGGACAAUGAGAGGUCGUUGAAGAAUCAUGAGAAAAACAUAACAGGUGAAAGAAUUGGUUAUGUUUCACAUGGUAUUGCCAUGUCUAUGGUUAAGCAUUGUGCCCACCACAUAGAGAAACAAAAAAGAUAGGGAUGCAAUUUGUGUUUUUGCAUGAGAAUAUAUAUUUUCCUGUGUUAAUUUGAACUAAUUCUAUGGCUCUAUUUCGAAUACAUUUUAGUUUAUUCAUAGAAGCAUUGAAUUUAGCUGACUACGUGUGUUAUUUAAAUCGUGGGCCUUUUUUUUGGGUGUUAACUAGCCAACCAGCCAUUUCUUUGGGUCCCUACCAUUUGCCUAAACUGAUUUAAUUUGUCCGAACUUGCAUUUAUUGGCUGCUUUAUAUCAGCGAAACAUGAUUCUUCUUAGGGAAAAUUCUAUGAUGCCGUAAUUAAAUUUACGGCAUUGAUGCCGUAAUAGACGUGGACCGUUAGAUUAAAUUUUUAUGGUGUUUUGGGCUUCAUUUGUUGCUGUUUUUAGCUUAAAUUUUUUACUGUUUCUGGGUAAAUUGGCUGCUGUAUUUCAAUUUAUUUUUCUGUUGUUUUUAGAUAAAUUUACUGCUAUUUUUGGGUUAUAUUUUCUGCUGUUUCCAGGGAAGUAUUUUUGGUGUUUUGGGCUUCAUUUGGUGCUGUUUUUAGGUUAAAUAUUUUACUGUUUCUGGGUAAAUAUACUGCUGUUUUUGGAUAAAUUUACUGCUGUAUUUGGGAUGAUUGGCUGCCGUUUUUGGUUAAUUUUUUUGGUGUUUUGGGCUUCAUUUGCUACUGUUAUUAUGUUAAAGUUUCUGCUAUUUCUGGAUAAAUUGGCUGCUGUUUUUCAGUUAAAUUGUCUGCUGUUUUUGGAUAAAUUUAUUGCUGUUUUUGGGUUAAAUGUUCUGUUGGUUUAUAGGAUCCAAAACUUGUGAUAUUUGACAUUUCUUUUUGUGCCUAAAUCUUCAUGUACAGGUUUUUGUAAACUCGAAAAUGGCUGAAAAUGUAGAUGAGGGUAACGAGAAUGAUUUCAAGGAGAAUGAUAAUGUGAGCCAAGAAAGUGAAAUUUUAAGAAGAAAUCGGCCUUUCAUUGAGUAUUUGUAAGUCUUCUUACAUUAAAUAUUAUAUUUUUGACUGCUGGUAAAUUUAUGAAUAUUUAGUAAAGCCAAUCACUAUAAUGUUAACGUGCACUGAUUAUAUAUAUUUUUUCAAAAUAUUUAUAAUUGACUGCAGCAAGCAAGAAGCAAAAAUAUUACGGGAACAAGGAAAAAAAGUGGUGAGUGUAGGUGCGAUAAUUAAUUUCCAUUAAAUUUGGGACGUGUUACAAGCAAUAACUGAUUGUCAUUUUUUUUUAAUUUUUUAGGAUAGAAUUAAAUUAGGGAAAUGUUUCAAAAACUUGAGUGAAGAAGAGAAGGCUAAAUUUAGAAUGGUUGGUAGUGAUACAGCACGGAAUAAAGACAAAGAAGAUGAUUUCGUGAAGGGAACUCAGAAAGCCAUGGAAACUAGAUGCGCUCCAGAUCGUUUUGCAAAACUGGUAGGAAAAUUGUCAGAAAAUAAAAAAAAAGCUAUUGCGGAGUUGGGAUUUGAAAGUCUUCUGCACAUAAAAUGUGGUCGACUGAAACGAGAUUUAUGUUCAUGGUUGGUUCAAAAUUUUGAUCCAUUUACUUCAUGUAUUUUUUUGCAUGGUAAGAGUAUCAAUUUGUCGCCUCGAGAUUUUGAGUACAUUAUGGGAAUAAAAGAUGGUGGAGUCGACAUUGAUGUGGAUCUUGGUAUUGAUAACAUAGAUAAAUUGAGGGAUGAAUAUUUGGAUGACAGUGGAUACAUUAAGCUGAAAACUUUAGAGUCAAAAUUGGUGAAUCAAAGGGAGGUGAAUGAUGACUUUAAAAGAAGCUUUGUUUUGUUUGCUAUAGCUACAAUUAUUUUUCCUAAAUCGGGGUUGAAUUUAGCCCCGUAUUACUUGGUUUUUUUGAAAGACACCAGUGCCAUAAAUAAAAAAAAUUGGGCAACGUGGGCUUUUAAAGGGCUAGUAGAGGGCAUACAAAAGUUUAAGGCAGGACAACAUAAAGUUGUUAAUGGUUGUGUACUAUUUUUAGAGGUAAUUUUUUUUAAAAUGAUUUCAUCAAUUUUAUUGUGUUAUUUUUUUUUUUACUUUGUUUUGAUCAUUUUGUUAAUAUUGCAGCUUUUUUACAUGGAUUCUAUAUCAUUUGCACGAAAAUUUAUUGAUAAAUCUUUGAGUCCAAUAACUACAUGGACAAAUCGAGAUGUAACUAACUUCUUGAGUUUUGUUAAGAAAAAUGGCGGUUAUGGGAGCUCAAAGGUAUGACAUCUUUUUAUUAAUUAAAUAUUAAUGUAUCAUAUUGAAAUGACAUCUAUACAUCUUUUUAUUAAUUAAAUAUUAAUGUAUCAUAUUGAAAUGACAUGUAUUUAAUAGUAUGUGGUAUUAUUAGGUUAAUUUGCGAGAAAUCCAUCCUCAACAAAACACAGCCCAAGAAACAUUUGAUGGAACGAGUCGGAAGAAUGAAGAAUGCAUACAUAAUUGUCAACAUCAGAAGGAAUUAUCACUUGUUCGAAAAGAUAUUGGCCGUAUGGCAUUGGAGCUUGAUGGUUUAAAGCAUUCAAUGGGUAACUGGAUGCAGCAAAUGCAACAAGUAAUGGAAACCCUUAAAGAGAACUUAACCCAAAAGCAAGUUGAGCAGCAAAAAGAGAAUAAUGGCACUGCUGUUGGAAUUACUUCUCCUUCUCGAAAGCAACAAAAGAACGACGAAUCAAGCCAUGAAAUUUUAACUUUUGCCGAACUAAUGAAGAGAGCCAAAGAAAGGCCAGAUGGAGAUGAUAUUGUUGAGAAAAAAUUAUUGGAUGAGGAGAUUGUUGAAGAGAAAUAUGAUGAAAGAAUUUUGACGGGUGAGUCAGACCUAAAUGAGGGGAAGCGUACGCAAAUUUUCUGCAAUGCAGCUAUACAGGUAUUUAGCAAUAAAUUAUGAUAUUCUUUUUUGCACAAGUAAAACAUAAUAGUGCAUAGAUGAGUAUUAAGUUAUAAAUCAUAAUUUUUGUAGGAUAAUGGCCGAAAUGAGGAUUGUUUUGUUGAAGAGGAAUCAUCAAACCAACUUAGCGUAUUUGAGAUUAAAGAUAUGCGCUCCCGAAAGCGAAAGCCUGGUCCAUACCAAAAAUCACCUUAUAAUCAGUUUCCCAAAAGACGAAGCAAACAAAAAUUUUUUCAUGACUCAAUCACUCUACUAAAUUCAUUUUCAGAGGAAGAUAUGAAGAUGCUGCAAUAUAUAUUUCAAGGAGAAUUGCCUAUGGAGUAAUUAGAUUUUCUCAUGACCCACUUUCCAUAUGUUAUUAUUUUUGCAUUAACACUGUUAUAGUUUUAAUUAUAUUUUUGGAUUCUUAAUGUAGUGAGCAUAUUGUUGAUGGAAUUAGUUUUUUCGUCUCUCGCCAAGAGAUGUUUUCUUUGGCUCCUAAUACUUGGAUCAUUGAUACAGUAAGCAUACCUUCCUUAUAUUUAGUUUAAUCAUUCAAUUUAUUUAUUUUCUUUCUAAAGUAUUUAAGUCUUCUUGUUUAAUGGCUCUAUUCGUAGGUCAUAGAUUGUUUCGUCAACUACUUGACAAACAAAGAACGUGCAAAAACGAGCCUAGAGAUGCGUAUUUGGUAUUUGCCCACCAUCUUUUCGGUAAGUUGUAAAUGUUAUACUGUGAAUUUUUUUACUAACAGUUGACCAUAUAUGUUGAUAAUAUACUAAUUUUGUGUUUAUUUUAUGAUUUUUGCAGCAAAAAAUAGUUGCAAACAUGGCCUGCAAUAAGAAAUCAAGCAUCGAAGACUUUGUCAAAAAUCAUAAUAUUCGAGAUAAAUACAUGUCAGAACUAGCAGUAUGUGAAAAGGUAAGAAAUUAAAUGCAAAAUUACAAUAAAUCAUGCCACUGUUUAAGACAUUUAAUGGUAAUUAUUAAAAAUUAUGCAUUUGUCAUGUAGAUCUAUGUUCCUAUAAAUGAUGGCUCUGCACAUUGGUAUCUAGCGGUGUUGAUUGUUAAAACGCAAACCGUUGAAAUUUGGGACUCUUUACCUAGUACUACUUCGAAUUCACAUCGAGAGGAAAUUGUUAGAGCAAUUGUAAGUGAAGCUUGCAUUUCACCUGUAUUAUUACCAAUAAAUGCAAAUGUAUGCUGACUAUUAUCAUCAUUAUCACAGUUACAGGGACUCGAUGAAGUUUUCCUCGAUGAUUUUUUGGGAAAAUUUCAUUCAUGUUGGGAUUUUUUUAGUUUUAAAAUUUCAUAUCCAGAUAAUGUCCCAGUACAACCAAAUGGAACUGACUGCGGUUUGUUUGUGAUCAAGUUCAUGGAGAUGCAAUGUGAUCUAUUAUCUAUAAAACAUGUAUGUGACAUUAAUUUUAUAUCAUAUUGAUUUAAAGUUUUACAAUGAAUGAUGACUCUGUUUCUCACUUUUUUAUUUUUUCUCGUACUAUAUUUAGUAUAACUCAACAAUAGAAAGAUAUCGCAUUGCACUCCACCUUGUCAACGGAGAUACAAAUAAAGUGAGAGAUAGUAUUAGAUGUAAGGCUGAAGAAUUUUAUGAUUCGCACAAGAAUAAUCUUCCACCGAACAAAGUGACGAACAAAGUUAAUGGUCAAAAGAAUUUGAAGAAGAAAAAGUAGAGUCCAAAAGCUUGCAGCAUGUUAAAAGUAGGUUCUCUUUAACUAUUUCUUUCUUGCUUUUUUUUGCUCCUAUUACAUUUCAUGAUUUGUAUUAGUUAUUUAUUAGUUAUUGCAAUUAUAAUUAUUGUUUCACAUAAAAUUAAUUAGAAACAAUUCCCAAUUUGCAAUUGCGUACCGAGUAUAAGCAUAAUGUGGACUGGAAAUAAUCAAUGUUUUACUGCAAGUUUUCCUUUAUUCUCCAGGUGGCUCACAAUUUCCUCUUCAGUAACAUCUUGUGGGAAGGUGGAUCAUCUUUGUUGGGGAGCAGUAGUAACGAUAGUUCUUUGUUUUACUACCAUUCUAUAAAUUUUAUUUGAAAUUAGCAUUAUUCUUGGUUAUUUAUUUUUAUAAUGAUUCUAAUAUCUUGUUGACUAUUUUUUUAAGAUUUUCUUUUGGAAUUUUUUAGGAUCUGCUAUUGAUUAUUGUGUAAAUUCGAGAUGUGAUUAAAGUUUGAGUAUCAGUGCGUUUUGCUUUGCCCUUUUUCUUUUAAUUGCAGUUGUACCGUCUGUGAGCUUUGCCUUUAUUUGCUUUCAACCACAACACUCCAAUUUUUAUGUAUUAUUUUUUUUUUAUCAUUGUUUGACUCCAAACGAAAUACUCAAGUUAAUGAGCAUAGUUUAUAUUCAUGUUGUUACAGCAACAAAUGAAAUAAAUAUAAUUUUUAACACAAAUAUACCAUAAUAAUUUUACCAUUGACGGAUACAAGCAUAAAUAAUUAAAACAUAUGGUUUCAUUAAAAAAAAUCAAUUGUAAUCACCAUCUCAAUUGUAAUCAUUUUACCAUUGACGGACACAACAAAUUUUCAGUAUCCUGCCUCAUGGUCAAUACUUAUCAUUGUUGUAUAAAAUUGAAUGUGUUAUGAUACUGUGAGCUGUGAGCUGUGAGCUGCCAUCAUCAUUGUCCAAAACUCCAAAAGCUUUUACUACCAUCACUGCCUAAAUUGAAAAACAAGAAGCAAGCAAGGCCUAGUCAAUAAUAAAAAAUAGUUGAGGUUUUACGCAACCAUCAUGACUGUCCAAACUUGCUGCGAUAGCAUGAUAAUAAUCUAAUUAUUUAGAAAAAUAAAAUUGCAAGCAUAAUAGUAACCUAGCUAGAAAAAUAAGACCUAAUAUAAACAAGAUUUCAAACAUUAACCGAGUUAUUUUCAGAACAUUAUCUCAAAUCUAACUCCUACGCACAUGAACACGACACAUUAAUUUGCAACAAAUAAUUUUCAGAACAUUAUAAGAGAAACUAGAGGCAAAACGGGAAAAAAAUUAUAAUUUUAAAAUUACAACCAUAGUAGUAAUCGAUUUAUUUAGGGACAUUGUUAAUAUUUUGACACUGACAAUAAUACUCAACAUGCAAAACAUAAUUAAGGCUGACUUUAUACUUCUGGGGCUGGAUGAGUAUUAUUAAAAUAAAUGGGGUCAUUUGUAAUAUUUUGACUUAAUGGGGACUAAUUUGAAAUUAGCCGUAUUAAAACUUUUGCAACUUGUCUAGAAACGACAGAAUUUAAAUACUUAAUGGGGACUAGUUUGAAAUUUGCCAUAUUAACAACUUUUGCAACUUGUCCAGAAUACGUCUUUUCAUAAUUCAAUAGUUUCAUUCAAAUUGAAAGACUUAAUGGGUACUAAUUUGAAAUUAGCCAUAAUAAAAACUAUUGCAACUUGUCCAGAAUAAGUUGUGAAACGACAGAAUUCAAUAGUUCCAUUCAAUCCUACAAUUUCCUUGCCCAGUUUUUUCUAACGACCACAUAGAACACAAUGAAUGAUGAUCAACAAGGUAAUUCUUCAUUGUCUUUUAAUGAUUUGUUACUGUUGCUAUUAUUUUUUAUGUUAUUUUCUCUCUUGCUAAAAAGAGUAGUGUUGUUUAACCUUUUAAAAUUAAUAUUAAUUGUGUCUAUUAUAAUUUACAGGCUAUUGUCUAGCAGUGCCAUUUAACUUAAUGUAAUAUUUUCUUAUUGUAUUAUGACAGGCAAUAACAAAAAUUACAAAGUGCCAGAGCUUGAUGUUCCAUCAUCAUACGAUAUUCCUUCAACCGCUCAAGCAGAAAUACAAUCAGGUUUUUUAGUUGUUCAUAACAAAACAAUUGAACCAAGUUAUUUUUGUAAUAUUUUGAAUAACAGUAUCAGUUUAUUUUAGUUGUUGAUAAUAAAAUAAUAGAAUUAGACUAUUUUAGCUGUCAAUAAUAAAAUAAUAGUAUCAAUUGAAGUUUGCUACUCAUGAUAAAAAAAUAAUUAUUCAUACUCUAUUAUGACAGGGAGGGAUGGUUCAAACUCUAUUUAUUGGGAUGAUAAAAGCAUGUAUGAACUCACUGCUGAAGAUGUUAUUGGAAAGCGAUUUGCAUCACUUGAAGAAGCUACAGAUUUUUAUAAAAAAUACUCAAAAAUAAUGGGUUUUAGUGUUCGCAUUUAUGAUGGGAGACGUGAUACAAAUGGUGCACCCAUAAUGAAACAUUGGGUUUGCAGUAGAGAAGGUGAAAGGGAUAAAAAGUAUAUUGAGCAUACAAACAGAAUCCGUGAACCUAAAGCUAUUACAAGAGUCAACUGUCGAGCAGCAUUCAGGGUAAAUUUAGAUAAGGAGUCCAAAACUUGGGUUGCUAGAAGCUUUGUUCCGAAACACUCUCAUGAGUUGGCAGCAGAUUUUGAGACUCAAUUUCUUCGAUCUCAUCGAAUGGUUAAAGAUUCUGACAAUGCUCUAGCUAAUUCAAUGCAAACAGUUGGUAUAAAGACAAGUCAGAUUAUGGACUUCUUUGUCAACCAGGCUGGGGGUUAUGACAAUUUGGGCUUCGGAUUAAAGGAUUUAUAUAACAAUUUAGAUAAUAAACGUCGAUCCAUGAUACUCGAAACAGACUCAGAAGCUGCACUUGCAUACUUAAAUGCAAAAGCUGACAUGGAUCCAGAUUUCUUUUGUAAGUACUCUAUAGAUGAGGAGAAUAGACUUGCAAACUUAUUCUGGGCAGAUUCUAUUGCUCGCUUGGAUUAUAGUUACUUCGGCGAUGUUUUGGCUUUUGAUAGUACUUACAAGACAAAUGAGUAUGGGAAGCCUUUAGUUAUUCUAUUGGGUGUUAAUAAUCAUUAUGCAACAAGUUUUUUUGGCUGUGCAAUUCUCACGGAUGAGACGGUUGAGACCUACACAUGGGUGCUUAAAACAUUUUUAUGUGCUAUGAAUAAUAGAAAGCCUAUAUCUAUUGUGACCGAUGGAGAUAGAGCGAUGCGUAAAGCAAUUAAAAAGGUAGUUCCUGAAGCUCGGCAUCGACUGUGUAUUUGGCAUCUACAAAGAAAUGCACAAUCUAAUGUACAUAAAACGCCUGAAUUUGUUACAAGGUUUAAGGAUUUUCUGUUGGGAAAUUACAGACCCGAAGAAUUUGAGCAAUUGUGGCAGAACAUGGUGGAAGAGCUUGGUCUUCAAAAUAAUGAUUGGGUUAAGAAGAUAUACUCAAAACGAGAGAGAUGGGCAGAAGCAUUCUUACGGGGUCAUUUCUUUGGUGGCAUGCGCACAACACAGCGUUGUGAGGGUAUGAAUGCAUAUAUGAAUAGAUUUCUUCAAAGAAAGUUGAAGUUGCAUGAAUUUGUUCGUCAAAUUGAUCGAGCCUUGAGACGUACAAGGAAUAACAAUUUAGGACAUAAUUUUAAAACUAAGCAUUCUAUUCCAAUGAUUAGUACUCAUCUUCCAAGCUUGGAGAAGCAUGCUGCAGGGGUUUACACUCAAAAGUUAUUUUACAAGGUUCGUAAACAGAUUUACAAAGAAGGUCAGUUUAUAUUGUUGAGCAAUGUCACUCUUCUAGAUAUUGAAGUGUACACAUUAACUAGGCAUUUAGAAGCCAAAAAGAAGUGGACUGUGGUUUAUUAUCUAAAAGAACAACAUUUUGAGUGCUCCUGUAAGAAGUUCGAAUCUAUUGGAAUACCAUGCCCUCACUUAUUUUGUGUGAUGAAACAUAUGCAUGUUAGUGAGAUACCUGCUUCAUUGAUUAACAAAAGAUGGACUAUGGAUGUGAAAGUUUACAAACAAUCUCUAAUGCCAUUGGAAAGUCAAUCUAAGGAUGUUCUUAACAAUUUUCGGUAUGGGUCAUUAAAUGCCGAAUUCAAUGAAAUUAGUUUUUAUGCCUCAAAAUCUGAUGCUACCUAUUGGAAAUUAAAAAGUCAUCUUGCUCAACUGAAGAGUGAGAUAAAGGAGUUGAGAAUGUGUGACAACGGAGAUACAGAUAGACCAUGCAGUGCAGAAAAGAAAGCAAGAAUUGUAAAAGAUCCUCUAGUUGUGAAGACAAAGGGUGCACCCAGUACGAAAUUUAACAAAGGUGUCAACACAAGAAAAUGUGGAUAUUGCAAACAAGAUGGACAUACUGCACGGAAAUGCCCAAGUAAGAACGGCCAUGUUACAAGUGUGGACAACUUCGCUGGACCAUUAAACAGCUUCACAAAAUUUAUUUGGUAUGGGAAAAUAGGUCAUUAUUUCUAUAAUUUUUUUUUAGUCCAAAUCAAUGUGUUGUAUCAAUAAUUUUGUUCAAAUUUUCUGCAGAUUAUAUCCUAAGGAGGCUACCUCACUUGCGUCAAUGCACACAAAAUUAUCCUAAAAUAAUCUGCAUAUGCCUGAGGGUGUGGAUUUGGACAAGCUAUUUGCAUUUGAAGAAAACACAAUUUUGACCAAGUAUUUUUUAGACUAUAGUUAUGGCCAUGUGAUGUAGUCUUAUAUUUUAAUGCAUUUUUGGUUAUAAUAAUAAUGAAUAUUAUACCUCUCAUGAACCUAUUACUUUCUCCUACUUUGAUGACAAUGAAAUAUGACAGGAACCUCGAACAAUGUAAUAUUCAUGAAAUUUUAAGCUUACAAAAAAGGGCCUAACAAUGACAUUCUAAAUCUUAACACAUCAAUUGAUCUUAUUUCCUAAGAACUGCUACGUGCAUCGAUUAGGUAUCCUAGGACGUUUAUACAUCACUAAUAAACUAGUAAACCAUACCACAGUUACAAUGUAAUACUCUUUCUUACCUUGCUGAUUAGAAACUUCAGCGGCCAAAUGCCAACUACAUCAACUUUUGCUUCCCCAUAGCUGAGUGAAAUUCUUGUAGUUCCUGAAUCCAAAAUACAAGUAAGAGAAAUCAGUGCAGAUGUUUAUUUAUCUUGAAAUUCCUUUGAAACUGAGGCCCAAAGAGAAGCUAGAAUAAACAGUCAUGCAGGUUUUCUAUUUUAGGAAAAAAAAAGGAAAUUCUUUCUGUAGUAUACUUAUUAAGCAAGAUAACAUAAACCAUGAAUUACAAAAGCUGCCAACAAUUAGAAUAGGCGACCAAAUGGAAUUAAAAAUACGGGCACACUGUGUACAGAAAUUCUGCAGGAUACAAGGCCAAUAUAAUUUACGAUUUAUACCAAACUCAAUUGGCCAAACCUAUGGAAUUGGAAUGAUGCAUUUAUUUAACUCAAAAGGUAAAUAUCAGGCUUAAGGUUCUUACAUAUUAAAACAAUAAUAAUUCAUUCAUUUUGAACAUGAGAUGCAACUUGGACUAUUUCAAGUUAUUCCAAAAGAAAGCAUUAAAAGGAAUUUGUUCAUCCUACGUGGUAUAAGUAGUAUAUUUCAGUUAGUAUUAUACAUCAUCAGUUAAAUCAUUUGGACUAUUAACAUUGAUAACAACAAUAAUAAAAUAAACAUAUGUAGUUAUAAAAUAAAUAGAUAAAUUCAACUUCGGAUAAAUUUGGGUUGUUACAGUAACCCUCCAAGCCACCACUGUAUUAUAACCAAUAGACAUUUGAAUUAUAACAGAUAGACAAGAAUAAAAUGAAAGCCAAUAUUAUUCAUGCAGAAUUAAUCUAAUUUAUUUUUCAGUUAAGGUUAGUAACAAUUUAUCUGUAAAUAACUGAACCAACUUGGUUAUUACAACAUUACUUUUUCAAAGCGUUUAGAGCUCAGAAUAUCAAGACAACAAUUUGGUGGUUGGUUAAUUGAGUACCGGAAUCAGAGAUUUUUACUGCAAGAAUGCAAUUGUAAACACCACACAGUAAGUUUUCAAGGCAUCCAGCAUAUUAACUCAAAAAACCAAAUUCUCAUUACCUGUCUAACCCACCAAUUUUCUGCAUAGGCAAUGGAAAUCAGAAUACUUUAUAAUGUAUUCAGUAAUUGAAGUACCUCUGAUUAUUGUUUCCAACAGAACAAGGUAAAUCAUGUUGGCAAGAAUGCCUGAAAGUUUAUCUAAAUAACUAUCACUUGCUCCUCGCAAAACAAACAUCAAGCAUGGCCUGUUGGAACAUUUAUCCUUUUUGGUCUAAGGGUGUUGGGUUAGUUGACUCAAUUUUCCCCUUUUUGGUCACACAACAUCAAUAAUUUAAGCUCUAAAAUUGUUCUGAAGCACCGCAGCAUUCUAGUUCUGCUUGCUUAUUAAACAACAAUAAUGGACUCCUGUACAUACAUUUAAAACCAAAACUAAAUUCAAGAAUGCCAUAAGAACUGUUAAACAGAAAGUUUACCCACAAGGGUAAAUGGCCUACACGAUAUAGAAGAUAAAGGAGACAGAAACACUUGUAAUUACGAUGAGAAACAAAAACACUGAGGUUGAAAUUUAUUUACCUCAACAUUAAGGCCUUUCUUUUUGCAAAGCACUUUAAGAGCAACGUUGCACCUAAUGCCCUUUAGGCUGAAGUGUUCUAUAGUUGCUGAAGUAGAGUGUACCAGGAUAUCAGGCUCAGCAUCUUGAAAAUCUUGCAAACUAACAGGGGACUGCACAUAUUCGAAGGAUACAAAAUUUCAAUCUAAGGGGGCUGAAUCUCGUACAUUGCACUGUUAUUGAAAGAAAUGAACUCAUAUUUAUGUCAUAUAAAUGCAUAUAUGUCGUGAUUGGAGGAGAGAACAUUCUAGAACAAUUGCUACUUAAUACCUUUUCAUUAUCUUUAUCUGAGUUCCAGUUCACAGUAAGAUCUAAUUAUCCAAUCUUCCUCAUAUCAAGUUUGUCAACUUGUAUGAGUCAAUCUUACACAUAUGAAUAUUGAGAGUUAUUCAUAAAGAUAUUUCAUAAUAAACAUAUAGUCAACUUUUCAAGAACUAGUGAAAAAUGAAUAUUCAAAAGAAUUCUAGAAUCUUUUUCCUCUUUUCCAAGAGAAAUGCAUAUACUUAUAGAUAAAGGAAGGAAAAAUUUUAAGGGCAGCGCAAGGUAUGAUAAAUAACAGCUCCUUGACAUCCUUCAACUAAAUGUGAAUAAUUUGAAGUUUUUGUGGAUGCCAUUACUUCUGAAUUCAAUCAUACACAAACAGGCCAUAUUAUUAAUAGGAAAAACUUUUAAAAGGGAACCACAUACUCCAGAAUGUCAGGAAUCAGGCGGACUUGAACCCGCCACAUCAUGGCCUCUGUGCUAAGAGUUAAUAGAAAACUGCAGAGUAUUGUUUGGCAGUGGCAUUUGAGGCAAUUCCUUAAAGAUUAUGAGUAGAAAGAUAUCCUAGAAAAUCUGCUGGAGGUUAAAAGUUAAUAGCCACUAAUUUAAUUACAUUCAUUGUGGAGUAUCCACCUUAUUCGAUAACCCCCUUUAGUCACAGCAACUUUAUUCAAUGCAAGCGAAGUCCAUUCUGGUGAUUCAACAACUAAAGCAAAAACAUAUGGUACCUUGCCAGUCAGAGUUGUCACCAUCACUAUCUUCUGAAUGAAAUUGCCUUCUCAAGUAACUUUCUUCAUCAGCAAACGCAGGCCUGAGGUAACCUACUAUAGAAAGACCAUUUGAAGGAUGAUCCAUUUUUCUAUCAUAGUCCAUAUUAACAGCCUACGUGAAAAAACAAUAAAUAAAUCAUUACACUAGAGUACUAAAAGUAAUUUGACAUACAUAAUACUGAGAGAAAAAAACCAGAAUUUUAGCCAUGUAAAGUUGAAUAAUCUGGAGAUUAAAAAAUUAAUAAAUAAAUAAAUAUAAAGUUCAUGUUCUUAGCAGACAAACAGUCAGCACUUCACGUUAAAUAAUUAAACUUGCAAUAGAAAGAUAGAACAAUUAACUGACUGUGAUCAUGGUGUUGGGAAAUUGUCAGUGACGUAACAAAAUUACUAAUUACAAAACCAGCUCAUAAUCACCUUUGUCAAACACUUGGCAAAACAAAUAGGAUGAACCCAGUUGGAAGUAUCUGGAAGUAUCUGGCACCACAAGGCUGUCCCUCACUGCAUCUUAUAACAGGUAUUCU